GUCGUCGUCUUAGCCAGAUGUGUUCAGCGGUGAAAUUGUGCGUGUUUGUAGUGUCUGUUCGUGCCAUGGUGGAUGUAGUGUUCCUGAUCUGAUGUCACCUCCUUGCUGUCAUCAGUAACUGAAAUGAAAAUGUUUGUUAUCUGUUCUAAGACCUGUGCCUUCUGAUGCUUGUUUUUCAUUGUUUAUGAGCUUGUUGUUGAAUGUGGUUCCUCAACUGGUGCAUUUGAUUAACCCAACUUGUGAAAUUUACCGUCAGUUAUAGCUACCGUGCUGUAAUUUCGCAAUCACUAGUAAUCUUUUUUUGGUUGCAUCUGAAUCUGAACGAAUAACCUUGGCUCGUCCUUCAGUUCUGUGUAUCCAUCUGUUCUAAUUUGUGUCUCUGUUUUUCCUGUUUCCAAUUUUUAAUUUCGACUCUUGCAACUGCUGGAAAAUGACUCUUACUCAGAUGUACCAUGAUCACAACUACACCACUAAAUAUGAUGCAGAUAGACAAAAGAUGUUUCUAUUUUGCAGGUUCAUAUUUGUUUGUUCUAUGAUCGAUGGAUUUCCUCACCUGCAAAUUCUGCAGUGUGAUUGAGGUAGAAAGUGUAACUAAAGAUGGCACAGGUGAAACUGCUAGAUCAGAAAGAAAUAUAGAUCUGUUGAGUAACUUUAUGUUGGAAAGAGGUCAUUUGAUGAAAAAGGAAUGUAGAACAGUCUUUGACUUGUUCAUAAUGCUUCGCUGCAGAGGAAAAAGGAUGCCAGAUUUCUGGUUUAAUGAACUGAAGAACCAUGAAAUCCUAGCUGAGGAGGUGAGACGCUGCAUAUUUUUGCAAUAGAAAUUCCUUCUCUGAACGGUCGGACAUGUUUUUGCUCCACUUUUCUUAAGAUCCAUCUGCAUAUAAUUUUUGUUUUGGCGUCUAUUUUAUCGUUUAUUUACAUGUACCCAGGUCCAGGAAAGACAGACAAGGAAACUCUUAGGAAUUCAAUUCAAGGUACAGAAUUAGCAUUGAAACUUCUGCGUGAGCAUGACUUUAUUUAUCUCUCAUUUCAGUAUUGUAGUUGCAAAACGAAAUGGCGCUGUAUGUAGUAGUGCAGUUCUGUGCUUUAAGGUUUUUUCUCUGUUCUAAAUGUACCUUGUUGCUUGCCAGAUUUGCCUAUCUUGCCCGCCGCAUCUGUUGCGAGACGUCCUAGUUUGAGUCGUGCCUGCGGGUGGAUAGAUGUGCUAGGUCGUCAGUUUGUGUCGAGCGGUGGAAAUGCUCUGGUGCUGUAGUAAAAAGUUACCUUGUUCUUGCCGUGGUGGCGUGAUCUUGAUGGUAACAUCCUUUUGUCAUCAGCAAGUGAAAAAUUGGAUAUGUGUGCUGAUACAUGUGCUUUUCAAUCCAUAUUUUUUCCUUAUGUGGCUGUCUUCGAACGCAAAAUUUCGUAAUUCAAUAAUUUAGUCUGUCGCCUCUGAACCAGAACGAACAUCAUGCUAAUAUGCUCGUCUUGUGUUCUGUGCAUUGACGAGUUGCAGGCUUGCAGCAUAGUAGACCUGUUUUUCCUUGCAUCUGAGCCUGUCCUCGAAUGUGACUCACCAAAUGAUUCCCAGUUCGGUGUCAUAUUUCCUGAUGGUUUUUAGGUAAAUCGCUCCGAUUCUUAUCAGCUUAAAAUAUCCCUUGGCAGCGUCAAAUUUCAUAUUCAGUCAUCCGUUUUGCUACCUCUGAACUUGAAUGAACAGAUGUUAAAACGCUCCUACAGUUAUGUGUUACAUAACAAUAGCAGUAUGCUUGAUGUCCAGUAUGCAGAUUCUUUUGAAGGGCCUCCUGAUAACCACAUGUUUGUCCUGUCCGAUGACUAGAAGUGAUCCUAGCUGCCACCAUGCCUCAGCCAUGGGUGCAUGCAUGCCCACUGCAAGUGCUGUAUGUUUUUUUUAAAUAACAAGUGCUGUAUAUUUUUAUUUUUUUGAAAUAACAAGUGCAGUAUGUUUGAUCAUGGGUCACUGACAAUGUUGUUUCAUGAUUGUAAUAUCCUGAUGGGUGCGGUUUUAUCCUCUAGACUUGCUGUUGCAAGCACAAAGAAGAAUAAAGCUAUCUUGAGGGAGCUCCACUGCCAGCUGAAGGACAAGAAUAUGCAAGCAACUUCAGACUCCAAUUUAACUUGUUUCCUUCUCUCUUAAUUAGUCUGCCUCUUGGAAUGUAUGGAAGAUACCGGGAUGGAUCAGUUCAGCUGAAACUUGCCGAUCUUGCUUAUGCCGCCCACACACCUUUCCACCUCUAGAACCAAGACAACCUCUGAAUGCAUAUUAAUACAGGCCAGGCACUUGUUAUUCUUAUUCCACACCAAGCAACAGUCACAUAUCACAGCAAGCAAGGAACUACUAUAACUUGAUGAUGACCGAUGCAUCUGGAGAUGUCGGGCGCAUGAUCAUUUCUCUACUAGCUAGGUUAACUAGGUGCCGCAGGGUGUGAUGAUUCGGGUGGAUCGACAUCAUAGGCGAGGCGAGACAGAGCUGUGACGACGGUGCCGAUGGGCGAUCUCAUGGCCGGCUGUUGGUGGACGCACAUGGAAGCAACUGUGAGGGCCUCCUCCAAAUCCAUGGACAGGUACCGGCCCUGCAGCGCCGGGUCUGCCAUCCUUCGCAAUCGGCUCCUGUCCUUCAUCAAUCGUGUGGCCUGAUCCAGCAGCAAACAUGACAUCAUUCACUCUGUAGAUUACAAAUAAUAUGUGAACGGUAAUGGACUUACCCAUGCGAUAAGGUUCCGAUCCUCGUCGGCGGGCUCAAUGGGCCUCCGCCCUGUGAUCAUCUCCAGCAGCAGUCCGCCGAAGCUGUACACGUUCGACUCCUUGGUCACCUUCCCCGUAACGUAUGUCUCGGGGGCAAUGGUAGUGCUUCCCCAGAAAUCAGUACACCAGCCUUUGUUAUCCUCUGCAAGCAACCGUCCAAGGUCUGCCAGUCCAUGCUGGGACAUCUUUGGGUGGUAGCCAUCUCCGAGCAGGAUGUCCAAGCUACCCAUGGAUUUGCGGUACACCACACCUUUGUGGUGCAGAUACUCUAAACCUUUGGCCACACGGGCAGCUAUGUUCAUCCUUGUGUUCCAGUCCAACGGUGCUUUGCCUGCUGAAGACCGGUCUGGUGAGGGGAGCACAAGAUCGAUCCGGUGGUUAAUUAACACAAACUCAAGCGAUCGAAUCAUGAGCGGAAUUUACAGGGUUUGGCAUGAUCCAAACAAAAAUUUACCACGGGGGUGGAGGUGAUCUUUUUUUUUUCCGAGAGUACGCCAAUAGCGUACCGUAUUUUUAUAGAAGGGAGAAAAAGUUUUACAAGAGACGAGCGAUCAAUGCGAACAUCGAUCACCCAAGCACCCACUCACACCUACGGUAGAUCAAUCGUGAUCUCUCACAAAACGUUCUAAUCCACCCACUCCAACACCUGCAAUAUGCCAAUCACGAAUCUCCUCAAGGAUGGCUCUAGCUAACUCAUUGUAGUCCUUAACCUGUUCCGAUCUGUUGAAAACUUUAGCGUUUCUCUGUUUCCAUAGCGACCAAGCCGCAGCAAUUAUGAGUGAAUCGAAACCUCGCUUUUGCUUCCCAUGGAAUCCCACUCGUGUCCUUAGCCACCAGUCGACAAAAGUGUCCGUGCUGCUGGGAUGGGGUAUGUCAAUUUCCAGGGUGUCCAAGCACUUAUGCCACACUUGUCUAGCAUAGACACAUUGCACCAAGAUGUGCUCAGCCGUGUCCUCAUCCUGCAAACAAGUAUAGCAUGGCGAUGGGUUAUCUUGCAGGCCAUGGCGUACCCGUCUGUCCGAUGUCCACAAUCGAUGCUGCACCGCAAGCCAGGUAAAGAUUUUGCACUUUAAUGGCGCCCAGCUACGCCAAAUCGCCACAGCUGUAGGUGAUACGAUCGCACCCUGGUUGAGUCUCAUGUAGGUGGAUCUCGCCGUGUAUAAACCUGAUGGAUCAUGCGGCCAAGAGAACGUGUCCUCCAGUAGCUCAUCUCUCGGCACUGUCGCAAUGGCAUGUCUCAAAUGGACUGUUUGCAGCAAUGCUCCGAAGGUUGUCUGUGGUUGCACGUCGAGUGCCCACCUUUCUCCGAUCAAAGCCUGGGCAACCAUGCGUGAGUUUCUGACCCUAUUCUCCACUCCCGCCACAAGCAACGGCGCUAUAUCCCUGACGGAGAGUCCAUGAAUCCACCGAUCCCUCCAAAACAGGAUCUUGUCUCCUUUGCCCACUGUGAUCUGCACCAAGCUAUCGAAAACGAGCCUCGCAUCUUCAUCCACCAUGAGUCCCAGUCCAUGCCACGGCCUUUGAGGGUCUGUGCGCCUCAUCCAUUCCCAGCGCACCCUAAGUGCGAGCGCUUGCAGUCUCAGGUUUUUAACUCCCAGGCCUCCGAAGCUAGUCGGCUUGCAGAUCGUAUUCCAUGCCACUAAGCAUUGGCCUCCGUUCACUUGAUCUUUCCCCGCCCAAAAGAACGCUCGCAUCCAUCUAUCAAUAUCCUCGAGCACCCAGCCAGGGGCCUUCAUCGCGAGCAGUUGAUGCACAUGUCUCGCUGCGAUGACCGAUUUCACAAGUACAAGCCGGCUUGAUCGCUGCAGCAGACCCCUCUGCCAAGCCGGGAGGCAGUGCCGCACUUGAUCCAAAAGGGGCUGCCAAUGCGCCUUCGUGAGAUGCUUGAUGGCCAGUUGCAGUCCAAGGUAUUUGCACGGGAAUUCUCCAAUGGGGCAUUGCAACAGAUUCUGCACUCUGGCUUUGUCUUCCUGGUCCUCCGAGAUCAAAAUCGCCGACGAUUUCCUGUAAUUGACCCCCAGUCCCGAAGCUUCUCCAAAUAGCUACAGUGCGAUCCUGACGAAUCCCAGAUCCUGAAUGUUUGGCUUGACGAAUAACGCCACGUCAUCCGCAUAUAUAGAUAGUCGCUGGGUCGCCGAGAUUCCGGUGUAUGAGCUUAGAACUCCAUCAGCCAUGGCUUUGGAAACCAAAGCCGUGAGGACCUCCAUUGCAAUGACAAAAAGCAGCGGGGAGACCGGGUCCCCUUGUCGCAGCCCUUUUGCAUGCCAGAUCCUUCUUCCCGGGGCUCCAUUGACUAGCACUUUGGUGCUCGAAGUAUGCAGCAGGACAGUUAUCCACCUGAGACAUCUCCCUCCAAAGCCUUUGGCGCCGAGCACUUCGAACAAGAAGGGCCAGGACAGGGAAUCGAAGGCACGAGAUAUGUCGAGCUUUAGGAACACACCUCUGGUUUUCCUCGCGUGAAUCUUCGUGGCCACUUGCUUAACAAGGAGGUAGUUGUCAUGCAAGCUUCUUCCGCGGAUGAACGCGGACUGAUUGGCAGCCACUAAAUCCUUCAUGAAAGGCCUAAUCCGAUUAGCCAGUAGCUUGGCGAACAGUUUGGAGAAACUGUGUGGUAGACUAAUCGGUUUGUAAUCGCCCACCUCCAUAGCAUCCUGCUUCUUGGGUAUCAAAACGAUCAGCGCGCGGUUUAAUCUGGCGAACCCUCGGUCAUCCCCAACGCAAAGCUUUAGGAGCGCUGCCAUGAUGUCAUCCUUGAUAAUUGACCACGCCUUUUGGUAGAAUUCAGCUGUGAAUCCGUCCGGCCCAGGGGCCCUGUUCGGGGCCAUCUCUCUGAUAACAGACCAAACCUCCUCGACAGUAAACAGCGCGUCCAAACUGCUCAAGUCUUGCUGCGCCAAGCCUAGCUCUUGAAGAUUGAGCGUGUGAUCCCUGGCCUGUGCUGUGCCAAGGGAGUUUUGAAAGGCCUCUGUGAAAAUCUCUUCUUUGCGGGUCUGGUCAGUGGCAAUCUCAUCUCCUCGUUUAACCUGCGGUAUGAAGUUCUUCGCUCUCCUGCCGUUCGCAAUCAACUGGAAAAACUUUGUGUUAGCGUCUCCCUCGCGAAGCCAUCUAUGUCUUGAUCUUUGCCUCUCGAUUGUACGUUCAAGUGACGCCAGCCCCAGAAGUGCAAGCUUUAGCGUUCUUCUUAGCCACGUCUCUAACUCGGUGAGCCCUCUAGAUUCCAUAGCUUGAUCCAGUCGGAGGAUUACUAGUGUGGCAAUGGCGAUCUGGAGUUUGAUGUUCCCCACUUUCCUCUGACCCCAAGCUUGUAGCGCCACCGCGGCAUUGCGGAAGAGCGCGUCUAGUCUCUUGAAUGGGUCCACAAUGGAGUGAUCACAAACCCAGGCCUCCCGAACCGCCUGCUCAAAACCCUCCAAUUUGACCCAGAAGCUCUCAAAACGAAACCUCUUCUUCGGCCAAUAUGUUGCACUGGUCGAUAAGUGUAGCGGCGCAUGAUCCGAAACACCAGUCGAGAGCGCCUGCAGUAGAUAAUCAGGCCGCGCCAAUUCCCAGUCUACGGACACGAGGAUCCUGUCUAUUUUGGUCAUGAUUGGGUCAUCUCUCUCGUUGGACCAAGUGAAACGACGUCCGUGCAUGUAGAGCUCUUUCAACUCAUUGCUGUCGACAAAACUUCUGAAUUUGUUCAUCAUGGCCCGAUUAAGAUUCAUAUUAUUCUUCUCCGAGGCGCGGAGGAUUAGGUUGAAGUCACCUAGAACCAUCCACGGCCCCGGACAUGUGGUUCUCCUCGUGCACAACUCCUCAAGGAAAAGGGUCUUCUGGUCGUCGCCUUGUGGCCCAUAUACCACGGUGAUCCACCAUUCCUCUCCAGACUUUGGAUGCACCAAGCCUGUGAGGGAGUUAGUGUCGCGCGUGAUAUUAUCCACCAUCAUCACGGUGGUAUCCCAUGCUAGAAUGAUCCCACCUCUCGUGUCCGCCGCCGGCAAAUAAGCAAAGCCGUCUAAAGACGGGCCACAACAUUGCAUUAUGAGAAAAUUAUCCACUACAUCAAGCUUAGUUUCUUGCAAGCACACUAAGUUAGGCCGCACCGACACUAAAAAGUCUUUCACCGCUUGUCUCUUGGCUGGGUUGUUCAAGCCUCGGACAUUCCAACACGUCACCGAUGGGUUUGUAUCCAUGGAGCAGAUGUGCAUCCAACGCCCAGCACGCCACACAUCUAGUGUGCACCGAUUCCAGCCGCAGCCCCAGAGCAAGUGCCACUGAGCUGCCCUGGCAUCUCUUUGCCGAACAGGGCUGCGAUCACGCGCACGUGCUGCUCGCGAAGAGGCGAGUCAAACAGUGCCUUAAGCUCUUGCACGGCUGCGUCUUCUACGUCCAAGUCUUCCGGUACGAGUCCCAGCGUGCGCAAGAGAACGUUCUCCGCUGGCGUGGCCCUUGGCGCUACAUGCACUGCUGAUUUCUUGGCAGCACGAGUGGUUCUUCUGGGCGUGAAUGGCUCAGCCUCGACCCGCAAGGUGGUGGCCUGGACUUCCCUGAGAAUUGGUGGGGCCAAUUUCUUCACAAUGCUUGAGCAGAACACCUUGAGCUUUGCGUACAUCUCCGCCUCCUUGGUAGUCAGUCCUGUUGCUGGACCGUCCGUCGCUACAAUCUCCAUACCUGUCCCCUUGUCACAAACAUCCGAGGGCCGCUGUGCAGGCAGAUUGCCCAUAUGCAUCACCAAUGGCUCGUGUACGUGGAUCGUAUUGCAUGCAAGAACUGCGUGGUUCCCAUCAGUGCGGGGCCCAGUCAUCCUGAGGCCAUCCAUCGAUUGCAUGCAUUCAUCCAGGGGGGUGUUGCCGGGUGUCCCUUGAGUCUGCGUCUCCACCAUGGCCUCAUGUGUCGCUGUGUCCUGCGUGAACACGGGGGGCGCGCUCGCCAACUCACGUGUCGGCUCUACCCGCGGUGCGACAGGAUUGGUCACAUCCGGGGGCCCAAUUUCCCCACCGCCUUGGGAUCCUGGUCCUGCCUUCUCCGAAGCGACAGGAGGCACAACCACAGCAGGCUCUGCACUCGUUUUGGCCGUAACCGAUUGCCCAGUGGCCACUCCUCCUUGGGGUUCUUGGUUUCCGUCCUUAGUGGCCACCAGCACAAGAACUGGCCCCAUCUGCUGCAUCGGGGCUGCCACCUGCGGACCCACCCGGAGCAUUCCAGACUGGACAACCGAUGGGCAUGUGCCUUCCCCUUCUUUUCUCUGCUCAGACUCUGCACGCCUCAGCAACCGAGGCGGAGGAUUGGCCGUUGCUUCCGGAACCGUUCCACCACUCCUGUUUGAAGUCGUCAUCACUUCACCCCUAGUAGCAUCCACAGUUGGCGCGCGAUUCGAAUCCUCUCUCCUGGCCUGACCGGUCAAACGCUGAAAAGCUGAAACUCGUCUCGUCAGCCUGCACAGGAUAGGGAUUGGUGGGGCCCCAGGCGUAGCGACCGGCGUGGCCUCCAUGGGAGGGAGGCGCCAAUCGUGUCCCAACGGUCUGGACCAGGCCCCACCCCCGCCACCAGCGGCGACGCCGCCCAGGCCGCCGGAGCGGGUGUCAGGGACCCCAAACUGCCACACCAACCUGCGCGAUCUGGGUCCGCCACCCGCAAUGUCGUCGUCGUCGGGGAGGCCGCUUUGGCCGCUGCCCGACGAGCUCCCAAAGAACCAAGGCUCGCCAGCCUCUCUCAGAUCCAUGAUCAUGUCGGUGUGUAUGAGCACCUUGUACUGCAGGAGAGCGGGCGGCGCCUCCAGUCCAGGCUCCGGCACCGCCUGCCAUCUGAGAGCAGGAAUCUCAUCCGGGCUCGCCGUCCAUGCCGUGAGCUUGAACGAGGACAGAUCGGAGCGGGAAUCCGUCUCAGGAGCCACCUCCUCCACCUUGCAAGAAGACCCAAGCAGUACCUCCACCACAGAGCGAUCCCACGCAUGGGGGGGAUGCCCUCGAUCACCAGCCACACCUUGAAUCCGAACACCGAAUGGACUGCCUGUGAUUGCCUAUUCCAUGGCCUGAAAAUCAGACGAUCACCUUCAAACUCCACCGAGGGGCACGUCGUCACUCUGUUCCGCAUCUCCGCGGUCGCAAAGACCACCAAAAAGUCCUCCGGCCUGUAGAAGUGCACCGAGACGAGCUCCGGGGCGAUGUCGAGCUUCCCGGCGAGGAUCUCCUUCACACGCGCCGGUGCAAGAACCCUCCUUUGACCAGCCACGUAUGCCACCAUGGCGAACUGGAGGCGCCGCUCAAGGUCGGACACAACAGCAGAGCGCUUGACGACGCAGAGCUCCGCCGGCGCCUCCUCGACUCUGCUCUCCACUUGCAGACGCGGCGGCGCCAGAGGUGGCCACUCCACGUCGACACCCGGCGCCACGUUCUGAACCGACAAGCUGACACCUUGGGGCGCGGACGCCGGCGCCAACCGCGGCGGGGGAGAUGAGCGGCGCGCCACCUUGGCCACCGCCUCCCUGCGGAGGUCGUCCACCGACGACGGGCUCCUCGGCCUCUUGCAGUCCCGGGAGCCAUGGCCGGGCAAGCCACAUCUGAAACAGACAAUCUGAUUGGUGCACUCCUUCUUGUAGUGGCCCUUCUCCAAACACUUGAAGCACUUGUCACGCAUCUCCGGGGCAACCACAACGGGCGGCGACGCAGGCCGCGCCGUCGGCGAGCGCACGGUCGGGCCAACAGGGCUGCGCCUCAUCCUCCAGAGCUCUUUCUUGGAGGGAGGCGGGCGCUCCCACGGAGCCUGCCCGUCCCCCGGAGCAGGAGCGUCGAGCUCCGCCGCAGCAGGCCCCUGCGCGUCCGAACCCUCGGAGCCGGAGGAGAUCCCCAGACCCGACACCACAGGGCGCUCACCCGGCGGCCGGAACGACGAGGUCACAGAUCUGGGACUGGCGGCCAUGGGGAGGGGGGAGAGGCCAGGGGGAGGGGGGAGAGGCUAGGGGCGGCGAGGGAUGGCCGCCGGGAGGCAAGGAGGUGGUCGCCGCAGUCGGAGUGGCUGCGGCGAGAGCGCCCAGGCGCGGUGGACGCCGGCGCCGGAGUAGCGCGCGGCGGGGAGCGGGAAGCGGGGAACUGUGGUUACUCGGUGGAGGUGAUCUUCGAGAGAACCCAAUGGCACGUGCUCGUGAACCAAGAUUCUGUAUUGGCCGUCCGCGCAGAAGCCAAUGAGGUUGACGACAUUCGGGUGGCGCAGCGCGCUCAGCGUCAGGACAUGGGCGAGAAACUCGCUGUUGAGUUGCUCCGCGGCAUGCUGCAGGUUAAUACUCCUACUAACGAUCUACAAACGAAUACGUAUGACAUGCCGGUACAUAUGGAACUGAGGAAAAAAGGAUUAGUCUGCCACCCAGGACUGUCACCACCUGGUUGAUGCUCUUGAGGUAGCCUUUGUAGAGACCCGCCUCCGGACCAAAGACGCGGGAGUCGUCUCCGAAGUUCCUGGUCGCCGCCGCCAGCUCGUCCAAGGCGAAGGCCGCGAGCUCGUCCCAGGCGAAGGUUCCUGCCGCAGCGGCUCGGCGCGGUUCGGCCCGGGGAGGCGGUGGGACUUCCUUCUUCCUUGGGCCCAGGCAGAGGAAGCAGCUGGCUCGGCUGAAACCACCCAUUAUUCAGCCCUUCGCCGGCGGCGAGGUUGGUGUCGGCUUCUGCUUGGACUGAGGAAGUUUGAAGCGUGGGAGUGCCUCUCCCUCAGCUGACACACCGCGCACACCGCAUGCAUUGCUGGUUGGUUGCGGCCUUAAGUAGCACGGCGUAGCUUGUCGAAAAUGGAAACCUCAACCUCCAAGAAACGGUACGUACAUGCGGGAUGUGGAGGACGCCUGUCGCAGGGUCACCAGAGUACUCGGUGCCUGCUCCUGCCGCUGCCGUAGCGACACCGACAGACAUGAAGAGAGAGGCCGGUGUGCCGGUUCCGGUCAGCGACGUGUAAGUUGUCUUAGCGGCAUCGAACAUUUAGCCAUGCUUAAGGCCCGUUCGGAGGCUCUCCACUCCUCGACUCUCUCCCGGAGCGGCCGGAGCUACAGUUUAAAAUUAUGGAGUGGCCGAAGAGGUACUCCGCAGAUCCUCGUAUUCUGCGGAGCUGGGCCAGUGCCGAACAGGGCCUUAGUGUCUAGCUAGGUCUGCUCGUCUGUAAUUUCUUUUAGCUGUCUUUGAUUUCUGUUUCCUCUGCUUCGCUGUCUUCUCUUUUUCUUUCACCUCUAUCGCUCAUUUUUUGGGUGCAUUUGCAGUGGAUGCUUUUUUUUUUUGCCUUGUGGCCGUAGAAAAAGCUCAACUCCAAAUCGAUCAUAUUCUGCUCCUCUCUCCUUUUUUCUCCAAAUAAAGCGAGUACAAAAGCUUGGUCAUAUUCAGUGUAGGUGUCGUUGAGAAUGUCAUUUUCAUUAGUGUUGUCGGUAAUUUGGGUAAUUUUUCUGAAGUUGCCUUCAUGUAUAGUUAACUGUCUUAGUUCUUCCAAAUUGUCGAGUUGGAGGAGCACACGAUUACAGUUCUCAAUGAGUAAACUCAAUUUGGAGAUCGAUUUGUUCCAACUCUUUUAGUGCAUACCUGAGGCGUUUUAACUUAGCAGGCAGAGAUGUGGCACUUGUUGUAGCUUUAAUGAGGGCAAACCAAGACUGCUGAAUUACCUCGAGAAAACCCGGAUGCUGAAAAUUUUCUGAGGUAAUUCAGCAGUCUUGGUUUGCACUCAUUAAAGCUACAACAAGUGCCAAAAACUUCCGGAUGCUUUAAUGAGGGCAAACCAAAACCUUCCGAAUCUGAAAAUUUUGCAUCUCAGAAUUCCAGUCUGAAUCGAAAGGGCACACAGAACAUGGUCUGAGAUGGGACAAGACAAAGGAUCUAUCUAUCUAUCUAUCUAUCUAUACCUAUACUAAUUACAGACUCCCUAGAAAUUACCACGUUAAUUAGAUUUUACGGGCUGUUAAUCUGGUGGGACCGAAUUAUUACGGUUUAGAUUGACUCAUAUAACUCUCAGCUGAAAUUUUGGUCAAUUGUGAAAAAAAUCAGGGCCCACAAUUGUUCAUUUGUUGUAACAAUAGAAUCCAAUUAAGACACAAUUCUACUACCAAUCCACCAUUUCUUCUCCUCUAAUUAAAGCAAUCUCUUUCUUUUUUAGAAAACUCAUCUACUCUAGCUCCUUCUGUAAAAACAAAAAGACGAAAGAAAAAUUUAAGCUUCUCUCAUCCAAUCUCACGAUGUUGGUGUCCUAUCUAUUCCUCUUCUAUCAACAAAAAAAGCAACGCAUCUGGCAUUCUCAUGUUCUUGAUUUUUGCUUUCCAAUCCAGCCGGAAGCUCGCAACCAUGUCCACGUCUUGAACUGCCUCCAGUUGAUUCAUGGGUGGUAUGCCCACGCCUUGAAGUGCCUCCAGUUGAUUCGUGGGUGCAACAUGAAGAAACCAGGUCUGCCUCAUCCACCGUGUGAUUUCUCAGCAUCAUGCAGAUUGUUUCCUUGAGUUUUCAUGUACGUUUUUUUUCAGGUGGCAUACGUGUUCUCAUGAAACUCCCGGACCACAAAACCAGCCCCAAUCUUCCAAAUAUUGAUGUUUUUAUCUAUGGCAGGCUCUCCCGCAUAUCAUUGAUCCAUGCUUUUCUCCUGGGGUUUUUUUUGCUGCCAUACAGGUACACCUGCUAUCUCAACUGAUAGAGAGAGGGUGACGUUGUAAAGGGGAGAGUUAGAGCGUUUCCUUCUGCUUGGAACAGUCCCAUGUGAGCGAAAGGGGGAAGAAAGAUGGGAAGGGAGAUAUUUUCUGAGAUUUAGCCUCCUUAAUAGGGAGAGUGAGAUACAAAAUAUGAGAGGAGAGAGCAGUUUUUAAGAGAGAGAAAGUAGCGGGAGAUUUAGAAUUGGAGAGAGAUCUCUCAGAUCCGUACGAGAGAGAAGCUUUGAGAGAAUAGAAGGGGAGGAGAGAAAGCUGCUCUUAAGAGAGAGAAAGUGGAGGAUAUAUAUAUAUAUAUAGAGAGCCGCGUGAGAGAAAAGAAAGGUCGAAGGGAGAGAUAGAGAGAACAGGAUUACAGGAGAGAGAGUAUUUGUCUUCGUGCUGUGCUGGCUGCUGUACUGUUCUGAACCGAAGUCAAAUAACAAGGUCUGAUAAUGCGUCAGCUAACCUCCAACUCGCUACAGUCAAAUGCUUAUAUGUCCAGGUGCAUGCACGGUAUAGAUAGGUGGUGUACAUGCUGCUGAUUCUUUCACACGUUACCCAGCCGCCGCCUCGCGAGCGCAUCCGCAAGAUUACUGUCCUGGAGGUUUGUGUGUUGUUUUCCACUAAAAUCGAUGAGCAUAUGUCCGUUCCGCCCAGAUUCAUAAUAUGUGUUCUCCAACCUGAAACUUUGGAGAGUUGGAUAAUUGUGCGGAUUUUAUUUUUUAGGUCUUGCCAGCGGGGUAGCAAGAUGUGUAAAGAGGAUUUCAAGUCCAAGAUUUUUUUCAUGACAUGUGUCAACCAAAAUCAUUACGUAGGAAUCUGUGCGGCCUUGCCCCAUCCCCAACUUUCGCAACGAUCACACCAUAACCUACUGACCUUCAGAUUAUUGGCUACAGGCUAAUGGAAAUUAAUCUGCAAUACUUUUCACUUUUCUGCUAUAUAUGGUUUGUCUCCACGGAUUGAGUCUCGAACCUCUCACCAGGCUCUCCUCCUCCAUUGGCUAUCUGCUACAGAUUCUUUUGCAUGUUACAUGGCUGCCGCCUCCCGAGUAACUAUGAAGCACCUUGGCAUGGCCAUUGCCCUAUUGCACUCUUACCUCCUGCAACAUCUUUUGAGCAUGUAAUUUAGUGUUUAGCAACGCCCUCAUUGGAAGAGCGACGAAAACAUGAUAACUACCAUGAACACAGGCAAGGAAGAGGUAGCUGGUAUCCUUCAAUUUCUUCUUGGAGUUCUGAACUUCUGAUAGAUUGAUCUUUCCUGUUAUCUCAUAUAAAGCUAUGGGUGAUUUAUUGCAUAUUUGUCAUACAGGUUGAUCAAGGAAGGUAUGAGAUUAUGAUGCACGUUAAAUGUCAGCAUGUCCUGCAACCACAGGAAGAUGAGCACGACGCAUGUCAUUUGCAAGCAGCAACAACUUUACUUUGCCGUCGAUCAAUACAACAAGAAGAAGCUCACCCCCAUCUGCAUGCGUUACUACUCUUGCGGCAUAGUACAAUAAAUGUUGCAGCAUAUAUAUACCCCUUUUCUCUCGCCAGUUUCAAACAUCCCUCCUCUGUCUACCGGUUGGACCAGCUUGCCAUACAUGUCUUUAAGGAUUUGAGGUAAUGUUCAGAGAAAAUAGCUAUGAAUGCGUCUUUUCUUUUCUGUUGAUUGUGGAGAUUUAAAAUUGAAAAGGAUAAAUUUAUGUAUAUAAGCGAACGAUAUAUCCUUUGAACCAAUGCUCAAGGUCCUAAAUUGAGGACACCAUGCAUUACAUGGUAUUACUCUAAGAGUAGCUUCUGUUGUGCAGGUAGUUUUUCUACAUGCUGGCUAGACAUGCUAUAUGCAGAUUCUUAUCGUUGAAGUGAAUCACAUAUAGUAUUUUACAAUUAUUAAGUAAUAGUAACAGUUGUUGUUGAGUCGUGUGUAGAUUAAAGAGUUUGUCUACCAGCCAUUAUUUUCUUAUAUGUACUUUAGAAAAAGUCAGACCCUCAUCUCUCUCAUGUUAAAUGCUAAAAAAUGGGUGCACGUAAAUUCUGACCCUCAUCUCUCUUCAAAAACUCCAGCCAUUAUUUUCUUGCAGCAUGUUCAUCAUCGGCCAAGUAGUGGUAACAUUUUUUUCUCACCAACUCUACUUGAGUACAUUCUAACAUUGGCUAUUUUUACGAAACGGUCAAGAGCAUGCAGCUAUAUCAGUUCUGUUUUCUCCUAUUAUACUUGGAACUGAUUUCUUCUAGCAUGCUACUCCUAAAUAGUUCAUGGGUUGGUCAGGUUCAUUUUUCUCUUCAUAGGUUGUUUUCCUACUAGGUUUUUUCUCACCAUGGUUAGGCAUUGACUUAGCUGUGGACAAAAGCCUGUUAUUUGCAAGAUGCUCAGCUACAGGUGGUUGUUUAGUUAUCAGGUAUCUCACACAGUGACCAAAUGGAUGUUCAUGCUGUCAAUCUGUAUCUCCAGGUCGUGUGGUACGAAGGCCAAGAUGACUGGUAUAUGAUUAACAAGAUUUUGUGUCGAUCGAGUACCACUACUGAAAUUACAUUCGCUUAAUAAUUAAAAUCAUUGCCCACAUCAGGUUAGAGAAGCUUCCUUCUAAAAUUUUACUCUUCUAGAUUCUCGAGUUUUUGAAGAUGACAAGAUGGAUGAUGCAAUUUCUAUUUCCUGAAUGGUAAAUUGGCAUAAAAGAAUAUGUUUCAUGUAUUGAUUUCUUUUGUUUUUCUCACUGGACUCACGGAGUAUUCUAUUUUUGCAUAAAAAAAGAUUAUGACUCUUUAAAUUUUAAUACAUUUAAUCAUCAUACUCAAUGCUGAAUUUAUACACCAUUGUCAAGGUGAAAAUACUGACUACAUCCCCGGUUAAACAAUAAGCAAACUUUCACCAUAAAGUUACUCUAACUUUCUAACCCUCGGAUUAUUUAACCAAAUAAGUUAGUGCUAACCAAUACACGAGGUUUUGCAAGAUAUAUGUUUCUUUUUCACACAUGCAAGUGUGACUAACCAUUUUAUCCAUGUUGUAACUAUGUUGUAGAUAUUUACGUAAAUUUAAAUGCUUUCUUAUCAAUCCCAAACAGGAUUCUGGUAUAUAUAAGAAUGCAUCGCCAUUUGAAAAAGCUACAGUCACACAAGUGGGCAUGCACACCUAAAUAGGUUAAACCCAUUAAAGUGAGAAUAUGGAUUGGGACCCAAAAGGGGCAUUUUGCAUGCUUUUUUAUAUUAACGGAAACAAUUACAUGCUCUCAAUAAUAUCUUUAGGAAAACUAUAAUUCUAAGUUAGCGUACAAGUUAACAGUCUCAUAUGAAUCAUUCAUGCAUAGAAAAAAAUGGGCAACACAAAGCAAUUGAUAUAUGAUGAAGUAAUAAUGUUAUGUGCAAUCGGACUAACCCGUGUGAAUGCACGGGUUGACGACUAGUUAACAUAAAUGUUUGGAAAAGCUGUCGUCCAUUCAACAGAUGGUGAAUUGACGGCCUUUAAUGGGGAGUCCAUUCAACAGAUGGUGAAUUUGACAAGUUUCUAUUUUUGAGCGAUCUUAUAGAGUUAAAGUCGCCAAUGAAAAGCCAAAGAUCUUGUAUGCCAAUUUGCAAUGAUAGAAAUCAAUUGAAUGAUUGACAAAAAACUACCACUUUAGGGGUUCCCGUCCCACAGAACUACCCGUUUUAAAAAAACUAACCGAAUACUAUCAAAAUUUUCUAAUUUUGUAACUAAAAACUACCAAGUAGAACUGAUGGCCGUUUGAAUCGUUUUAACCGCGCUUCUGACACGAGUGGCCCACCUGCCAGGCUGUCGGUCGGCCUAACGGCUAACGGCGCCAAACUUGGGCGGCCGUUAGUGCAGCCGCUCGGUCGGACCGGGUCGCACCAGGUCAAACCUGGCUGGCCGGCUCGCUCCGUUCCCCACCCUCUCUCACUCUCCCUCGAGCUCCUCCCUACCCCUAGCCAUCGGCAGUCAUGGCGGCUGUGGAUGCAAACUCCGACGACGAUUCAUUUGGCGGCAUACCUCCAGACGUGGUCAGCAGCGGGGUUUGCGACUUCGCGACGCAACAGUCUUCUCAGUCCGAAUCUCAUCCUUCGCAGAAGUUGGGUUGGUCGGCGCCGGCGCGACCACCGACGACGACAAGAAGCACACCUCAAGGCCAUCAGAAGCUUCCUCGUUUCGCGGGCGGCGGCAGGUACGACAUCUCAUCUGUUUGUUUGGAAGUUUAUCAGAGAUUUCAAUUAUUUUCAUUUUGGAGGAAAUUUAGGCUAGUUUUUUGCAUAGUUAGAUUCAUCUUUCUAUCAUGUAUGAUAACAUUGAUGCCCUUGAAAAUUGUUAAAAACUUACACUUUGUUGGGUAAGAAACUGAAAAGAACAAUCUAUCAGAAACUCAAUAUUGUGCAUACUUAGAUUCAGUUAUCCAGAUUUCAGUUAAUAUAGGUAAUUCAUUCAAUAAUUUUUCAUAAUUGAUGACCCAAAGUGGGCAAUUUGGUUCCAUUUCAAUGCCAGAGAUUCCGUGGUUCGAAAUCUGUACCAGUCAGACAUAUCAUAUUUGACAAUGCUUUCUCUUAUUGGGAGUGAGGGCUUUGUGGUUGAUGAUUAUAUGUACUAUGUAUUUGUUGAAGGUUUAGAUCAAAUAUGCUGUGAAGAUGAUGUGCAACAGAUGUUGAUCCACUCUCAUAAUGAAAAAAUUCUAAACAUAAGAGCAGUGGGAGCUCAUGAGGCAUGUAAUCCAGAUGAAAAUAUAGAUCGUUAUUUUGCUGAACAUUGCAUUAACACUCAACAAAGUUGCACCAAGGUGAUGGAUAUAAGCAUGGACAAAAAGGAUGAGCUCAAGAAAAGCAUGGUGCAGACAGAAGCUAACCUUAACCAUUUUGAAGGUGACACUGAUGUGUUUGAAUUUCUUUCUGAUGAUGCGCAAUCAGAUUCAUAUGGGAACGAUGUGGAUGUUCAAUUAGAGUAUUCCUCUGAAGAUGAAGCUGCAAAACAAGAAACAAUAGUGGUAUAGAAACUCAAGGUAGUGAGAAAACCUGGUCCAACCAGUAGAUUCCACCAUGAGGUUGAGAAAAAGGAGAAACCAGAUUGGUUCCUUGAAGCAGAUGAAAAAUGUUUCCCUGAUGAUUAUGGCAUCAGCGAUGAAGAAGAUGAGCCCGAAGGAUCCUAUAAACUACCAAGUGGUAGGAAGAGAAGGAAUAAGAAGUUGAAAAACAAGAUAUGUUAUGAUCACAACUUCCAAGACCAGUAGAGCAAUUUUAUAGGGGCUUGUGCUUCACCACUAUGUAUGAGUUCAGAGAUGCACUUAGGAUUUUCACAUUAGGACUUUGACAAAUUAUCAUUAUCACAGAAAUGCCCCAGAUAGGAUUAUUGUUUGGUGCUUGAAGAGAGCCCAAGGUUGUGAUCUUUAUAUAUGUGCCUCUAAGUUAGCUCAUGAAAAAACCUUUUGCAUCAAGAAGUGUGAUAUGUUGCACACUUGUAGAGCAUGUGCAGAGUCCACAAAGGUUACUACUAAGUGGUUGUCAAGGUCAGUAGAGGCAGCAUUGAGAGAAGACAUUAGAUCUCUUGUGGAUGCGUUAAUUAAAAAGACCAAGACUAAGUUUUCAGUGGAUGUGUCAAGAAGUGUGGCAUAUAGGGCAAGGAGGAAGGUUGAUGUAGUUCAAGGUGACCACAAGUAGCAGUACUUGAGGCUCAGGGAUUAUCUUCAAGCAGUUCUUGACACAAACCCAGGUAGCAGGUGUAUAGCAACAUUUGAAGAUCCAGAUAAUGCAACACCUACUCCUAGAUUCAAGUAUAUGUUCUACUGUUUAGCAGCUUCAAAGGAAGGUUUCCUUAAUGGUUGCAGACCAUUUAUAGGUCUUGAUGGAUGCUUCAUUAAGUUAACCACUGGACAACAAAUUCUUGCAGCCACAUGAGGGGAUGACAACAAAAACAUUUAUCCCAUAGCUUUUGGUGUGGUUGACAAGGAAGAUGCUAACAGUUAAAAUUGUUUUUUAACUCAAUUGAGAUGUUGCAUUGGCAGUGGCAACAAAUUUGGAACAUACACUAUCAUAUCUGAUAGGCAAAAGGUUGGGAACAAUUUCAUUGAGCAUUUUAGUUUUAGUACUUUUUUGAAUUAUUUCAUUCUGAUCAAGUGUAGUAAUAAUUUGUGAAUGUACAGGGCUUGCGUAAGGCAAUAAAUGAGGUAUUCCCUGAUUCACCUCAAAGGUAUUGUCUUAGGCACAUAUAUGCAAAUUUUCAAUCUGCUGGGUUUAGAGGCAGGAACUAAAGAAGUGUAUUGACAAGGCUAGCUACUCCUACACUAAACAUGGGCAUGAACUAGGGAUGACAGAGCUGAAAGCACAGUCUGAGGAAGCUUGGAAAUGGCUCAAAAAAUUGAGGUCUCUACUUGGGCUAGGUUUGCUAUGGAUCAUACAUGCAAAACAUAUUUAGUUGUGAACAAUCUUAGUGAAGUCUUCAACAAGAUGAUAGCCUCAUACAGCUCAGGCCGAAGACCGAGGAAGUUGAGGAGAGAUGGGGAGACCCAAUUGCUGCCGGUCGAUACAGACAGGAAAGGGGGUGGGGUAGAAGUUAGGGCCAAACCAAUAAAGACAAUGUUUGAAGGGAUUAGGACCAAGCAAAUGAUCAAGAGGCAACAAACUAGGGAGAAGUUACAGAUUAGCAGGUGGACAAUCACACCUAACUACUCAGAUAUUUUAGAAGAGAACAAGAAGUAUGCCAAUAUUGCGAAGCUGACAGAGCUGGUCCAACAAUUUGGCAAGUUACUAGCAAAGAAAAACAGUAUUGUGUGGACAUGGAAAGGUAUACAUGUGACUGCAAGAUAUAGAACAUGACUGGUGUACCUUGCAGUCAUGGCAUAUCUGUAAUGACAAAGCAAAAGCUGCAUCCUGAGGUCUAUGUCAAUGAGUUUUUCAAGAAGCCACUAUACUUAGAGACAUACACAUAAAUUAUAUACCAUGUUCCUGGUCCAGAUUUAUGGCCUCAUACAAACACUCCAGACAUUGAACCUCCUGUGUUCAAAGAAAAGGCAGGCAGAAAACAGACUGCAAGGAGGAAAGGGAAGUUUGAAGUUCCUGGCCCAAGAGACACCAGUAGGAUGGGGACAAUUAUCUAUGGAAAUUGUGGGUUGGAAGGACACAAGUAUACAAGUUGCAAUACGACUCUUAGGCCUAAGCUUCAAAUGAGGAAAAACAAACAUCAGGUAAUUACCAAGCAUGAGAGCAAUGUUUCCUUUUACAUGGUUUAAUAAAUCUAAUGAUUGUGAAGUUGGACCUUUUGUGCAAGAAAACAUGGCAAUUUUAUGCAGAUUCACCUGCUCAUCUGCUCCAGCACCAGGCCCAACUGCAUCAACACCAACACCAGCUCCUGCCGCAUCAGCACCAGCCCCUACUACAAGAGCUAAAAGGGGUAGGUCUGUAGGUGGAGGGAGAAACAAGGGAUUCAAUGCACCAAGAGCUGCUGCUGCAACUUUAGAUGUUUUGGCUGGUACCAAAAGGAAGAGGUUUGCAAACAACAAAUUAAAGGGUUACUUCUAUGCAAGUGGUAACUAUUGAAGUGACACAGUGGUAAGGAAGAACUUCUCUCUGUGGACCUGUUUGAAUUCGUUUUGAACAUGUAUGUACUUUUCUGCAUGAGUCUGUCUAAAUUAGUCUGCAUCUUAUCGAAUUUGCCAUGUACUUGAGCUGCUUGAAUGGGCCUGAUAGUGGGCUUUUGUGUUGGACCUAUCUUACCCCCAAGCCUGCCACACUGUCUACAUAAGACAAAGCCACUAGAUCCCUGUGCCUCAUUCCCCUUGACCAAAACCUAGCCGCGAGAAACCCACUAGAUCCAUAUUCUUGCCACAGAUGGAUCCACAGUUAGGAGAGGUAGUUGAUAAGCAAGAGGAGGUUGCUAGGGCUAAAAGAAGGGCCAACCGUCGAGCGCAGGCACAUGAGCAACAUCGAAGGAUUGCUGCCAUGAUUAUGGCACAACGCAACUAGAAUGACGCCAAGAAGUUCAACGAGGUGUUCCCAGAAGGAACCAACAUCACAGAUGAACUAAUCAUUUGGUGGGCCAGAGACAAGGCAUCCUUCAAUCGAUUCAAAGCAACAAGAAGAGAUGGACUCAGAUCCUGGCUACAGCUAAAGGAAGACAUGACUAGUUCAAUGCAGUAGUUUUUGUCUAAAUUAUGGUUUUAAAUAAUUGUUGUGGCUUUGUCUUGAUCUGAAUCUUGUUCAUCUUGAUAUGUAUGUGCAACUGUCUGAACUGCUAUACAAUAUUAUUGUUAGGUUGUCUGAAAUUGUUUGAACUUCCUGAAUGCAGUGAAGGAUGCAGCAAAGGAGAUGCAACAUCCAUGAUGAAGACGAUGCAAGGUGGCUGCACUUCCCCUUCUAUAUCUAGUUGAAAACUUGUUUUUAUGUUGAACAAUCUAUCUAUCUAUGUUUCUAUGUUUGGGUUGUUGUAAGAAAUCUAUGAUGACGAUGCUUAGUUUGUAAACUUGUUUGUAUGAUGACCAUGCCACAAUCUAUUUAAGUAUGAACUUAUGCCUGAAUCCCUAUAUCUGCAUUUCUCUGAAUAUUUCUGAAUGCUUGGACUUUGUUGUACUUUUUUUUUGCAGAAUUCCAAGUUUUUUUGUCACUCCAAUUUUUAAAAUACUUUGACCAUCAACUACUCCACUGAUUUAGCACAAGUUUCAACAAAGCCAUUAACUGCAACACAACUACCAGCAUUUCUCAUAACCCACUACUACUUCCCCACUGUCACACUCCACCGCACUUUCACUACUCCAACAUUGAAGUAGGCCGACAACUCACUCAAUCUCUGCUCAUUCUAUCUUCCUCUCCAAAAUCCCGGUCACAAGUAUCCUCCUACCUACAUUCAUGGUUGGUUCGUUCUCUAUGCGAGACCCAUGGUUGAACCCCUUCCCUGCCGACAAGGGUUGGGUUGCCAUGCUUCUUGAGUCAGCUCGCGGUGACCAAGACCUAUUCCUCGACUACAUGAAGAUUGCCAUGAGAUACAACAACACAGAAGGGCUUGUGGAUGCAUCAGAGGAGGUGAGGAAGAAGGCGAUGACUGAGGAGAAGCAACGCAUGGACCAGCGCUAUGGAACCCCACGUAAGGGGAUCCUGCCCAUCGACAUGCUGCUGUGGGCAAUGAAGGAGGCGGACUCCAACAAUGCUGGGUAGAGGCAACAGUGGGCAGCCCACCGCUAUAUCCCUCCUCCACAUGCUACCAAUACAAAAAAAGACACAUCCAUGACAUUUUGGGCCGAACGAUUUUUUUCUAUCAUGCUUAUGACACUUCUAUAACGAUAAUUGUGACAAAACCCAGUAUCAUCAUAGAUGUGGUGGGCUCCUACUUCUAUGACAAAAAAUGACAUAUAAUGGGCUUUUCGUCCUGGGCGGGCCGGAGACGCACAUGCAUGACAUUCUUUGGGCCGUCCAUGAUGAAAAAAAAACCGUGGUAGAAGCGAGGGCGAGGAAAAUAUCGGGGAGUCCCGGUUACGGUGGGUGGUCAGGGCCGAGCGAUGCAUGGAGGGAUUGAGCGUUUCUCUCGUACACGUACACGCGUGGGUGCGAGGCAUUGGGCUCUAACUGAAUCCGAGCGAGGCAUUCGCCUACUGAACCCGAGCGAUUGCACUGCAGGCUACGCGUUACUGAACCCGAGCAAUCGAUCGAUCUGACUGUUAAUUGAACCCGAUCGAGCGAUUCCUUCGCUACUACUACUAACUGAAGCCGGUCGAACCUGAUGCCUCUUGAUGAACAGUGCGCGUUGUUGGGGGUUGAAUGAACAGUUCCCGGCUGGGGGUGGAUGAACAGGACCCCGUGGAGGGCUGGAUGAACAGCAACCGGUGGAGGGCUGGUUAAAUAGUAGCUGGUGGAGGCUGGAUGAACAUGAGCUCGUGGAUGAACAAUAGCUGGUGGAGGCAGGAGGGAGACAUUGUGGAUGAACAAUCCCAGGUGGAGGCUGGAGGAGGUCGACGAUGGAUGAACAGUAGCCCGUGGAGGAUGGAGUGAGGCAGUAGACGGUGGAUGAACAGUAGCCGUGGAGUCCCAUUUUGCGGUACACCACACCCUCCCGAUGAAUAGGACCCCCGUUUCGACCGUAGGAGGUCGAAGAGAAGUCUGUUUCCUCCGUUUUACGGUACGCCACACCCCUUCCGAUCAAUAGGACCUUGUUUCAACUGUAGGAGAUUGAAGAGAAGUUCGUUUCCUCUGUUUUGCGGUAUGCCAGACCCCUCCCGGUGAACAAGAUCCCGUUUUGACCGUAGGCGGUCGAAUAGAAAGUCGUUUCCUCCGUUCUGCGGUACGCCAGGCCUCGUUUCGGCUGUUUCGUCCAAGCCGGUUGGCUCCCGAUGAACACGAUGCAUUCCGUUGCCUCCCAAUGAACACGACGCAAUUUCUCCAUUCCGACCUAGCCUGUUGGCUGCCGAUGAAUAGGACGCCGUCACUGCCCUCCGAUACCUCUCCAUGUACACGAUCCCUGGCAGUAUGUAUGCGCGAGUAGGCGUUCGAGACCCCGCCCGUAUUUACGUACGUGGCCGUAUUUUACUUUAUUGCAUCAUGACUGUAGGUAUGUGUACACGAUAUUGACGGGACUGCAUGACAUGCUACGUCCGCGCCUCUACUACUACACGUGCCCUUCCUUACUCAGCCACGGUUCAUCGCUGCAACCUGCAGACAGACCGAUCGACCAGUAUGUAUGUACAUGUUCGCGACCAGAAUGACAAUGCUACGUACACUUCGACCUGGUGGGUAUCGACUGUCAGGGAGGAUAAGGAGGCACUUUCUUGUGUGCGAAGAUAUAGCUGGUGGGUCCCAUCUGUUAGGGGGAGAAUCAUAUUUUUCCCCAUAAUAUGGACACACUUCCUUGCGUGCGAAGAUGUAGCUGGUGGGUCCCAGUAGUCAGGGGGGAACACUUUUUUCACGAAAUACGGUGGCCCGUCUGGUGGGUCCCUGUUGUCAGGUGGAGGAAUUAUUAUUUUAUGCGUAAUAAGGUUGCACUUCCUUGCUGUGGUUGUGGACCCAGCUGUCAGCCUCUCUAUAUGCAGUACUCUUCUGAUGGAAGUCGUUCCUUGACCACAUUGACCACGCCGCACCGAGAGCACCAAGGCGGUGGAUGACGGUGAGGCCUAGGAAGGGGACGACGCGGAGCCUGGGAAGACGCGGUAGUGGAUGCCCAUACAGAGAGGAGUACGAGGGUUGACUGGUUCGGCUGCGUUGUGAGGCCGCCGUCGCCACAGAAUAACAUGGGGUGUGGGUGAGUAGAGGGAUGGCCUGGCCAGUGGUGGGAGUAGUAGAGGCGGUAAGGCCUCUGCCGCAGCAUAGCCGGCCACGGGAGGCAGGAGCAGGCGACAGGACCGGUGCUGGUUUGGGCGGCUGGAGCAAGAAGACUAGAGGUUGAAAAAGCACUACGACCGUUGGAUGGACAUCGUAGGGUCACUAGAGCUAGAAUCGUUCAUAUUGACUAAGUUGACAAAGCCCUUCGUCCGUGUCAACUUAGUAGGCCCACAAGUCAGCCUCCCACUAUGGUGGGUCCCAGCUAGCAGGGGGAGUAUUCAUUUUUUAUGUGCGUAAUAACGAGGCACUUCCUUCCGUGCAAAGAUGUAGUUGGUGGGUCUGAGCUGUCAGCGGGGGAACAUUUUUUUCGCGAAAUACAGAGGCCCUUUUGGUGGGUCCCAGCUGUCAGGUGGAGGAAUCAUUAUUUUGUGCAUAAUAAGGAGGCAUUUACUUGUGUGUGGCUGUGGACCCAGCUGUCAGCCUCUCCACGUACAAUCCACUUCUGAUGGAUGUCGUUCGUUGACCACAUUGACCAUGCCGUGUCGAGAGCACCGGAGCGGUGGACGACGACAAGGCCUAGGAAGGGAACGACACGGAGCCGGGGAAGACUCGGCAGUGGUUGCCCACACAGUGAGGAGUACGAGGGUUUACUGGUUCGGCUGCUGUUGAGGAUAUCACUACUGGGCGUAAACCGGCCUAUCUGGGCCGGGUUAACUUCUUCAGUAGUUAACUAUGUUGAAACCCAAGAAGGCAGAUGAGGGCUCAAGGCCCAUAGCCGGUUCAAGGCCUGUAGCCGUAAACCGGCGUUGGUAUGUAACUUGUAUUGUAAGUUAGGAAUAAGUAGAGACCAAACUAGACACAUCUAUGAGCCGGUAUUGGGAAUCUGUGAACCGAUGGGCGUCACCCAUGUAUAUAAGGGGACGACCCGGCGACGAUUCAGACAAGAGACAACAACUCGAGAGAUAGGCGAAGCUUGUUUGCUCCCUAGUCAUUGAAACCCCAUCAAUCCCAUCACAACUAGACGUAGGCUUUUACCUUCAUCGAAGGGGCCGAACUAGUAUAAACUCUCUUGCGUCCCUGUGUCCGCUUUAACCCCUUCAAGCUAACCCGUUGCGAUGGCUCCAUGACUAAGUCCUUUCUCUAGGACAUCUGUCGUGACAAAACCACGACAGUUGGCGCCCACCGUGGGGCUAUCGCACGAUGGUUUCAAGUUCUUGGAGGGCCGCUUUGAAGGACUCAAGGGUUACGCUGUGGGCCGGAUGACUAAGAGUCGUCGUGGCAAGCUCUACAUCGAUGAUGCAGGCUGGGGCCCCGAGGCUGGCUCAGUUGAGUACGGGUACCGGGUCCCCUUUGGUGGCAUACACGUUUUCAUCAGCAAGAUCGGAGAACCGGGCCCUGAGCCGGACAUUUGCACCGACCUCGUCAAAACGGCUCAGCGUGCGCGAUCCGCCCGGGUUAAACCGGCCGUGAAGCGUGCCUUCGUGGGAGUCAUCCAUGGAGGAAGUUAUGAGGAUGGAUCGGAAUCUCGCGGCGAGACCGUCGUUUAUUCCGGCGAUGAGUCAUCAACCGGAGAAACCGAAUCUCUAUAUCAGCUACAAGAUGGCCGGAUUGGGGGCUGUUCCGAUGGCGACAGUAUUCUGGACCCCUCUGAUCAACCCAACCGAGUUGGAAUAUUCAUGGCCGGCACACAAGCAGCGCUUCAUUCUUCAACCGCUGUGCCAAUAACCUCCGGUUUAGUAGCGGCGACAGCUGCCAGGGCAGGAAGCUUUGAACGCCCGCCGGCUCAAGUUCUAUCAGAUCUAUUUGAUGCAUUGGCUGCACUUAUGACAGAAGCUAAUCCGGCGGAUCAGGAAGUCCACAACGCGGAGAUUGCAAAGGUGAAGGAACAGAUCACCCAGGCCAAGGCGGACCUGGCAGCUGAGAAUGCCAGGAUGACCACAGAGCGGGCCGCUUUAGACGCACAAGCCUACACGCUCAUGUUGGACCAGAACGCGUCGCAUGAAGUCAUGAGGAGGAAGUACCGACCCCGUUUGCCUUCGGUUUUCGAGGCCAGAGACCUUUUCAACACCCCAGGAGCAGGAACCAGUAAUCCGCUGGAGGGGAACCGGGCGGAAGCUCCUGGGACCGGUGUGCCGGUUCAGCCCCGUCUGAUGGAUCUGCCUCGUCAAAACACUGUUAUACCUCAGGCUGUUUCAACACCUCCGGGUCACUACUCCAACCCAAUGGACAAUCUUGUUGCCGCUGCUGCACGGCUGGAGGCCAUUCCAAUUGAAGGUGACUCACCGCAGGCGAUAGAGACGCGAUGGGUCAAGGAGCUUCUUAGGACAGCUUUGGACCAACAGGAAGCAUACUCAUACAGCCGCGACCGGAUCCACUCGAUCCCUCGCCCAAGCCAGAGCUAUAGCAGGCGUAUGGAUGAACCGGCAGUGUCAAGCAAUGAACGACAUGGAGCACCCCGCGGCAAUGACCCGGCGGGUGGUUCUGAUAACGCUCAGGAGGUGGUGGACCGGGCCCGAGCACGCAGGGAGGCCGAGUUAGCCGCACAGUAUCAGGCUCGGCAGCUUACGCCGGUUCGUCCAACUAUCUCGGUCGAACCCGGUGUUACUUCUAUUUCUUUGGGGGUGCCUUGCCUUUUCCCCGCUUUACGCAAUGUGCGCCUGCCCAAGGAUUUCAAGGGCCCGCGCAAGGUACCAAAUUACACGGCGGAUCAACCCCCAGAGACGUGGGUGGAGAGCUAUGAGAUGGCCAUGGAGAUGCUUGAUGUGGAUGAUGCGGCAUGUGCGAAGUACUUCACCAUGAUGCUUGAAUGAACGGCCCGCACUUGGUUAAAAAGCUUACCGGCCAACUCUAUCAGUUCAUGGGCCCAAUUACGAGCCCGGUUUAUCAGUAAUUUCAAGGAUACAUGUGAGCAGCCUAUGUCGAUAGUGGACUUAGCUGCCUGUGUCCAGGAGGAAGGAGAAUCAACAACUCAUUGGGUGCGCCGGGUCUCACAAGUGUUGCAUUCAUCAAACCACAUCAAAGCUGACACCGCAGUCUUAACCCUAGAAGGCAACUGCCGGUUUGGGCCCCUAAAGCCGAAGUUGGGAUGGAUGAAGCGCCAUUGCACUGACAAGGGGACCCUCAUGGCUGCUUUGGUAAAGUAUGCUGAUUCUGAUAGUACCAAGGAUCCCGAAUCUGAUAAUGACAAGGCAGGGAAGGGAAAGAGGAACAACAACUCCAAAGGUCAGUAGCAUCACUUGGCAGGCAAUGGUGGCGGAGGCAAGCAUAAAGCGGAUGGUAACAUGGACUUUGUGGCUAAUACCAAUGCGCAGGACAAGGGCCAGCGAUGCAAGGGUAAACCGUCAAAUCGCAGUGGGGGACCCAACCCUAACCCAGACCGCCUAAAUUAUCUACUGAGCCAGCCCUGUCCAAGACAUGGGACGAAGGAGGUGCCAGCAAACCACCUUUGGAAGGAUUGCUUCAUUAUGCAGGAGUUCAAGAAUUCUAAUGUUUUCCGGUAUGAUCACGGCUCCGGCGGUGGCUCAACAUCCGGGCCGGGUUACGGUGGAGGAAAUUCUGGUUCAGGAUUUAAUGGUAAUCCGGGCGGACAUAAUAAUCAAAAUAAUCAGAACAACCAAGGUGGUUACAACCAGCAGCAGCAACAGUCAGGUUACCAGAGCAACCCAAAGCAGUUGAAUAGUGGGUAGUACCAUGUCUUCACCACUAGCUUGGACAAGCGAGACCGGAAGGUUCAGAGGCGGGCAGUCAACUCUGUUGAACCGGCCGUGCCCCAUUAUUUACGCUGGUCUGAACAACCAAUCAUAUGGAGCAGAGAGGAUCACCCUCCCCAGGUUGAUAAUCCGGGUCAGUUGGCUCUGGUGGUGGCGCCUCAGGUGGGAGGUUACAAGUUCACCAAAGUGCUCAUGGAUGGAGGGAGCAACAUUAAUAUCUUGUACUAUGAGACCUUCCAUCGUAUGGGACUAACAGAUAAAAAUCUCAAACCGUCUAAUACGGUGUUCCACGGUGUGGUACCUGGCAAGUCAGCAUAUCCUGUUGGUAAGAUAGCUCUGGAAGUGGCCUUUGGAGAUGAUCAUGAUUCCAGGUCGGAAACAUUGACGUUUGAAGUGGUGAAAAUCCAAAGUUCAUAUCACGCCCUGUUUGGGCGACCGGCCUACGCCAAGUUUAUGGCACAGCCCUGUUAUGUGUAUUUGCAGCUCAAAAUGCCAGGUCACAAGGGGACAAUAACGGUUCAUGGAAGCCGUAAAAUCACUUUGGAGUGCAAGGAAGGAGAUGCGGCCUACACAGAGUCGGUUUGUGCCACCAAGGAGCUGAAGUAUUAUAAGGACAAUGUUGAUCCGGCGGACAUGACUUCAUUAAAGAAGCCAACUACGGAGCAUGAUCCGGCCUUGAAGUUCAAAUCGGCAGCAGAAACUAAGCUUGUUGACUUCGUACCUGGCGAUUCAUCCAAGCAGUUCAGCAUCAGUGCCAACUUGGAUCCGAAAUAGGAAAGCGCGCUCAUCAAGUUCAUCCGUGAGAAUCGGGACAUUUUUGCAUGGAAACCCUCUGACAUGCCAGGUGUACCAAGGCAACUCGCUGAGCACAUCCUUAAUGUGGAUCCUAAAUACAAACCGGUGAAACAGUUCCUCCGCCGGUUUAACGAAGAAAGACGCAAGGCGAUUGGAGAAGAGGUAGCCAGGCUCUUAGCAGCUGGCUUUAUUGUUGAAGUUUUUCACCCUGAGUGGCUUGCCAAUCCGGUGCUGGUCCUUAAGAAAAAUGGCACCUGGCGCAUGUGUGUGGAUUAUACAGAUCUUAAUAAGGCUUGUCCAGCAGAUCCUUUUGCCCUCCCCCGUAUUGAUCAAAUUAUUGAUGCUACGGCGGGUUGCGAGCGUUUAAGUUCUUUGGAUGCAUAUUCUGGCUAUCAUCAGAUCAAAAUGGCAGUUAAGGACCAGGAGAAGACGACAUUCAUAACUCCCUUUGGAGCCUUCUGCUAUGUGUCUAUGCCCUUUGGGCUCAAGAGUGCCCAGGCAACUUAUCAACGGUGUGUACAAAAUUGUCUUCACAAGCAAAUUGGUCGUAAUGUACAUGCUUACGUGGAUGAUAUCGUGGUUAAGUCCAGGGAGAAGGAAACUUUGGUUGACGACUUGAAGGAAACCUUUGAUAACCUGAGGACGUACAAGAUGAUGCUUAAUCCGGCCAAGUGUGUCUUUGGUGUACCGGCAGGCAAGUUAUUGGGUUUUCUGGUGUCCAACAGGGGAAUUGAGGCUAAUUCGGAGAAGAUCACAACCAUCACCUCCCUGGCUAAACCAAAGUGUAUUAAUGAUGUUCAAUGCCUAGCAGGCCGGAUUGCCGCGUUAAGCCGGUUUAUCAGCCGCCUUGGUGAGAAGGCAAUCCCUUUGUAUCAGAUGUUGAAGAAGACGGAUCAAUUCGUCUGGAGUUCCGCUGCUGAUGAAGCAUUUGAGGACUUAAAGCAGCAAUUGGUUAAUCCGCCUGUGCUCGCCGCUCCCAUUGACAAGGAGCCGUUACUGCUAUAUGUUGCUGCUAAUGCUCGUGCGGUCAGCGUGGCUAUUGUGGUGGAGCGAAAGGAGGCAGGUAAGGAGCAUCCAGUUCAACGUCCGGUCUAUUAUAUCAGCGAGGUACUCAUUGAGUCCAAGCAAAGGUAUCCUCAUUGGCAGAAGCUGGUGUACAGAGUUUUUAUGGCAAGCCGGUAGCUUAAGCAAUACUUCCAAGGGCACCCAAUUACAGUGGUCAGUUCUGCUCCUUUGGGGGAUAUCAUCCAGAACCGGGAAGCGACUGACCGGAUUGCCAAGUGGGCUAUAGAGCUUGGGCCGCACGGAUUGAAGUAUGUGCCUCGGACGGCGGUUAAGUCUCAAGCACUUGUUGAUUUCAUCAAUGAUUGGACGGAACUGCAAGCACCUGAAGAAAAGCCGGAUCACACAUAUUGGACCAUCCAUUUUGACGGAUCCAGGCAAUUGGAAGGCUCGGGGGCUGGAGUCGUAUUAACUUCCCCAUGAGUUGAUAAGUUUUGUUAUGUUCUCCGCUUAAUGUUCCCUUGUACUAACAAUGCAACUGAGUAUGAAGCCUUGCUCCAUGGUGUCCGGAUGGCUAAGGAGAUGAAUCUAAGUCGAGUUAAGUGCUUCGGUGACUCGGACCUCGUGGCUCAACAAGUAUCUGGCACUUGGGAUUCCAAGGACCCACUCAUGGCAGCGUAUCGUCGUGAGGUGGAUAUUGUUGCAGGUCACAUUAAAGACUAUCAGGUGGACCACGUGGACCGACGGAAGAAUGAAGCGGCGGACACUUUAAGCCGGCUGGGCUCUCAGCGCAAACCGGUCCCGCCCAAUGUUUUUCUCGAUGUGCUGCACAACCCGUCGGUCAAGCUCCCUGGUGAAGCGGAUUUGGCUAUUCCUGAUCCGGAGGCUCAAUUGGUGGCAGCUCUUCAUGUCAUUCCGGAUUGGACGCUUCCUUACCUGGCGUACAUGAACUGGGGCGAGUUACCAGAGGAUGAGACUCUGGCCCGACAGAUAAUCCGGCGGUCCAAGUCCAUGACUAUUGUCAAUGGUGAGUUACAUCAUUGCAGUGUGUCAGGGGCGUUUCAACGCUGUGUGUCUCCUGAAGAAGGCUGUGAAAUUUUGCGUGAGAUCCACGAAGGAGAUUGUGGUCACCACGCCGGUUCAAAAUCUUUGGUAGCUAAAGCGUUUCGCCAUGGCUUCUAUUGGUUAACUGCUCAUGCUGAUGCGGAGGAUCUGGUCAGACGGUGUGACGGUUGCCAAAAGUUUUCAAGACGUGCUCAUGUGCCGGCUCAAGAAUUGAGAAUGAUUCCAAUUACUUGGCCGUUUGUGACUUGGGGGCUGGAUAUGGUUGGGCCUUUCAAAAGGUCCAAAGAUAAGAAGACCCACCUCCUGGUGGCGGUUGACAAGUUUACAAAGUGGGUGGAAGCAGAACCUGUUAGCAAGUGUGAUGCGGCCACAGCGGUUCAGUUCAUCAAAAAAGUGAUUUUCCGGUUUGGCUUUCCACACAGUAUCAUCACGGAUAAUGGUACCAAUUUGUCCAAGGGUGCCAUGAAGGAGUUCUGCGAACGGGAGCACAUCCGGCUUGACGUUUCAUCAGUGGCACACCCACAAUCCAAUGGUCAAGCACAAAGAGCUAAUCAAGAGAUCUUGAGAGGCAUCAAGCCCCGGCUUAUGGUUCCUUUGCAAAGAACGCCGGGUUGUUGGGUAGAAGAGUUACCAUCUGUGUUAUGGAGCAUCAAUACUACACCUAACAGACCAACAGUAUACACGCCCUUCUUCAUGGUCUACGGAGCGGAGGCGAUUCUCCCGAGUGAUAUCCGUCAUGACUCACCUCGUGUGGCGGCUUAUGUUAAAGCGGACAACGAGACAACACGACAAGACGCUUUAGACCUGUUGGAUGAAGAACGUGACAUAGCAGCCGCCCACUCGGCGAUUUACCAACAGGAUCUUCGUCGUUAUCACAGUCGCCGAGUCAGAACCAGAGCCUUUCAGGAAGGAGAUUUGGUGCUUCGGCUCAUUCAAGACCAGACUGAUAUGCAUAAGCUAUCCCCACCUCGGGAGGGACCUUUCGUGGUCAGCAAGAAUCUGCACAACGGGUCAUACUAUAUGAUCGAUAUUCGAGAGCAUAAAGACUCACUCACAUCAGAGGAAGAGACCAACAGGCCGUGGAACAUAGCUCAUCUUCGGCCUUACUAUACCUGAGCCAUUGGCUCUACUUAUGUACAUAUUACGACGAUGUAUAUAUUAUGAUUAAAUAUAAUAAACCGGAACCUCAGCUAAAGCGGGGUAUCUGUCCUUUUACAUCAUGUGUGGUUACACGGAGUUGUUCUAAAGCGGCCUCCGGUUUACCCCUUGAGUUAGCUUUUCAAAAGAAUCAUGUUAUAUCACUUGGGGGCUUGGUCGUGUCCGAACCAGUGCAACACCUCUUGAUAGGCGAGAGCCACCAGAUCACUUGGGGACUUGGUCACGUAUGAACCAGUCACGCCUCUUGAUCGGCCUAAGGCCACAGAAUCACCUAGGGGCUUGGUCGAACCCGAACCAUUGCCACGCCUCUUGAUCGACAUAAAUGCCACGGUUUCAUUUGGGGACCUGGCUGACUUGAACCAUAGCUACACCUAUCGGGAGCUUGGUCAUGUCCGACCAUGGUAACGCCAUUUGAUAGGCUCAAAUAAGCCUCUUUUUGCAAAUGGUUUUAUCAUUGCCUUUGCUUCACAAUUUUCUUUGAUCGAUAUUUCUUUCUUUUUGUUGCGUUUUUUUAAACCGACAAAAUUUUAAAACCGGUUCAUACUGUCAAUUGACGGAACACGGUUCAUUUUUAAUCCGGAGACUAUUUGCCCAGUUUGAUUUUUUUGUUAACAUCCUAUUACGGAGUAACAUGGUGCUUUAUUAUAACCCGGCACGGUUUACAUGGUAAACCGGCAUUAUAUAUAUACAGGAGCUGCUAUCUCCUCCAACAGUGUGGGUUUAUGAAACCUCCGUUUCAAGAUUGGCUAAGCCAACUUCAUGCCCAACGAUGGCAGGUAUCAUGUAUCUCAAAGAUUUGAUCAUAUUCUUACAUUUCAGAUAUUUUGAUUUCACAUAUGCAGACAUCAUACUCCGCCUGACGGUACAACCGCGGUGGCACUUUAAGAUUUUUAUAUUGCAGAAAAUACUUUGGAAAGUUCAUCACCCAAAGGAAGAACAAGUUGCAGUAAUUAUGCAUGAAGGCAUAUCAAAAUCAAGAGUAUCGGCUAGCCUAUUACAAGGCAACACGGUGCCCAAAACAAGAUCAUUGUUUUUUUAGAGAAGCAGUUUAAACCGGCUUCCGGUUCAAGCUUGGUCACCAGCCUGGCCUGAUGGUUGUGGGUCAUCUCGCGCUGCUUCAACUUCAGUUUCUCUACCCAGCGGCUGGAAACCAACAAUUGUCCAGUCGAUUCCCAUUAAUGCUCGAAAGACAGCUUCAUCAUGGAUCAGCAAUGACGGUUCAAUAUUGGGAGCGUAAGUAUGCUUACGGAUUGGAGGGAUAAGAUUUUCCGCUUCAUGAAUUGGUGCAGCUACUCGCUUGUUUUGAUUAUCAUAUUGGGUUUGAUAAUGAGACAAGUCUGCUUCUUCAGCCAAUUGACAAGCUAGCGGACGCACCUCCCGGUUUAUUGCUCGUAGAUCCGCUUCACUAAACUCUGACCUGUCUUCCUUCAAGCUGGGAUAGCCCUGAGCUGCUUCAAUAGGAUCAAAAUCCGGCACCCAAGCUUUUCCUGGAUUAAGGCAUUGAUCGCACCGGUUCGAGCAUCAGAUUUAUUCAGCUCUUCAACCCGGGCAGGAAGCACCGACAGUUUCUGCAGAGUGUCCUGAAUCAAAGUGGGCGCCGGCUUGUUGUGGGAUGCAGUACAGAUGAUCCGCUGUGCACCAGUGUACAUUUGUUCGAUCAACGUAUAGGCGGCUUUCAAUUUCUUCCGCACAUCUGACCCCAAAUGACCAAUGCGUGUCCCUGAAAUAUCACAAAGGGUUAACAAACCGGUAGCUCUGUAAGACGGCAGAAUCAAUUCAGAAAUCAAACCAGCUUACCAAAGAUAGCAGCGGUCAUGGCAUGCAUGUGCCGCUUUAUGCUGGUCAGUUCAUCCACCACCGGUUUUAGUGCAGCCUCGGCGUCUUCUGCUCGUUUGGUUAAAGCGGAUUUUUUAGUAGCCCAAUCCGCUCGCUCCUUCUUGAAAUCCUUCUUAAGCUGUUCCAUGACGCUUAAGGCACUGGUCAACUCCUCUUUUACUUUUGAGGUUUUAGUCUAUUGGGACUUCAGAUUUUCUUGGAGGUCGGCGAUUUGGGUCUCUUUUGUCUUCAGCUCAGCCUGCAUACAGACAAUUAUAUGAUUUAGCAAGCAGUGCAAGAAUUGAAGCACCAACCACAUAACAAGUUAUGCACUUGGCGCUUGGGGGCUAAUGCCUAUUUGAUCUUCAUAUUUCACUUGAUUAUAAAGUCCCAAGCUCAAUACAAGUAUUCAACUUGGCACUUGGGGGCUAAUGGCUAUUUGUUCAAAUAAGUUCUGAUGCGGCGAUAUUAAUUACUUAAGUCCCGGUUUAACUACACUAAGUUGAACCGGCCCUUGGGGGUUACAUUAGCGAAUUUCGAGGCAUUAAGAUUUAUAUUAGUAAGUCUCGGUUUGAAAUAAGAUUACAAACCGGUCCUUGGGGGCUAGGCGAGUCAGCAAGAAUUGAAGCAUACAAGCAGGAAAGAGCAUAUGGAAGUUACCUCAUAUUUAUCUUUCAUCAUGUUAAGCAGACCAGCUUCAUAGUCACGACUGGUAUACAGCCGGUUCAGAUAGCCGGAAUGGAUGUCUUGGGCGUUCAGAGCAGCGUAAGUCGCCAGAUCAACAUUCCACUUGCCCUUGCCAAAGGCAGCAAAUUCUUCCUUGGCAGUAUGUUUAGACAAAGCGACAGGAUUGCUUGGCUCUGUAUGGCCAAUGCCAGUAAUAACAACUUCAUCAUCCUUGGCGUCGCCGGUUUGCAUUGGGGCCGUUAGUUUAUCAGUAGACUUGGAUGGACUGGUGGAUUUCUCAAUCCGGAUGGGGCUUCUGGGCUGGUCAACAGGACCGGAGGUAUCAACAUGUCUCUCUUCAGUAAUAAAAUCAUCAUCUUGUGGUGGUGGGUCGUUUGGCACAUCCUCACGGAUGGCCGCUUCAGGGUUGAGUACUCUGUCUGGUUCAGGAAUAGCGUCUUCUUCAGCCGCUUUAUCUAGGCGAGCCUUCUUGCUUGGCUUAGGCUUGGCCCUGAAGGGAGUAACAAAGGUCAGUAUAGUAUAUGCUACAAAGUAAUACACCAGAAGCAUUAUGAUAAGUAUGGCUUACCCAAGCACCGUUUUGAGCGGCGGUAGCUGGGUAGCUGAUGACUCGCCAGAUGAUGAAUGAUAAGUGACCUGAUAAUCGGAGUCAGACGGAUUAAGAGGUUGAUGAAAACAGCCUAUUUUAGGACAAGCACUGACAGGAAAAUUAGAGACCUCUGAAUGGCGUUUCCGAACCGGACUAUUUGGUAAACCGGCGGAGGUAACUACCUGGCCACUAUGCCGGGUCGUGCGGCGAGCUUCGUGCUGUUGGGUCUUCAUAAGAAAUUUGGGAUCCAAGUAAGCAAGAGGAUGAGAAAAUUUAACCUUCCGGUUUGCCUGACGGAUUUUUAGUGAAGGCAAAGGAUCUGAAUCGGAGGAAAGAAUAAUUACCUCUGCAACAUCAGCAUGACUGGCUUCGGCAUCAUCCUGACAAAUAUCAUCAUCAAUAAGGCGCGUGAAAAAUAAGCCAAGUGAAUCAAGUUCUACCUCAAGGUCCGGGUUACCCACAUCCUCAUCAGCGGCCGGAUCAGAGGAUGCAGUGGUUCUUUUCCUGUGGGUAGUCUUCUUCACAGCUUUAGUCUUUUGCCGGAUUGAUCUUUCUGGUUUGUCUGAUUUUUCUGGUUUCUCCUGCGGCAGUUUCUUGCUCCAAAACGGAUCAUUGCCCUGUUUAAACAAGCAUUGAUAUUAAACAAUGACCAUAUAUAUCAAUAACAGGUUCAGAAAAAAGAACAAUCAAACUCUUACAGCUGGCGGUUUGUUGGUGGCACAGAAGGGAAGCAGGCCGGUUCGAGCAUAGACGUGUUCCGAUUCAUUCAGCAUUUUAUUCACAGCCUCUGUGAUUUCUUCGUAGGUAAGCUGGAUGUUAGCAUGUCGCAAUGGGUCAUCAACACUGCCAGUAUACUCGCACAUCAAACCGGAGCGCUGACUAAGGGGCAGUAUGCUCCAUGAUAUCCAACAGCGAGUGAGAUCAACUCCUGUUAAACCAUUGGCCAUGAAGGCUCUGAGCUUGGACAGUUGAGGAGCGUAUUUGCUUCUCUCCUUGGCAGUCAACCUUUGCGGAAAGGGGUGUGUAUUGCUAAGCCGCUCCGGGCGAAAGCCAGGCAAAGGAUUUUCACCAGCAGGGGAGGUGUCUCUGCAAUAGAACCAUGUUUGAUUCCACUCUUUGGGGUGGCUGUGCAUCUUGGCAUGAGGGUAUGUGACCUCUUUCCUUUUCUGAAUCGCCACACCGCCCAAUUCCGUAUUGGAACCGUCAGAAAACUCAGUACGGCGGUUUAGAUGGAAACAAUCUCUGAACAACUCCACUGUGGGCUCCUCUUGAAAAAACACCUCAUAGAGCACCUGGAAGUGACACAUGUUUGUAACAGAAUUGGGACCAGUGUCUUGUGGGUGGAGUUGAAAAUCGGCUAAAACAUCCCGGUAAAAUUUAGAACCGGGCGGCUUAAAGCCCCGGGCUAAGUGAUCUACGAAAACGACGACCUCUCCUUCUUGAGGUGUGGGAGGGCAUUCUUUGCCAGGAUCUCUCCAAUGGAUGGUGUUUUUGCUGCCUAAAGCACCAAUCGGGACUAAAUUAUUCAGUUGAGUCUCUGUGACGCGAGAAGGAACCCAUUUGCACUCAUAUACUUUCUUGGCCAUGAUGAAAUCUACAAGAUAGGUAAUUCCGGUUCAAGAAUGAAUUUAUUAAAGUGCACUGGUAUGUACAAUGUUAAACCAGAGACAGCUCUAUCUAAACCGGAGUUUUAUGAAGCAACAACAUCUGGCAGUUCAACAAGGGGACUAAUGGUAUAUACCGGUUUGGCACUUUUUCUACAAAGUUAAACCGCCAGAUCUAAGCAUUGAAACAGUUGAGAUUGCAAAUAGAUAAGUGUACAGAAACAGAUUUCACAAGAUUUCUCUACAGCGACGGAUCUGAAGCAAGUUUAGAAAAGAAGGAAAAUAUUCAAGGUUCAAAAAAGAACAGUAGCGAAUCAAUGGGCAGCGAUACAGGUAGAUCUAUGGUCUUGAGGCAUAUAAGUAAAGGCGGAUGCUAAGAACUACCGCUACACAGAGCAAAGGUUCACAGGUUCAUCUAGGAUCUAUCAUAUGAGUAUGAAGCAGACGAUGAACACUAAAGAACUUGGAAACCCUAGAACGGAUCUACAGAGGAAAAGGUGAAGAACUCACCGGAGCCGAGGAAGAAACAGAAGGUCGCCGCGAUGCUCUGGUACAAUCAGGGUGAUGCAGCGGCCAAGGUUGGAGCAGAAGUCAUCGACGGCGGCGGAGCUCCGAAGCUGGACGACGCGGGGAAGACGAAGCAGAAGGGCACGAAGGGGAAAAAAGAAAUAACCCUUCGGUCUUAUUUAUAAGGCAAGGGGCAUGUGUCAGGUGCGAAAAUCAAGGGACCGUGGGUCUAGAAACGGAGCUGUCGCCUCGAUUGUUGCAGACCUAUUAAACAAAAAAGGUAUCAUGGAUAAGUUUCUUUAUAACAGGUGACGUCAUGCCGGUUUACAACGACCAGAGAAGAUGACAUCACGGUGAUUCAACAAACUACAAGAAGGUGUUGAAGAUGAAGAUUUUUGCUAAGGAUUGACAUGAACCUGUUCAAAUCAAUCUGGGGCCUAAUGUUGAGGAUAUCACUACUGGGCGUAAACCGGCCUAUCUGGGCCGGGUUAACUUCUUCAGUAGUUAACUAUGUUGAAACCCAAGAAGGCAGAUGAGGGCUCAAGGCCCAUAGUCGGUUCAAGGCCUGUAGCCGUAAACCGGCAUUGGUAUGUAACUUGUAUUGUAAGUUAGGAAUAAGUAGAGACCAAACCGGACACAUCUAUGAGCCGGUAUUGGGAAUCUGUGAGCCGAUGGGCGUCACCCGUGUAUAUAAGGGGACGACCCAGCGGCGGUUCAGACAAGAGACAACAACUCGAGAGAUAGGCGAAGCUUGUUUGCUCCCUAGUCAUCGAAACCCCAUCAAUCCCAUCACAACUAGACGUAGGCUUUUACCUUCAUCGAAGGGGCCGAACUAGUAUAAACUCUCUUGCGUCCCUGUGUCCGCUUUAACCCCUUCAAGCUAACCCGUCAUGAUGGCUCCACGACUAAGUCCUUUCUCUAGGACAUCUGCCUUGACAAAACCACGACAGCUGCCGUCACCGAAAAAUAACAGGAGGUGUGCGUGACUAGAGGAAUGGCCUGGCCAGCGAUGGAGUAGGGUGGGGCAGUGCGGCCUGUGCGGCAACACAGCCGACCAUGGGAGGUGGGAGCAGGUAGUCCCACCGGCGCUGGUUUGGGCAGCCGGAGCAAGAAGAUCAGAUAUUGAAGAAGUAGCACGACCGUUGGAUUAACAUCCCACGGUCACUGCUGCUAGAAUCGUUUGUGGACUAAGUUGACAAAGCCUUUCGUACAUGUCAACCUAGUAGACCCACAAGUCAGCCUCCAAAUCUAUCCCAAACAACAUACAACCCGAAAUUUCUAGCCAGAUUUAAAUUAAUUUAAAAACUAAACAUACCUUAAUUUAAAUCCAAUGAACUUUUACCCGCGCAAAAAUAAUGAAAUUUAAAAUAUCAAAAUCCGAAAGAAAAAAGUAUUUUUGGAACUAAUUGCCUGUUUGCUGUAUUUUUUUAUUUUACAACACAUUUAUAAUUACUCAUACCCCAUUUCUUAUUACUUAUAGCCCAUUUUCUGGGCAAGCCUAAAUGCAUCCCUCCUCGUCUUGAAAGAUUUGCAGCCCAGCAGGGCCUAGAAAAGCAAGUAGGCCUACGUUGGUUAUUCUGCAAAAAACAAAAUAGCUGGGCUAGCCAUUUUCAGAAAGGAAAAAACUAGGCUGGUCAUGUGAUAAACAUAUGAAAUAAAAGCCUCGGCUAGACGGGCCACAGCUCCCGCACAACCCAGUUGAUAUGCUUCUUCGUCUCAGAAAAAAACUGUGUGCGCUGCUGGGUCCCUACUGUCAUCCUCACCAUGUACAGUCAUCUCCUUAUUCCUCUCAAUUGUUGACCAUGUUGACAACACCGGAGGGCGGCGCCGUGGCGAGUGAACCAAGGAGGAGGACGAUGGUGAGGCCUCGGACGAGAACGAACAUGAGGCAGUGAAGAUGCGCAGAGUUUUAGGGUGCGAUGUGGCCAUGAUGCGUGCGUGGCAGCACAGCUAGCCGUGGGAGGCGGGAGCAGGCGGUCCCGCCGGCUGUAGGAUCGAAAGUAUGUCUAGGGGGGGGGGUGAUUAGACUACUUGACCAAAUAAAAAUCUAGCCUUUUCCCAAUUUUAGUUCUUGGCAGAUUUUAGCAACUUUGCACAAGUCAAGCAAUCAACCUACACAUGCAAUUCUAACAGUAUAGCAGCGGAAUGUAAAACAAUUGCAUAUGAAGGUAAAGGGAGGAGUUUGAAGGGAGCAAACGCAAUAUAGACACGAAGAUUUUUGGCGUGGUUCCGAUAGGUGGUGCUAUCGUACAUCCACGUUGCUGAAGACUUCAACCCAAGAAGGGUAAUAGUUGUGCGAGUCCACGGAGGGCUCCACCCACGAAGGGUCCACGAAGAAGCAACCUUGUCUAUCCCACCAUGGCCGUCGCCCACGAAGGACUUGCCUCACUCGGGUAGAUCUUCACGAAGUAGGCGAUCUCCUUGCCCUUACAAACUCCUUGGUUCAACUCCACAAUCUUGACGGAGGCUCCCAAGUGACACCUAACCAAUCUAGGAGACACCACUCUCCAAGAGGUAACAAAUGGUGUGUUGAUGAUGAACUCCUUGCUCUUGUGCUUCAAAUGAUAGUCUCCCCAACACUCAACUCUCUCUCAUAGGAUUGGAUUUGGUGGAAAAAAGAUUUGAGUGGAAAGCAACUUGGGGAAGGCUAGAGAUCAAGAUUUAUGUGGUUGGAAUGGAAUAUCUUGACCUCAACACAAGUGCAGGUGGUUCUCUCUCAGGAAAUGUAUGUUGGAAGUGUAGGCAAGUUCUGAUGGCUCUCUCCAUGAAUGAAGAGUGGGUGGAUGGGUAUAUAUAGCCUCCUCAAAAAUCUAACAAUUACACACAAAUCACCAAACUCGGUGGGACCGAUUCAAAGAACUCGGUCAGACCGAUUUAGUUCGAAAUGUAAACGUUAGGAUUUUUGGUGGGACCGACACGUCAACUCGGUGGGACCGAUUUCGUUAGGGUUAGGGCAUAAUGUAAUCUCGGUGAGACCGAUUACACAAACUCGAUGGGACCGAUUUUGGUAAUAGACUAACCAGAGAGUUGGUCAGGCAAACUCGGUGGGACCAAUUCGCUCAUCUCGGUUGGACCGAAACGUUACAAAGGGAAACAGAGAGUUUGCAUUGCAAUCUCGGUUGGGCCGAAACGUUACGAAGGGAAACAGAGAGAUUACAAUCCCAUCUCGGUGAGACCGAGAUCCCUAUCAGUGAGGCCGAAAAGACUAGGGUUUCUGGCAGUGGCUAUGUCAAGAGAACUCGGUGGCGCCGAAUAGAAAAUUUUGGUGGGGCCGAGUUUAACUUUUGGUUUGGGACAUAUGUGGAUAUGAGAAAGUAGUUGAGGGCUUUGGAUCAUAUCACUAAGCAUUUUGAGCAAGAACCUCAUUAAGCAGCAUCUCACCCCCUCUUGAUAGUAUUGGCUUUUCCUAUGGACUCAAUGUGAUCUUGGAUCACUAAAAUGAAAAAUCUAGAGUCUUGUGCUUUGAGCUUGAGCCAAUCCUUUUGUCCCUGGCAUUUUGAGGGGUCCACUUUUCUAAUCCAUGCCAUGCCAAUCAUUGAGCUUUCCUGAAAUAUUUAUCUUGAAAUAGCAUUAGCUCAAUGAGCUAUAUGUUCUUAGGAAUUACCAAAACCACCCAGGGAUAGUUGCACUUUCAAUCCCCCCCUUUUUGGUAAUUGAUGACAACAUAUAGAUCAAAGCUCUGACAAAUGAUAAUAAGAUUGAAGUACAUCGUCGCUUUGAGAAGUAUGUGAUAAGCAAGAGCUCCCCCUAAAUUUGUGCAUUAUUUAAAAUUUUCUUUUGAAUGCAAAUGCACAAUCGAUUAGGCAUGGGUUACUCUUCCAUGUCACAUACAUCUUGGUGGAGCGCUCAAAAUGAUAGAAAUUAAAAGCAUGCACUCAUCACCAAGCAAGUGAAUGAUCAUAUAAGGAUAUAAGAGAUAAUAUCAUCCAACAAGCAUUAAGGGUAGAAUAUGAUCAACCACAUGAUCAAACAAGUAUUUCACAAGAACAUAAAGUAUCUCACACAAGCACAUAAUCAAGAAGUUCAACCAAACCAAAAACAAGAGAGAUAAAAAGCAACACUCUCUCUUGAAGCCUAUGAUCUAUACAUUUUUCUCCCCCUUUGGCAACAAGUUACCAAAAAGUUCAAAAAUGCAUAGUGCUAAACGUCUCUCAGGCUUGAUCUUCGGGAGGUGGUGUAGAGAUGACUCCAAGGACGAAAGCUUCUGUUGAUGUAGCUGGAGCUGGUGAGUCGCUACUAGAGGUGGCACUGGAGCUGUAGCUGUAGCUGCUGGAGCUGAUGCUAUAGCUCUAGUAUCUAUGACUGGCACUGUAGCAGACCUCUGGCUUCGGGGCACUCUAGAAAAAGCAUCUGUAGUUGACUUGCCCUUCUUCUCCUCCACUUCCUCCUGAAGUUGCUCAAUUGCUGACUGAAUCUCAGUUACUUUGACAUCAAGAUCAUAUAAUUUCUGCUCAAUGAUCCUCUCCAAACUCUCCUGGUUUUGAGUCAGGGUGGCCAAGCCCUUCUCAAUCCUCAAGGUGGAUUGGAUCAGAUAUCCAAGCUGAUCUUGCUUGGAUUUCAAGAACACUUGAGAUGCCUCUUCAACAAUUGGCAUCCUUGCAGCUUUCUCAGCUUUAGCUUUGGAUUUCUUCUCCUAUGCUUGAACUGAUGAUGGUUCAUUCUCAUCCAUCACAACUGUGUUGUCUUCAAAUUCAGGGUAUAUGGCCAGGUGCUCCUUAUCCAAUAAAUAUUUGCCUGUGCCCAUCUUGGAGUUGAUGAGCUCCUGAAUUUGUGGGGCAUACCCACAACUUCUCUUCUGAUCAUCUGCUGUCCUUUUGAUUGUCUCUACAAUCAGACUCAUGACUUUGAACUUUUGAGGUACAUCAAACAAAUGUAGCAAAUUGAUAGCAUGUCCUCUGAUCAUCUUGUGAUCACCUGACUUAGGUAGCAAUGUGUGCCUUAGGAUCCAGUUGAUGGUAGGCAGACCAAACAACAAGAAGUGGACAGAUCCAAACUUAUGAGUCUCUAAAGCAUCAUCUGGGAUCUCUCUAUACAUGUGUGCCAUAGUGUUGUGGUCUUUCUUCCUUUCGGCAUAAACAUCCAAGUCAUCUUCAUGUUCCUCAGGGACAUUAAUCAGCCUGGCCCAUUCUUCUACUGUGGAUUGGUACCUAGUAACCUCAGACAUCCAAACUAUCCUUCCAUCUGGAUAGAAGUGGGAUGUGGAGUAAAAUUGCAUGAUGAGCUCAUCAUUCCACUUGGUGAGCUUCUGGGCAACAAAUGUAUCAAGUCCACAAGCUUUGAAGCUGUCAUAGACUCCUGGAUAGUGAUCUUCAUUUUCCUUGAUGUACUCCCAGUCAACCCAUCUCAUGUCACACACUAUGGGCUUCUUGUCAAGCAGGACAGUCUCAUAAAAGUCUUGUUGUUCCUUUGUGUGGAACCUGUAUUCCACAAUAGUUAUCCUCCUGACAGCAUAUGGAUCAGACUGUCUCCACAAUCUCAGUCCUGAAUCCUUCCUGAUCUUCAUAUUUUCUGCAAUAGGAUGUGCAUCAUUGUGGUCAGGGAUCUUGGGCUUGAGCUUCCUUAGCACUUGGGCUUCAUCAUCUUCUUCUUCAACUUGAGGCAGUGGGGCCUUGUUCUUUUCUGCAGCUGGAAUAUUUCUAGUGCUUCUCUUUGGUGCAGACUUUUGAGCUGGAGCUUUGGGAGCAGACUUGGGCUUAGAUGGAGCAACCCUGACCUGAUUGCAUCUCCCAUAAGCUUCUGAGCUUUGGGUGUUGGUGCAACAUCCUCUUCUUCUUCUUCAUCAUCUCUCAUCAUUGAUGGCUUCCCAAUAACUCUGGCAAUGGUCUUCUUGACCCUUUAUUUCCUCUUCUUGCCUUCACCUCCUUCUUUGGGUUCAAGAGUGAACUCCAUUGUUUAUUGAGUGGAGGCUCCGGCUUUUGACAUUGGAACUCUUCUCGCUGGAGCCUUUGUCUUCAUUCCAGGCUUACUUGCAGCAGCCGUGCCAUACUCCUUUUUCAGCACCUUUUCCCUUGAAGUGGCCUCAUCCUCAACAGCCACAUAAUCCUCAUCUUCAGAAUCUGAGGUAUUCUUCUUCCUUGUCCUGGUAGCUGCUUUUGGCAAGUUACUAGGUCUGCUCUGCUGCCCUCAUCAUAGCUGUUGGAGGGACCAGUGCCCUCACUCAACUGAACCUGCUCUUCAGACUUGUUCUGGCUGUCACUUUGAUCAGACAUCUUCAGGCAAACUGUUAGCAGAUCCUGUGAAUAGGUUGUAGAUGAGGUAGAGUAGAUGAGCAUCACAAAGUAUAGAGGUUUUGCAAAACAAUUGAGUCAAAAAGCUUAGUUUUAGUUCUCUACAAAAGUGAUCUCGGAGCUACCGAAUUGACAAACUCGGUCAUACCGAAGCAACACUUGGAACCUAAACUAGUGAACUCGGUUGGGCCGAGUCAUAGUUCGGUGGCACCGAGAUUGCUAGGGUUUCACAGAAUCUUGAACUCGGUCACACCGAUUUGCACGUUUCAGUUGGACCAAAAAGCGCAUGUGCAAUGGCCAAGGCCGAAUCGGUGAGACCGAUUUCUACAUUUCGGUCGGUCCGAGAUGAGUUCUGCGGAGAGCUAACCCUAAAAUUUUCGAAUCAAUCUAGACCUAAGGAAGUUUUAGCUGGAUGGAUCAAUCUCAAUUGUGGAAAGAAACAUGGCAUUGUCCUUGUGCUAGGAACCGGAGUGAAAAAGACAACACAAGGGGUCGAACACUUACCCUAGAGCGGCGAGUGUUCGCUACGGCGGCAACGGCGGGGCAGAUUGCCGUUGACAGCGGCGGAGACCAGUGGCGGGAGGUCGCUGGCGGCGAGAGGACGAUUCGAAGACCCGAAGAGGCAGAGCAGGUUACACGCGGAUGAAGGGUUUCGGAAAUUUUUCCAAAACUUGACCCAUCAAUAUAUAUAACCUGACCCUGUCGGUGUGGCCGAGUGGAACAACUCGGUGGCACCGAGAUGCAAAACUGCAGGCAGUUACUGCAACUCGGUGUGACCGAAUGGUUCUAAUCGGUUGCACCGAGAUUGAAAACCUAGAUCAACUAAGUGAUCUCGGUAGGACCGAAAAGGAUGAAUCGGUCAGACCGAAAUGCACAAAGAGGUUUUGGAAGUUUAAGUCUAUGACGAAUCGUGGACUCCGAGUGCUCCUCACACAAAGUGGUUCGAACCUGACUUGAUCAAACUUUGUGAUGUAGCAUGAAUAGAGUUUGAGACGAGGAAAGCAUAGAUAGCUAGAGGGAGUUCUUAGGCAUUCUUGUCCAUCCAUUUGGCAAAAGAGAAAAAGCCAAACAAUCAAAGCAACAAAUGGAUGUCCUCGAAUGAGAAAAAUAUGCAUUCAACAUUCUCACACAAUAAUAUGGCAAAAGAAAUAUGUGACAAAGCAUGCACAAACACUCUAGCAUCUAUCAAGCAAUUGGCGAUGACUAGGUCAUCUAUAUAUGAGUAUAUUGACUUAGGAGUCAAAUGAGAACAUUUCAUCAUAGGUCAUACUCAUCUUUAAGCACAAGUGGGAUUACCACUUUUACAUAAAGCAUUGUUGUGCUCACACCAUUUGAGUUGCUUUAGCUCAAUUUUUAGAGUAAAGCUCCCCCUAGAUGUGAUAUCCCCCCUAAGAGGGAUGAACUAACCUUGGGUUUUGUCGAUGAUAACUUCAUGUAGGUAAUGAAUAUGUGGAUGCUCAAUGUUGAUGUAGAUCAUUCGGAGCAUUCCUAAGGAUGGCAAUGGGUCGGGUUUGGAUCGGGUUGAACAAUCUCAAAUCCAUAUCCAUGUCCAUGAAGACAGUCUUUGCCCGCCCAUGAAAAAAUCCAUGGGUGAAAAAUUGUGUCCAUGUCCAAACCCGAUGGAUAUCCAUACCCAUUGGAUAUCCAUUGGUUCCUCUCAAGACAUAUAAAUAAGACAUAACACAAUAUUAACAUAAACUCUUCCAUUCUUCACCUCGUGGUAGGCUAGGCUUCACUUAUGGUAAAUCAACAUCCACUAACAACCUAAGAUCAUUUAGUAUUUUUCUAACAAAUGAGAAUGAAGAGUCAUUUAAGAAGGAGGCAAAAAUAAGGGAAGGGGUGUUGGAGUAUGUUACAGAGGGGAUUGAAUGUCAACUAAAAAAGUUACGAUGGGGAUUGUGUGAUUUCUUAUGCAUGUUUUAGAUAAAAAAGUGUAAAAUUGCUGUGGGACAUACGACCGUGGGGCAGGGAUAGCAGAUUUUCCCCCAUUAAGUCAUACUAUCGGGCCGGGUUUGGGUAUAUCCAUGGGUACAAGAUUAUAUCCAUGCCCUAUCCACGAACAAUCAGGUCGGGUUUGGGCGCCGCCCAUGGACACAAAAGCAUAUCCAAACCCUAUCCAUUCGGGUCGGAUAUCCAUGGAUAUCCAUGUCCAUGGAUAAAAUUGCCAUCCUUAAGCAUUCCAUUGGAGUGAGUUGCACUUUCAAUACCUACACGGGUUAGUCCCACAAGGAACAAGCAAGGAUACCCAUAGACAUAGAGUGAUGUAUACACAAGAUGAUGUCCAUGAAAGCAUUAGGUUACCAUGUCCCUUGUCUUACCAACAAGAGGGUUUGUGACUCCUUGAACUAGUGCAAGAUAUGGAAGUUGUUUGCACUUGUCCUCGCCAAAAUGAUAAGAGUGAAGUAUGUCGGUGGAGUCACCCUCUAGAACUCUCUAGUUCUUCUUCUUCGGGAUCCACACCAUCUUGAUGAGAAUCCUUGGAGUUGUAGUCAUACUUGAUGAGGUAGAACUUGAUGUAGUCUUGGGAACCCACUUGAUCAAGGCCUUAGGUGCUUCUUCAAAUGCAUCAAUCUCCUCUUGAAGCUUGUCCUUGCCUUUUUUCUUGUGGUGGAAGAUCAUCUUGAGCUUGUGUUCCUUUGAAAGAAGUAGGAUCAUACUUCUCUUGUUGAGGAACAAACUUCAUCUUGGGGUAUUGAUCUUCUUCCCACUCAACUCCAUUGGCAUUGAACUUUCGUUCAAAACCAACACCUUGGUUCUUCCGGUGCCUUCCUUUCUCGCGUACAAUUUCCUCAAAUUGCUUACUUCCGGCAAGGCUCUUGUAAACACCUUUCUCUAUAAUUCCCUUCAAUAAGCUAUUUUCUUGCUCAAGUGUAACUUGGCUAAGAGAGUCAUUAGUGGAAUCAAGAGAACUACUAGAAGCAACAACAUUGGAUUUAGCAUGAUUGUUGUUACUACUAGAUGAAGAAUCUUUCUUGUUCUUGUUGCUAGAUUUAACUUGUGGCAUGUAAGUAGAUAAGAGUAAAUGCUUGGCCAUGUAAGAAGAACCUUUCUUGUGAAGAUAAUCAUUGAUUGCCUUUAAAAACUCAUGCUCUUGCUCAAGGUUAAGCUUUUCAAAGCGUAGCUUCUCAUGAGUCUUUAGAAGUUCUUGAUGAUCUUCCAAGGUAGUUUCAUGGGCUAACUUAAGAGUGUUUAGUUCUUUAGUUAGACACUCAAUCUCCUUCUUAUCAUCUUCAUUCAUUUUAUCUUGAUUAGCAUGAUUAAUAGCAAGUUCCUCAUAGUUUUCAUAACUAGAGUUGUCAACAAGUAAAUCAUCAUCUCCUAGCAAAUCAUCUUCAUCACUAUUGAAAUCAACAUACUCGGGGUGUGUUACCUUUGGACCUUUAGCCAUGAAGCAUCUUCCAAUUCCUUCAUUUGGUGAGUCAAAUAUGUCGUAGGAGUUGGUUGUCACAAGUGCUAGUUCGGCAACACCUUCAUCUUGAGUAUAUUCGGAACCGGAGUGAUAACUUCUUUCGGAGUGAUGAUCGGAGUCGGAACCAGAUACCCAUUCACCAACAUGAACUUGAUGCCUUCCUUUUGUGUAGCAUGACUUAUCCUUCCUUUCCGAAUCCUUGCUUCUCCGAGAGGGUCUUCGUUCAUAACGAUCAUCCCUACUCCUUCUUUCUCUUGGUGCUGAUUCUUCUCUUCUACUCCUUUUGGGAGAAUCUUCUCUUCUUUUGUAGGGAGCCGUACACUCAUUGGAUUAGUGUCCGGGUCUUCCACAAUUGUAGCAAUUUCUUUCGCGACUUGAAGAUCUCUUGUCAUUGUAGGAUCUUGACUUGGAGCUUCUUUCCUUGCUCCUUCUCUUGUAGAAUUUGUUGAAGUUCUUCACCAUUAGACUCAAUUCUUCAUUGAAGGUUUGCUUCUCACUUGAUGAUGUGGGAGUUUCACAUGAGGAUUUGUAAGCACCACUUGACUUGUUGUGGAGAUCUUCCUUAUCCUUGAGUGACAUCUCAUGAGCAACAAUUCUUCCAAUGACUUCCGUUGGCUUGAGAUCUUUGUAAUUGGGCAUCAUUUGGAUCAAUGUGCACAUGGUAUCAUAUUUUCCAUCCAAGGAUCUUAAGAUCUUCUUGAUGAUGAAUCUAUCGGUCAUAUCUUCACUUCCUAAGCCGGCAAUCUCAUUUGUGAGGAGAGCAAGCCUAGAGUACAUUUCAGCGACACCUUCACCAUCAUUCAUUUUGAACUUAUCAAGUUUACUUUGAAGCACAUCCAAUUUGGAUUCCUUGAUGGAGUAGGUACCUUUGUGCAUAUCAAUCGAAGUAUCCCAAAUUUCCUUUGCAUUCUCAAGACGGCUGAUUUUGUUGAAUUCUUCGGGGCACAAUCUGUUGAAGAGAAUAUCACAAGCUUGAGCAUUGUAUUGCAGCAUCUUUAACUCUUCCGUGGUAGCUUCACGGCUUGGUUCUCUCCCAUCAAAGAAUUCACCUUGCAAGCCAAUACACACAAUAGCCCAAACGGCCGGGUUAUGUCCAAGAAUAUGCAUUUCCAUCUUAUGCUUCCAACUAGAAAAAUUUGUACCAUCAAAGUAAGGACCUCUAUGGUGGUAGUUUCCCUCGCUAGACGCCAUACUCUCCUAGGUUGUGAAACCAAGGCUAUGACCACCAAAAGUUAUGGAAAUCAAAGCAAAUGGAGACCAAAGCUCUGAUACCACUUGUAGGAUCAAAAGUAUGUCUAGAGGGGGGGGGGGUGAUUAGACUACUUGACCAAAUAAAAAUCUAGCCUUUUCCCCAUUUUAGUUCUUGGCAGAUUUGAGCAACUUUGCACAAGUCAAGCAAUCAACCUACACCUGCAAUUCUAAGAGUAUAGCAGCGGAAUGUAAAACAAUUGCAUAUGAAGGUAAAGGGAGGAGUUUGAAGGGAGCAAACGCAAUGUAGACACGGAGAUUUUUGGUGUGGUUCCGAUAGGUGGUGCUAUCGUACAUCCACGUUGAUGGAGACUUCAACCCACGAAGGGUAACGAUUUUGCGAGUCCACGGAGGGCUCCACCCACGAAGGGUCCAUGAAGAAGCAACCUUGUCUAUCCCACCAUGGCCGUCGCCCAUGAAGGACUUGCUCACUCGGGUAGAUCUUAACAAAGUAGGCGAUCUCCUUACCCCUACAAACUCCUUGGUUCAACUCCACAAUCUUGACGGAGGCUCCCAAGUGACACCUAACCAAUCUAGGAGACACCACUCUCCAAGAGGUAACAAAUGGUGUGUUGAUGAUGAACUCCUUGCUCUUGUGCUUCAAAUGAUAGUCUCCCCAACACUCAACUCUCUCUCAUAGGAUUGGAUUUGGUGGAAAGAAGAUUUGAGUGGAAAGCAACUUGGGGAAGGCUAGAUAUCAAGAUUUAUGUGGUUGGAAUGGAAUAUCUUGACCUCAACACAAGUGUAGGUGGUUCUCUCUCAGAAAAUGUAUGUUGGAAGUGUAGGCAUGUUCUAAUGGCUCUCUCCACGAAUGAAGAGUGGGUGGAGGGGUAUAUAUAGCCUCCACACAAAAUCUAACCGUUACACACAAAUCACCAAACUCGGUGGGACCGAUUCAGAGAACUCGAUCAGACUGAUUUAGUUCAAAAUGUGAAUGUUAGGAUUUUCGGUGGGACCGACACAUCAACUCGGUGGGACCGAUUUCGCUAGGGUUAGGGAAUAAUGUAAUCUCGGUGAGACCGAUUACACAAACUCGGUGGGAACAAUUUUGGUAACAGACUAGCCAGAGAGUUGGUCAGGCAAACUCGAUGGGACCGAUUUGCUCAUCUCGGUUGGACCGAAAUGUUACGAAGGGAAACAUAGAGUUUGCAUUGCAAUCUCGAUGGGACCGAUCGCUCAUCUCGGUUGGACCAAAACAUUACGAUGGGAAAUAGAGAGAUUACAAUCCCAUCUCGGUGAGACCGAGAUCCCUGUCGGUGAGACCGAAAAGACUAGGGUUUCUGGCAGUGGCUAUGUCAAGAGAACUCGGUGGCGCCGGAUAGAAAAUUUCAGCGGGGCAGAGUUUAACUUUUGGUUUGGGACAUAUGUGGAUAUGAGAAAGUAGUUGAGGGCUUUGGAGCAUAUCACUGAGCAUUUUGAGCAAGAACCUCAUUAAGCAGCACCUCACCCCUCUUGAUAGUAUUGGCUUUUCCUAUGGACUCAAUGUGAUCUUGGAUCACUAAAAUGAAAAAUGUAGAGUCUUGUGCUUUGAGCUUGAGCCAAUCCUUUUGUCCUUGGCAUUUUGAGGGGUCCACUUUUCUAAUCCAUGCCAUGCCAAUCAUUGAGCUUUCCUGAAAUAUUUAUCUUGAAAUAGCAUUAGCUCAAUGAGCUAUAUGUUGUUAGGAAUUACCAAAACAACCCAGGGAUAGUUGCACUUUCACCGGCACUAGUUUCGCUUUGGCGGUUGGUGGAAGAAGAGACAAAGAAACACGACUUACGUUGAAUGUCAAUCCAACGGUCAAGGUUGGCACAAUCAUUUAUUGACUAAGCCGACACCAAGUAGCAUACUUUUUUAUAUAUAGGAAGAAAAGAAAAUUUGGGCUCGUUCGCCUGAUACAUUCCCGAAAUUGCGACCGUUCGAUCUUGUGUCGCAACUAAAACUGCGAGGAAAAUGCGUUUGUCUGCCGUCCUCCUCCCAGGGAACGUUCGCCACAUAAGUGACUAGCACCCUUGGUUUUCAAUCGAGAGGUCUUGGGUUCGAGUCCCAGGAACUCUCAAUUUUGUCCUCCUUUCUUCCUCGCAAAAAAUAAAGAAAAUCAAAGACUUGAGAAGGCGUACAGAACAAGCUAGUGUACCAGUAAAGAGACGUUGCUGAGUUUUAGAAAAAAGAGAGACGUGCUCUUGUAGAUGGUUCGAAUCCAAACCUAGACUAUGAUUAUAUAUGGUGCUAUGCUACUCUGCAAGUAAUGAAACUGACAUAUCCAACGUUCGCUUCUCCUCUUCUCUACUUACUCUGCCUAGCAUCAGAAGCUCUGGCCGCAGCAACCAUGUCUGUUGGCUGCUCGUCCACCUGGACUUUAGCAUUUAAUCACCAGAUAUGCGCCAAGUCGGCACCCGUACCAUCGCCUGUGGGUCUCAUCACACCCCCGCUGGCACACGCACCACAGCCGGUUGCUCAUCGCAACCCGCUGCCAUUGGUGUGGUGCCACUAUUGCAAAUCACGCAGAGUCAUCCAUCGUGUCUCAACCACAAUCCUCAACCCUGGCCGAGUCUUCUACAAAUGCCCGAAUCAUGGGGUAAUAAUAUGUUUUAGUUUUGUUCUGCUGCUUCCAGUUGCUGAUUUUUUAAUAGUUUCGUUGAUGAUCUUCCAAUUUGAUUCGUGCAGAAAAGGGAAGAUUCAUGUGAUUUGUAUUUCUGGGAAGUUACUGAUGUGGGGGAAUGCAACUACACUGAUUAUUUGGUUAGCCGAGGAAUCCCAAUACCAGCAGGUUGGGGUGUUAGACAAGUAACUGAAGGAACGACAGAAGAGGAAGAUGCAUAACAGAAGGUUAAAGAUGCAGUUCCUCUGAUCAUGGCCAAGCAACAACUACUGAAUGACCUUGACAACAAUAAGGAGAUGAAAGAGCUUGUGAAGAUAAUGGAAAAAAUCGAUGUGCUCUGUAGGAUGAUUGUCUCUUUAUUUCAGUGUAUGUAGCACUUGUGAUGUAUUGAUAUGUCUCCAUCGUAUCUAAUUUUCCAAACUCUUUUGCCCUUGUUUUGGACUCUAACUUGCAUGAUUUGAAUGGAACUAACCCGGACUGACGCUAUUUUCAGCAGAAUUGCCAUGGUGUUAUUUUUGUGCAGAAAUAAAAGUUCUCAGAAUGACCUGAAAUUCACGGAGAUCAGUUUUGGAAUUAAUAAAAAAUAUUGGUGAAAGAAUCAGGUGUAGGGGGCCCACACCCUAGCCACAAGGGUGGGGGACGCGUCCACCCCCUGGGGUGCUCCACCCGUCCUUGUGGCCCCCCUGGACUUCCACCGACCUCAACUCCAACUCCAUAUAUUCACGUUCGGGGAGAAAAAAAUUAGAGAGAAGGAGGCGUCGGUGAGGGAGUCCUAGAUUAGGGGGUCUCCGGACAGCCGGACUAUAUCCUUUGACCGGACUGUUGGACUAUGAAGAUACAAGAUUGAAGACUUCGUCCCGUGUCCGGAUGGGACUCUCCUUGGCGUGGAAGGCAAUCUAGGCAAUACGGAUAUGUAGAUCUCCUCCCUUGUAACCGACUCUGUGUAACCCUAGCCCCCUCCGGUGUCUAUAUAAACCGGAGGGUUUAGUCCGUAGGACAACAUACAAUCAUACCAUAGGCUAGCUUCUAGGGUUUAGCCUCUACGAUCUCGUGGUAGAUCAACUCUUGUAACACUCAUAUCAUCAAGAAAAAUCAAGCAGGACGUAGGGUAUUACCUCCAUCAAGAGGGCCCGAACCUGGGUAAACAUCGUGUCCCCUGCCUCCUGUUACCAUCCGCCUUAGACGCACAGUUCGGGACCCCCUACCCGAGAUCCACCGGUUUUGACACCGACAUUGGUGCUUUCAUUGAGAGUUCCACUGUGUCGUCACCGUAAGGCUUGAUGGCCCCUUCGAUCAUCGGUAACGAUGUGGUCCGGGGUGAGGUUUUCCUCCCCGGACAGAUCUUCGUAUUCGGCGGCUUCGCACCGCGGGCCAAUUCGGUUGGCCAUCUGGAGCAGAUCGAGAGCUACGCCUCUAGCCAUCAGGUCAGAUUCGGAAACUUAAACUACACUGUCGACAUCCGCGGAGACUUGAUCUUCGACGGAUUCGAGCCCGUGUCAGGCACGCCGCAUAGUCACGACGAGCAUGACGUAACUCUGUCAUCGGACAAUAUUCGGGAGAUCGCAUCUGCAACUACUCCGGUCGUCAAUCCGGAGCAAAUCGCGCCAUCCGAGAGCGGAGGGAUAGACCCCGCCAUGGAGGCCACACUCUCAGUGGCGAUAGAGCCGGAUACUGACUUCACCCCUUACGAGAGCCGUGUCGCCGAACCACUGGAUUCGUCUUCGGCCACGGACUCCGAGCCGCCUGCAUCCGCGCCCAUCGAAUCCGACUGGGCGCCGAUCAUGGAGUUCACCUCCGCAGAUAUCUUUCAGCACUCGCCUUUCAGCGAUGUGCUAAAUUCAUUAAGGUCUCUCUCCUUGUCAGGAGAACCUUGGCCGAACUAUGUCCGGCUAGAAUGGGAUGCGGACAACGAAGAAAUUCGCUGCCCACCCACCACCCACUUAGUAGCCACUGUCAAUGAUUUAACUGACAUGCUCGACUUCGACUCUGAAGAGAUCAACGGUAUGGACGACGAUGCAGGAGACGAAGAGGAACCACUGCCCACUGGGCGCUGUACCGCCACCUCAUCAUAUGAUAUAUACAUGGUGGACACCCCCAAAGAAGGCAAUGGCGACAAGACAACGGAGGAUGACCCCUCCAAGAAGCAACCCAAGCGCCGACGUCAGCGACGCCGCUCUAAGUCUCGCCACAGCAAAAGUAGUGAUACCAGCACAGGAGAUAAUAACACUCCAGAUAGUGCCGAAGACAACCACAAUCCCCUCCAACACGAUGUAGAGCGGGAAGAUGAACAAGCUAGCCCUCCAGAGCAGGCGGCAGAUGGAGGACCAGAAGAGGACAAUUACAUGACCCUCUCCGAAGAUGAGGUGAGCCUCGGCGACGAAGAAUUUAUCAUGCCCGAGGAUCCCGUCGAGCAGGAGCAAUUCAAGCGCCGACUUAUGGCCACAGCAAAUAGCCUGAAGAAAAAGCAACAACAGCUUCAAGAUGAUCAAGACUUGCUACCAGACAGAUGGACCGAAGUCCUUGUGGCCGAGGAAUAUGAACUCGAGCGCCCUCCAAGAGUUACCCAAAACACAGGUUGCUACCUCACCUCGAGGAGGAAGCAUUGAAACCUCUAUCGGUGUCAAAACCGGCGGAUCUCGGGUAGGGGGUCCCGAACUGUGCGUCUAGGCGAUGGUAACAGGAGGCAGGGGACACGAUGUUUUACCCAGGUUCGGGCCCUCUUGAUGGAGGUAAAACCCUACAUCCUGCUUGAUUAAUAUUGAUGAUAUGGGUAGUACAAGAGUAGAUCUACCACGAGAUCAAGGAGGAUAAACCCUUGAAGCUAGCCUAUGGUAUGAUUGUUGUUCGUCCUACGGACUAAAACCCCCCGGUUUAUAUAGACACCGGAGAGGGCUAGGGUUACACAGAGUCAGUUACAAUGGUAGGAGAUCUACAUAUCCGUAUCGCCAAGCUUGCCUUCCACGCCAAGGAAAGUUCCUUCCGGACACGGGACGAAGUCUUCAAUCUUGUAUCUUCAUAGUCCAGGAGUCUGGCCGAAGGUAUAGUCCGGCUAUCCGGACACCCCCUAAUCCAGGACUCCCUCAGUAGCCCCCGAACCAAGCUUCAUUGAUGACGAGUCCGGCGCGCAAAUUGUCUUCGGCAUUGCAAGGCGGGUUCUCCAAAUUCCGUGUACCUGUUAAAUAAUGUUCGGUUUCUUGUAGCGCUCCUUGGCUUCUAUGCCCAAUAAUGGCCGUCUUCCACGCAUCAAAUGAAUAUGAAAAGUCAGGGUGUUUUUUAUAUUUACACCCCUAGCCGCGUGAAUGAGCCGCCUAUUUAAGGGGACGAGGAUUUAGAUCCAAACCACACCUUCUCCCCUCCGCGAGUAUUCAUUAGAGCGUAUCCGACAGAGGUCCAUUCUAUCAUGGCCGACCGCCGCAGCUCCUCCUCUCGCCCUUCCAGCCCUCAGCCUGGAGAUUGGAAGAGGUGCUCCAUCCCGCACAGCGAGCUAGUGACACUCCACACCAAGGGAUUUCUCCCCCCGGCCUAUAUGGUCCCGGUUCGAGCCGGACUUGCCACCUAUAAUGGCAGAGAGCAAGCGGAGAGCGCCCCCAAUCCUUCCAAAGGAGAGCGGGUAUGCCUUGUCCCUUACUUAAUAAGAGGGCUCAGAUUUCCAAUUCAUCCGUUUCUCCAGGGGCUCCUGGAGUUCUAUGGCCUCCAGCUGCACAACCUCAUGCCUGCCUCCAUAUUGCAUAUCGUGGGCUUCGUAGCCCUUUGCGAGCUAUUUUUGGGCUGCGAGGCUCUUUUCGCGCUGUGGAAAAGGCUAUUCUGCCUCGUGUCCCGUUCUAAGAAGGGGUCAAUAUAUCAAGUGGGCGGAGCCGAAGUGUGGCGCAUCGUCGGGACCGGAUAUCUAUCCGGAACCCCAAAGAAGGCGUUCGAGGACUGGCCUUCGGAAUGGUUUUAUAUAGAGGACGUCCCACUGCCGGAUCCUGUCCGGAUCGGCCUCACAGAGUUCGGCAGUGCUCCCCUAAAGAAGCACCUAAGAUGGCGUCCAUGGAGCCCUCAGAGGGAAAGUGACAGGGACGUUCUUUACCUGAUGGGCCGGAUAAGAUUGUUAGCUCAUUCUGGACCGACCAUGAUCGGGGUCAUGGCCGCAUGCAUCAUGCGAGGGGUGUAGCCGCUUCAGUAUAGAGGCCGCCCCAUGUGGUACUUCGACGGGGAGGACGAUGCCACCCGCUACGGCCGUAAGGGGCCGGAUUUGGCUGCCGCUCUAAUAAAGACCUUGUCCGCUUUGUACAAGGGAGAAGAGGAGGAAUUUCUCCGCGUCAACCCACAGGGUAGAUUUUCUAUGUGCAAUCCCCCAAGUUGGGUAAGUGGACACUUUUACCUGCCCAUCCGUUUUAUAUUCCUAUCAUUAAGUAUUCAGUCUAACGACUUCAACACAGGAACUGCGCCAGGCUGUUAAAGAAAUAAACAGCCCUCCUCCACAACCCGAGGGUCCGGGACGGUCCCUCGACCCGGCCUCUCAAGAGGAUCCGGACUUAUCUGUGGAGCUGAUUGACGGGAUGUUUCAUCAAUUGAGCAAGGACAACGCCUUGGUGGCCAUUACGGCCGAUUACCCAGGGCUACUCCCAGCCUCACAGGUAACUGAGACCGAAGUCCCAACACUUUGAAAAGGGAUCUAUCCUUGCAUGUUUUCGAUUGCCGUAUGACAACCGUGUUUUGCAGGGGAGGUCCUUGAGACGGGAGGCCGAGCCUGCGGCGACUAGCCAACGAGGGGCGGCAAGGCCCCGCGGGCUGAAAAGAAGUGCGGUCCGGACUGAGACGCCGACGCAAAGGUAUAGCGCGCCAUCUUAUUCCCAGGUGUUAUUCCUUCAAGGCAUAUUAACGCUCGUGCUCUCUUCAGGACGAAGAGACCUCGCCGGACUAUAUCCGGAGGGGCUGCCAAUCGCGCCUCCACCAACCAGGCUCCAAAGCCUGGUCCGGAAGCGGAGGCGAACACAAGGCGCGCACUAGACGCUCCUCCGACAGAGGAUGCGGACAGGCUGUCUACCACCAAUUCCGAGGUGGAGAGUGCCAUGAACCAUAGGCAUCGCCGGACAGUUCUUCACGACGCUUGUUUCUCCCAAGAGGCAUUGGAUGCCUUCAAUUCGGGAGAUGCGUACCUCCGUGCCGCUCAAAAUGGUCUAGCCAGAGCCACGGAGCAGUAUGUAAAAGACAUACGGGUAAGAAAUUUUUGGUAAUUAUAUAUAUACCAGUAGCCCCCAAGACUUGAAACAGUUAGAAUAACUGAUUUAAGGAUCAUUUGUUAUGCAGGAUCUUACAGAAAAGAAUACCCUACUGUCCCAGGAGCUGGAAGAGUGCAAAGCCCAACUUGAGGCCGCACUAACCGCGGCAGGGGAGCCCAAGGAGACCCCCUCUGGUAAUAUACACUUCGAAAGAUAAGUAUUUUGUGAAGUGCGGCGUGGGUGCAAAUCUGACAAAUGAAAUUGCAGAUGGCGCCGGAUUAAAUCCAGAAGAGCAACAACUCCGACGCCAGCUGAAGGCUGGUGAGAGCGUGCUGAUAAAGGUGAGGCAGGAGAAGAACGAUCUCCAAGAUGCCAACACCAAGCUGGGCGUUGAACUGAAGGAUGUUCGUGCCCAGCUGUUGGACUCCGUGAAGGAGAAUCAGCGGCUUCGACGCGGCAUAUAUAGUAAGUGCUUAAACGAACUUUGAAAAAAAGAGUUCGGCAAGGAAGUCGACUAACAGAGUAAUGUCUGUAGGUAUGCUAACAUGUCAUCCUGCAGAGGAAAUGCCCGGUUCUACGGGUGACCUUCUUCCCGAGCUCUCACAACUGCACGAGCGAGUUCGGCAGGUGAUGCAAAGCAUUGCCUAGGCCUUGUGGCCAUCCGUCUCCAUGCCCGAAGGCCUUGGAGAGCUUGUAGAGAAGCUGAAGGGAGCGUGGCGGCGCUUCCGAUUGUGGAAGAUGUCGGCCUGCCGUCAAGGCGCCAGGGAGGCCUGGGCCAUGGUGAAGACGCGGUACACGAAGGCUGACCCAAACCACAUGGCCGAGGUCGGACCCGUGGGGCCCGAUGGGAAGGAGAUCCCUGUGAGCUUAGUAUACGGCCAAGUAGAAUUGGCCGCAAAGUAUUCCCAACAGGACUGUAAACUAGACAACCUGUUAGAUGGUAUUGAAGAGGAAUACAAUCAGUCAGAUUGACUAUGUAAUUAUAAUUGACAUGUGUAAUGCCUUCUAGCCGGAUUGUAGAUCGUUUGUCAUGGCCGACCUUUUCGCUUCAACCUCGGGACCUGACGGUCCGGAGUGUGUCCGAAUACCCUCGCGGUUAUAUAAGAACAGGGGCAUGCAUGGAGACCAGGCAUAGGGGUCAUUAGUGCUUGAACAGACAAGUGCCCAACUAGUUAUGUUAUAUUACAUGAUUAGUAAGAAACAUCUUCCAGGGAGAAUAGUUCUGUUAGGGGUUCCUUUCCCUGGGAGGCAUGCCCUAAAGUGCAUGUCCAUUCUGCGAAAAGAGAUGCAGGAAAAACAUCUGGGGGCGCAUAGAUAAAUAAAAAAGAUCAUCUUUAGUUCACCGACCGAAUAUUCCCUUAAGAACGCUAGCUUUUGGCUUCACCCAGUCUGAGGUACACAUUUGGCUGACCCGGCAGUAACAAUCGCAGAGGUGCUCCCUUUACCACCUAGCCGGAAAAUCGGGAACGUAGGGGUAAGCACAGGAGCCAGGCAACCCAGCUUGGCCAAAACUUAAGUCAUAUCGAUGCAUAUACUGGCGAAUAAAAGGUACAUGCAGAAGUGUGACGCAUGUGUUGGGCAUGAAAGCCCGUAUAAAUAAGCUUCUGUUUAAAGAAGCCCCCAGGUUUAUUGAGCGCAGAUAGCGCGUCACUUUAUGAGCCUUUAAAGGCUAUAGGAGAGAGAGGAGAAGGAGAGAAAUGUAAGACAGAAAGUAUAUAAAAAAUGGACAGAGGAAGGAAACGAACACAGAGUCCGGCGCUAGGCAUAGAAUCUUCGGAGACGGGCUGCGUUCCAUGGGUUCGGCUCGAGUCGGUUAUCCGAUGCAUCUCGCAGACGGUACGCUCCACCAGUCAGGACUUGGUCAAUUAUGAAGGGACCUUCCCACUUGGGCUUGAGUUUGUCCUUUUUCUUGUCCGGCAGACGUAGAACUAGUUCGCCAACGUUGUAAUUUUUGGCCCGUACUUCCCUGCUUUGGUAUCUUUGAGCCUACUGUUGAUAGAAUGCGGAACGGGCUUUUGCCACAUCACGCUCUUCCUCCAAGGUGUCCAAACUGUCCUGCCGAUCGAGCUCAGCUUCUCUUUCUUCGUACAUGCGCACUCGAGGUGAGUCAUGAAUUAUGUCGCAGGGCAAAACUGCCUCUGCGCCGUACACCAUGAAGAAUGGUGUGUAUCCGGUGGUGCAAUUCGGCGUGGUCCGCAACCCCCAGAGUACAGAGUCGAGCUCCUCUACCCAGUGCGUAUUAGAUUCCUUAAGGGACCGCACUAAUCUGGGUUUGAUGCCGCUCAUGAUAAGACCAUUUGCACGUUCGACCUGGCCAUUAGUUUGUGCGUGAUAGACGGAAGCAUAAUCAGGCUUGAUGCCCAUGUUUUUGCACCAGAGUUUUACCUCGUCGGCCAUAAAGUUCGUGCCGUUAUCAGUGAUGAUGCUGUGGGGGACACCAUAACGGUGUACAACCCCAGAUAUAAAGUCUAUCACCGGUCCGGAUUCGGCCGUCUUAACAGGCUUGGCUUCUAUCCAUUUGGUGAACUUAUCCACCAUGACCAAUAAGUAUUUUUUAUUGUGGGUUCCGCCUUUAAGGGGUCCAACCAUGUCAAGCCCCCAGACCGCGAAGGGCCAAGUGAUGGGGAUAGUUUGGAGGGCGGUGGGUGGCAUAUGGCUUUGGUUUGCAAAAAGCUGGCAACCGACGCAUCGUUGGACUAAGUCCUGGGCGUCUGCUCGGGCCGUCGGCCAAUAAAAGCCUGUACGGAAGGCCUUGCUUACAAGGGACCGAGCUGCAGCGUGAUGACCGCCGAGUCUGGCAUGAAUUUCAGCCAGGAGGUUCCGCCCUUCCUCUUCGGAGAUGCACCUUUGAAGGACUCCGGUAGUGCUUUUCUUAUAAAGCUCUCCCUCAUGGACUUUAUAGGCUUUAGAUCGCCGCACUAAGCAGCGUGCCUCAUUUUGGUCCUCGGGGAGUUCGUGCCUAGUAAGGUAGGCGAGGAAUGGUUCUGUCCACGGGGCGAUGACGGCCAUUAUUACGUGGGCUGAAGGUGUUAUUUCAUUGGCAGAGCCUCCAAUUAUGUCAGAGUGUUCGGUAUCGAGCAGUGCGGUUGGGUCCGGGAUGUUAUUGCUGGGUUCCCCUUCCCAUACUACGGAUGGCUUGAACAGCCUUUCCCAGAAGAUGUUGGGGGGGGGGACUACAUCGCAUUUUGCACCGAUGCGUGCCAGGACAUCUGCCGCCUGAUUAUUUUCCCGGGCUAUAUGGUGAAAUUCGAGCCCUUCGAACCGAGAUGACAUUUUUAGGACGGCGUUGUGAUAAGCUGCCAUUUUUGGAUCCUUGGCAUCAAAGUCUCCAUUUAUUUGGGAUAUUGCGAGGUUCGAGUCCCCGCGCACCUCUAGGCGUUGAAUGCCCAUGGAUACUGCCAUCCGGAGACCAUGUAAAAGGGCCUCAUAUUCGGCUGCGUUGUUGGAGUCUGUGUACAUUAUCUGGAGUACGUAUUGAACUGUGUCUCCUGUGGGGGACGUCAAAAUGACGCCAGCCCCUAGACCGGCCAACAUUUUGGAGUCGUCGAAGUGCAUGACCCAAUUUGAAUAUGUGCCGUACUCUUUAGGGAGUUCGGCCUCCGUCCAUUCUGCGACGAAGUCAGCCAAAACUUGCGACUUGAUAGCUCGUCGUAGCUUGUAAGUUAUGUCGUACGGGAGGAGCUCAAUGGCCCAUUUUGCAAUCUGGCCCGUCGUGUCGCGGUUGUUUAUAAUAUCGUUAAGUGGCACUUCCGAGGCUACUGUUAUUGAACACUCUUGAAAGUAGUGUCCCAGCUUCCAGGAUGCCAUAAAUACCGCGUACGCAAUCUUUUGAUAAUGCGGGUACCGUGACUUGCACGGAGUAAGGACAGUGGACACAUAGUAGACCGUCUUUUGAAGGGGGAAUUUGUGUCCGUCCGUUUCUCGUUCGACGAUGAGCAUGGCGCUUACGACCUGAUGGGUUGCUGCAAUGUAUAAUAGCAUUGGUUCGCCAAUUUUUGGCGCGGCCAGGACUGGGUUUGUUUCCAAGAUGGCUAUUAUUUCAUCGAGUCCGGCCGUGGCUGCAUCCAUCCACUCGAAGUGUUCGGUGCGCCAAAGGAGGCGGUAAAGGGGUAGGGCCUUUUCUCCUAAGCGGGAGAUAAAGCGGCUUAAAGCCGCCACGCAUCCGGUUAAUUUUUGUAUUUGUUUGAGGUCCUUCGGGAUAUCCAAUUGUGACAGAGCUUGGAUCUUGGCUGGAUUUGCUUCAAUCCCUCUACCGGAUACAAUGAAGCCCAAGAGCUUUCCGGCUGGAACGCCGAAAAUGCAUUUUUCCGGGUUGAGCUUGAUGUCAUAUGUUCGGAAUGUUAGCCUCAAGUCGUCUACUAGAGAUUCGACAUGUCUUGUUUUAACGACCACAUCAUCUACGUAUGCCUCCACUGUUUUGCUGAUAUGUUGCGCCGGUGUUUUUGAGCCCGAAGGGCAUUGUGUUGAAGCAGAAUGGGCCGUAUGGUGUGAUGAACGCCGUUGUGGCUUGGUCUGAGUCUGCCAUCUUUAUUUGAUGGUAGCCGGAGUAUGCGUCGAGGAAACACAACGAAUCGUGUCCUGCGGUAGCGUCGAUAAUUUGAUCGAUGCAGGGGAGAGGGAAGGGAUCCUUUGGGCAAGCCUUGUUAAGGUCUUUGAAAUCAACGCAUAGGCGCCAGGAUUUGUCCUUCUUUGGUACCAUCACCAGGUUUGCUAGCCAGUCCGGGUGUUUUAUAUCUUUGAUGAAUCCGGCCUCCAAUAGCUUGGCUAGUUCCUCUCCCAUGGCCUGCCUCUUAGGUUCGGAAAAACGCCGAAGAGCCUGUUUGACUGGCUUGAAUCCUUUUAGGAUAUUUAAGCUGUGUUCGGCCAGCCUGCGUGGGAUUCCUGGCAUGUCUGAAGGGUGCCAGGUGAAAAUGUUCCAGUUCUCUCAUAGGAACUCUUGCAGUGCGACGUCUACAUCAGGGUUUAACUGUGCCCCGAUAGAAGCUGUUUUAUUGGGGUCCGUUGGAUGGACCUGGAAUUUGACUAUUUCGUCUGCCGGUUUAAAGGAGGUGGACUUGGAUCUUUUAUUGAGUAUCACAUCGUCCCUAUUCACCAUGGAGCGCAGCAUAGUCAGUUCCUCAGCCGCUAGGGCUUCGGAUAACGCCUCGAGGGCCAGUGCGGCUGUCUUGUUUUUGGCACGAAGUGCUAUGUCCGGAUCACUAGCGAGAGUGAUGAUUCCGUUAGGCCCGGGCAUCUUGAGCUUCAUGUACCCGUAAUGGGGUAUUCCUUGGAAGACUGUAAACGCUUCCCGCCCUAGCAAAGCGUGAUAUCCGCUACUGAACGAGGCCACCUGGAACGUGAGCUCUUCGGACCUGUAAUUAUCCGGCGUGCCGAACACCACAUCUAUUGUGAUUUUCCUGUACAGCGCGCUUCCCGACUUGGGAUUAUUCCUCUAAAGGUUGUGCUGCUUCGCUCAAUGCAGUUCCAGUCUAUUUCCAUUUUUUGAAGGGUUUCCUCAUAAAUGAGGUUCAAUCCGCUACCGCCAUCCAUGAGUACCUUGGUAAGACGAAAGCCGUCCGCUAUUGGACCGAGGACCAAUGCGGCUGGUGCUCGGGCUGUUCGGAAUUUAGGUUCAUCACUGGCGUUAAAAGUAAUAGCCGUGUCGCUCCAUGGGUUUAUUGUUGCUACUUGGUAGACUUCGGCAAGGCUGCAGAGUGUUCUUUUUCGCAUAUUAUUUGAUGCGAAAGUCUCUAAGACUGUUAAUACCGUACUGGUGUCUCUGGGGUGGCUUUCUGUGGCUUUUGGAAUUAGAAGAUCUUCGCCAAUUUUUGCCACCUGCCGGAGUAUCCAACAUGCUCGAAGGCUAUGAGUUGAUGUGGCGCCCUCUGCACUGUGAAUUUUACAGGGUCCAUUAAGCCAUCCUUCCAGCACAGUUCCGUGCCCUGUAGAGGGAUUUUGCUUUUUGGUAUUGAACCCGGGUGUCUGGCGAUGAUGCACCCUUUUAUUUCGGACUGGGUUUGUAUUCAAGGCCGGAUUGUCCCAAAAUUUUAUUUCGGUUUUCCAGGCACUUUCCAUCGCACAGUACUUUCGUACUAUGGACGCCAAGUCAGCGAAGCGUGUAAUAUCACGGCGACUUAUGGCGUUGAGGAUUCCCUUGUCCGUGCAAUUAUUGCAGAAGAAUGAAAUUGCGUCUUCCUCGCGGCAGUCCUUUAUCCUGUUCAUAACCAGGAGGAAUCUGGCCCAGUAAUGAUGCACUGUUUCUCCCGGCUCUUUCCUAAUUUGGGACAGAUCACUUAUGUACGGGUGGGUGGGUGGAAUCAAAUCCGAAACCUCACCCAAUCUGAGACCCAGGGGCCAAGGAGUUUCCGAACUCGGAAGUUUGGAUUCUUGGAUGCUGUCCAAUGAAUCUAGCCCGUCGCCUGACUUUAAGUUCAGGUCUUGAGUGAUGUCCUCCCCUCCGCGGGUAUCCGGCUUGGAGGGAUCGGGAAUCCGGACAUAGCUAGUCCUUAAGAUAGAUGAAGGGUCGCCGCACUGUCCCUCUACCACGGCAACAUGAUGGGUGACCUGGGGAGAGUUAAUCUCUCUCAGAUCGGGUUUAGGCCCAAUCUGGUCGUAACCCGUAGCGACUCCCAGGGCGGCGAAGCGAUCCAAGAGCUCAUUUAGGGAAGAGAGCUCCAUUGGAUCUAGCUGCUCGGCGAAUUCCGAGCUGACGUGAAGAUUGCUUUCGAUGACCCGAGAGGUCAUCGUCGGCGCAACAGCCGAACGGGUGGUCAUAAGGAAACCACCUAGCCUGAGAGUCUGGCCGACAGCCAAAGCUCCCUUAGAAACGGUGCCGUCUUUAAAGACGGGAUGAGGCAUCCUUCCUGAUGGCGACGACACAGAGGAACUCUCAAUGAAAGCACCAAUGUCGGUGUCAAAACUGGCGGAUCUCGGGUAGGGGGUCCCGAACUGUGCGUCUAGGCGGAUGGUAACAGGAGGCAGGGGACACGAUGUUUUACCCAGGUUCGGGCCCUCUUGAUGGAGGUAAAACCCUACGUCCUGCUUGAUUAAUAUUGAUGAUAUGGGUAGUACAAGAGUAGAUCUACCACGAGAUCAAGGAGGCUAAACCCUAGAAGCUAGCCUAUGGUAUGAUUGUUGUUCGUCCUACGGACUAAAACCCCCCGGUUUGUAUAGACACCGGAGAGGGCUAUAGUUACACAGAGUUGGUUACAAUGGUAGGAGAUCUACAUAUCCGUCUCGCCAAGCUUGCCUUCCACGCCAAGGAAAGUUCCUUCCGGACACGGGACGAAGUCAUCAAUCUUGUAUCUUCAUAGUCCAGGAGUCCGGCCGAAGGUAUAGUCUAGCUAUCCGGACACCCCCUAAUCCAGGACUCCCUCAACCUCCAUCACUAGUGUAUGAUGCGGCUGACCGGCCACCGCGUGGCCGAGCCAGAGAGGCGUUUCAGCCUGAAGUUCAGCCUGCACCCCGCCGCCACUCAAUCAAAAAUACCAAGGCCCGGGGCAACACACGGGACCUGCGAGACGUAUUGGACAGCAGGGCAAAACUUGCAAGGUCAAUAUACGGGUCACGGGCACGCGCACCAACACGGGACGAUGAUCACCGCGCCGGAUACACCAAAGGUAAACCCGGCCAGGCCAAAUACAACAGACAAGACUCAUAUGAAUUGCGUCGUGAUAUAGCCCGGUACAGAGGCGCCGCACACCCCCUCUGCUUCACUGAUGCAGUUAUGGAUCACGAAUUCCCGGAGGGUUUUAAACCCGUAAAUAUCGAAUUGUAUGAUGGUACAAUGAUACGUCUCCAACGUAUCUAUAAUUUUUGAUUGCUCCAUGCUAUAUUAUCUACUGUUUUGGACAUUAUUGGGCUUUAUUAUCCACUUUUAUAUUAUUUUUGGGACUAACCUAUUAACUGGAGGCCCAAUCCAGAAUUGCUGUUUUUUUUGCUUGUUUUAGGGUUUCGAAGAAAAGGAAUAUCAAACGGAGUCCAAAUGGAAUGAAACCUUCAGGAAUGUGAUUUUCUCAACGAACAAGACCCGGGAGACUUGGACCCUAUGUCAAGACACAAAAGAGGAGGCCACGAGGUAGGCGGGUGCGCCUACCCCCCUCCCCCUAGGCGCGCCCUCCACCCUCAUGGCCCCCUGUUGCUCCACCGACGUACUCCUUCCUCCUAUAUAUACCUACGUACCCCCAAACGAUCAGAUACGGAGCCAAAACCCUAAUUCCACCGCCGCAACUUUCUAUAUCCAUGAGAUCCCAUCUUGGGGCCUGUUUCGGAGCUCCGCCGGAGGGGGCAUCGAUCACGGAGGGCUUCUACAUCAUCACCAUAGCCCCUCCGAUGAAGUGUGAGUAGUUUACCUCAGACCUACGGGUCCAUAGUUAUUAGCUAGAUGGCUUCUUCUCUCUUUUUGGAUCUCAAUACAAUGUUCUCCCCCUCUCUUGUGGAGAUCUAUUCGGUGUAAUCUUCUUUUUGCGGUGUGUUUGUUGAGACCGAUGAAUUGUGGGUUUAUGAUCAAGUCUAUCUAUGAAUAAUAUUUGAAUCUUCUCUGAAUUCUUUUAUGUAUGAUUGGUUAUCUUUGCAAGUCUCUUUGAAUUAUCAGUUUGGUUUGGCCUACUAGAUUGAUCUUUCUUGCAAUGGGAGAAGUGCUUAGCUUUGGGUUCAAUCUUGCGGUGUCCUUUCCCAGUGACAGUAGGGGCAGCAAGGCACGUAUUGUAUUGUUGCCGUCGAGGAUAACAAGAUGGGGGUUUCAUCAUAUUGCAUGAGUUUAUCCCUCUACAUCAUGUCAUCUUGCUUAAGGCGUUACUCUGUUUUCAUUAACUUAAUACUCUAGAUGCAUGCUGGAUAGCGGUCGAUGAGUGGAGUAAUAGUAGUAGAUGCAGGCAGGAGUCGGUCUACUUGUCUCGGACGUGAUGCCUAUAUACAUGAUCAUACCUAGAUAUUCUCAUAACUAUGCUCAAUUCUGUCAAUUGCUCAACAGUAAUUUGUUCACCCACCGUAGAAUACCUAUGCUCUUGAGAGAAGCCACUAGUGAAACCUAUGGCCCCCGGGUCUAUCUUCAUCAUAUUAAUCUUCCAAUACUUAGUUAUUUCCUUUGCUUUUAUUUUUACCUUGCAUCUUUAUCAUAAAAAUACCAAAAAUAUUAUCUUAUCAUAUUAUCAGAUCUCACUCUCGUAAGUGGCCAUGUAGGGAUUGACAACCCCUUAUCGCGUUGGUUGCGAGGAUUUAUUUGUUUUGUGCAGGUACGAGGGACUCACGCGUAGCCUCCUACUGGAUUGAUACCUUGGUUCUCAAAAACUAAGGGAAAUACUUACGCUACUUUGCUGCAUCAUCCCUUCCUCUUCAGGGAAAACCAACGCAGUGCUCAAGAGGUAGCAAGAAGGAUUUAUGGCGCCGUUGCCGGGGAAUCUACGCAAAAGUCAAUAUACCAAGUACCCAUCACAAUCCCUAUCUCCCGCAUUACAUUAUUUGCCAUUUGCCUCUUGUUUUCCUCUCCCCCACUUCACCCUUGCCGUUUUAUUCGCCCUCUCUCUCUAUCCUCCCUCUCUUUCUCUAUUUGCCUCUUUUUGCCCACUUGCUUUUUGUUUGCUUGUGUGUUGGAUUGCUUGCUUGUCACGAUGGCUCAAGAUAACACUAAAUUGUGUGACUUUACCAAUACCAACAACAAUGCUUUUAUUAGCACUCCGAUUGCUCCUCUUACCGAUGCUGAAUCUUGUGAAAUUAAUACUGCUUUGCUGAAACUUGUCAUGAAAGAUCCGUUUUCCGGCCUUCCUAGUGAAGAUGCCGCUACCCAUCUGAAUAGCUUCGUUGAUUUGUGUGAUAUGCAAAAUAAGAAAGAUGUGGAUAAUGAUAUUGUUAAAUUGAAGCUAUUUCCUUUUUCUCUUAGAGAUUGUGCUAAAGCUUGGUUUUCGUCUUUGCCUAAAAAUAGUAUUGAUUCAUGGAAUAAGUGCAAAGAUGCUUUUAUCUCUAAGUAUUUAUCCUCCCGCUAAGAUCAUCUCCCUUAGAAACGAUAUUAUGAAUUUUAAACAACUUGAUCAUGAACAUGUUGCACAAGACUUUGUGUGAUUUGUUAGGUUUCCGUGAUUUUGAUGAUUGCUCUCUAAACGUGCACCUUGCGGAUUCCACUAUUAAGAAACCUAUGGGAAGAAUUAAUGAUGUUCUUAUUGUUUCAAAUAGGAAUUAUGUGCCCGUAGAUUUUAUUGUUCUUGACAUAGAUUGCAAUCCUUCAUGUCCUAUUAUUCUUGGUAGACCUUUCUUUAGAACGAUUGGUGCAAUUAUUGAUAUGAAGGAAGGAAAUAUUAGAUUUCAAUUUCCCUUAAGGAAAGGCAUGGAACACUUUCCUAGAAAUAAAAUUAAAUUACCUUAUGAAUCUAUUAUGAGAGCCACUUAUGGAUUUCCUACCAAAGAUGGCAAUACCAAGAUCUAUCCUUGCUUGUUAUGCCUAGCUAGGGGCGUUAAAUGAUAGCGCUUGUUGGGAGGCAACCCAAUUUUAUUUUUAUUCCUUGCUUAUUUCUCCUGUUUAGUAAUAAGUAAUUUAUCUAAACUCUGUUUAGGUUGUGUUUUUUGUGUUUAAUUAGUGUUUGUGCCAAGUAGAACCGUUGGGAAGACUUGGGGGAAAGUCUUGUUAAUCUUGCUGUAAAAAACAGAAACUUUAGCGCUCACGAGAACUGCUGCCAUUUUUAUUUGGAAAGUGCUAUUUAGUUAAUUCUUUUUUCAGAUGAUUAAUAGAUAAACUCCUCACGUCCACAAAGUCAUUUUAGAAUUUUUGGGGUUUCAUAUCUUGCGCUAGCUACAGAUUACUACAGACUGUUCUGUUUUUGACAGAUUCUGUUUUCCGUGUGUUGUUUGCUUAUUUUGAUGAAUCUAUGGCUAGUAAAAUAGUUUAUAAACCAUAGAGAAGUUGGAAUACAGUAGGUUUAACACCAAUAUAAAUAAAUAAUGAGUUCAUUACAGUACCUUGUAGUGGUCUUUUGUUUUCUUUCGCUAACGGAGCUCACGAGAUUUUCUACUUUAAGUUUUGUGUUGUGAAGUUUUCAAGUUUUGGGUAAAGAUUUGAUGGCUUAUGGAACAAGGAGUGGCAAGAGCCUAAGCUUGGGGAUGCCCAUGGCACCCCCAAGAUAAUCUAAGGACACCUAAAAGCCAAAGCUUGGGGAUGCCCCGGAAGGCAUCCCCUCUUUUCAUCUACUUCUAUCGGUAACUUUACUUGGAGCCAUAUUUUUAUUCAUCACAUGAUAUGUGUUUUGCUUGGAGCGUCUUGUAUGAUUUGAGUCUUUUCUUUUUAGUUUACCACAAUCAUCCUUGCUGUAACACACCUUUUUAUAGAGCCAUACAUGAUUUGGAAUUUGUUAGAAUAAUCUAUGUGCUUCACUUAAAUCAUUUGAGUUAUAUAGUUUUGCUCUAGUACUUCACUUAUAUCUUUUAGAGCACAGUGGUGGAUUUGUUUAUAGAAACUAUUGAUCUCUCAUGCUUCACUUAGAUUAUUUUGAGAGUCUUAAAUAGCAUGGUCAUUAGCUUAAAUAAUCCUAAUAUGCUUGGAAUUCAAGAAUAAUAAAAGAACUUCCUUAUGAGGGUGUUGAAUGCUAUGAGAAGUUUGAUGCUUGAUAAUUGUUUUGAGAUAUGAAGAUGGUGAUAUUAGAGUUAUGCUAGUUGAGUAGUUAUGAAUUUGAGAAAUACUUAUGUUAAAGUUUGUGAUUCCCAUAGCAUGCACGUAUGGUGAACCGUUAUGUGAUGAAGUCGGAGCAUGAUUUAUUUUUAGAUUGUCUUCCUUAUGAGUGGCGGUCGGGGACGAGCGAUGGUCUUUUCCUACCAAUCUAUCCCCCUAGGAGCAUGCGCGUAAUACUUUGCUUUGAUAACUUGUAGAUUUUUGCAAUAAGUAUAUGAGUUCUUUAUGACUAAUGUUGAGUCCAUGGAUCAUACGCACUUUUCUCACCCUUCCACCUUUGCUAGCCUCUCUAAUACCGCGCACCUUUCGCCGGUAUCAUACACCCACCAUAUACCUUCCUCAAAACAGCCACCAUACCUACCUAUUAUGGCAUUUCCAUAGCCAUUCCGAGAUAUAUUGCCAUGCAACUUUCCACCAUUCCGUUUAUUUUGACACACUCCAUCAUUGUCAUAUUGCUUAGCAUGAUCAUGUAGUUGACAUCGUAUUUGUGGCAAAGUCACCAUUCAUAAUUCUUUCAUACGUGUCACUCUUGAUUCAUUGCAUAUCCCGGUACACCGCCGGAGGUAUUCAUAUAGAGUCAUAUUUUGUUCUAAGUAUCGAGUUGUAAUUGUUGAGUUGUAAGAAAAUAAAAGUGUGAUGAUCAUCAUUAUUAGAGCAUUGUCCCAGUGAGGAAAGGAUGAUGGAGACUAUGAUUCCCCCACAAGUCGGGAUGAGACUCCGGACGAAAAAAAAGAGAAGAAAGAAAAGAGGCCAUAAAAAAGAGAAAAGACCCAAAUAAAAAAAAUGAGAGAAAAAGAGAGAAGGGACAAUGUUACUAUCCUUUUACCACACUUGUGCUUCAAAGUAGCACCAUGAUAUUCAUGAUAGAGAGUCUCCUAUGUUAUCACUUUCGAAUACUAGUGGGAAUUUUUCAUUAUAGAACUUGGCUUGUAUAUUCCAAUGACGGGCUUCCUCAAAAUGCCCUAGGUCUUCAUGAGCAAGCAAGUUAGAUGCACACCCACUUAGUUUCUUUUGUUGAGCUUUCAUAUACUUAUAGCUCUAGUGCAUCCGUUGCAUGGCAAUCCCUACUCACUCACAUUGAUAUCUAUUGAUGGGCAUCUCCGUAGCCCAUUGAUAUGCCUAGUUGAUGUGAGACUAUCUUCUCCAUUUUUGUCUUCUCCACAACCACCAUUCUAUUCCACUUAUAGUGCUAUAUCCAUGGCUCACGCUCAUGUAUUGCGUGAAGAUUGAAAAAGUUUGAGAACACCAAAAGUAUGAAACAAUUGAUUGGCUUGUCAUCGGGGUUGUGCAUGAUUCAAAUAUUUUGUGUGGUGAAGAUGGAGCAUAGCCAGACUAUAGGAUUUUGUAGGGCUAACUUUCUUUGGCCAUGUUAUUUUGAGAAGACAUGAUUGCUUUGUUAGUAUGUUUGAAGUAUUAUUACUUUUAUGUCAAUAUUAAACCUUUACCUUGAAUCUUUCGGAUCUGAAUAUUCAUACCACAAUUAAGAAGAAUUACAUUAAAAUUGUGCCAAGUAGCACUCCGCAUCAAAAAUUCUGUUUUUAUCAUUUACCUACUCGAGGACAAGCAGGAAUUAAGCUUGGGGAUGCUUGAUACAUCUCCAACGUAUCUAUAAUUUUUUAUUGCUCCAUGCUAUAUUAUCUACUGUUUUGGACAUUAUUGGGCUUUAUUAUCCACUUUUAUAUUAUUUUUGGGACUAACCUAUUAACCGGAGGCCCAGCCUAGAAUUGCUAUUUUUUGCCUGUUUUAGGGUUUCAAAGAAAAGGAAUAUCAAACGGAGUCCAAACAGAAUGAAACCUUCGGGAACGUGAUUUUCUCAACGAACAAGACCUGGGAGACUUGGACCCUACGUCAAGACUCAAAAGAGGAGUCCACGAGCUAGGGGGGCGCGCCUACCCCCCCAGGUGCGCCCUCCACCCUCGUGGGCCCCCUGUUGCUCCACUGACGUACUCCUUCCUCCUAUAUAUACCUAUGUACCCCCAAACGAUCAGAUACGGAGCCAAAACCCUAAUUCCACCGCCGUAACUUUCUGUAUCCACGAGAUCCCAUCUUGGGGCCUGUUCCGGAGCUCCGUCGGAGGGGGCAUCGAUCACGGAGGGCUUCUACAUCAUCACCAUAGCCCCUCCGAUGAAGUGUGAGUAGUUUACCUUAGACCUACGGGUCCAUAGUUAUUAGCUAGAUGGCUUCUUCUCUCUUUUUGGAUCUCAAUACAAUGUUCUCCCCCUCUCUUGUGGAGAUCUAUUCGAUGUAAUCUUCUUUUUGCGGUGUGUUUGUUGAGAUCGAUGAAUUGUGGGUUUAUGAUCAAGUCUAUCUAUGAAUAAUAUUUGAAUCUUCUCUGAAUUAUUUUAUGUAUGAUUGGUUAUCUUUGCAAGUCUCUUCGAAUUAUCAGUUUGGUUUGGCCUACUAGAUUGAUCUUUCUUGCAAUGGGAGAAGUGCUUAGCUUUGGGUUCAACCUUGCGGUGUCCUUUCCCAGUGAUAGUAGGGGCAGCAAGGCACGUAUUGUAUUGUUGCCAUCGAGGAUAACAAGAUGGGGUUUUCAUCAUAUUGCAUGAGUUUAUCCCUCUCAUGUCAUCUUGCUUAAGGCGUUACUCCGUUUUCAUUAACUUAAUACUCUAGAUGCAUGCUGGAUAGCGGUCGAUGAGUGGAGUAAUAGUAGUAGAUGCAGGCAGGAGUCGGUCUACUUGUCUCGGACGUGAUGCCUAUAUACAUGAUCAUACCUAGAUAUUCUCAUAACUAUGCUCAAUUCUGUCAAUUGCUCAACAGUAAUAUGUUCACCCACCGUAGAAUACCUAUGCUCUUGAGAGAAGCCACUAGUGAAACCUAUGGCCCCCGGGUCUAUCUUCAUCAUAUUAAUCUUCCAAUACUUAGUUAUUUCCUUUGCUUUUAUUUUUACCUUGCAUCUUUAUCAUAAAAAUACCAAAAAUAUUAUCUUAUCAUAUCUAUCAGAUCUCACUCUCGUAAGUGGCCGUGUAGGGAUUGACAACCCCUUAUCACGUUGGUUGCGAGGAUUUAUUUGUUUUGUGUAGGUACGAGGGACUCGCGCGUAGCCUCCUACUGGAUUCAUACCUUGGUUCUCAAAAACUGAGGGAAAUACUCAUGCUACUUUGCUGCAUCAUCCCUUCCUCUUCGGGGAAAACCAACACAAUGCUCAAGAGGUAGCAUACAACAAAUCCCGCUGUAUGGAUCGAGGAUUUCCUCCUUCACAUCCACAUGGCUCGCGGUGACGAUCUACAUGCCAUCAAGUACCCCCCACUAAAACUCAAAGGACCAGCUCGGCAUUGGCUGAAUAGCUUGCCAGCAGACUCCGUCGGCAGUUGGGAGGCUUUGGAAGACGCAUUCCUUGACAACUUCCAGGGUACUUAUGUGCGACCACCGGAUGCUGAUGACUUGAGCCAUAUAACUCAGCAGCCAGGGGAAUCGACCAUGCAAUUCUGGACACGGUUCCUAACCAAGAAAAACCAAAUUGUCGACUGUCCAGAUGCAGAGGCCCUAGCGGCAUUCAAGCAUAACACCCGCGAUGAGUGGCUUGCCCGCCACCUUGGCCAGGAUAAGCCGAAGUCUAUGGCUUCCCUCAAGACACUCAUGACCCACUUUUGCGCUGGCGAGGAUAGCUGGCUGGCUCGCAGCGACAACACAUCAAGGAAUCCGGGCACUUCGGAUACCAAAGAUGCCAACGGCAGACCACGUCGUAACAGACCAAAGCGCCGCAACAACAGCGAUAACAACGAUGAUACGGAGUCAAUGCCGGAUUCAGAGGCUCUAGAUCCGGUCAGCGGAAAAAAGCCAUUUAAAAGAAGUACUCCAGCUCCGUCCAGUUUGGAUCGCAUACUGGAUCGCUCGUGUCAAAUCCACAACACCCCCGACAAGCCAGCCAAUCACACCAACAGAGAAUGCUAGGUGUUCAAGCAGGCCGGCAAGUUAAAUGCCGAAAACAAGGACAAGGGGCUGCAUACUAAUGAUGAGGAGCCCCGGCAGCCGAACACGGGAGGACAGAAGGGGUUUGCCCCAAAGUUCAACCCAUGGUCCGCUUGUCCAAUCACCUUUGAUCGCAGGGACCACCCCACCAGUAUCCGUCAUGGCAGAUCCACCGCACUAGUCCUAGACCCCAUUAUCGACGGAUUUCACCUCACUCGAGUCCUUAUGGACGGAGGCAGCAGCCUGAACCUACUCUAUCAGGAUACAGUGCGAAAAAUGGGUAUCGAUCCCUCGAGGAUCAAACCCACCAAAACCACCUUUAAGGGCGUCAUCCCAGGUGUUGCACGGGCUCAAUCACACUGGAAGUGGUCUUCGGAUCACCGAACAACUUCCGAAGCAAGGAGUUAAUCUUUGAUAUCGUCCCGUCUCGCAGUGGCUAUCACGCACUGCUCGGACGAACAACAUUUGCAAAAUUCAAUGCAGUACCGCAUUACACAUACGUCAAGCUCAAGAUGCCAGGACCUAGGGGGUCAUAACAUUAAAUGGAAACAUAGAACGCUCACUCCGCACGGAAGAGCACACUGCGGCCCUCGCAGCAGAAGCACAAAGCAGCCUUUUAAGGCAAGCCACUAAUUUGGCGAUACAGCCCCCGGACACCUUCAAGCGAGUCCGGAGUAAACUGCAAUAGGAUCGCCUGGCAUGUUCAGAGCUCGCCUAGCAAUUCGGCCCCCGUCCCAGUCCCAGUCAAGCAACAAAAUCCGUGCCGCGCGUACAUAAUUACGCACUGAAAAUACCAUGGACAUAGGCGGGGGCACGAUCAGGGCACGUCCCGCAAUGCAGCUUAACCACCCUAGGGGUUGUAUACCUUUAUCAUUUCUUUUCUCUUUCAGGGCCUAACUCUCUGGAAGCCCUUUCCAGCAGUACGAUUGCCGGACACAUUACGGGAAGGAACAACCAAGGCGGCACGAAGCUAAGAUGUACACGGGAACCCCCAGGUGGUCUCUAAUAAUAAUUGAUAUACCCGCUUUCUACUAUCCAUACACAGCUUGCCCUUGGGUAGGACAUUUCGAAUAGUCCUACUUUCUGCUUAUUGCACUACUUGUACCAGUACGCUUCGACAUAUUAUUUAAAUAACAAUGCAUAGCAUUAGUCUAUUGUUGCAUUAUUCAUCCUUUUUUUUCUUAUACAUCCAUUUAUGACAACUCACACCCGUACAUUCGGGUACGGUCAGUACGCCAGGGGCUUUCGUUUACCCCAUAACACGGCGCGAGAAGUCCGAACACUUUCGACAGUGCGGCACCCCGAACUUAUAGCAUUAUAUGCAUCAGCUCCGAAUCAUGUCUUGGGUCAAUAGUUGGGUUUGACCAGCUCCCAUGCUUUGGUACCUUACGUUCCGCUAUAUCGGCUAAGGUAGUGGUGGGAGAACUACUGCGAUUGUGUCCCGGUUCUUCCGGACGAGCAACUCAGUAGAGAAAGCCGAAAACUGACUGUCAUGAUAAGGCGAGAGACUGGUCGCUGUUCGAGAGGUCUCAAGUCCUUAAAGACCUUUUCUGCUUCGGGCGAGGAGUCGGCCUUGCCCGGUUUAGGCGUGUAUAGCGCCCCAAAUUCGGCCUUCCGAAUACUAGGGGUUUCGCCAAAAUUUAAAAUUGUAGACUUCUAUGGCUAAGUGAGAGUGAUAAAGCCUUAUAGUCCGAUUGCCUGGUUCAUUGCGCUGAACACCUCCCUUGAAGGACCCAAAAUUGGGAUAAAGAGUGCUCAGGUCUAUCCCGAACACCCCAGUACUAGUUACAUGGGGGCAGAAGCCGACGACUGGCCAACUCUCAGAUUUUAUAAAUGGCCGCACAGAAGGUAAUAUUUUAAAUUAAAAAAGCGUUGCAUAACGCAGAUGAACUCGUUUCACAUUAUAGGAUCACAUGAGCAUGUUCAUUCAAAAAUUACAUCCCUGGCACAUUCAUCCGCCACAAGGCGGGAACCCUUCAGGACACUCUCAUAACACAUCUCGGGCAGCGAUGCUCCUUGCCCUCCGCCGGCCCCUCCUUCACCAGCUUCAGGGCAGCCAGCUUCUCCCAGUGCAGCUUCGCCCAGGCAAAAGCCCUGCGCACACCCUCGAUGCAGACGGACCGCUUUAUGACUUCCAGCUGUGGGCAGGCAUCCACAAGCCGCCUCACCAGACCGAAGUAGCUGUCGGGCAGGGGCUUGCCAGGCCACAUCCGGACUAUAAGGCCCCUCAUGGCCUGUUCGGCCGCCUUGUGAAGCUCGACCAAUUGCUUCAGUUGGUCGCUCAAAGGCAUCGGGUGUUCGGUCCCAGUAUACUGAGACCAGAACAACUUUUCCGUCGAGCUCCCCUCCUGAGCUCGGUAAAACUCCGAUGCAUCCAGUACACUGUGGGGAAGAUCUGCGAACGCUCCUGGAGAGCUCCGAACUCGGGUAAGUAAAAGGAAAGUUUCCUCCACAUGCUUGCUUUGCAUAAUGAAUGUCUUACCCGCUGCAAUCUUAUUCACCGCAUCAAUCUCCUGGAGGGCCUUGUGGGCUUCAGCCUUGGUGCUCCGGGCGCUUUCAAGCACCCGCGCGAGCUCGAACUCUCGCGUCUUAGAGUCAAGCUCCAAGGACUCGUGUUUUUUGGCGAGAGCCUCGAGAUCUUGCUGCACCUCGCCUACUCGGGCUUCUUGCUUCUCCCGCUCAAUGCGCUCCUUGGCCACUUUAUCUUCGGCCUCGGACAACGCUUUCUUUAGGGUCGCCACUUCGGUCGUGGCCCCUGGCAAAUUCAUGAUGAUCCUAUUAUUUUACAACCGAACUUCUUUUUAAAAGCGUAGACAAGGUAUUGCUUACCUUUGCUCUCCUCGAGCCGCCUCUUGGUAAGGCCGAGCUCGUUCUUGGUCCGCUCCAGGUCCUCCUUCAGUGCAGAGACCUCCGUAGUACGUGCGGCAGCGGCCAGCAGUGAAGCCUGCACAUACACAUAGAUAUAUUCUGAUUAGACUCAUGAGUCAUCAUUUGAUCCUCUAUUCGGCCUUUCUUCUCUAACGCCGAACAGAGCAUCAGGGGCUACUAUCUAUGCGGUAAUAUUUUCUUAUAUUUUGAUUGCUUACCUCAAAGCCUAUUAGGAGGCUGGCGCAAGCUUUGGUCUAUCCGUUUUUGACGGACUGAACCUUCUCGGUCACCGCACUCAUGAUAGUAUGAUGCUCUUCAUCGAUGGAAGCACCGCGAAGCGCUUCCAGCAAGUUUUCCGGUGCCUCUGGAUGGACAGAGGACACCGGCAUGGGCGGCUGGCCCCCCUUAAUGGGGGAUCGCCUCCCGGAGUCCGGAACCAUCGAAGGUUCCGUGCAGUGUUCGGUUGGGGGCCGAACUCAGAGCCCGUGGGAGUUUUGCUCCCUUUGCGCCCAGGGUCCGGGAGGUCGCCUCGAGGCGCCCCCAGGACCACCUACCCUUGGCUCGGUGCCUUUUGAGACAACACCUCAACAUUGUCCAUAGGGCGAGGGGUGGAGGCGGUCGGAAGAGAACCGAUGUUCAUAUCCGACGAGUCCAACGAACCGCUCGACGAAGAUACGUCGAGAUGAUCUCAGGAUGGACUGCAUAAUCAUGUUCGGCAUGAGGAGAAGUGGUGGAACAGUGCAAUAAAACAUACCAUGAAUUACUAUGGUGUCCGGAUACUUAUGACUUCGCCAGGGGCUUGACCCUGGGUAGCCACUCAUCGCCGCUGUAGGCGGCCGUCGUGGGCCAGUCCGGAGGGAGGGUCCUUCCCUUCUUGGACCCUUCGGCCUCCCCGGUUGGGUCGGCCUUCCUUUUCUUGUCUCCCCUGGCUGGGGGGCAGAACUUUCUGCCUCUUGCACCUCAUUUUCAUGGGAGGAGUGCGCGUCAGAGUCAUCAGAUGAUGAGUCCGAUACAACCUUGCGCCGGAGACCCUUUUGGGUCCACGUGGCCUUCUUCUUGGUCUUCUUCGCCGGCACCUCGUAAGGUCCCAGAGCCAGCAUCUCCGUUAGGAGAGGAUCUGCAGGAUCUUCAGGCGGGGGGCUGGGCAAUCGAGCUCCUCCGUUGUCUUUAUCCAGUCCUGUUAAUAACAUGGAAGCUUAGAUCCCACACAUGAUUUAACUGGGGCAAAUAAAUACCCUGUGAGAUAUCAAAACUUACCGGAUUGGCAUGGCGCUUUGCGCUGAGUCCGUGGUCCUCGGUGAGGGAAGGAGGUACCUCGGCGCCCUUGAACAGCACCCUCCAGACGUCCUUGUGCAUCGUGUCGUAGAGCUCUCGCAGCGUCUGGUGCUUGGCCGGGUCGAACUCCCACAAAUUGAAUGCCCGUCAUUGACACGGGAGAAUCCGGCGGAAGAGCAUGACCUAGACCAUGUUGACGAGCUUGAUUUUCUUGCUCAUCAUGUUCCUGAUGCAGGUCUGGAGUCCGGUCAACUCUACCGAAGAACCCCAGGACAUGCCCUUCUCUUUCCAGGAAGUGAGCCGCGUGGGGAUUCCGGAUCGAAAUUUGGGGGCCGCUGCCCAGUUGGUGUCCGGUGGCUCGGUGAUGUAGAACCACCCUGAUUGCCACCAUUUUAUGGCCUCCAUGUAGGAGCCUUCGAGCCAGGUGACAUUGGGCAUUUUUCCCACCAUGGCGCCUUCGCACUCUGCUUGCUGGGCAACCACCACCUUCGAUUUGACAUUGAAGGUAUUCAGCCACAGGCCGAAAUGGGGCCUCAUGCGGAGGAAGGCCUCGCACACAACGAUAAACGCCGAGAUGUUGAGGAUGAAACUGGGGGCCAGAUCAUGAAAAUCCAGCCCGUAGUAGAACAUGAGCCCGCAGACAAAUGGGUGGAGAGGAAAUCCCAGUCCGCGGACGAAGUGGGUAAGAAAAACUACCCUCUCAUGGGGUUCGGGCGUAGGGAUGAUCUUCCCUGCAUCUGGCAGCCGAUGCGUGAUAUCCGUGGCCAGAUAUCCGGCUUCCCGUAACUUUGUGGUGUUCUCCUCCAUGACGGAGGAGACCAUCCACUUGCCUCCCGCUCCGGACAUGCUUGGAGUGGUUUGAGAAGAAAGACGCGAACUUGGGCGCUGGAGCUCGAGUGUGUGAGAAUGGGUAAGCAAGGAGGAAGAAGGCGUGGGUGAAAAGAGUGAAUCCUAAUCACUUUAUAAGGGCGGAAGAGGCGAUGCGCCUCCCCACUUGCCUGGUAAAAUCGCUUAUUCCCCAAGCGUCGUAAUUGAUGGCGCGGUUGGGUUACCCAUGUCCGUGUUGAUGAGAAUCCCGUAAUAAGGGGAACACGAUCUCUGCUUUGACAAUACGUGUCAAGAAAACCGCUUCGCGAUAUGUGCGGUGCUAGUUGAGAAAAACGGUUCGAAUAAUGACCGGGCCAUGGCGUGAUGUCACGCUGUCAAAACGUGUCAGCAGAUUAGAUUUGUGGAAAUAUUAUUCUCUUUGGGGUGGUAUGUGGAACUUGUUUUGCAGAGCUGGAUACUAUCCUUGCGUUCAAAAUCUUCCAUGGAGUAUCCGGAGGAGGAACCCGCCUUGCAAUGCCGAAGACAAAACUGCGUGCCGGACUCAUCGUCAUUGAAGUCUGGUUCAGGGGCUACUGAGGGAGUCUUGGAUUAGGGGGUCUCCGAACAGCCGGGCUAUAUCCUUUAGCCAGACUAUUGGACUAUGAAGAUACAAGAUUGAAGACUUCGUCCCAUGUUCGGAUGGGAGUCUCCUUAGCGUGGAAGGCAAGCUAGGCAAUACGGAUAUGUAGAUCUCCUCCCUUGUAACCGACUCUGUGUAACCCUAGCCCCCUCCGGUGUCUAUAUAAACCGGAGGGUUUAGUCCGUAGGAAAACAUACAAUCAUACCAUAGGCUAGCUUAUAGGGUUUAGCCUCUACGAUCUCAUGGUAGAUCAACUCUUGUAAUACUCAUAUCAUCAAGAACAUCAAGCAGGACGUAGGGUAUUACCUUCAUUAAGAGGGCCUGAACCUGGGUAAACAUCGUGUCCCCUGCCUCCUGUUACCACCCGCCUUAGACACACAGUUCGGGACCCCCUACCCGAGAUCCACCGGUUUUGACACCGAUAGUCGCAUUUUACAAUAUGAAGCCGCCGCCAAGCCCUGUUCUUCCUUGGGAGUGGUGAUCUGGAGUCCGUUCGGGGCUCCGGAGAGGGGAAUCUGUCUCCAUCGCCAUCAUCAACCAUCCGCCAUCACCAAUUUCAUGAUGCUCACUGCCGUGCGUGAGUAAUCCCAUCGUAGGCUUGCUGGACGGUGAAGGGUUGGAUGAUAUUUACCAUGUAAUCGAGUUAGUUUUGUUAGGGUUUGAUACCUAGUAUCCACUAUGUUCCAAGAUUGAUGUUGCUAUGCCUAAUGCUUGUCACUAGGGCCCGAGUGCCAUGACUUUAGAUCUGAACCUAUUAUGUUUUCAUGAAUAUACUUGUGUUCUUGAUCUGAUAUUGCAAGUCAUAGUCACCUACUACGUGUUAUGAUCUCGCAACCCCGGAGUGACAAUAGUCGAGACACUUCCCAGUGAUGACCGUAGUUUGAGGAGUUCAUGUAUUCACUAAGUGAUAAUGCUUUAUUUCGGUACUCUAUUAAAAGGAGGCCUUAAUAUCCCUUAGUUUCCAUUAGGACCCCGCUGCCACGGGGGGGUAGGACAAAAUAUGUCAUGCAAGUUCUUUUCCAUAAGUAUGUAUGACUAUAUUCGAAAUACAUGCCUACAUUAUAUUGAUGAAGUGGAGCUAAUUCUGUGUCACCCUAUGUUAUAAUUGUUGCAUGAUGAAUGCCAUCCGACGUAAUUAUCCAUCAUUGAUCCAUUGCCUGCGAGUUCGUUUCAUAUUGAUCUUUGCUCUGUUACUUUUCUGUUGCCACUGUUACGCUUGCUACAAAAUUGCUAUUGUCACUUUUGCCACUUUUACCAUUACUUCUAUACUACUUUGCUACUAAAUACUUUGCUGUAGAUAUUAAGUCUUUCAGGUGUGGUUGAAUUCACAACUCGGCUGCUAAUACUUGAGAAUAUUCUUUGGAUCCCCUUGUGUCGAAUCAAUAAAUUUGGGUUGAAUACUGUCAAUGUCAAAACCGGCGGAUCUCGGGUAGGGGGUCCCGGACUGUGCGUCUAAGGUCGAUGGUAACGGGAGACAGGGGACACAAUCUUUUACCCAAGUUCGGGCCCUCUCUAUGGAGGUAAUACCUUACGUCCUGCUUGAUUGAUCUUGAUGAAUACGAGUAUUGCAAGAGUUGAUCUACCACGAGAUUGUAAUGGCUAAACCCUAGAUGCCUAGCUUGUAUGGUUAUGAUAAUGUAUGUCCUCCGGACUAAGUCCUCCGGUUUAUAUAGACACUGGGAGGAUCUAGGGUUACACAAGGUCGGUUACAAAAAAAUGAAUCUACAUAUCUAGUCACCAAGCUUGCCUUCCACGCCAAGGAGAGUCCUAUCCGGACAUGGGUGCAGUCUUCGGUCUUCGUAUCUUCACAACCCACCAGUCCGGCCCAUGGCUAAUAGGCCGGAUGCCCGAGGACCCCUUAGUCCAGGACUCCCUCAGUAGCCCCCGAACCAGGCUUCAAUGACGAGGUGUUCGGCGCACAGAUUGUCUUCGGCAUUGCAAGACGGGUUCCUCCUCCGAUGACUUCCAAGUAAUGUAUUCGGUUUUUAAUUCAAGGCCACGCCCCUCGGCUUCUGUGCAUCGAUGACUUCAGCUUCCACGUGUAGGGCGAAUGCGGACGGUCAGGGUACUUUCUGCAAAUAAUACCCUGGCCAUGCAAAAAAGAGCGUCUAUUUAAAGAGAUUGGGUCUCAGAUCCAUUCGUCAUCAUACGGAGAAAAUCCUUAGAGAUUUCCAGGAAAGGCCAUUCCAACAUGGCUAGCAUUCCCAGCUCCUCCUCCUAUUCUAACCCGAAGAAAGGCGAGUGGGAGAGGUGCUCCGUGUCCCACAAUCGAUUGGCGAAGUUGCAAACGCAGGGAUUUCUCCCCCCUGCGGAUCUGGUCCCUGUUCGAGCAGGGUUGGCUUCCUUCAACAGCAAAACCCAGGCGGAGGAUUUCCCCAAUCCAUCUGCGGGGUAACGAGUGUGCUUCGUCCCCUAUCUGCUGAGGGGCGUGGGAUUUCCAAUUCACCCAUUCCUCUGAGGGAUCCUGGAGUAUUAUGGCCUCCAGCUGCACAAUUUUACCCCAGCCUCCAUCCUGCACAUUGCGGGUUAUGUCGCUUUAUGCGAACUAUUCCUGGGUUGUGAGGUCCAUUUUGAUCUGUGGAGAAGGUUGUUCUGUCUUGUCCUGCGCAACCACGAGGGAUCGAUAUUUGAAGUGGGUGGGGCCGAAUAUGGCGCAUUGCUGAGACCGGAUACCUAUUCGACACACCAAAGAAUGCUUCCAAAGAGUGGACCUCUGAAUGGUUUUACAUUGAGGACGUCGUACUUCCAGAUCCAGUCCGGAUGGGCCUCCCCGAAUUUUCAAGUGCUCCGUUGAAGAAACGCCAUAGCUGGCGUCCUCGGAGCCUCGAGGAAGACAAUAGCGCAGAGAUCAGUCUGCUACUGGGUAAGAUUAAGAUGCUUGCCCAGUACGGAUUGUCAAUAGUCGAGGUAAUGGCGGUCUCCAUAACGCGGGGGGUCCAACCACUCCAAUAUAGAGGGCUACCCAUGUGGCAUUACAAUGGGGCAGACGACGCCUCCCGCUGCGGUCGGAAGGGCCCGAAGACUCCCGCCGCUCUGGCCAAAAUAUUGACCGAACUGUAUAAAGGGGAGGAGGAGGAGUUCAUCCGUCUCCAAUAUCGAGACGGGUUUUCCAUGUACAACUCUCCUAGCUGGGUAAGCUCUAACUCCACUAUUCGACUCCUCUCCCUGAAUUAUUUUGGAAGGGCGGUAUCUGAUUUAUUCAUGACAGGAAUGGCGAAAGGCCGUCGAGGGGAUCCAUGACCCCGCCCCUCAGCCGGAGAAUCACAAUCAGGAUCUUGACCCCGGAUAUGAGGAAGAUCCGGACAUAUUCGUGGAACUCAAAGAUGGAGUUUUCUAUCAGACGAGCUAUGACGGCACGGAUGUACCCAUCAUCGCCGAUUACCCCGGCCUCCUUCCAGCUUCGCACGUAAGUAAUUUUAGCUGGUACUUUCUUCUAGAGAGUUCCCUUACUAUUCCGUGUUUCAAAGCGGAGACGCUCAGUACCGCAACAUGCAUCAGAAGCAUCUCAGAGGAGAGCAGUGCCCGCGCCUGGCACAUCUUCGAAGAGGAAGGCCAAUGAUAGCACGACAGAACCCUCGUCAAAGAGGUAAGGCUUUUCUUUUCAAGAAUACCCGUUCUGAUCGUCACAUCCAACUGAAAUGCCACUCGCCGUAUUCCAGCAGGAAAAGUAUCCGCCGGACUGUGUCCGGGGAUCCGGCCAGUCGUGCCUUUACUAACCACGUUCCGGACUUCGCGCAAAGAACGGGGGCUGAUACGGGAGCGGCGCCUGACUGUCCUCCCAUAGAGGAUUCAGAGGAUGUGUCCAUUAUGAACUCUGAAGUGGAGAGCACUAUGAAUCAUCGUCAUCGGAGGGUCAUUCUUCAUAACCCUGGUUUUUUGAAAGCAUCAUUUGAUGCCUUCAAUUCGGCCACUGUGUAUAUUCGAGCUUCUCGGGAUGGGCUUGUUAGAGCCACAGACCAGCAUCUAAAAGAUAUGCAGGUAAGCGUAGAUUUAAUAAUCAUACACCAGUAUCCCCCGAGACUUAAAGUAGUUGAUACAACUGAUUUAAGGAUCAAUGUAUAACCAGGUGCUUACGGAGAAGAACAUCCUGUUAACUCAGGAACUAGAAAAGUGUCAGAGCCAGCUAAUUGCUGCCAAUGCCGAACUGGAGAAAUCGAAGAAGGCAUCCCCUGGUAAUGUUUCCCUCCACCGAGAAAGCAUAAUGGUACACUAAUAAUGCUAACCUGGCUGCUUACCUUUUUAUUGGAUCAUUAGACCAACUACAAGAACAACUAGACGCCGCUCGAAGCGGAGAACAUGGAGCCAAAAAACUGCUAGCCGCGGGCGAGCGUGUGCUAACAAAAGUCGUUCAGGAGAAAAACAAGCUCCAGGAUUCGAACACCCAAAUGAGCGAGGAACUGAAAGAUGUACGUGCCCAUCUAGCAGACUCCAUAAAGGAGAAUAAAAGGCUGCAAGGCAGCAUAUUCAGUAUGCAGUUCGAACUUACCUUCAAAUAAUUCGGAGGCAGAAAGGGCUGACAGACUUGUGUCUACAGGUAUGCUGACUGGUCGUCCAGAAGAGGAGAUGUCCGGAUCGUCGAGCGAUCUGCUACAAGAACUAUCACAGGUGCACGAGCAGGCUUGUCAGGCGAUGUGAAGUGUUGCCAAGGCCCUAUGGCCAACCGCCUCCCCUCCGGCAAAGAUGGGGGAGCUAAUACAACUAUUUAAGGGAGCGCGGUGGCGCUUUCGACUUUGGAAGAUAUCGGCAUGUCAGGAAGGCGCACGGGAAGCCUGGGCCAUGGUGAAAACGCGGUAUACCAAGCUUGAUCCGAAUCAUAUGGCUCGGGUCGGACCUCUAGGGUCAGACGGAAAAGAAAUUCUCGUGAAUUUGGUAUAUAACCAAGUAGAAGUAGCCGCCAAAUAUUCCCAGCAGGAUCGUAAAUUAGACCGCCUGCUGGACGACAUAGAGGAGGAAAUUUUUGAGUCGUAGUGACUAUGUACUUUCCCUGACAUAUGUGAUUCUAGCUGGAUUAUAAAAACAAUUGUCAUGGUCGACCUUUUCUCUUCGACCUCUAGACCCGAAGGUGCGGAGUGUUUCCGAAUACCCUAGCGGUAGAAUAUACCGUGGUAUGCAUGGGAACCAGGCGUAUGGGUCAUAGUUGCUUGAACAGACAAUGUGUAUCCAGUUAGUUAUGUUAUAUUACAUUAUGUAAGAAACAUCUUCCAGAGAGAAUAGUUCCAUUAACGGUUCCUUUUCCCUGGGUGUGCAUGCGUUUAAUGUGCAUGUCCGAACUGUGAUUGAAAAAAAUCGUAGAGUAAGUAACUUCUGGGGUUUCACAAUGGAGUGAAUAUGGAAACGUCUUCAAUUCACCGACCGAAUAUUCCCUUACGAACGCUAGCUUUCGGCUUCACCCAGUCCGAGGUACACAUCAAGAUGACCCGGCAGUAACAAUCGCAGAGGUGCUCCCUUUAUGCCCUAACCGAACUAACGGGAACGUAGGGCAUAAGCACAGGAGCCAGGCAACCCAGCUUAGCCAAAACUUAAGUCAUAUUGAUGCAUAUAAUGGCGAAGAAAAGGUACAUAUGGGAAGAACGCAUGUGUGGUGAGCUUGAUGCUCAAAGAAUAAUAGCAAGCUUUUGUACAAGAAACCCCCAGGUAUAAUGGACGUACAUAUUUGGAGAUGUACGCAUUAGGGGAGCACGGUCUAGCCAUACUAAAGCCGUAAGGCUAAAGAGCAAAAGGAAAAAAGAUAAAAAAGAAAAGAGAGAGAAAAAAUAACGUUAAUAACAGGAGGGAGGAGACGAACACAGAGUUCAGCGCUAGGCAUAGAAUCGUCGGAGUCUGGCCGCAUUCCAGGGGUUCGGCUCUAAGUGAUUGUCUGACGCAUCACGUAGGCGAUACGCUCCUCCGGUGAGAACUUCGUCAAUGAUGAAGGGACCCUCCCACUUGGGCUUGAGUUUGUCCUUUUUCUUCUCUCGCAGGCGUAGAACGAGUUCACCAACGUUUAAGUCUUGGCUCACACUUCUCUGCUUUGAUACCUGCGAGCCUGCUGUUGAUAAAAUACGGAACGGGCUUUUGCGACGCCGCGCUCCUCCUCCAGGACAUCUAAGCUGUCCUGCCGAUCAAGAUUGGCCUCUCUCUCUUCGUACAUGCGCACUCGAGGUGAGUCAUGAAUAAUGUCGCAGGGUAACACUGCUUCCGCACCGUACACCAUGAAGAAAGGUGUAUAUCCAGUAGUGCGGUUGGGCAUGGUCUGUAGCCCCCAGAGUAUGGAGUCAAGUUCCUCCACCCAGUGCUUGUCUGAUUCUUUCAAAGACCGCACUAGUCUAGGUUUGAUGCCGCUCAUAAUAAGACCAUUAGCCCGUUUGACUUGACCAUUUGUCUGCGGGUGAUAGACAGAGGCGUAAUCGAGCUUAAUGCCCUAAUUAGCACACCAAGUUUUCACUUCAUCGGCUGUGAAAUUGGAUCCAUUAUCGGUGAUGAUGCUGUGUGGAACACCACAACGGUUUACCACGCCGGAUAUGAAAUCUAUUACCGGCCCCGCCUCGGCCGUUUUGACUGGUUUGGCCUCUAUCCACUUAGUGAAUUUAUCCACCAUGACCAGCAGAUACUUUCUCUUAUGGCUUCCUCCUUUAAGGGGCCCGGCCAUAUUGAGUCCCCAUACCGCAAAAGGCCAAGUGAUGGGGAUUGUUUGUAAGGCAAUGGGGGGCAUAUGGUUUUGGUUGGCGAAGAGUUGGCACCGACACAACAUUGGAUAAGGUCCUGUGCAUCUGCUCGGGCCGUCGGCCAAUAAAACACUGUACGGAAGGCCUUGCUAACAAGGGACCGAGCUGCAGCGUGGUGCCCGUCGAGACCUGCAUGAAUCUCAGCCAGAAGCUGUCGCCCCUCCUCUUCCGAGAUACAUAUUUGAAGGACUCCGGUAGCGCUUUUCUUAUAGAGCUCUCCGUCAUGAACCUUGUAGGCCUUCAAACGCCGGACAAUGCAGCGGGCCUCAUUCUGAUCCUCGGGAUGCUCCUUCUUAUUAAGGUAGGCCAGGAAUGGUUUGGUCCAUUGGGCAAUGACUACCAUAAUGAGAUGGGCCGAUGGUGUUAUUUCGGUGGUUGAGCCUCCGACGAUAUCGAUGUGUUUGGAAUCUAGGGUUGUGUUCGGAUCUGGACUAGUGUUGCCGCCCUCCCCCUGCCACACCACAGAUGGCUUAAAAAGCCUUUCCAGAAAAAUGUUAGGUGGUCCGGGGUCGCGCUUAGCGCCUAUGCGAGCAAGAACAUCCGCCGCUUGAUUACUUUCUCAGGACACAUGAUGGAACUCGAGUCCCUCUAACCGAGCCGACAUUUUUAGGAUGGCAUUACGAUAAGCUGCCAUAUUUGGGUCUUUGGCAUCGAAGUCUCCAUUUAUUUGAGAUAUUGCGAGGUUUGAGUCCCCGCGCACUUCCAGGCGCUGUAUGCCCAUGGAGACUGCCAUCCGGAGACCAUGCAAUAAGGCCUCGUAUUCAGUUGCGUUAUUGGAGUCUGUGUAUAGUAUUUGGAGUACAUACUGAAUGACGUCUCCAGUAGGGGACGUUAAAACGAUGCCCGCUCCUAGUCCUGCCAGCAUUUUGGAGCCAUCGAAAUACAUAACCCAAUUGGAAUAUGUGUCAUACUCUUUAGGGAGUUUGGCCUCUAUCCAUUCGACGAUGAAGUCAGCCAGUACUCGGGAUUUAAUAGCUCGACGUGGUUUAUAUGUAAUGUCAAAUCGGAGGAGCUCAAUGACCCAUUUGGCAAUCCGGCCUGUGGCAUCGCGGUUGUUUAUUAUGUCGUUGAGUGUUACUUCGGAAGCCACCAUGAUCGAACACUCCUGGAAGUAGUGUCGUAGCUUUCGGGAUGCCAUGAAGACCGCGUAUGCUAUCUUUUGAUAAUGGGGGUACCGGGAUUUGCAUGGUAUAAGGAUAGUGGAUACAUAGUAUACUGGCUUCUGAAGUGGGAAUUUGUGCCAGUCCUGUUCUCAUUCAAUGACGAGUAUGGCGCUCACCACCUGAUGUGUUGCCGAUAUGUAUAGCAACAUGGGUUCACCGUCGUUUGGUGCGGCCAGGAUUGGGUUGCUCGCGAGAAGGGUUUUUAUUUCUUCUAGCCCGGCUGUUGCUGCGCCCGUCCACUCGAAGUGAUCGGUUCGCCAUAGAAGACGAUAGAGUGGCAGUGCCUUUUCUCCCAAUCUGGAGAUAAAGCGGCUUAGAGCUGCCACGCAACCCGCGCGUUUUUGGACUUGUUUAAGGUCUGUUGGCAUAGCCAAUUGUGACAGGGCUCGGAUUUUGGCUGGAUUUGCUUCAAUUCCUCUAUUGGAAAUGAUGAAGCCCCGCAGCUUUCCUGCGGGGAUGCCAAAAACACACUUUUCUGAAUUGAGCUUAAUAUCAUAUGCGCGGAGGUUGUCAAAUGUGAGGCAUAGGUCGUCUAUUAGUGUUUCGACGUGCCUUGUCUUGAUUAUGACGUCAUCCACAUAGGCUUCAACUAUCUUUCCGAUCUGUUUCUCCGGGCAUGUAUGGAUCAUGCAUUGAUAAGUGGCGCCGGCGUUCUUGAGUCUGAAGGGCAUGGUGUUGAAGCAGAAUGGCCCAUUUGGGGUGAUGAAUGUUGUUUCAGCUUGAUCAGACUCCUUCAUUUUAAUUUGAUGGUAUCCGGAAUAUGCGUCAAGGAAGCAUAAUGAGUCGUGUCAUGCGGUAACAUCAAUGAUCUGGUCAAUGCGGGGGAGGGGGUAGGGAUCCUUAGGGCAAGCCUUGUUGAGGUCUUUGAAAUCGACGCACAGGCGCCAGGACUUGUCCUUCUUUGGAACCAUCACCAGGUUUGCCAACCAGUCCAGAUGUUUUAUUUCUCUAAUGAAUCCUGCCUCGAUUAGCUUGGCUAGCUCCUCCCCCAUAGCUUGACGUUUGGGUUCGGAAAAGCACCGCAUUGUUUGCUUGACCGGUUUAUAUCCCUUCAAUAUAUUCAGGGUGUUCGGCCAACUCAUGUGGGAUUCCUGGCAUAUCAGAAGGGUGCCAGGCGAAUAUAUCCCAAUUCUCGCUCCUGUCUAUUUCCAUUUUUGUAUUGUAUCCUCAUAGAUGAGGUUUAGUCCGCUGCCGCCGUCCAUGAGAACCUUGGUUAGCCGAAAGCCGUCCACAAUUGGGCUGAGGACCAAGGUGGCUGGUGCUCGAACUAUCCUAUAUUUUGGCUCGUUGAUAGCAUUAAAGGUUAUCACCGUGUCGUUCCAAGGGUUUAUUGUUGCAAUCUGGCAGACUUCGGCGAGUUCACGGAGGUGCCCUUUUUUGAGGCGAAUGUCUCGAAGACCGUCAAUACUUUGAGGUCGUCGUCUUCUGGGGGGGGUGUUGCUCUGGGGUAUUCCUGGUGAGGAUAUCUUCACCGCUCUUGGCCACCUACCGAAGUAUCCAACAUGCUCUAAGGCUGUGGGUUGGUAUGCUAUUCGGUGUUGUGUGUAUUUUGCAUGGCCCGUUGAACCAUCCUUCCAGAACGGUUCUGCACCCCGUAACGGGCUUGUGUUUCUUUACCAUUUGUCCCGGCGUGCCAUGGGGGUGCGCCCUUUUCGUCUGAACGAGGGGUUGAGUGGGGACUACUGGUUCCCACCAUGUUGCCUGAGUUUUCCAGGCGCUUUCCAUUGCGCUGUACUUCUGCACGAUAGUUGCCAAGUCAGCAAAGUGUGAUAUGUGACGGCGGUUGAUGGCGUUGAGGAUCCCCUCGUCAGUGCAAUUGUUGCGAAACGUUGAGAUCGCAUCUGCAUCGUGGCAAUCUUUGAUCUUGUUUUUGACAAGGAGGAAUCUAGCCCAAAAUUGGUGAACCGUUUCCUGAGAUUGUUGCUGCGUGCUCAAGAGAGUGCUUAUAUCUGGGUGGGUGGGUGGAAUUAAAUCUGAACCCUGACCCAAUUUUGGGUCGGGAUUCCGAAAAUCUUCCGGACUUAGUGGUUCGAGCUCCGAGAUAUCAACUGAUUUUUUAAGCGUAUCGUCCGAUUCUAUGUUCGGAGGACAAGGCGUGUCUUUCUGCCGGUAGGUGUCCGGCUUCUCAAGGUUGGAGAUCCGAACGUAGUUCAUCCUCAAUAUAGAGGAAGAAUUAUCUUGCUCCUCGACUACCGCUAUAUGGUGGGUGAUCGGUGGAGAUUUAAUUUCUCUCUGGUCUGGUUUAAGCCCAAUCCGAUCGUAGUCUGUAGCGACCCCCAAGGCGGCAAUGCGAUCUAGGAGUUCGUUUAAAGAAGAUAACUCCAUCGGAUCCAUCAGUUUGGCAUAUUCAGAAUCAACGCAGAGGCGAUUUUCGAUGACUCGAGAGGUCAUCAUCGUCGGCUCAAGGGCCGAACGGGCGGUCAUGAUAAAAUCGCCCAACCGAAGGGUUUGGCCUGAGGCCAGAGCUCCUCCGGAGGUGAUAGUUUCCUUGACGAUAAGUCGAGCCAUCAACCCUUUCAACGACGGCGUAGUGGAACUCUCAAUGAAAGCACCCAUGUCUGUGUCAAAACCGGCGGAUCUCGGGUAGGGGGUCCCGAACUGUGCGUCUAAGGUCGAUGGUAACAGGAGACAGGGGGCACGAUGUUUUACCCAGGUUCAGGCCCUCUCUGUGGAGGUAAUACCCUACGUCCUGCUUGAUUGAUCUUGAUGAAUACGAGUAUUACAAGAGUUGAUCUAUCACGAGAUCAUAAUGGCUAAACCCUAGAGGCCUAGCUUAUAUGGUUAUGAUAAUGUAUGUCCUCCGGACUAAGUCCUCCGGUUUAUAUAGACACCGGGAGGAUCUAGGGUUACACAAGGUUGCUUACAAAGAAAGGAAUCUGCAUAUCUAGUCGCCAAGCUUGCCUUCCAUGACAAGGAGAGUCCUAUCCGGACACGGGUGCAGUCUUCGGUCUUCGUAUCUUCACAGCCCACCAGUCCGGCCCAUGGCUAACAGGCCGGACGCCCGAGGACCCCUUAGUCCAGGUGAGGGAGUCCUGGAUUAGGGGGUCUCCGGACAGCCGGACUAUCUCCAUUGGCCGGACUGUUAGACUAUGAAGAUACAAGAUUGAAGACUUCAUCUCGUGUCCGGAUGGGACUCUACUUGGCGUGGAAGGCAAGCUAGGCAAUAUGGAUAUGGAUAUCUCCUCCUUUGUAACCGACCUUGUGUAACCCUAACCCUCUCCGGUGUCUAUAUAAACCGAAGGGUUUUAGUCCGUAGGACAACAACCAUAACAUACAAUCAUACCAUAGGCUAGCUUCUAGGGUUUAGCCUCUUCGAUCUCGUGGUAGAUCUACUCUUGUACUACCCAUAUCAUCAAUAUUAAUCAAGCAGGACGUAGGGUUUUACCUCCAUCAAGAGGGCCCGAACCUGGAUAAAACAUUGUGUCCCCUGCCUCCUGUUACCAUCCGGCCUAGACGCACAGUUCGGGACCCCCUGCCCGAGAUCCACCGGUUUUGACACCGACAUUGGUGCUUUCAUUGAGAGUUCCUCUGUGUUAUCGCCGUUAGGCUUGCUGGCUCCUACUAUCAUCAAUAGCGAUGCGGUCCAGGGCGAGACUUUUCUCCCCGGACAGAUCUUCGUAUUCGGCGGCUUUGCACUGCGGCCUAAUUCGCUUGGCCAUCUGGAGCAGGUUGAAAGCUACGCCCCUGUCCGUCAGGUCAGAUUUGGAAGUUUGAACUACACGGCCGACAUCCGCGGAGACUUGAUCUUCGACGGAUUCGAGCCACAGCCGAGCACGCCGCACUAUUAUGAUGGGUAUGACCUAGCUCUGCCGCCGAACAGUACCCAAGAGGCCACGCCCGCAUCAGCUCCGACCCUUAGCUCGAGGCCAACUACGCCAAUCGAGGACGGGUGGCUAGACACCGCCUCAGGGGCUGCAGUCUCAACGGCGAUCGAGCCGAACACCAGCCUAGUCCUCCGCGAAGCCCGUGACUCCAAGGUGCUGGACUCUUUUCCGGACUCCGAACCGCCCGCGCCCCUGCCAAUCGAAUCCGAUUGGGCGCCGAUCAUGGAAUUCACCGCCGCGGAUAUCUUUCAGCACUCGCCCUUCGGCGACAUUCUGAAUUCACUAAGGUAUCUCUCUUUGUCAGGAGAGCCCUGGUCGGACUAUGGCCAACAGGAUUGGGAUGCGGACGACGAAAAAAUUCGAUGCCCACCCACCACCCACUUCGUAGCCACUGUCGAUGAUUUAACCGACAUGCUUGACUACGACUCCGAAGACAUCAAUGGUAUGGACGAUGAUGUAGGAGACGAACAUGAACCAGCACCUAUAGGGCACUGGAAAGCCACCUCGUCAUAUGGCAUAUAAAUGGUGGAUACACCCAAAGAAGGCAAUGGCGACGAGAUAGCGGAGGAUGACCCCUCCAAGAAGCAACCCAAGUGCCAACGUCAGCGGCGCCGCUCUAAGUCCCGCCAAAGAAAAAGUGGUGAUACCGGCACAGGAGAUAAUAACACUCUAGAUAGUGCCGAAGACAACAACAAUCCCCUCCAGCAAGAUUCAGAGCAGGAGGAUGGAGGAGCCAGCUCUCCUGAGAGAGCGGCAGACGGAGAGGAGGAGGAUGACAAUUACAUGCCCCCCUCCGAAGACGAGGCAAGCCUCGGCGACGAUGAAUUCGCCGUACCAGAGGAUCCCCUCGAACAAGAGCGCUUCAAGCGUCGGCUUAUGGCCACGGCAAAUAGCCUGAAGAAAAAGCUGCAGCAGCUUCAAGCUGAUCAAGAUCUGCUAGCUGACAGAUGGACUGAAGUCCUCGCGGCCGAGGAAUAUAAACUCGAGCGCCCCUCCAAGAAUUAUCCAAAGUGCAGGUUACUACCCCGACUGGAGGAAGAAGCGUAUGAUACGGCUGAUCGGCCACCUCGUGGCCGUGAUAGAAAGGCAUUCCAGCCAAAAGCUCAGCCUCCACCCCAGCGCGAUUCAAAUAAAAAGGCAUGGGGAGAUACGCCAGACCUGCGAGACAUAUUGGAGGACAAAGCAAAGCAUGAAAGAUCGAUCUACGGAUCACGAGGGCGCACCACUCUGUGAGACGAUAAACGUCACGCCGGAUACAGUAAAAGCAAAUCCGGCCGGGCCGAACACAGCGGGCGAGACCCAUUUGAACUGCUUCGUGAUAUAGCCCAAUACAGAGGCGCCACACACCCCUAUGCUUCACAGACGAAGUAAUGGAACAUCAAUUCCCAGAAGGUUUCAAACCUGUAAAUAUUGAAUCAUACGACGACACAACAGAUCCCGCAGUAUGGAUCGAGGAUUUCCUCCUCCACAUCCGCAUGGCCCGCGGUGAUGACUUACACGCCAUCAAAUACCUCCCACUAAAGCUCAAAGGACCAGCGCGGCAUUGCCUUAACAGCUUGGCAGCAGACUCCAUUAGCUGUUGGGAAGAUCUGGAAGCCGCAUUCCUCGACAACUUUCAGGGCACUUAUGUGCGACCACCAGACGCCGAUGACUUGAGCCACAUAAUUCAGUAGCCAGAAGAGUCGGCCAGGAAUUCUGGACUCGGUUCCUUACAAAGAAAAAACAGAUCGUCGACUGUCCGGAUGCAGAGGCCUUGGCGGCUUUCAAACACAACAUCCGAGAUUAGUGGCUAGCCCGGCACCUUGGUCAGGAAAAGCCGAAAUCUAUGGCAGCUCUCACGACGCUCAUGACCCGCUUUUGUGCGGGAGAAGACAGCUGGCUGGCUCGCAGUAAUAACAUAUCAAAGAACCAUGGUACCUCAGAUACCAUGGACGGCAAUAGCAGGUCACGUCGCAACAAACAUAAGCGCCGCAUUAACAGUGAAAAUACUGAGGAUACGACAGUCAAUGCCGGAUUCAAAGGCUCUAAACCCAGUCAGCGGAAAAAGCCAUUCAAACAAAGUACGCCGGGUCCGUCCAGCUUGGACCGUAUACUCGAUCGUUCAUGUCAAAUACACGACACCCCAGACAAGCCAGCCAAUCACACCAAAAGGGAUUGUUGGGUGUUCAAGCAGCCCGGCAAGUUAAUUGCUGAAAAUAAGGACAAGGGGCCACAUAGCGAUGACGAGGAGGAGCCCCGGCAGCCGCACACUGGAGGACAGAAGAGGUUUCCCCCGCAACUGCCGACGGUGAACAUGAUAUACGCAACCCACAUCCCCAAGAGGGAGCGGAAGUGUGCGCUCAGGGACGUAUAUGUGUUGGAGCCAGUUGCCCCAAAGUUCAACCCUUGGUCCUCCUGUCUGAUCACCUUCGAUCGCAGGGACCACCCCACUAGUACCCGUCAUGGCGGAUUUGCCGCACUGGUCCUAGACCCAAUCAUUGACAUAUUUCACCUCACUCGAGUCCUUAUGGAUGGCGGCAGCAGCCAGGACCUACUUUAUAAGGACACAUUGGGCAAAAUGGGUAUAGACCCCUCAAGGAUCAAACCCACAAAAACAACCUUUAAAGGCGUCAUUCCAGGUGUAGAGGCCCAUUGCACAUGCUCAAUUACACUGGAAGUGGUCUUCGGAUCCCCGGAUAACUUCCGAAGCGAAGAGUUAAUCUUCGAUAUAGUCUCGUUCCGCAGUGGUUAUCACGCGCUGCUCGGGCGAACCACAUUUUCUAGAUUCAAUGCGGUACCGCAUUACGCAUACCUCAAGCUCAAUAUGCCAGGACCUCGCGGAGUUAUUACAGUCAAUGGAAACACAGAGCGCUCUCUCCGAAUAGAGGAGCACACCGCAGCCCUCGCAGCAGAAGCGCAAAGCAGCCUCUCAAGGCAAUCAACCAGUUCGGCGCUUCAAAGCCCGGACACCUUCAAGCGCGCUCAGAGCAAUCAGCAAAUAGACCUCCUGGCGCGAUCUGAGCUCGCGUAGCAAUGCGGCGGCCACCCCAAUAACAGCCCAAUGGCGAAACUCAUGCCGCGCAUACAUAAUUACGCAUUAAAAAUACCAUGGGCACAGGUGGGGAUGGGGCACAACUGCGGCAUGCCCCAAGAUGCGGCUUAAACCGCACUAGGGGCUUCCCGUUUGGUUAUUUUUCUCUUUUUUUCCAGGACCUUAAUCUCUGGAAACACUGUCUGGCAGCGCUAUUGUCGAACACAUGAUGCAGCAACCAAGGAGGCAGACAGUUACGUCAUACCACGGAAUUCCCAGGUGGAUUACAGUAACGAGCGAAAUAUUCGAUUUAAUAUCAUUCCUCAGCUUGCCCUUGGAAGGGACAUAGUCCCACUCUUUGCUUAUCGCACUAUCUGUAUCACUCUGCCUUAACACAAUUUUUUUAAACAAUGCAUGACAUUACGACUAUUAUUGCAUUCUUGUUAUAUAUAUAUAUAUAUAUAUAUAUAUAUAUAUAUAUAUAUUUAUGUGUUCAUUAAUGACACCUUGCAACCGUACACUUUGGUACGGCCAAUACACCAGGGGCUUACGUACCCCACAAUACGGUGUGAAAAGUCCGAACACUUUCACAAGUGCGGCACCCCGAACUUAUAGCAUUAUAUGCAUCAACUCCGAAUCAUGUCUUUGGUCAAAUGUUGGGUUUGCCCGGCUCCGAUGUUUUGGUACCUUACGUUCUGCUCUAUCGGCUAAGGUAGCGCUAGGAGAACUACUGCGAUUGUGCCCCGGUUCUGCUAGGUUUAGCACCUCGGUAGAGAAAGCUAAAACUGACUGUCAUGAUAAGGCGAGAGACUGGUCGCUGUUCAACGAGGUUUUCGAGUCCCUAAAGAAUUAUGCCGCUUAGAGCGAGGGGUCGGCCCUGUCCGGCUUAAUGGCGUGUAUCGCGCCCCAAAUUCGGCCUUCCGAAUACCAGGGGCUUCGCCGAAAUUUAAAAUUAUAGAAUUCUAUGGCUAAGUGAGAGUCAUAAAGCAUUAUUAGUCCGGUUGCCUUGUUCGCUGUGCUGAGCACCUCCCUCGAAGGACCCAAACAUGGGAACAAGAGUGCUCAGGUUUAUCCCGAACACCCCAGCACUCGUGGCACGGGGGCAGAAGCCGAGGACUAGCCAUCUCUCAGAUUGGAUAAAUAGCCAAACAGAAGGUAAUAUUUUAAAUUCAAACAAGCGUUGCAUAGCGCAUAUGAAACAAGUUUUCAUAAACACAGGAUAAAACGAGCAAGUCUCAUUCAAAUAUUACAUCUUUUGAACACUCGUCCGCAAUGAGACGGGCACCCGGCAGAACACCCUCGUAGUACAUCUCGGGGUGGCGGUGCUCCUUGCCCUCCGGCGGCCCCUCCUUGAUCAGCUUCACGGUGUCCAGCUUGACCCACUGCAAUUUCACACGGGCAAAAGCCCGGCGUGCACCCUCAAUGCAGACAGAUCGCUUGACGGCCUCCAGCCGCGGGCAGGCAUCCACAAGCCGCCUCACCAGGCCGAAAAAGCUGUUCGGAAGGGCGUCGCCAGGCCACAGCCGGACUAUAAAGCUCUUCAUGGCCCGGUCGGCCGCCUUAUGUAGCUCGACCAUCUGCUUCAGCUGGCCGCUCAUUGGCACCGGGUGUUCGGCCUCAGCAUACUGAGACCAGAACAGCUUCUCCGUUGAGCUUCCAUCCUCGGCCGGGUAAAAUUGUGCGGCAUCGGACACACUGCGGGGCAAAUCUACGAAUGCUCCUGGAGAGCUCCGGAUUCGGGUAAGUAAUCGGUAAUUUACUUUUACAUGCUUGCUUCGCAUAUAGAAAGCCUUACCCACCGCUAUCUUCUUCAUUGCGUCGAUCUCCUGGAGGGCCUUUUGGGCUUCGGCCUUGGCACUUUUUGCGCUCUCGAGGGCCGCAGCAAGCUCAGACUCUCGCGUCUUUGAGUCAAGCUCCAACGCCUCGUGCUUCGCCACGAGAGCCUGGAGCUCUUGCUGCACCUCGCCCACCUGAGCCUCGUGCUUCUCUCGCUCGGUGCGCUCCUUGGCCGCUUUAUCUUCGGCCUUGGUUAGCGCUUGCUUCAGGGUCGCUACCUCGAUCGUGGCCCCUGGCAAAUAUACGAUGAUCCUGUCAUUUUGCAAACACAUCUUCUUUUAUAUACACAUAUCUAUAGACAGGGUAUUACUUACCCUUGUUCUCCUCGAGCUGCCUCUUGGCAAGGUCGAGCUCUUUCCCGGACCCCUUGAGGUCCUGCUUCAGUACGGCGACCUCCGCAGUCAGUGCGGUGGACGCCAGCAGCGAAGCCUGCAUAUGCAUAUUGACAUACUUAUAUUAGACUCCUGUGAUAUUAUUUGAUCCUCUGUUCGGCUUUUCUUUGUGAACACCGAACAAAGCAUCAGGGGCUAAUGUCUAUGCGGUAAUAUUUCUACUACAUUUUAAAACACUUACCUCGAAGCCUGUUAGAAUGCUGGCACAGGCUUCAAUCAAUCCGCUCUUGGUAGACUGAACCUUCUGGAUCACCGCACUCGUGAUAGUGCGGUGCUCCUCGUCGAUGGAAGCGCUGUGAAGCGCUUCCAGCAGAUUGUCCGGCGCCUCUGGAUGGACAGAGGUCGCUGGCACAGGCGUCUUGCCCCUCUUAGAAGGAGGCCGCCUGCCCGAGCCUGGAACCGCUGGAGGUUCCGGCGUGGUGUUUGGCUGAGGGCCGAACUCGGAGCUCUCAGGGGCCCCGUCCCCUUGGCUCUCGGAGUCUGGAAGGUCGCCUUGAGGCGCCUCCAGGACUGUCUCCCCUCGACCCGGUGCCUCUUGAGACAGCACCUCGGCAUCGUCAGCAAGAUGAGGGGAGGUGGUGGUCGGGACUGGAUCGCUAUCCAUGUCCGACGAGCCCAGGGAGCCGUCCGAUGAUACAUCGAUACUGGCUCGUGGCGGCCUGCAUAAUUGUGUUCGGCAUUAGGGAAAGCAAUGAGACAAAGGAAUCCUAUGAGUUACUCUGGUAUCUAAAUACUUACGAUCUCCCCGGGGGCUUGGCCCUGGGCAACCACUCGUCUUCGCCUUCGUCGGCGGCGGUGGAACUGUCUGUAAGGAGAGUCCUUCCCUUCUUGGACCCUUCGCCCCCCAGUUGGGGCGGCCUUCCUUUUCUUGUCUCCCCCAGCCGGUGGGGGAGCAUCUUUUUCUUCUUCCUCCUCGUCUUCAUGGGAGGAGUGCGCGCAGAGUCAUUGGACGGUGAGUCUGACGACGCCUGGCGUCGAGAACUCUUUCGGGUUCCCUUGGCCUUCUUGCUCUUCUCCGGCACCGUAUAAGGGGCCGGAGUCAACAUCUUCGCCAGAAGAGCGUCUGCGGGGCCUUCGGGCAAAAGAGCCGGACAGUCGACCUGUUCGGCCGUCUUCUGCCAGUCCUGUCAAAGGUACGGGAGUUUAGAUCCUGCAUGGAGUCAAUCUAUAAAAAAUAAGUAUCCUAUGAAAGGUAAAGGAGCUUAUCACAUUGGCUUGGCGCUUCGCACUGAAUCCGCGAUCCUCAGUGAUAGGAGGGGGGACCUCGGCACUUUUGAACAACACCCUCCAGGCAUCUUCGUGAGUCGUGUCGAAGAGCCUGUUCAGAGUUCGGUGCUGCGCCGGGUCGAACUCCCACAAGUUGAACUCCCGUUGUUGGCACGGGAGGAUCCGGCGGUGGAGCAUGACCUGGACCAUGUUGAGAAGUUUGAGCUUCUUGUUCACCAUGUUUUGAAUACAUGUUUGGAGUCCGGUCAGCUCUCCCAAACUACCCCAGGAUAGGCCCUUCUCUUUCCAGGAAGUGAGCCGCUUAGGGAUGCCAGAUCGGAACUCGGGGCCGCUGCCCAUGCAGGGUCGCGCGACUCGGUGAUGUAGAACCACCCCGAUUGCCACCCCUUUAUGGUUUCCACAAAGGAUCCCUCGAGCCAUGUUACAUUGGGCAUCUUGCCCACCAUGGCGCCUCCGCACUCCGCCUGGCGCCCACCCACAACCUUCGGCUUGACGUUGAAGGUCUUCAACCAUAAGCCGAAGUGGGACAUGAUGCGGAGGAAGGCCUCGCACACGACGAUAAACGCCGAGAUGUUGAGGAUGAAGUUCGGGGCCAGAUCGUGGAAAUCCAGGCCGUAAUAGAACAUGAGCCCCCAGACGAAUGGAUGGAGAGGGAAUCCCAGUCCGCGGAGGAAAUGGGUGAGGAACACUACCGUCUCAUGGGGCCUGGGGGUGGGGAUGAGCUGCCCCUCAUCUGGGAGCCGGUGCGCGAUGUCGUCGGGCAGGUAUCCGGCUCUCCUCAAUUUCUUAAUGUCUCCCUCCGUGACGGAGGAGACCAUCCACUGCCUCCCGCUCCGGACAUGGUUGGAGAAGGUUGAGGUGGGGAGUGCGGACUUGGGCGCUAGGGCUCGAGUGUGCGAAAACGGAUGAGCAAAGGAGGAAGAAGGCGUGGAUAGAAAGGUGAAUCCUUAUCCCUUUAUAUGGGCGGACAAAACUAAGCGUCCCCACUUGCCUGGUAAAACUCACUUAUCCCCCAAGCGUCGUAAUUGAUGGCGCGGUUCGGUUACCCAUGCCCGUAUUGAUGAGAAUUCCGUAAUAAGGGGACAUGAUCUCUGCUUUGACAAGACGUGUCGAAAAACUGCCUCGCGUUGUGUGCGGGGCUGGUUAAAGGAAAUGGUUCGAAUAAUCAUCGGGCCAUGAUAUAACGUCAUGCUACCAAAACAAGCCUGCAAAUUAGAUCUGCGAAAAUAUUAUUCUCUCUACGGUGGUAUGUGGAACUUAUUUUGCAGGGUCGGACACUAUCCUCGUAUUCAAAUUCUUCUGUGGUGUAUUCGAAGAAGGAACCCGCCUUGCAAUGUCGAAGACAAUACUGCGCGCUGGACUCAUCGUCAUUGAAGUCUGGUUCAGGGGCUACUGAGGGAGUCCUGGAUUAGGGGGUCUCCGGACAGUCGUACUAUCUCCAUUGGCCGGACUGUUAGACUAUGAAGAUACAAGAUUGAAUACUUUGUCUCGUGUCCGGAUGGGACUCUACUUGGCGUGGAAGGCAAGCUAGGCAAUAUGGAUAUGGAUAUCUCCUCCUUUGUAACCGACCUUGUGUAACCCUAACCCUCUCCGGUGUCUAUAUAAACCGAAGGGUUUUAGUCCGUAGGACAACAACCAUAACAUACAAUCAUACCAUAGGCUAGCUUCUAGGGUUUAGCCUCUUCGAUCUCGUGGUAGAUCUACUCUUGUACUACCCAUAUCAUCAAUAUUAAUCAAGCAGGACGUAGGGUUUUACCUCCAUCAAGAGGGCCCGAACCUGGGUAAAACUUUGUGUCCCCUGCCUCCUGUUACCAUCCGGCCUAGACGCAUAGUUCGGGACCUAUCAUGGAUUUGUCACAGCAUAUGUCCUUAGUAUCAGGACUUUAGUCGCGAGGCCAACGCAUCUAUGUGGUAGCUUGAGAGGGGUUGAGUGGGACGAGAGACGCGAUGUUUUGCCCAGGUUCGGCCCCUCACGGUGGAGAUAAAAGCCUACAUCCUGCUUCAUUGAUAUUGAUGAUGAUGAUCACGGUUACAAGAUUGCUCUAUCUCGAGAGCUAUUGUCUAAACCUAACUUGUCCAACUCGCGGAACUUGUCCAUAUUGUCCUUCUUUGAGGAGCCCUGCCCCUCCUUAUAUAUGUUGAAGGGGCGGGUUACAUGUGGAGUCCAACUCAGACUUUAACUUAAACUAUUUUGACUUCCCUUCCUGGGCUUCUUAACUUCUAGCGGUUUAACAUUGUUCUGCCGGUUUAACAUUGUUCUGCCGGUUUAACAUUGUCUGCCAGUUUAACAUUGUCUGUCAGUUUAACACCAGCCGGUUUACCGUCUAACUUAGCCAUUUGUCUUAACUCUCUGUCUUAACUCUCAGUCGGUUUACCAAGUCCCAGCCGGUUUACAACUCCAGUCGGGUCAUACCGCGGGGUAUAUCCCUGACAUUAGCCCCCAAUUUAAUUUGGAUUUAUCCAUGUUAAACUGAUCUUGAUUAUCCUUAAGUCCUUGUCACUUCCUUCUUCUAUAAAAUCCGAGUCAAUAGAGCAACUUCAUAAUCAAUUUGCUGACAUCGGUUUGUCAUAGUGAAAUAUUGUGAAGAAUAACUCCUUGACUUCAGCUCCCAAUGCUUAACAAAAAUAUUGGCCUUUGAAAUACUCAUUUGAUCUUCAGCCGGUUUAAGAAUGUAGAACUGGCUGGUUUGAGAAUGUAGAACUGUGCCGGUUUAAAACUUGAACUCGCCGGUUUACAAAUAUUGAUGGCACCAGGUCAUAAUUGUAGUUAGCAUGAAGCUUGAAAAUAUACCUCUUAUAUGCCUAACACUUGUAGCCCCCAAGUCUUAAGAAGGUAGCAUAGCAACAGCUUAAGACUUGCUUCAAUAUGAAUAUCACAAUCUUGAAGAAAUCCAGGUUGUUCAUCAAUCACUAGUCAGAAUUGAGUACUCUACAUAUGUAGCCCCCAAGUGUUGGGUUGUCCUGCUUGCAGCAACCUGGGACUUGAAAUUGCCUUAUUCUCAUAAAAACUUCAACCAGUGUAGCCCCCAAGGGCCGGGUCAUUAUGCAAUAAUGAGCAGGGACUUUGUAAAUAUAAUCUUGUAAACUUUGAUCAUCAGCGUGUAGCCCCCAAGGGUCGGCUCAAUAAGAUAAUAUUGAGCUGGGACUUGAUAUAUUCUUUAAUGAAAAUAACAUCAUAUGAUGUAACCCCCAUCAUGGGGCUUGAACCUACGUCCACAAGGUUGAGAGCUUUGUGCUUUACCAACUGAGCAGUGGACCCUUCAAUGUAAUGGAUAAAAAUAUUUGUACCUUGAAUAGUUGACAAGAGCAAUUGGUAGCCUCCAAGUGCCGGCUCAUUAUAAUGUGAUGAGUCGGGUCUUCAAUAAGGUGAGCAAACAAUGACUUUGCAUUAGCCCCCAAGUGUCAUGGUGCAUGCUUGCAGCGACAUGAGACUUGCAUAUUUGAUGUAAUCUUAACUUAAAUAAUAUAGCCCCCAAGUGCCGGGUCGUAAGCCUGCAGCAACUCGGGACUAUUCCUUCAAUCACAUCCAUUGAUAAUAUGAUAGCCAUUGCGCUAAAGCGACUUUGAAAACCUUAAUCAUAAUACGGGUUAUUGAUAACCAUAAUAAAAAUCCAGCCAUGUUGGCUAUUAAAGAUUUGAAUAAUAUACCCAAUCAUUUAUAAGCGCAUGAUUCCAAUGGCGCAAUCCAAAUAUAUACCGGCGACUGAUAGUCCAAAGCCAGGCCGGGUUAAUAAACACCGAAUUAUAAGUGAUUAUACACUGACAACUUGUAGUUGAAAGUCGAGCUGGGUUAAAGAACACCGGGUUAAUUUGAUGACUGAUAGUCAUGCCGGGUCGAGAGACGCCGGUUCAACAUAAAAUUUAUCAAAAGAGAAAAAAUAUUGACAAAGGCAAAUAAAACCGUGUACUCAAGGUUUUUCAAGGGCUGCCAGGCCUAAAUUCGAGGCUUUUCGUGGGCUGCGAGGCCGCUGAGUUAAACCAUUUGACAAAGCCUUUUAAGAUGGGCCUCCAACUAACCAAUCGUCGUUUUAACUUUGACAAGUUCAGAGUCUCCAUGAGAGUAACUGUCAAACGUUCGGCGGGUCAUGCCAGGAUUACCUGGAUAGGAGUGGCUUACUUGAUGAAGGCAGGUUAACCCGGGGUUUUAGGUGAAUACACCAGGCUUCCAAGCCGUGGGUCGAUACCCGGUUACAAGGGUCCUUUCAAACUCUUUGGUAUUUUACGCAAAGAGCCCCCAAGUAACUUUGUGAGAUGUGCUCAAUGGGUGCCUAUGUUUGAGUUGUGCUUUAGCAACAAUACUCUCUUUGGCCCCUUGGGUGUGAAGCUCCCAAGCUUUGUUGUGGCGUGAUAGCCGAAUUAAUGGACAGAACUCCGUUUUGUAAGCUGAAGCCCCCAUAUGAUAUAUUUCUGAGCUGUGCUCGCCGGGUGACUAUGUUUGAGUUGUGGUGUGCAACAAACUCUCUUUGGCCCCUGAUGAUAAUAUUGUCUUGAUAGCCGCAUCAAGAGGGUAGUGACGCCAUGUUCUCUUUGGAGAAUACACAUAUGUUUCAACAGGAAGCCCCCAAGUCAUAUGAGAGAGAGAGCUCCUCUGUAAUGGUGAUCAAUAAUAUGAUAAGCCAAUAAGGCAUGAUACCCAUGUUUGAACCGUGCAUCAUGGCAGGAGGUCCUCUUCGGCAACUUUUAAUUUUUUGCAAGAGAUAAAUUCUUCUUGAACCGGGAUUUUGAACCGAAUAUUGAGAGCUUCAAAGCUUUGCGGGAGAUAGCUUUCCCUUGAGCCGGAUUAUAAACCGGAAUCCUUCUUUUUAAGCCGGAAAUUUUUCUGACGGCCUUUAAAUUUGCACCAAUAUGGUGACUUAGGGUCCUGCAUUAGAUAAUUUUGCAAGCCGGAGUAAUUGCUCUUGUAAAGAAAGCAAUAUAUAAUAUAAAAACAUACUGGGUGGAUUUCACCUGAUAUGUUAAGCCCAAAAUUAUCCACCACGGAGUUGAUGAUCACCCCGGUAAAGACGGGUGAGUCGGCUUUGUAAUAAAUAAUGGUCCUAGUGCUUGUGAAUCACAGAUGAUCUGGACGUAGACACUCGUAGAUAACCUUUCUGUGCUGUCAGUGAAUUCUGUUUGAUCCUUGUGUAUGCAUCCAAAGGAUUGUCAAUAACACCUGAUCACUUUGACUUUUCGUCCAACAAGCCCCCCCUUUUUUUAGCCCCCACCGGAUCAACUUCAAUUAUUGUUGCCAAUUGGGGCGUGGAAACAGCAAGGCGAGCGGGGCCGGCUCGCAGGGCUCGGGCGAACAAAGGCAGGUGAGGCCGAUUUUCUUCUGAGCGACGGCUCACGGUGCGACCCGGGCGGUUUAACUGCGUGCGAGGCCGCGGCAACCGGCACUGGCGGUUUAAAAGCAGGGGCAUGACUCGGGACAGACGGCGUUUUAGCAGGGCCGCAUGAGUCGACAGCUUUGGCGAGGCAGCCAUUGUUUGAGUCAAGGCCGCGGGCAACCAGGUGAUGCUCGGAGAUAGCGUCAGGUUGCGACGGCUCAUGAAGCGUAGAAGCAUUGGUGAUUUGAGGCCUAAGAUGCGGCGGAUUGAAGAAGGACGCCGGGUGGAACGGCGCGCGGCCAUGACUGGUUCAACACGGGAUGCGGCUCGGGGCUCGGAACGGCGCGCAGCUAUGGUGAUUUGGAGGAGGCAGCCCGGGGGCGCCGGUUUAAAGCAGCAAGGCCGAGCUUUGCUAUGGCGAGCAGUACUUGGCUCUGAGGCGCGUCUUGGGCGUAGAGAUGAAUCGGCCACAUCGAGGCGCGUCUUGGGCGGGUCGACGAGGCGCACCUGCUGCCGCGGCAGGUUGAAGUGGCAGCCUGUACUGACGGUGACUCGGGGCCCGCUUGUGGUCGGAGCGGCACGCGCGAGAGAUCGCGGCGGCGACACGCCGGCAGUGGUCACAGCCGGGUCGGGCGUACGCACAGGUAUACUCUGUGCAUCAGUUCUUCAGUAGAAACUGGAAGGUGGAACCAUCACGCCACAGCGAGUUAAUUGCAGGGCACUACCACACUUCGACACGUCGUAACGAAUCAGUACAAUUAGUCAUUUUCUUUGCCAUGCAGUACCAGCUCAGAGCCUAAGUGUUGCAAAACAGUCUAAGCCACGUAUAAACGCGUACUGACGGUGUAUCUGACCGCUGGGACCCGUGUGUCAGGGGCUGACGUGGCAUGCUCUUUUACAAAAAGGACCCUUACUUUUUAUUUAAUCACGCAUAUAUCCUCUGUGUGUUAAAAAAAGGCCUCGCCACAAAAACAUGUACCAGCUCAGAGCCUAAGUGUUGCAAAACGGUCUAAGCCACGUAUAAACGCGUACUGACGGUGUAUCUGACCGCUGGGACCCGUGUGUCAGGGGCUGACGUGGCAUGCUCUUUUACAAAAAGGAUCCUUACUUUUUAUUUAAUCACGCAUAUAUCCUCUGUGUGUUAAAAAAGGCCUCGCCGCAAAAACAUGUACCAGCUCAGAGCACGUAUNNNNNNNNNNNNNNNNNNNNNNNNNNNNNNNNNNNNNNNNNNNNNNNNNNNNNNNNNNNNNNNNNNNNNNNNNNNNNNNNNNNNNNNNNNNNNNNNNNNNNNNNNNNNNNNNNNNNNNNNNNNNNNNNNNNNNNNNNNNNNNNNNNNNNNNNNNNNNNNNNNNNNNNNNNNNNNNNNNNNNNNNNNNNNNNNNNNNNNNNNNNNNCACGCAUAUAUCCUCUGUGUGUUAAAAAAGGCCUCGCCGCAAAAACAUGUACCAGCUCAGAGCCUAAGUGUUGCAAAACGGUCUAAGCCACGUAUAAAGGCGUACUGACGGUGUAUCUGACCGCUGGGACCCGUGUGUCAGGGGCUGACGUGGCAUGCUCUUUUACAAAAAGGACCCUUACUUUUUAUUUAAUCACGCAUAUAUCCUCUGUGUGUUAAAAAAGGCCUCGCCGCAAAAACAUGUGAUAUAAACACAGCCCGCGCGCGUGCCGCCGGGGUUCGAACUCGCGACAUGCCAUUCAAGGGGGAAGCUCGCUGCUGCUGCGCUACUGCUCCUUUUGCAGUAAGAAGCACGCGUAAAUAUAUUUGUACUUUGCGACAUUCGGUUUUUUCUACAAAGCAGAAAAUCGCGCGCCCGUCCGCCGGAAAUCUCGAUCCCGCGCUCGUUUGCUUACGCAUCCUGUGCGUCAACGUACGCGUAUACGUCUUUAAACUCCGUGCUGUUCCGGUUUUUAUAGAUACUAAAAGAAAUAUUAUAUGACAUUAAAAAAAGUUUGUCGCGCCGUAUAAUUGAAAAUAUGUUCAUUGCAUAAUAUAUUAAAAAGUUCAUCGUAUAUAUAUAUUGAACAUUUAAUAAUAUACAAUGUCUGAAGAAUAAACCUGCUGGUCUCUGCCUUGUUUUUGGUUGAUGUUCAAUUUUUUUAAAAUUAAAGUGUUUGUGCAUUUGAAGAAAAAAUGUUCAGAACAUUUUUUGGGAAAUAUUGAACGCGUAUUUAAAAAUUGCAAAUGUAUUUUAUAAAAUGUUCGUCAUGCAUUAUAAAAUAUAUUACGAUUACACAAUAAUUUUUAGUACAUGUUAUAAUUUUUUUUGAAUAACUGUGCAUUAAAAAAAUACAACAAAUAUAUGCAGUAACUGUGAGUUGGGCAUAUAAUUUGUUUAAUUGUGUAUUUCAAAAAUAUAUUGAUGAUGCAUAAUAAUUGUGCAUGCGUGUGAUCCUGAGUGAAGACACAUAAAAUUUUCUUACAUUUGUGUUUUAAUCCACAUAAAUUUUAGAAAAAAAGUUCAUGCUUGGCACUAAAUAAUACUAACCCACAUAAAAACUUGCCGUGCGUGGGUCUGGUGCUUUUCACUAAAUAGUACUAACAUAUAAUUCCAAAAAAACACGUACGGGUCUGGUGCUUUUCACUAAAUAGGAUGCGCAAGCCAGGGCUGAAAACGACUAGGCGCGGGAUCGAUUUCCGUCGGACGGGCGCGCGAUUUUCUACUUCAUAAAAAAAAAACGAAUGGCCCGCCAUAUAAAAAUACGUACACGUUCUUGUUGAGGCAAAAGGAGUAGCAGCGCAGCGGCAGCGAGCUACCCAGUAGAUCCGCACGUCGCGGGUUCGAAUCCCUGACACGUCAGCCCUGACACGACACGUCAGCCCUAUAAAAAAACAUGACACGUCAGCCCUGACACAUGGGUCCUAGCGUUUAGAUACACCGUCAAUACGCGCUUAUAUGGCUGUCAUAUCGUUUUACAAUACUUAGGCUUAGAGUUGGUACUGCAUGGCAAAAAAAAAGUCUAAUGGUACUUUAUCGUUACGACGUGCCGAAGUGUGAUAGUGUCUUGCAAUUAACUCCGCCACAGCAGGAGAGCACAUUGCUCGAGCCGGCGGCAGAUCUCGGAUGGUGACGGCUGACGAGGCGAGGCAGACCCGUCGACAGUUUGGACCGGCCAUUGGGACGGCGGCUCAUAAGUGCAAGGGUAAAACCCGCGCGAGGUCAUAGCGGCUCAGCAAGGCCGAUUCGAGAUAGCUUGGCAUGAUAGGCGAUUCAAUCAGUGGUGAAAUUCAGCAGCAAUGACGGGUCGACUUGGAGGCGGCCGGUGGGUUGAGCCGCGCGCGCGAUCACAGCGGCGGAGUUGUUGCUUGGCCGGGUUAAAGCGACCAUAGUCAUCGUAGAAUAGGAGCUGCGGCAACUUGCAUCGAGGUAAGCCGGCGAAACGGCUCAGAUCAGACCACAGGCCACAGCAACGGAGGGCGGCUCGACAGAGACCGGUGCUCAGCAUGCGGGGAGGCCGUGGAAAAGACAGCUCCAGCAUGGAGGGAACGGCCUGAUGCAUAAAGUUUCACGGCAUCGACGUACACACUGAUGUGACACCAAGGCUUGGGAGGAGCAAAGCCAAAGCGUGGCUUUGGCGGCGACAUGGCAUAGCGGUGGCCGGGUCGGGGUCACGGCGAUAGAAACGGCAACGGCAAGAUGCCAGGACCGCGCUUGACACGGAGGCGUGCGGCACAACAGAGGCGGCCGCAAGGCUGGGCGGCUGGAUGCCGGCCACUGGGGCGGAAGAAACAGCGCCGCGGGCUGGAGAGGCAUCGACACGCAGCACAGCUGUACAAAUCCCCGGCGCUGGCGGAGACGGUUUGUAGGCCGCGGUAGGGGAGUGAGCGCGGGGUCGUUUUGACCCGGAGGUCAGCGCGGCGAGGCCAGUUCAAUCUCGGAGCGGCAGCGGAAACGGGCGCCUUGAGGCGUGGACGCAGGCGCGGUCAAUGAACGAUUCCUGCCAUGGCCAGCUCUGUUUCCGGAUCGUGGCAUAUGCGUAUGAAACAAGGCAUCCUUUUAAGAGCCUUUGGCCUUUACCUAAAGUGUAGUAGCACCACCAGCUUAUGAUUUGACGCCUCGGAGUUUUAAAUCAGCAAAACAGUGCACCAUUUAAUUAGGCAGCUAGCCGAUUUGUUUUUGCUUUGUUGGACUGAGAUCAACAUCGAGUAGAACUCGGAUCUGGUAGCCGAUCCUAACGUAAAGCGCUCCUUCCUUUUCUUUGGCAGGCAAACAUCAUUGCAGAUUGUCUAUGAGCCUGUUGUCCCUGCUAUGGACUUUCCUUGGGACUUGUAGCAUCGUAGUCGGAAUUUCUUUCAACUCGGACUCGGCGGAUUUCCAUGGUGCGUGCGGUGGUCGCAUAGCACGUAUAACCCUAAAAUCUCUUACUCAUAAUCUUGCUCAUGCUCAAACAGCCGGGGGCUCAUCCACGAUGUAGAUUCAAUUGCGCCGGUUCUUCUCCAUCCGAUUAAUCGCGAGCUUCCUGAUCCCUUAGAAAAAUCCCUUCAAGACCUCAACACCACCGUGCGCGGGUCCCACGGUGGACGGCAAUGUUGUGAAUUUGUCACGGCAGAUGUCCUUAGUGUCAGGAGUUUAGUCGCGAGGCCAACGCAUCUAUGUGGUAGCUUGAGAGGGGUUGAGUGGGACAAGAGACGCGAUGUUUUACCCAGGUUCAGCCCCUCACGGUGGGGGUAAAAGCCUACAUCUUGCUUCAUUGAUAUUGAUGAUGAUGAUCACGAUUACAAGAUUGCUCUAUCUCGAGAGCUAUUGUCUAAACCUAACUUGUCCAACUCGUGGAACUUGUCCAUCUUGUCCUUCUUUGAGGAGCCCUGCCCCUCCUUAUAUAUGUUGAAGGGGCGGGUUACAUGUGGAGUCCAACUCGGACUUUAACUUUAACUAUAUUGACUUCCCUUCCUGGGCUUCUUAACGUCUACCGGUUUAACAUUGUUCUGCCGGUUUAACAUUGUUCUGCCGGUUUAACAUUGUCUGCCGGUUUAACACCAACCGGUUUACCGUCUGACUUAGCCAUCUGUCUUGACUCUCUGUCUUAACUCUCAGCCGGUUUACCAAGUCCCAGCCGGUUUACAACUCCAGCCGGGUCAUACCGCGGGGUAUAUCCUCGACAGGACCCCCUAUCCGAGAUCCGCCGGUUUUGACACCGACACCAGGACUUCCUCAAAUACUCUAUCCUCAAAAACGGUUGUGAUCCCCUAUACUUGUGGGUUAUCAUGUAUUCAGUGGCUAUGACAUGAGCAAUUUGCUAAAACUAGUAAUGAAUAAAAUCUGUUUAGCAGGUUGGGCAUAGUGUUGUGAACAUCUAAUGAUUUCUAUUAACGGAAAUCGGGGGGUAUCCCCUUUUGCUCAUAACUAAAUAAAUAGAAGAGGUCCUUUUGCUACUAAAUAAAUAAAUUAGCAGAGGUCCUGUCGGGUCAGCUUUGUUUCCAUUCUAAGACGUCGAGCAAAUUGCAGUCCAACAACAAACUAUUUCAUUAAAUACAAGUUUCACAGCCAAAUAUGAGUACAACUAAACAACAAUGUCAUCAUGUUUUAGUCGUCAUACAAUCACCAAACACAAAUCAACAUACAUAAUAAGUGAUGUUCUCACAGCAAAAUACUAAAAAACAAGUUCAUCAGGUUUCAGUUGUCAUAGCAAACACAAUUUCACAUAGUAGAUAAAAACAUCUUCUGACAGACAAAUACGACAAAAGCAAUCUAAUCAUCAUCCGCAACAGCAGCAUCAAAAUCUUUGCCAUGUGUAUCAGUCUGAAUCGUAAUUCCCCCAGUGUCAUCUUAUUCUUCAUCCUCAAUGUCCUCGAACGUUGGCUUCUUAUCGAUCAACUCUCGUGUGUCCACAUCCCGACAGGCAAUCUUUUAGCCAGCGUCAUUGACGUGAUGGUUCGCAAAGACAUUAGGAACAUCUGUGGAAUCUUCUACAUCAGGAGCAGUGUAAGCAUCAACUUGUUGUGCAACUUCAUUAAACAAAUUCCUCUGCACAAACCUUUGCAAUACUCUCCAGUCAUCGCUACGUGCAAAUGUGUCUUCCAAAAAAAUAUUUGUGUUGCUUGAUUUGCCAAAAUAAAAGGCCCGUCGGUCUGGUACGUUGCCUUGACAUUGAUGAAUUUGAAAUAAUCAUCAGCUCCGUGUUUUGCGAUCCUGAAAAAUAGGUUAUACCAACGACAGCACAAUAGAACCACACACUGAUGAACCUUGAAACUGGAGAUAUACUGCAACUGAACAAUGUCUUUUAUAUUAGCAUACAUUUUAGUUGUCACUUCUCCGUACUUAUCAGUGAUCAUGAUGGCAUUGUUUUGUGUCUUCCAGCCUUCGUCGCAUGCAAGGGUGUUGUAGCGCACAUCUCCAACAAUACAAGAUUCAUAAUGUCUUACCCGAGUAUCAGGACCCAUUGCUAGUGCGUAAAUGGCAUCAUAAACUGCCUGCCCAUCCUCUCGCAUCAUCUUAACCUAUGGUUAGAAAAUAGACAAGCUGAUCAUCUUAUGUACACAAUAUAUUAAAAAAACAGACCGUGCAAUUCAAAAGCUUACAUGGCUCUAGAACCAUUUCGCAAAUCCUGACGUAACCAGUUUGUCAAUAUUUCUUGGAUUUUGCGGCAGUAACUCCUUUUUGUAGAUGCUGCACAACAUAGUCAUCGCGUCAAACAUCUAAAUAUAUAAGAAUGUGCUGCAAGUUUAGUAGAUUACGAUGUAUAAGCUGCAAUACUUAACACUUACUCGAUAUAAGGUAGAAUUUCAGGACAGUUAUUCAAUACAUACCAAACCAUUUUAUCCAAAUCUUUAGGUUUGUCGUCUUGUCGACUUUUCCCUGUAACUCGAACAGAACAAUCGAAAACAUUGAGCAUGGGCUUGUCUUCACCCACCUCUGUGCUAAGCAGAUCAGUUGUUUCAAUGUAUUUUGAGCAGAAUGUCAACGCCUCUCUAGCAAUGUAGGCCUCUGCAAUGGAACCCUCGGGUCUAGCUCUGUUCCUAACAUAGCCCUUGAAAGUGCCUAGCCGCCUUUCAAUAGGGUACAUCCAGCCAUACUGUGCUGGACCUCUAAGUAGUGCCUCAUCAGGUAGAUGAACAGCCAAAUGGACCAUCACAUCAAAGAAGGCUGGAGGAUAUAUCUUCUCAAGGUCACAUAGGAUAGUUGGUAUAUUUUCUCUAAGACGCUCCAAAGCAUCUAUCCUAAUAUUUCUACUGUAUAGUGAUACGCCUCCAACGUAUCUAUAAUUUUUUAUUGUUCCAUGCUAUUAUAUUAUCAACUUUGGAUGUUUAUGGGCUUUAUUAUGCACUUUUAUAUUAUUUUUGGGACUAACCUAUUAACCCAGAGCCCAGUGCCAGUUCCUGUUUUUUCCCUUGUUUCAGUGUUUAGCAGAAAAGGAAAAUCAAACAGAGUCCAAUUGACCUGAAACUUCACGGAACUCAUUUUUGGAAGGAAAGCAACCCGGGAGACUUGGAGUCUACGUCAAGGAAGCUUCAAGGAGGCCAUGAGGUAGGGGGACGCGCCCACCCUCCUGGGCGCGCCCUCCACCCUCGUGGGCCCCUCGUGGCUCCCCUGGCGUACUUCUUCCUCCUACAUAUAUAUAUAUCCAUAUACCCUAAAACUAUCAGAGAGCACAAUAGAUCGGGAGUUCCACCGCCAGAAGCCUCCGUGGCCACCGAAAGCCAAUCUAGACCCGUUACGGCACCCUGCCGGAGGGGGCAAUCCCUCUCCGGUGGCCAUCUUCAUCAUCCCGGUGCUCUCCAUGACGAGGAGGGAGUAGUUCUCCCUCGGGGCUGAGGGUAUGUACCAAUAGCUAUGUGGUUGAUCUCUCUCUCUCUCUCUCUCGUGUUCUUGAGGUGGUACAAUCUUGAUGUAUCACGAGCUUUGCUAUUAUAUUUGGAUCCUAUGAUGUUUUCUUCCCCCUCUACUCUCUUGUAAUGGAUUGAGUUUCCCCUUUGAAGUUAUCUUAUCGGAUUGAGUCUUUAAGAUUUGAGAACACUUGAUGUAUGUCUUGCCGUGCGUAUCUGUGGUGACAAUGGGAUACCACGUGAUUCACUUGAUGUAUGUUUUGGUGAUCAACUCUCGGGUUCUUCCCGUGAGCCUAUGCAUAAGGGUUGGCACACGUUUUCGUCGUGAUUCUCCGGUAGAAACUUUGGGGCACUCUUUGAGGUUCUAUGUGUUGGUUGAAUAGAUGAAUGUGAGAUUGUGUGAUGCAUAUCGUAUAAUCAUACCCACGGAUACUAGAGGUGACAUUAGAGUAUCUAGGUGACAUUAGGGUUUUGGUUGAUUUGUGUCUUAAGGGUGUUAUUCUAGUACGAACUCUAGGGCUGUUUGUGACACUUAUAGGAAUAGCCCAACGGAUUGAUUGGAAAGAAUAACUUUGAGGUGGUUUCGUACCCUACCAUAAUCUCUUCGUUUGUUCUCCGCUAUUAGUGACUUUGGAGUGACUCUUUGUUGCAUGUUGAGGGAUAGUUAUAUGAUCCAAUUAUGUUAUUAUUGUUGAGAAGACUUGCACUAGUGAAAGUAUGAACCCUAGGCCUUGUUUCCUAGCAUUGCAAUACCGUUUACACUCACUUUUACCAUUAGUUACCUUGCUGUUUUUAUAAUUUCAGAUUACAAAUACCUUUAUCUACUAUCCAUAUUGCACUUGUAUCACCAUCUCUUCGCUGAACUAGUGCACCUAUACAAUUUACCAUUGUAUGGGGUGUGUUGGGGACACAAGAGACUCUUUGUUAUUUGGUUGUAGGGUUGCUUGAGAGAGACCAUCUUCAUCCUAUGCGUCCUACGGAUUGAUAAACCUUAGGUCAUCCACUUGAGGGAAAUUUGCUACUGUCCUACAAACCUCUGCACUUGGAGGCCCAACAACGUCUACAAGAAGAAGGUUGUGUAGUAGAGAUCAAGCUCUUUUCUGGCGCCGUUGCCGGGGAGGUGAGUGCUUGAAGGUAUAUCUUUAGAUCUUGCAAUUGAGUCUUUUAGUUUCUUGUUUUAUCACUAGUUUAGUUUAUAAAAGAAAACUACAAAAAUAUGGAAUUGAGUUCGUCUCAUACGCUUCAUCUUUUUAAUAUCUUUCGUGAGUAUGAUGGAAAGGAAAAUUGUGCUCGAGUGCUAGAGGAAGAAGUCUAUAAAAUGUUUGGCACUAAAUCUUUGAAUGAUGAGCAUGAUUGCAAUGUUGUUAGUACGAAUACUUUGAAUAUCCAUGGUACUAAUGAUGAUUGCACUAGUUAUGAUGUCUCCUAUAAACAUGUCAAUUUUUGUGGAGUACAUUGGGUUUGUAAGUACACACCAAAUAGGGAAGAUAGAUAUUGCAAGAGGCAUAAGUACUUAGAAACUAAAUUGUUGCAAGAAAGGCUAGUUGAAUGUGCUGAAAAUUUAAAUUAUCUUGGUCAUACUUGUGAGCUUUGCAAUGAACAUGAUUAUUUCAAUACCCAAUGCAAAUUGUUUCAUGAUCGUAUCGUGUCCAAAAAUUGUGAUGACUUGAUUUCCCUUGCACAUCAUAAUGAACUUAGUUUGCUCUUGGGUUAUGAAGAAAUGAAAUGUAUAACUAAGGAUAUUCCAGAAUUUUCCCUUUAUAGAGUUCUUAAUUUUGAUUAGAAGAAAUUUAUAUGUAUCGUGCGGUGAAUUGCAUUGAAAACCCUUAUAUUGCCAAUUACAUAAAGAAAAGAAAACAAAUAGAGGAUGAACAGAAUACUAAUGGAAGGGAAGAUACUUCCCAAUAUCCUCAUAUUAUUUCUUAUGAUGAAUCAGGUAACAAGGAGGAGCCUUCUAUUCAACCAAUCUCAUUAAUAAGGAGCUCCAAAAAGUGGAUUGAACCCACACAUGAUGUGGUGAAGAAGAAGAAAAGAAAAAGGAAGAGAGGUAAAAAGAUAUAUCCCCCAAAUAAUGCUGCUCCUAUUACUAUUGUGCCUCAUGAAAAUAUAAUUGUGGAAGAUAAUGAUACUUCUUAUGAUCUUGAAAAUCUUUUUGGCACUUGCUUGGAAGAAUAUGAUAAUUGAUAUACUAUUGGUGCUAUCUAUACUAUUAAUGAUGAGAGUGAUUAUGCUUAUGAUAUGAAAAGGCCCAAGCUUGGGGAAGCUAUGUUUGAUGAAGAUGAUGUUUUUGAGAAUAUAUUUGCUGCAAUUAAUGUUUGUCCCAAGCUUGGGGAUGCUAUGUUUGAUGAAGAUGAUAUUUUUAAUCUCCCAAGUUUUGAUAUGCAAAUUUAUAAUGAUGAUAGCAUGCCUCCUACUUAUGAUGAUUAUUGUGAUGAUACUUAUGCUAUAAAAAGUAGUGGUUAUAUUUAUAAAACCUGUCAUGAUUAUGGUUACCCCUUUUCUGAACAUUACUCUUUUAAUGUAGAAACAAUUUAUAGUAUUCGAGUCUCUUAUGAUACUCCCACUAUUCCGAAUGAGAAGAAUCUUGCUUAUGUGGAGAGUAGUAAAUUUCCUAUGCUUGUAGAUCAUGAAAAGAAUGCUUUAGGUGCCGGUUAUAUUGUUGAAUUCAUUCAUGAUGCUACUGAAAAUUAUUAUGAGGGAGGAAUAUAUGCUUGUAGGAAUUGCAAUAAUAUCAAGUUUCCUCUCUAUGUGCUUAAAGUUUUGAAGUUAUGCUUGUUUUACCUUCCUAUGCAAGUUGAUUCUUGUUCCCAAAAGUUGCUUGCUCACAAAAUCCCUAUGCAUAGGAAGUGGGUUAGACUUAAAUGUGCUAGUCAUACUCUUCAUGAUGCUCUCUUUAUGUUUCAAUUCUUAUCCGUUAUGUGAGCAUCAUUGAAAUCAUCAUGCCUAGCUAGGGGCGUUAAACGAUAGCGCUUGUUGGGAGGCAACCCAAUUUUAUUUUUAUUCCAUGCUUUUUGAUCAUGUUUAGUAAUAAAUAAAUUAUCUAGCCUCUGUUUUGUAUGUAUUUUUUGUGUUUAAUUAGUGUUUGUGCCAAGUAGAACCUUUGGGAAGACUUGGGGAAAGUCUUGUUGAUCAUGCUGUAAAAAAACAGAAACUUUAGCGCUCACGAGAAUUGCUGGCAUUUUUAUUUGGAAAGUGAUAUUUAGUUAAUUAAUUUUUAAGAUGAUUAAUAGAUAAAUUCCUCAGGUCCAGCAAUUUAUUUGAGAAUUUUAUGAGUUCCAGAAGUACACGUUUGAUCUAGAUUACUACAGACUGUUCUGUUUUUGACAGAUUCUGUUUUUCAUGUGUUGUUUACUUAUUUUGAUGAACCUAUGGCUAGUAAAAGAGUUUAUAAACCAUAGAGAAGUGGAAUACAGUAGGUUUAACACCAAUAUAAAUAAAUAAUGAGUUCAUUACAAUACCUUGAAGUGGUGAUUUAUUUUCUUAUACUAACGGAGCUUACGAGUUUUCUGUUAAGUUUUGUGUUGUGAAGUUUUCAAGUUUUGGGUAAGGAUUCGAUGGACUAUGGAAUAAGGAGUGGCAAGAGCCUAAGCUUGGGGAUGACCAAGGCAUCCCAAGGUAAUAUUCAAGGAUAUCCAAGAGCCUAAGCUUGGGGAUGCCCCGGAAGGCAUCCCCUCUUUCGUCUUCGUUCAUCAGUAACUUUACUUGGAGCUAUAUUUUUAUUCGCCACAUGAUAUGUGUUUUGCUUGGAGCAUCAUUUUAUUUUAUUUAGUUUCGCUUGCUGUUUGAAUAAAAUACCAAGAUCUGAAAUUAUUAAAUGUUAGAGAGUCUUCACAUAGCUGCAUAAUUAUUCGACUACUCAUUGAUCUUCACUUAUAUCUUUCGGAGUAGUUUGUUGUUGCUCUAGUGCUUCACUUAUAUCUCUUUUUAGAGCAUGGUGGUGGUUUUAUUUUAUAGAAAUAGAUGAACUAUCAUGCUUCACUUAUAUUAUUUUGAGAGUCCUAAACAGCAUGGUAAUUUGCUUUGGUUAUGAAUUUAGUCCUAAUAUGAUGGGCAUCCAAGAGGGAUAUAAUAAAAACUUUCAUAUAGAGUGCAUUGAAUACUAUGAGAAGUUUGAUACUUGAUGAUUGUUUUGAGAUAUGAGGAUGGUAAUAUUAGAGUCAUGCUAGUUGAGUAGUUGUGAAUUUUAGAAAUACUUGUGUUGAAGUUUGUGAUUCCCGUAGCAUGCAUGUAUGGUGAAUCGUUAUGUGAUCAAGUCGGAGCAUGAUUUAUUUAUUUAUUGUCUUCCUUAUGAGUGGCGGUCGGGGACGAGCGAUGGUCUUUUCCUACCAAUCUAUCCCCCUAGGAGCAUGCGUGUAGUACUUUGUUUUGAUAACUAAUAGAUUUUUGCAAUAAGUAUGUGAGUUCUUUAUGACUAAUGUUGAGUCCAUGGAUUAUACGCACUCUCACCCUUCCACCAUUGCUAGCCUCUCUAACACCGCGCACCUUUCGCCGGUAUCAUACACCUACCAUAUCCUUCCUCAAAACAUCCACCAUACCUACCUAUCGUGGCAUUUCCAUAGCCAUUCCGAGAUAUAUUGCCAUGCAACUUUCCACCGUUCCGUUUAUUAUGACACGCUCCAUCAUUGUCAUAUUGCUAUGCAUGAUCAUGUAGUUGACAUUGUACUUGUGGCAAAGCCACCGUUCAUAAUUCUUUUAUACAUGUCACUCGUGAGUUAUUGCACAUCCCGGUACACCGCCGGAGGCAUUCAUAUAGAGUCAUAUUUUGUUCUAAGAAUCGAGUUGUAAUUCUUGAGUUGUAAGUAAAUAAAAGUGUGAUGAUCAUCAUUAUUAGAGCAUUGUCCCAGUGAGGAAAGGAUGAUGGAGACUAUGAUUCCCCCACAAGUCGGGAUGAGACUCCAGACGAAAAAAAAGAGGCCAAAGAAGCCCAAAUAAAAAAAGAGGCCAUAAAAAAAGAGAAGGCCCAAAUAAAAAAUAAAAAGUAUAUAUAUAAAAAAAUGAGAGAAAAAGAGAGAAGGGGUCAAUGCUACUAUCCUUUUACCACACUUGUGCUUCAAAGUAGCACCAUAAUCUUCAUGAUAGAGAGUCUCCUAUGUUGUCACUUUCAUAUACUAGUGGGAAUCUUUCAUUAUAUAACUUGGCUUGUAUAUUCCAAUGACGGGCUUCCUCAAAAUGCCCUAGGUCUUCGUGACAAGCAAGUUGGAUGCACACCCACUUAGUUUCUUUUGUUGAGCUUUCAUACACUUAUAGCUCUAGUGCAUUCGUUGCAUGGCAAUCCCUACUCACUCACAUUGAUAUCUAUUAAUGGGCAUCUCCAUAGCCCGUUGAUACCCCUAGUUGAUGUGAGACUAUCUUCUCCUUUUUGUCUUCUCCACAACCACCAUUCUAUUCCACCUAUAGUGCUAUAUCCAUGGCUCACGCUCAUGUAUUGCGUGAAGAUUGAAAAAGUUUGAGAACACCAAAAGUAUGAAACAAUUUCUUGGCUUGUCAUCGGGGUUGUGCAUGAUUUAAAUAUUUUUUGUGGUGAAGAUGGAGCAUAACCAGACUAUAUGAUUUUGUAGGGAUAGAUUUCUUUGGCCAUGUUAUUUUGAGGAGACAUAAUUGCUUGGUUAGUAUGCUUGAAGUAUUAUUAUUUUUAUGUCAAUAUGAACUUUUAUCUUGAAUCUUAUGGAUCUGAAUAUUCUUGCCACAAUAAAGAGAAUUACAUGGAUAAGUAUGUUAGGUAGCAUUCCACAUCAAAAAUUCUGUUUUUAUCAUUUACCUACUCGAGGACGAGCAGGAAUUAAGCUUGGGAUGCUGAUACAUCUCCAAUGUAUCUAUAAUUUUUUAUUGUUCCAUGCUAUUAUAUUAUCAACUUUGGAUGUUUAUGGGCUUUAUUAUGCACUUUUAUAUUAUGUUUGGGACUAACCUAUUAACCCAGAGCCUAGUGUCAGUUCCUGUUUUUUCCCUUGUUUCAGUGUUUCGUAGAAAAGGAAAAUCAAACGGAGUCCAAUUGACCUGAAACUUCACGAAACUCAUUUUUGGAAGGAAAGCAACCCGGGAGACUUGGAGUCUACGUCAAGGAAGCUUCGAGGAGGCCACGAGGUAGGGGGGCGUGCCCUCCACCCUCGUGGGCCCCUCGUGGCUCCCCUGACGUACUUCUUCCUCCUAUAUAUAUCCAUAUACCCUAAAACUAUCAGAGAGCACAAUAGAUCAGGAGUUCCGCCGCCAGAAGCCUCCGUAGCCACCGAAAGCCAACCUAGACCCGUUCCGGCACCCUACCGGAGGGGGCAAUCCCUCUCCGGUGUCCAUCUUCAUCAUCCCGGUGCUCUCCAUGACGAGGAGGGAGUAGUUCUCCCUUGGGGCUGAGGGUAUGUACCAGUAGCUAUGUGUUUGAUCUCUCUCUCUCUCUCUCUCUCGUGUUCUUGACGUGGUACGAUCUUGAUGUAUCACGAGCUUUGCUAUUAUAUUUGGAUCCUAUGAUGUUUUCUUCCCCCCUCUACUCUCUUGUAGGGGAUUGAGUUUCCCCUUUGAAGUUAUCUUAUCAGAUUGAGUCUUUAAAGAUUUUAGAACACUUGAUGUCUGUCUUGCCGUGCGUAUCUGUGGUGACAAUGGGAUACCACGUGAUUCACUUGAUGUAUGUUUUGGUGAUCAACUUGCGGGUUCCGCCCAUGAACCUAUGCAUAGGGGUUGGCACACGUUUUCGUCAUGAUUCUCCGGUAGAAACUUUGGGGCACUCUUUGAGGUUCUAUGUGUUGGUUGAAUAGAUGAAUCUGAGAUUGUGUGAUGCAUAUCGUAUAAUCAUACCCAUGGAUACUUGAGGUGACAUUGGAGUAUCUAGGUGACAUUAGGGUUUUGGUUGAUUUGUGUCUUAAGGUGUUAUUCUAGUACGAACUCUAGGGCUAUUUGUGACACUUAUAGGAAUAGCCCAAUAGAUUGAUUGGAAAGAAUAACUUUGAGGUGGUUUCGCACCCUACCAUAAUCUCUUCGCUUGUUCUCCGCUAUUAGUGACUUUGGAGUGACUCUUUGUUGCAUGUUGAGGGAUAGUUAUAUGAUCCAAUUAUGUUAUUAUUGUUGAGAGGACUUGCACUAGUGAAAGUAUGAACCCUAGGCCUUGUUUCCUAGCAUUGCAAUACCAUUUACGCACACUUUUACCAUUAGUUACCUUGCUGUUUUUAUAAUUUCAGAUUACAAAUACCUUUAUCUACCAUCCAUAAUGCACUUGUAUCACCAUCUCUUCGCCGAACUAGUGCACCUAUACAAUUUACCAUUGUAUUGGGUGUGUUGGGGACACAAGAGACUCUUUUUCAUUUGGUUGCAGGGUUUCUUGAGAGAGACCAUCUUCAUCCUACGCCUCCUACAGGUUGAUAAACCUUAGGUCAUCCACUUGAGGGAAAUUUGCUACUGUCCUACAAACCUCUGCACUUUGAGGCCCAACAACGUCUACAAGAAGAAGGUUGUGUAGUAGACAUCAUAGAGUUCCCUGAAGAAUUGUCCCAACUCUGCAGCUACUCCGUAUAAGUCAGGGCGGCCCAAUCCUCUAAGGAUAAUAGGUAAAACCCUUUGAAGUAGGACGUGGCGGUCACGAGUUUUCAACCCUUGUACCUUGUUUCCAUCUGCACUGACUCUCCUUUCAGGGUUGUAAGCAAAUCCAUGUGGGAAUCUCACACGUGACAGGACCUCGCAGAAUUCUUUUCUUUUUACCUUGUCCAAGACAUAAACAGCUGGUGCCAUAUCCCGUGAUGCACCAUCAUCUUUCACUUGCAAAUCGGAUCUGAUACCCAGGUGUGUCAAAUCAAUCCUAGAUUUUAAGGUAUCUUUCAUCAUGCCUUCAAUAUUAAGAAGUGUGCCGAUAAUGUUGUCACAUAUAUUUUUCUCAAUGUGCAUCACGUCAAAAUUAUGCCGUAGAUCCAAAUCUUUGCAAUACUCCAAGUCCCGCAAAAUGGACCUGCGGGUAAAUAAUAAUCUCCCUUCUGCCCUGCCAUGCUUCCUUUUCUCGCUACCAUUAUCAGGAUGGUUUCCUGGUGUAAUAUGCCUGACCUUCUCUAAUUCCACUCGCAACUCAUCGGUGGUGAGCCUCUUUGGUGCAUCACGGUUUUCAUGCUUUGCAUUGAACACAUAUCUUUGGUAUUUUGUAGGACACGGCUUGUCCUUGGGAAGGAAAUGGCGGUGUCCAAUGCAAUAUACUCCCUCGUUCCUUUAUGUAAGGUGUAUUAUUUUGGGCACGGUGACCAAGGCGCACAAUUAUAAAGGUGUUAGGAAAAAAUACCCUUGGCAAAUUUCUUGGUUAGUGGCAAGUAAAACAAUGAUUCCAGGAAAGUAAGAUAUACAUGUAAUCGUGAGAGACAUAGCUUCCUUCUUUUGAUACAGGGAGAGAUACAUGAAAUUAGGAGAGAGAUACUUUCCUGUUUUUGGAGGGAUAAAAAGGGAAUUAAGAGGAUUUAGAAGAAAUGCACCUUACAUUGUGGAAUUUUAUCAAAAAACAAAUACACCUUAUAUAAAGGAACGGAGGGAGUAUCUUGCUAAGUAUUGCGUAUGACAGCGGAUUCCUGUCACAGCGAACACAUGCUUUGUAACCAUGUGUCAUUCACCCUGACAUAGUGCCCAAAGCCGGAUAAUCAUGGAUGCACCAAAUUAUAACAACACGCAGAAAGAAAUCAGCUGGUGGGCUGCUAUAUAGGUCUCGAGUGAGAACACCCCUCCAUAGUUGUUGAAGUUCCUCCACAAGAGGCUCCAUGAAUAAAUGAAAAUUCUUUCCAAGACUUUUUGGACAUGGGAUGAGCAAGGCCAUCAUGUAGUUUGAUUCUUUGGUGCAGACAUUUGGAGGCAUGUUGUAAGGGACAACAAGCACUGGCCACAUGCUAUUUGUGUCGCUCUGGUGGCCAAAUGGGUUAAAUCCAUCUGAAGCUAAGCCAAGUCUAAUGUUUCUCGGGUCAGUAGCAAACUUUUUGUGUUUCUAAUUGAAGCUUUUCCAGUCACUACCAUGAGAUGGAUGGCUCAUUACAUUCUGAUCUCUGUACUCCUGGUUCCUAGAAUGCCACAAUCCAUCCUCUCUUGUUUCAGCAUCAUGAAACAACCUCUGAAAUCUUGGUAUAAUUGGAAAAUGUCUCAGAACAUUAUGAUAAAUCCUCUUCACAGCAUCGCCAUCUUUCCAUCUUGAUGAUUUGCAUUUUGGGCAUUCACUUAAGUUGGCAUAAUCCUUCCGGAACUGAACACAAUUAUUCUUACAAACAUGGAUCAUAUCAUAUCCAAUUCCAACUGCACGAAGGAAAUUCUUCAUUUUACUAUAGGUGUGUGGCAGCUCAGACGCAUAUGGAAAAGAUUUGCGGAAAGCAGCCAACAUCGCAUCGAAUGAUUUAUUGGUCAUCUGCUUAGAUGUCUUCACCUGAAGAAAGGUGACCAUAGCUGAGAAUACUGACAUCUUAUUUCCUGGGGUAACAGCCAUGUUGCAUUGUUCCAACAUGCGGGCCCACCGUUUUUCUUUUGCUGGUGAAAGUUCACGAAAUGCACAAGCAUUUCAUAGCAUUGUUUUAAUGUUGGUCAAACUCACUGGCUUCGCCACCACCACCACCUCCUCCUCUUCCAUCGAGCAUCAGGCAGAUCAAGAUGGUGAUCUGCUGCUUCCACAUAGUCAGUAACAUUGAUGUUCACAGCUUCACCAUGAUGAACCCACCUAGUAUAUGUGACCGACAUCCCAUACAAGUGUAGAUGAUUUUGCACGGUUGAGUGGGGUCUUGUAACUGAAUUCAUACAACUGCUACACGGGCAGAGCACAUCUGAUUUCGGACUGCCGUACUCAGCUCUGAUAAAGUUCAUGAAGUUUCCAACCCCCUCGACAUAUGCAGCGGACAAUCUUUGAGUAGAAGUUAUCCAAGUCAUGUCCAUCUGUUAGACAUACAAAUUAGUUCUUCUACUAGAUAUUACAAGUAAAACAUAUAUGUUUUUUAUGAAGUCCAAAAAAAUACCUAGGUCGAUGUCUAAAGCUAUGGCAAGUUAUUUGGACAAGCAGAUCUAAGUAACGAAAUAUAUGUAAAGCUAAUUCAGCAAACAUAUUUGAGUGCUAAAUUAUGGCAGGCUGUUUCAGCAGUCAAUGAGGCCAAGCACACAGCCAUUGAAGGUCAACUCAGCAGCAAAGAUCGAGUAUAAAACAGUGUAGAGCUAUUUCACCUAACGGAUUGGCUACUAGACCAUGGCAAUCUACGUCACAAUAAAUAUAUGGCAGGGUAUUUUAGCAACUAAUCGGGCAUGGCAUGCCAUCUCAGCUAAGCAGAUUGAGUGCAGAACAAGGGAAGGAAGCUUCUUAAGCAGAGCAUAUUGACUGUAAACUACUUCGGCAAAUAGUGAGAUUAACAACAUCUAUCAGCUAACAUUCAACGCUACUCCGACAUGCACGGGGCCUCUGUACAUAAUGCACGUACCGUGGGAGAAGCUGACCGUCGUGCGUCUCCACAAGAAUGUCGCCAGCGGUGGCGGCGCGGCUAGAGGACGACAGUCUACGAGAGCGUACUGUAGGAGCGAGAGGAUCGCUGUGCGUCCCCUUGACGAACGCGGCGUCGACGUAUCGNNNNNNNNNNNNNNNNNNNNNNNNNNNNNNNNNNNNNNNNNNNNNNNNNNNNNNNNNNNNNNNNNNNNNNNNNNNNNNNNNNNNNNNNNNNNNNNNNNNNNNNNNNNNNNNNNNNNNNNNNNNNNNNNNNNNNNNNNNNNNNNNNNNNNNNNNNNNNNNNNNNNNNNNNNNNNNNNNNNNNNNNNNNNNNNNNNNNNNNNNNNNNNNNNNNNNNNNNNNNNNNNNNNNNNNNNNNNNNNNNNNNNNNNNNNNNNNNNNNNNNNNNNNNNNNNNNNNNNNNNNNNNNNNNNNNNNNNNNNNNNNNNNNNGAAUAUUAUUGGCUAGUUGGACGAAGGGCGGUUGAAUUUGGGAUUUUGGGGGAAUAUUGGGGGGGGGGGAUUUUCACGCGAUGAGCGGGGGAGUUUGGUGCAUGGUCGGUUUCUCCAAGUGCAGUCCCACAUGUCAGUGAAGAGGCAAGCCGAAGCGCGUUCCAUUUGCGUGAGCUGUGUGCAGGACCGAUCGUGUGUGGGGUGCAAUGCGACUGCGACAGGCGUGUUGUGAGUGUACCGCCUUUUUUCCUUCUAAACUUGGUCCUUCACCCCCUCAAAAAAAACUUGGUGCUUCGCGCAAUCCAUUGAUACUACUACUAGUAAUCCAGUAAUCUCGACUAAAAUGGCGCGGCCGGGUCUUUUCUCGCGCGAUAUGCUGGGAGGUUGGCUUAGUUGGUUUUUUAGGACGAGUAAUGCUACACCUACGUAAUCCCAGUUACGUAAUUACGUAAUGUGAAACGUGUGAGCUGUUGAUUGGAGAUUGGGGGAGGGAGAGGUCCACCACCAUGAAAAUCAGGGGAGAGAGAGGCAAUUUGUGUUAACCCUUUCAUAGGUUCUCGUAGAUGUAGAAAGAUGUAAAAUGCGUGAAUGUGUAGUGGACAUACUAUUGGAGUGCCUAAGAUAAAUUGUGUAUGUAGACCCUAUGUGUUUAUUUACUUCGGAUGUUAGCUUUGUCUCGGGUCAAACCUUCUAAGUUUAUACACACAAAAACGAAUCACCAUUCCAUAUAUUUUCAUACUCCUACAAUAUAUCUUACUAUUAUUUGGAAAGUUCAUAUACACCGGACGAGAUUAAUGCAAACAUGGCAGAUUUUCAUUACAUUUCGAACUUUUAUAGGACAGAAAAAAAACCCGACCCUAAACCUAUUCUACGGCAGCGACCGACGUCCUCCAUCUGCGAUCUCCAUGUACAGGGGCGGGGUUCAAGACCCGUGAAGUGAAGGUGCGGUCUCCGGCGAGGAAGAGUAGAACACAGGAGACGGACCGACCAGUUGGCACAUCAUGCCCUACCGCCUCCCAUGCCCUACUCAUCCUCGGAGGAGUCCCCGACCUCGGCGGUCCCGGUGGACGUGAGGUCGAUGAUGAUGGAUGUGGACGGUCCGUUGCUUCAUCUGCCACAUGCGCCACCGAACGUUGGACGGCGGCAAGUAGGACGCGUGGCUGACUAUGCUCCCGUCGUCGGCCGCCAGCGUGGCCACCGCUUGUGCGGUCGCGUCCGCGUCCAGCUAUGCCACUAUUGCAUUGCAAGCGGUGACUUGAGAGAGGGCGGUGACCUCGAGCUUCAUCCCCGAAGACAAGCUCUCCCAUAGAGCGUUCGCACUCGCGGUCAUGGCAGAUGUGGUGCCAGGUAGCAGGACGAUGCGCUUUGGUGUGGAGUUUAGUUGGGCAUUUCCGCUUUAAGUAGUCCAUUUCGACGAGGCCAAGCAUCCGGGUGCAUCAUUCAGUCUCCGGAGUUGGUUCCUCGGGCAUCGAGCCUCUUAAUGACGGCAUACAGACGAACGGCAUGAAUGCGGGCAGCUGGCGCCGGCUGGGAGCGCACCGCGCGACGGCGCGUGGGACGAGGGUUUUUGGUGUGCCAGGGUAGUCAGCUGCGGUCGUGGCAACAUUGGAGAUGCCCUUUGCUCACAUGCGAUCCCCACAUGUCAUUGAAAAAGCAAGAUGACCUGGCAUGGUCUCAGGUCCUGGGGAUGCAGUUGGCCGCGCUACAAUACUCCGCGGACGCAUCGCGGCGCGCGCGUGCACUUUGGCACCCCGUGCAUUCUCGACGAGCCGGGUAUUGAUCUGUUGGUCGUGCCACAACGCUAACACCACCCUUGGCACCCUAAAGCCAACCAUGUCCAGCGACAAUGAGCGUGUCGCUCACCGCGGUCGCCGUGUCCGGAGGCGGUGCGGGAGCUGCGCCACGUUACUGCCCCCCACAACCCACAUGAACGGUUGCCGGUGGCAAGGAGGUCAUGGGCCAGCUCCUCCAUUGGACUAGUCUGCGCCACGUCGUCCCGAUAGGUGUGCCCCACAUGUCAGUUUCCCUAUUUUCCCGGCCAAAUUCGAGUGUCAGUGCUCCGCAUUGCGCAUUAGGCGCAGAACAGGUUGUUUUUGUGCCCUGGUUCAAAUGUGGUACAAUACCAAGUUGUUACCCUAGCCCCAAGUGUGGUGGUUUUGGGUACGGUACCACCAUUUUCCUUUUCAGUUAGUGAAGCGUAUCACUUGAUUAAGUAGCCGGAUGGUGUGCUAAUAUAGGUGUCCGAUUGUUUGAAGGAAUAAUUGAGGUAUGCUCGGUCCGUGCCCGCAUUUAGGGGUCCAAUUACCAUGUUCUGGCAGUAGUAACUAUACUAGUCCCUGCGUACUCCCUCUGUUUUUAUUUACUCCGCAUUUUAGCUUUGCUCAAAGUCAAACUUUGUAAACUUUGACAAAGUUUAUAGACAGAAACAAUAACAUAUACAAUAACAAACCAAUACCAUUAGAUUCUUUAUUGAAUAUACUUUCAUAUCAUAUAGGUUUGCUAUUGUAAAUGUUCAUAUUUUUCUAUAAACUUGGUCAAAUUUUAUGAAGUUUGACUUCAGUCAAACCUAAUAUGCAGAGUAAAUAAAAACGGAGGGAGUAUCUUACUCCAUGACCAAGACGGAAGGGAAAAUGAGACAACUUAUUGUUUAUUUGAGCCGUUCAAGUAUAAUCAUGUGGCGUUGCUUAUAUCUCAUUCCUCUCCAACCCUCUUCUCCAUCGAUCAUGUCGCCCUCCGGUUGAGUCCAUCCUCCUGCAUGCCUCAUUUGAACAUUCCACCGAGUAUCAUUUGCAUGUGGGCCUAGACCAUGCUUGUAUUUCCAAUGUUGUAAUUUUUCCGACAUGCAUACAGACAAACGGUUCGUUUAAAGUUUCACUUUGCCUCCACUACGUGUCGCUUCCCAUCUUAGUUUCGACAUCCCAUUUGGUUCAUGCCCAGACACAUCUGGACGAGAUCGAUUGAUGUUGAGAGAUCAAUUGCGUGUCGUGCAAGGAGAUAAAGGUUUGGUCUAUUUCUAUGAUAGAAAUGACCCGGGGGGUCUGUGGGGAUCGGAGGGAGUAUAUUGUACGUUCAAAAGCGAAACAAACGUACUGUACCCACCCUAGUCCUCUUUCAAUCGAUCACCGGACCCCGAGAUGAAACCGAGAGAGAACGAGUGGGUUCAUGUGUGAUACCUAAGGCGGAUUCAAAUUUUUUGAACAGGUGAUCAUAGCAUCAACAAAUCAUAUAUAAAGGGUAUUCAAUGUUCGUUUCGCUUUUGAACGUACAAUAUACUCCCUCCGAUCCUUUCUAGUUUACAUAUAAGUUUUGUGUGUAGUCAAAGUAUCUCUACUUUGAUCAAACUUACAGAAAAAAUAUCAACAUUCAACAACACCCAAUCAAUAUUGUUAGAUUCGUACGUACUCCUAGAUUUGUAUUCAAACGAGACCGCUUCCAAUUUUUUUUUCAAACACAUGAAUGUGCUUGUUCUCGUGCAUGCUCUUCCUACUAGGAUUUCGCCACGUAUAGCUAGUCCAAUAGUAACUUUUUUUAAGCUCCCUGUCCAAUAGUACUAGUGGAGUACUGACAACAUUUGCAGUAGAGUAUGCAGUACUCAUAGUACUAGUACUAGUAUACUCCCUCUGUUUUUAUUUACUCCGCAUAAAGCGGAGGGAGUAGUGGUAUAAAUGACGCGGGCGGGGGAGGGGGAGGGACGUCGGUUUGCUCUCAACUGCGGUCCCACAAGCGAGCGAAAAUGCAAGACGAAGCGCAUUCCAUUCGGUGAACGACAUGGAGAGCCAGCGUGCCGGGGUGCAAGGCGAACGCGACAAGAGCGAUGUACAGUAAAAACCGAUGGACCGGUCAUAACCGGAACCACUAUUCACACCAGAACCUUUAAGGAAAUAUGCCCUAGAGGCAAUAAUAAAGUUAUUAUUUAUUUUCUUAUUUCAUGAUAAAUGUUUAUUAUUCAUGCUAGAAUUGUAUUAACCGGAAACAUAAUACAUGUGUGAAUACAUAGACAAACAGAGUGUCACUAGUAUGCCUCUACUUGACUAGCUCGUUAAUCAAAGAUGGUUAUGUUUCCUAACCAUAGACAAAGAGUUGUUAUUUGAUUAACGGGAUCACAUCAUUAGGAGAAUGAAGUGAUUGACUUGACCCAUUCCGUUAGCUUAGCACUCGAUCGUUUAGUAUGUUGCUAUUGCUUUCUUCAUGACUUAUACAUGUUCCUAUGACUAUGAGAUUAUGCAACUCCCGUUUGCCGGAGGAACACUUUGUGUGCUACCAAACAUCACAACGUAACUGGGUGAUUAUAAAGGAGCUCUACAGGUGUCUCCAAAGGUACAUGUUGGGUUGGCGUAUUUCGAGAUUAGGAUUUGUCACUCCGAUUGUCGGAAAGGUAUCUCUGGGCCCUCUCGGUAAUGCACAUCACAUAAGCCUUGCAAGCAUUGCAACUAAUGAGUUAGUUGUGAGAUGAUGUAUUACGGAACGAGUAAAGAGACUUGCCGGUAACGAGAUUGAACUAGGUAUUAAGAUACCGACGAUCGAAUCUCGGGCAAGUAACAUACCGAUGACAAAGGGAACAACGUAUGUUGUUAUGCGGUCUGACCGAUAAAGAUCUUCGUAGAAUAUGUAGGAGCCAAUAUGAGCAUCCAGGUUCCGCUAUUGGUUAUUGACCGGAGACAUGUCUCGGUCAUGUCUACAUUGUUCUCGAACCCGUAGGGUCCGCACGCUUAAGGUUUCGAUGACAGUUAUGUUAUGAGUUUAUGAGUUUUGAUGUACCGAAGGAGUUCGGAGUCCCGGAUGGGAUCGGGGACAUGACGAGGAGUCUCGAAAUGGUCGAGACAUAAAGGUUGAUACAUUGGAAGCCUAUAUUUGGAUAUCGGAAGUGUUCCGGGUGAAAUCGGGAUUUUACCGGAGUACCGGGAGGUUACCGGAACCCCCCCCCAGGAAAUAUAUGGGCCUUAGUGGGCCUUAGUGGAAGAGAGGAGAGGUGGCCAGGGCUGGGCCGCCCGCCCCUCCCACUAGUCCGAAUAGGACAAGGAGAGGGGGGCGGCGCCCCCCUUCCUUCUCUCUCUCUUCUUUCCCCCCUCCCGAAUCCUAUUCCAACUAGGAAAGAGGGGGAUCCUACUCCCGGAGGGAGUAGGACUCCUCCUAGCACGCCCUCUCUUGGCCGGCCGCACCCCUCCCUUUGAUCCUUUAUAUACGGAGGCAAGGGGCACCCCUAGAGACACAAGUUGAUCCACGUGAUCAUAUUCUUAGCCGUGUGCGGUGCCCCCUUCCACCAUAGUCCUCGAUAACAUUGUAGCGGUGCUUAGGCGAAGCCCUACGACGGUAGUACAUCAAGAUCGUCACCACGCCGUCGUGUUGACGGAACUCUUCCCCGACACUUUGUUGGAUAGGAGUCCGGGGAUCGUCAUCGAGCUGAACAUGUGCUAGAACUCAGAGGUGUCGUAGUUUCGGUGCUUGAUCGGUCGGGCCGUGAAGACGUAUGACUACAUCAACCACGUUGUGCUAACGCUUCCGCUGUCGGUCUACAAGGGUACGUAGAUCACACUCUCCCCUCUCCUUGCUAUGCAUCACCAUGAUCUUGCGUGUGCGUAGGAAUUUUUUUGAAAUUACUACGUUCCCCAACAAACCUUUGCUGCUUGGCCUACGCCAGCCACUACCCCAAAACCACACCUCCUCUCCAGCCCAUUCCCCCACCUUUCGAUCCCCUAGCACGCAUCAAGCGUCCCCUAGUUUGCCGGAAAGGCAUGGUGCACCGCAAGAUCACGUACUACAAGAUGCUGAUGCCGGAGCACUGCGCAGAAAUCGCGGUGGUGGUCGGCACUACAGACCUCUGUUCCCAAGCUCGAUUUGCGUCGGGCCAAUCCCCGAGUUCUCUGGAGCCAAGCUCCGAGGAGGAGGAAGCCGAUCCAAUGUUCAUGGCAGAGGUCGAGGCUCAAAAGGCCCCCGAUGCGUAUGAGACGAUGGACGUUGACUUCGUGCCGGCGUCCGGAUGCAAGCGGAUGAUGACCCACAAGUAUAGGGGAUCUAUCGUAGUCCUUUCGAUAAGUAAGAGUGUCAAACCAAACGAGGAGCAGAAGGAAAUGACAAGCAGUUUUCAGUAAGGUAUUCUCUGCAAGCACUAAAAUUGUCGAUAACAGAUAGUUUUGUGAUAAGUUAAUUCGUAAUAGGUAACAAGUAACAAAAGUAAACAAGGUGCAGCAAGGUGGCCCAGUCCUUUUUGUAGCAAAGGAGAAGCCUGGACAAACUCUUAUAUAAAGGAAAGCGCUCCCGAGGACACAUGGGAAUUAUCAUCAAGCUAAUUUUCAUCAUGCUCAUAUGAUUCGUGUUCGUUACUUUGAUAAUUUGAUAUGUGGGUGGACCAGUGCUUGGGUACUGCCCUUCCUUGGACACAUAGUGCUUGCCAAAGGAUAAAGUGUAAAAAGGAAAGGUGAAGAUCACCAUGAUUCUUGUAUAAGGUAUAAGACAAAAAUAAAAGAUAGGCCCUUCGCAGAGGGAAGCAGAGGUUGUCAUGUGCUUUUAUGGUUGGAUGCACAAAAUCUUAAUGCAAAAGAACGUCACUUUAUAUUGCCACUUGCAAUAGGGACCUUUAUUAUGUAGUCCGUAGCUUUUAUUUCUUCCAUAUCACAAGCUCGUAUAAAGCUUAUUUUCUCCACACUAAUAGAUCAUACAUACUUAGAGAGCAAUUUUUAUUGCUUGCAACAAUGACAACUUACUUGAAGCAUCUUAUUCAAUCCAUAGGUAGAUAUGGUGUACUCUCAUGGCAAAACUGGGUUUAAGGAUAUUUGGAAGCACAAGUAGUAUCUCUACUUGGUGCAAGGAAUUUGGCUAGCAUAAGGGGGAAAGGCAAGGUCAACAUGUUGGAUGAUCCAUGACAAUAUAAUUUAUUUCGGAUAUAACAAAACAUAACCCAUUACGUUGUCUUCCUUGUCCAACAUCAACCUUUUAGCAUGUCAUAUUUUAAUGAGUGCUCACAAUCAUAAAGGAUGUCCAAGAUAGUAUAUUGAUAUGUGAAAACCUAUCUUUCUUUAUUACUUCCUAUUAAUUGCAACGAUGACCAAAACUAUGUUUGUCAGCUCUCAACAACUUUUAUUCAUCAUACUCUUUAUAUGUGAAGUCAUUACUCUUCAUAAGAUCAAAAUGAUCUCUUUAUUUCUUUUUUAUUUUAUUCCCUCAAGAUCGUAGCAAGAUAACUAAGCCCUCGACUCAAGACUAAUCUUUAUUAUAUAUAUAGCUCACGGACUCGAUUACAUAGAUAAGGGUCAACACAAAAACUCAAAGCUAGAUCAUACUAACUAUAUUCUACUAGAUCAAGAUAUAACCAAAAUGAUCGAACUAAGAAAAAUGGUAAAGGUAGAAGUGUGAUGGCGAUAUGAUACCGGGGCACCUCCCCCAAGCUUGGCAAUAGCCAAGGGGAGUGCCCACACCCGAAACUCAGUUCUCCUUUGGUGGUGGUGAUGACAAUUGUGCCUUCGGCUUUUUCAUAUUGUAGUUGAGGAGAGCAAUUUCCUCCUUUAAAUCAUUGACCUCCAACUCCAACUUCAAGAUCUUGUCACAUAAAUCUCCUUUGCUUUUCUGCCGAAAACGAGAAGGAAUAGAUUAAUUAUUAGACUGGUUAGCCCUCUUAGGGAGACUAGACUUCUUGAACUUCACGUGCAUAUCCCCAGGUUGAGGUAGAGGAACAUCCUCCUCCUCCGAACUUGAAUCAUCGAUCCUCAUCAAAUGAGCAUCCUCAUCAUCAUCUGUAGUUCGACCAUAAGGAGAUAGGUCCCCAUAGGUCUUUGGGUCAGCAAUGAGAUGUGAGACAUAGCUCUCUCCGUCGGAGUCUUGAGAUGACAUCUUGCUCUAAAUCUACUGUAGAAACAACUCAAAACAAAAACGGAGGGUUGUGUCAUGGUAAGGUGGUCAAAACUUUCGGGAGAUUAUAUAAUGAAUUUUUACCGACCAAAAGAAGUAUCGUGUAAGAAAACAGAGUCUGAAGGGCACACGAGGUGCACGAGGGAGGGGCGCGCCGAGGGGGGUAGGGCGCGCCCUCCACCCUCAUGGAUGCCUCGUGUCCUUUCCGGACUACUUCUUAUAUUCCUAUUUUCUUAAAUAUUCCAAAAUAGAGAAAAAAUGCUAUUAGAACUAUUUCGGAGUCGGUUUACUUACCGUACCACAUACCUAUUCCUUUUUGGAGUCUGAAACAUUCUGGAAAGUGUCCCUUAUGUACUCUUUCGGUGUUACGGUAUCAAUAACAUUGGUUUCAACAUUUAUGGGAUUAGCUGAGAUAUAAUGUUUGAUGCUUUGACCGUUCACCACCUUCGGAUUUGUGCCUCUGAAGUUGUUGAUUUUUAUGGCAUCAGAACGAUACACCUCCGCGAUAACGUAAGGACCUUCCCAUUUAGAGAGGAGUUUUCCUGCAAAAAAUCUUAAACGAGAGUUGUAUAACAAAACAUAAUCACCUACAUUAAACUCACGCUUUUGUAUCCUUUUGUCAUGCCAUCUUUUAACUUUUUCUUUAAACAGUUUGGCAUUCUCACAGGCCUGGGUUCUCCACUCAUCAAGUGAGCUAAUGUCAAAUAGUCUCUUAUCACCGGCAAGUUUGAAAUCAUAAUUGAGCUCUUUAAUGGCCCAAUAUGCCUUAUGUUCUAGUUCUAGAGGUAAGUGGCAUGCUUUUCCAUAAACCAUUUUAUAUGGAGACACACCCAUAGGAUUUUUAUAUGCAGUUCUAUAGGCCCAUAAUGCAUCAUCAAGUUUCUUGGACCAAUUCUUUCUAGAUCUAUUAACAGUCUUUUGCAAAAUUAAUUUAAUCUCUCUAUUACUCAGUUCUACUUGACCACUAGACUGUGGGUGGUAUGGAGAUGCAAUUCUAUGAUUAACAUCAUACUUAGCAAGCAUUUUAUGAAAAGCAUCAUGAAUAAAAUGUGAACCACCAUCAGUCAUUAAGUAUCUACGGACUCCAAACCUCGAAAAAAUAACUUCUUUAAGCAUCUUAAUAGAGGUGUUAUGAUCAACACUACUAGUUGGAAUAGCUUCUACCCACUUAGUAACAUAAUCAACAUCAACUAAAAUAUGUGUAUACCCAUUAGAGGAAGGAAACGGUCCCAUAUAAUCAAAGCCCCAAACAUCAAAUGGUUCAAUAACAAGUGAAUAGUUCAUAGGCAUUUCUUGACGUCUACUAAUAUUACCAAUUCUUUGACAUUCAUCAUAAGACAGGACAAACUUACGGGCAUCUUUGAAAGAGUAGGCCAAUAAAAAGCGGAUUGCAAUACCUUAUGUGAAGUUCUAUCUCCAGCGUGGUGUCCUCCAUAAGCCUCAGAGUGCCACUUGUGUAGGAUAUGUUCUCGUUCAUGCUCAGGUACACAACGUCUAAUAACACCAUCUACUCCUUUAUAAAGGUGUGGGUCAUCCUAGAAGUAAUGUCUUAAAGCAUAGAAAACCUUUUUUCUUUUGCUGGUAUGUGAAACUAGGUGGUAUAAAUUUAGCAACAAUAUAAUUAGCAUAAUCAGCAUACCAUGGAGCAGUACGAGAAGCAUUUAUAAUAGCUAAUUGUUCAUCAAGAAAGCUAUCAUCUAUAGGUAGUGGGUCAUCAGGAACAUUUUCUAACCUAGACAAGUUGUCUGCAACGGGGUUCUCAGCUCCCUUCCUAUCAAUAAUAUGCAAAACAAAUUCUUGUAGCAAGAGAACCCAUCUAAUAAGUCUAGUUUUAGCAUCUUUAUUUUCCAUAAGAUAUUUAAUAGCAGCAUGAUCAGUGUGAAUAGUUACUUUAGAAUCAACAAUAUAAUGUCUGAACUUAUCACAAGCAAAUACAACCGCUAAUUUUUUUUUUCAGUAGUAGCAUAAUUUCUCUAGGCACUGUCUAGAGUUUUACUAGAAUAUUGGAUAACAUUUAAUUUCUUAUCAACUCUUUGUCCUAGAACAACACCUACAACAUAAUCACUAUCAUCACACAUAAUUUUAAAGGGUAAAUUCCAAUCAGGUGGCUGAACAAUAGGUGCAGAAAUCAAGGCUUUCUUAAGUAUUUCAAAUGCUUCUACACAGUCAUCAUCAAAGAUAAAAGGAACAUCUUUUUGUAAGAGACUAGCACAUAUGCCCGUGUGUUGCAACGGGAGAUAAAAUAGUAUGCAUUUAAAGUUAGUGAGAAUAAUAUGUGCAAACAAAACCCUGUGUGCACACGAAAAAGAAACAUUUAGUUUCCCGGUUUCGCCGCAUGUGAAGGAAUCAGUCCGCUAAUUUUCCAUUCUUUAAGAGUUUUGUUACGUCAUCGCACGCCACAAAAGGCCCAUGAGUUAUUCAAUAUACUUUUCCUUUCAAUCGGGGCAUUUUAAGGUAUGAAGUUUCUGAAUAUUCUAAGAAACAUGAACAAUUAUUUAAAUCCUGAACAGUUAUUUAAAAUUAUGUAUACUUUUGGAAAAACUAAAAAAAUAUAUGAAAGGGAACAUCUUUAAAAUUCACAAACAUUUUCUGAAAACACCAACCUUUUAAAAAGAACAUUAACAUUAUUUGAAUUAGUGAACAUUUUUUUUAAACGGGUACAUGUGUUGAAAAUUCAUAAGUUUUUUAGAAAAUGUGUAUCUUUUAUAUAGGAACAUUAUUUUUAAUUGUGAAAAUUUCACUAAAAAUAUUUUUUUCAAUUUGGAGCAUUUUUUGAAAUGCAAUUUUCUUUUUAUAAAUCCCAAACAAUUUUGAAAAACAAUUUUUUUUUGAAAAAAUGGAAAACGUUAGAUUCGAAUAUUUUUCCAAAUAUGAAUAAUACUUUGGAUUUCUCAACAUUUUCCAACUUUUUUUAUUUUGAACAUUUUUUUGAAUUUUUAAUUUACGAAAUAAAUUCUAAAACAAAAAUAAACUUGGAAGGGAAAAAAGAGAUAGGGAAAAGAGAACAAAUAUAGAAGUAAAACACACAAAUAAAGAAAAUAGGCCAGGCCAUUAUUAGUUGUCCUUUACGAAACCCCAACUAUCAAAUUAUGUAUACUUUUGGAAAAACUCGAAAAAUAUAUGAAAGGGAACAUCUUUAAAAUUCACAAACAUUUUCUGAAAACACCAACCUUUUAAAAAAACAGUAACAUUAUUUGAAUUAGUGAACAUUUUUUUUAAAAAGGGUACAUGUGUUGAAAAUUCACAAGUUUUUUAGAAAAUGUGUAUCUUUUAUAUAGGAACAUUAUUUUUAAUUGUGAAAAUUUCACUAAAGCAAAUUUUUUAAAUUUGGAGCAUUUUUUGAAAUGCAAUUUUAUUUUUAUAAAUCCCAAACAUUUUUGAAAAACUUUUUUUUUGAAAAAAUGGAAAAGGUUUUGCGAGAUUCUAAUAUUUUUCCAAAUAUGAAUAAUAUUUUGGAAUUCUCAACAUUUUCCAAUAUUUUUUAUUUUGAACAUUUUUUGAGAAUUUUUAAUUUACGAAAUAAAUUCUAAAAAAAUAAACUUGGAAGGGAAAAAUAGAUAGGUAAAAGAGAAUAAACAUAGAAGUAAAACACACAAAUAAAGAAAAAUAGGCCAAUCCAUUAUUGGUUGUUCUUUACGAAACCCCAACUAUGUGUCGCCCUAUGCGGAAAAAUAAAGUUUUCCCAGCUGCGUGGGCAGAGAAAUAAGUGGGCUGGUUUCACUGGGCCAUAGCACGCGGCCCACAUAUAAUUUUUGUUUUCUAGCUGGCAAACACAUACGAAUUUAGUACCACCUUGGAUAGGAAAAAAAUUCGGUGGUGAACGGAUGAAAAAAUUGGCGAAACGCACCUUGCUUUAUUAGUAGGUAUAGAUUAGUCACAGGCCUAGAAAUUUUUGAGAAGUCUUUAAUGAACCUCCUAUAAAACCGGCAUGACCAAGGAAACUUCUUAUACCUAUAAUGUCAUUAGGACACGACAUCUUUUCAAUAGCAUCAACUUUAGCUUUAUCAACUUCAAUACCUCUUUCAGAAAUUUUAUGCCCCAAGACAAUACCUUCAUUAACCAUAAAGUGGCACUUCUCCCAAUUCAAGACAAGAUUAGUUUCUUCACAUCUCUACAAAACUCGAUCAAGGUUGCUUAAGCAAUCAUCAAAAGAAGUUCCAUACACGGAGAAAUCAUCCAUGAAAACCUCAACAAUCUUUUCACAAAAGUCGGAGAAUAUAGCAGUCAUACAUCUUUGAAAGGUAGCAGGUGCAUUACAUAAACCAAAAGGCAUACGUCUAUAAGCAAAGGUACCGAAAGGUCAAGUAAAAGUGGUCUUUUCCUGAUCUUCUUUCAACACAGGUAUUUGAGAGAAACCGGAAUAACCGUCUAGAAAGCAAAAAUGUGUAUGUUUGGAUAAUCUUUCUAGCAUUUGAUAAAUAAAAGGUAAAGGGUAAUGAUCAUUUCUAGUAGCUUUAUUUAAUUUGCGGAAAUCAAUUACCAUUUUAAAACCUGUAACAAUUCUUUGUGGGAUCAAUUCAUCUUUAUCAUUAGGAACAACAGUAAUACCUCCCUUCUUAGGGACACAAUGGACAAGACUUGCCCACUUACUAUCAGCAACAGGAUAAAUUUUACACGCCUCCAGAAGCUUUAGUAUUUCAUUCCUUACCACUUCUUUCAUCUUAUGAUUUAACCGUCGUUGGUGAUCAACAACCGGUUUAGCAUCUUUCUCCAAUUUUAUUUUGUGCUGGCAUAGAGUGGGACUAAUGCCCUUAAGAUCAUCAAGAGCAUAUCCAAUAGCAGCGCAGUGCUUCUUCAGAGUUUUCAAUAAUUUCUCUUCUUCCUGCUCUAAAAGGUUAGCACUAAUAAUAACAUGAUAUAUCUUCUUUUCAUCAAGAUAAUCAUAUUUAAGAGUAUCAGGUAAUGGUUUAAGCUCAAACACGGGAUCACCCUUGGGUGGAGGAGGAUCCCCUAGAAUUUCAAUAGGCAAGUUGUGUUUCAAAACAGGUCCUUGUUUAAAGAAUACUUCAUCUAUUUCCCUUCUUUCAUUCAUAAACAUAUCAUUUUCAUGGUGUAGCAAAUAUUGUUCUAAAGGAUCAUUAGGAGGAACGACAAUAGAAGGAGGACCAAUAAUUUCAUAUUUACUAGGAAAUUCUUUAUCAUGGGGUUGUCUACGAAAUUUAGCAAAAUUAAAAUCAUGAGACAUAUCCCCUAAACCAACAGAAACAAUAUCCUUUUUGCAGUCUAUCUUAGCAUUAACAAUACUCAAGAAGGGUCUACCAAAUAUAAUGGAACAAAAGUCAUCUUGUGGGGAACCAAGAACAAGAAAAUCAAUAGGAUAUUUAACUUUCCCACACAAGACUUCAACAUCUCUAACAAUCCCAACUCGUGAAAUAGUAUCUCUAUUGGCAAGCUUAAUUGUAACAUCAAUACCUUCUAUCAAAGCAGGUGCAAUAUCCUGCAUAAUUUCUUUGUAUAAGGAAUGAGGUAUUGCACUCGCACUAGCACUCAUGUCACAUAAGCCAUGAUAGCAAUGAUCUCCUAUUUUAACAGAAACAACAGGCAUGCCUACAAUAGGUCUAUGUUUAUUUUUAGUAUCAGGUCUAGCAAUUCUAGCAGCUUCAUCACAGAAGUAGAUAACAUGCCCAUCAAUAUUAUCAAUCAAGAGAUCUUUAACCAUAGCAAUACUAGGUUCAACUUUAAUUUUCUCAGGGGGUGUAGGUGUUCUAGCAUUACUCUUACGAGCCACAGUUGAAACUUUAGCAUGAUCCUUUAUUCUAACUGGGAAAGGUGGUUUGUCAAUAUAAGCAGUAGGAACAAUAGGAUCAACAUUAUAAGUGAUAGUAUUUUAUUCAACUUUAAUAGGUUCGACUAGUUUUCCUUCAAUGGGAGUAUGAUAUUUAAACCACUUCUCCUUAGGGAGAUCAACAUGAGUAGCAAAUGAUUCACAGAAAGAAACUACUAUCUUAGAGUCAAGUCCAUAUUUAGUUCUAUAUUCACGAAAAGUAUCAGUGUCCAUAAAAGAUUUAACACAAUCAAACUUAGGUGCUAUACCUAACUCGUUACCUUCAUCGAGUUCCCAAUCUUCAGAGUUGCAUUUAAUUCUUUCCAAUAAAUCCCAUCUGAAUUCAAUAGUCUUCAUCAUAAAAGAACCAGCGCAAGAAGUAUCGAGCAUGGAGAGAGUAUUGAGAGAAAGCCGGGCAUAAAAGUGUUGAAUGAUAUUUUCUCUUGAGAGCUCAUGAUUGGGGCAUGAAUAUAACAUUGACUUAAGCCUCUCCCAAGCUUGAGCGAUACUUUCUCCUUCGCAAGUCCAAAAAUUAUAUAUAUAUAUAUAUAUAUAUAUAUAAUUACGAUCACGAUGAACCAGAUGCAUAGGAUAAAACUUUUGAUGAAAUUCCAAUUUCAAUCGGUUGUAGUUCCACAAUCCAAUAUCAUCACAUAGCCUAAACCAUAUCAAUGACUUUCCAUUCAAAGGUAAAGGGAAGACCUUCUUCUUGAUAACAUCCUCGGGCAUACCUGCAAGCUUAAAUAAUCCACAAACUUCAUCCACAUGGAUUAGGUGCAUAUCCGGAUGUAAUGUUCCAUCUCCUGUAAAGGAUUAGCUAGCAGUUUCUCUAUCAUACCCGAGGGAAUUUUAAAGUAAACAUUUUCAGUAGGUUCGGUAGGUUGAGGAGCAACCCUUUGCUCUACUGGUCAGGGUGAAGAUACCCCGAACAAGCCCCUCAAAGUAUUAUUUUCCAUAGAAACAAGUGACAGUAAAUUUCAGCACACUAUAUAAAUGUUUCCUUACCAAAUUCCACCUACCAAAGGCGCUUCACUCCCCGUCAACGGCGCCAGAAAAGAGUCUUGAUGACCCACAAGUAUAGAGGAUCUAUCGUAGUGCUUUUGAUAAGUAAGACUGUCGAACCCAAUGAGGAGCAGAAGGAAAUGACAAGCAGUUUUCAGUAAGGUAUUCUCUGCAAGCACUGAAAUUAUCGGUAACAGAUAGUUUUGUGAUAAGGUAAUUCAUAAGAGGUAACAAGUAACAAAAGUAAACAAGGUGCAUCAAGGUGGCCCAAUCCUUUUUGUAGCAAAGGACAAGCCUGUAAAAACUCUUAUAUAAAGGAAAGCGCUCCCGAGGACACAUGGGAAUUAUCGUCAAGCUAGUUUUCAUCAUGCUCAUAUGAUUUGCGUUCAUUACUUUGAUAAUUUGAUAUGUGGGUGGACCGGUGCUUGGGUACUGCCCUUCCUUGGAGAAGCAUCCCACUUAUGAUUAACCCCCUGGCAAGCAUCCGCAACUACGAAAGAAGAAUUAAGGUAAACCUAACCAUAGCAUGAAACAUAUGAAUCCAAAUAAGCCCCUUGCGAAGCAACGCAUAAACUAGGAUUUAAGCUUCUAUCACUCUAGAAACCCAUCAUCUACUUAUUACUUCCCAAUGCCUUCCCCUAGGCCCAAAUAAUGGUGAAGUUUCAUGUAGUCGACGUUCACAUAACACCACUAGAGGAAAGGCAACAUACAUCUCAUCAAAAUAUCGAACGAAUACCAAAUUCACAUGACUACUUAUAACAAGACUUCUCCCAUGUCCUCAGGAACAAACGUAAAUACUCACAAAUCAUAUUGAUGUUCAUAAUAAGAGGGGUAUUAAUGUUCAUAAAGGAUCUGAACAUAUAAUCUUCCACCAACCAACUAGCAUCAACUACAAGGAGUAAUCAAUACUACUAGCAACCGACGGGUACCAAUAUGAGGUUUUGAGACAAAGAUCGGAUACAAGAGAUGAACUAGGGUUUGAGAGGAGAUGGUGCUGGUGAAGAUGUUGAUGGAGAUUGACCCCCUCCCGAUGAGAGGAUCGAUGGUGAUGACGAUGGUGACGAUUUCCCCCUCCCGGAGGGAUGUUUCCCCGGCAGAACAGCUCCGCCGGAGCCCUAGAUUGGUUCCACCAAGGUUCCACCUCGAGACAGCGACGCUUCAUCCCGGAAACUUUCUUGUGAUUUUUUCCAGGGCAAAAGACACCUUAUACCAGAAGAUGGGCAUCGGGGGGCUUCCAGGUGGCCCACAAGGCAGGGGGCGCACCCAGGGGGUAGGGCGCGCCCUCCACCCUUGUGGACGGUGGGCGGCCCCCUCUGGUGCUUUCUUCGCCCAAUAUUUUUAAUACAUUCCAAAACUAACUUUCGUGGAGUUUCAGGACGUUUGGAGUUGUGCAGAAUAGGUCUCUAAUAUUUGCUCCUUUCCAGCCUAGAAUUUCAACUGCCGGCAUUCUCCCUCUUCAUGUAAACCUUGUAAAAUAAGAGAGAACAGGCAUAAGUAUUGUGACAUAAUGUGUAAUAACAGCCCAUAAUGCAAUAAAUGUCGAUAUAGAAGCAUGAUGAAAAAUGGACGUAUCAGUGAACCACCGGUUCAACUUGGAGAUACUAAAGGAGGACUAGGAGGUGGAGGCUCAACUCAACGCAGAGCACGCAUGCCGCUGCCAUCGAGGCCCUCCUGCAGUCAGAACCGGAUGUCGUGGAUGUGAACUAGGCGGCGGAGGCUCAACUUGACACGGAGCAUGCGGAUGCCACUGCCAUCGAGGCCCUCCUGCAGGCGGAACCGGACAUCUUCGACUUGAACCGGGCAGCGGAGGCUCAACUUGACGUGGAGUGCGUGAAUGCCGCUGCCAUCGAGGCCCUCCUGCAGGUGGAACCGGACAUCCUGGACUGGAACCGGGCAGCGGAGGCUCAACUCAACACGGAGUGCGCGGAUGCUGCUGCCAGCGAGGCCCUCCUGCAGGCGGAACCGGGCGUCUUGGACUUGAACCGGGCAGUGCUCUCGUCCGUGCAGAGCGCCCGCACGCUCCGCGUGAACGAGUAGCUGGAGGCUGAGGACAACCAUGGUGCGGAGACACACGUCGACAGCUACGGUGGUUCACGUCGGCAGCCAAAGACGACGAGGUCGUCUCGUUCAAGUAGUCAUAGUUUUUUGUUGUUGUUUUUAGGGAUCUUUUGUUGUGUAAAAACAUAUACGUAUGCAAGUCGCCUGACUUUCAUCAUUUGGGUCAUUCAACCAUUUUAGGCGGUUGGAUGAAUAUCCUACGUCUCCCAACCCUUCUUCCUCACCUCUUUUUCUUCCCCAACAAACCAUCGCACGGGCCGUAUGGAUCUUCCCCAACAUGCGGUUGGAUAAACAUAUUGCAUGGACAAAAAUUAUGUGUCAGCGAUAGGAUGGCUGAGUUUGGUUUGAUCACAUGCGGUAGCAUGUGUCAGUGAGGGUGCAUUCCCUUGGUUGGGUUUGCGGGCGUGCAGGAGCGACUGUGUGAGGGUCCGGUGUGACCGCGACAGCCGUGCGCAAGUGUACCUCCUUUUCAUUUUGAAAACUUUAGGCAAGCUUGGUAAAAAUGUGUGGCGAAGUAUGGCAAUGCAAGGCCUAGACCUAAACAGGAUACAAGUAUGUACGUAGGAGUAGUACUUGUGUUAAAAACAAUGGCGGGGUUUUCCUUCACGGGAUUGAUCGAUACAAAUUCUCGUUUGACGUGUCAAUUAAUGCGUAUUUUUUUCUCCAACGCCCAAAGAGCUAACCAUCUCACUCCUUAUCGCUUGAUUAAUGCAGUGCCAUGCAAACCAACCUUCUCACUUCCGCAAGAAUGCAAGGGUAUAUUAAUGUCCUUGGUUGCUAGUACGAGGCAAACCCCAUCAGUUUUGCCUCGAUUAGUGUUAGUGGCCUUCUACAAAUUGUAAUUUUGAUAUAUUGGCCUUGUGUACAAAAAUGGAGGUAGUAACUAUUUGACUUCCUUCCCCAUUGCAGUGACGUCGACGAUAUCUCGAACGUUGUGGUUCGGCAAAAUGCGUUCGAUGGAGAACACCAUUGAGGGAGACCACGGUAAGUCAUUCGCAAGUGCCACCUGCAAGCCGAGAAAACCGCCUUAUUUGCAUCCAGGAAGUCCGUUGAACCAAAGGACGCGUAAAUGUACUAGUACUACACAAUAGCGUCGUCUGUCCAGCUUAGUGCAGAGUCAGCAAAGAGUGAAAUGAUGGUUGAUUCGUCCAUGCUUUGUGAUUUGACACCUCACUGCUUUGUGAUUUGUGAUAGGAGGGACAGGGGAGUAGACUUUGUUCUCUAUACUGUACAUGCAUCCAAGCACGGGAGAAAGAGGAGAGACAUUGCAUUUUUCUAUUCCUCCAAUCAAUCAAUCAGGGAGCUUCGGUUCCAUCUUUUUGGCUUUGGAAGCACCGUCCAUAAUGGUUCCCAUCGAUGCCAAAAGCUAUUUUCACAUUUGGCUACACAUUGUGGAUGCCCUUAACCGUACCACUUGGUUUUGCUCCUGUGUGCUAUCUAUACAAAUCUCGAUUAUAUUGAUCUAAAAAAUUAUAGUAUCAAGAUUAGUAAAAAAGGAGGUGAUUUUGCCGCGCGGAUGGCGGGGGAGGUUUCUUAUUUUUAGAGGACGUUGGCAUGGUGGUUUGCUAACAUGCGGUCCCACGUGUCAGUGCUUUACCAAGCCGAUUCGCGUCCCACAUGAGGCAGAACAACGACAGAAGCAACACGUGAUUAACUUGAAGAAGAUGAGGGAGAAGCGGAUUCAACAACGAGUGAAAUGAUGGUUGUUUCGUCCCUCCAACUUCUUUUUUAGCAUUAUUACUUCGUCCCUCCCACUUAACCGUGGGAAAGGUGCAGCUUUGUGAUUUGACGCUUCAUUGCUCAUUACUACGUCGGGGCCAUGACUGGGGUGCUUCACCCAUGCUGCUCUGCAAAGUUAUUUCGGUAUGGCACGUGGACCCGGUUGCUUGAUGUCCCACAUGUCGGCGAAAGGGACUAGAACAUUUAUGAAAGCGAGCGCUCCACUCUUACAACGAAGGAGUACAUGACAUGGCGGCCCAGUGAACUCUUACUUGUACUGUAGUAUUACUAUAGUUUUGUUGUUUCGCACGAUCCAUCGAUACAAACCCGAUUAAAUAGGCAAGGGCGGGAUUUUCCCGUGCGGUAGAUGAUACUAGCCAUACAUUUCAAAGGCAAUUUUAAUGUAUGCAAACUAAAUAAUUAAGUAACAAUAUGAGAUCUAGUAAAACUAAAAACACAUAUGAUUUAUUGUGUUAGAGUGUAGUAGUAGUGCUGUAUUGCAUAGUUGUUAGAUGUAACAUGCGAGAAUGUGUAGAGAUGUACUUUUGGAGGGCCUACAGAGAGAAAUUGGGCAUAAAGUGGAUUCAAAUAUUUGUAUUCGUCUUCAUCACAUUUGUAACUCAUAUCUACAGUUUGUACAGUAGACGUGAAUGUGUGUUCGCUCGUACGAAACCAGUACGGCAAUAAUGGGGUGGCGUGCGCCGAUUUAGGCACUGUCACGUUGGCCUACUCGGCUCCACAGGGAGAGCGAGAGAAGAGAUAAAUUCAUAGUAACAAGUGACAGUAAAUUUCAGCACACUAUAUAAAUUUUUCCUUACCAAAUUCUACCUACCAAAGGCGCUUCACUCCCCGGCAAUGGCGCCAGAAAAGAGUCUUGAUGACCCACAAGUAUAGGGGAUCUAUCGUAGUCCUUUCGAUAAGUAAGAGUGUCGAACCCAAUAAGGAGCAGAAGGAAAUGAUAAGCAGUUUUCAGUAAGGUAUUCUCUGCAAGCACUGAAAUUAUUGGUAACAGAUAGUUUUGUGAUAAGGUAAUUUGUAAAGGGUAACAAGUAAUAAAAGUAAAUAAGGUGCACCAAGAUGGCCCAAUCCUGUUUGUAGCAAAGCACAAGCCUGGACAAACUCUUAUAUAAAGGAAAACGCUCCCGAGGACACAUGGGAAUUAUCGUCAAGCUAGUUUUCAUCAUGCUCAUAUGAUUCAUGUUCGUUACUUUGAUAAUUUGAUAUGUGGGUGGACCGGUGCUUGGGUACUGCCCUUCCUAGGGCAAGCAUCCCACUUAUGAUUAACCCCUCUUGCAAGCAUCCGCAACUACAAAAGAAGUAUUAAGGUAAACCUAACCAUAGCAUGAAACAUAUGGAUCCAAACCAUCCCCUUACGAAGCAACGCAUAAACUAGGGUUUAAGCUUCUGUCACUCUAGCAACCAAUCAUCUACUUAUUACUUCCCAAUGCCUUCCCCUAGGCCCAAAUAAUGGUGAAGUGUCAUGUAGUCGACGUUCACAUGACACCACUAGAGGAAAGACAACAUACAUCUCAUCAAAAUAUCUAACGAAUACCAAAUUCAUAUGACUACUUAUAGCAAGACUUCUGCCAUGUCCUCAGGAACAAACGUAACUACUCACAAAUCAUAUUCAUGUUCAUAAUAAGAGGGGUAUUAAUAUGCAUAAAGGAUCUGAACAUAUGAUCUUCCACCAAAUAAACCAACUAGCAUCAACUACAAGGAGUAAUCAACACUACUAGCAAACCACAGGUACCAAUCUGAGGUUUUGGGACAAAGAUUGGAUACAAGAGAUGAACUAGGGUUUGAUAUGAGAUGGUGCUUGUGAAGAUAUUGAUGGAGAUUGAACCCCUCCCGAUGAGAGGAUCGAUGGUGAUGAUUUCCUCCUCCUGAAGGGAUGUUUCCCCGGCAGAACAACUCCGCCGGAGCCCUAGAUUGGUUCCGCCAAGGUUCCGCCUCGUGGCGGCGGAGUUUCAUCUCGUGAGCUUGCUUAUGAUUUUUUCCAGGGCAAAAGACUUCAUAUAGCCGAAGAUGGGCAUCGGAGGCCUGCCAGGGGGCCCACGAGGCAGGGGGGCACGCCCAGGGGGGUAGGGCGCGCCCCCACCCUCGUGGAUGGUGGGUGGCCCCCCUCAGGUGCUUCCUUCGCCCAAUAUUUUUUAUAUAUUCUAAAACUGACUUCCGUGAAGUUUUAGGACUUUUGGAGUUGUGCAAAAUAGGUCUCUAAUAUUUGCUCCUUUUCCAGCCCAGAAUUCCAGCUGUCGACAUUCUCCCUCUUUGUGUAAACCUUGUAAAAUAAGAGAAAAUAGGCAUAAGUAUUGCGACAUAAUGUGUAAUAAAUGCCCAUAAUGCAAUAAAUAUCGAUAUAAAAGCAUGAUGCAAAAUGGACAUAUCAACUCCCCCAAGCUUAGACCUCGCUUGUCCUCAAGCGAAAGCCGAUAUCAAAAAAUAUGUCCACAUGUUUAGAGAUAGAGGUGUCGAUAAAAUAAAAUACGGACAUGAGGGCAUCAUGAUCAUUCUUAUAACAGCAACAUACAUAUAUAUUGUCAUAUGAUUUCUUAUGCUAAAGUAACAAUUCAUUCACAAUUUCAAGUAUGAAUCAGAAACUUCAUUGAAAACUAACAAACUAUAAUCUCAGUCAUUGAAGCAAUUGCAAUUUAUCAUAACAUUAGAAAGAGUCAAUAUAAGAGCUUUUUAGCAAGUCCACAUACUCAACUAUCAUUUAGUCUUUCACAAUUGCUAACACUCAUGCAAUACUUAUGGGUAUGAAGUUUUAAUCAGACACAGAGAAAGAUAGGGGCUUAUAGUUUUGCCUCCCAACCUUUUACCUCAAGGGUAAUGUUAACAAUAAUAGUUCAUGAAAACUCACAUCCAAUUAGCUAUAUAUAUCAGGAUCUUUCCAACACAUUGUGCUUGCCAAAGGAUAAAAUGUAAAAAAGGAAAGGUGAAGAUCACCAUGACUCUUGUAUAAGGCAUAAGACAAAAGUAAAAGAUAGGCCCUUCGCAGAGGGAAGCGGAGGUUGUCAUGUGCUUUUAUGGUUGGAUGCACGAAAUCUUAAUGCAAAAGCACAUCACUUUAUAUUGUCACUUGUGAUAUGGACCUUUAUUAUGCAGUCCGUCGCUUUUAUUUCUUCCCCAUCACAAGAUCAUAUAAAGCUUAUUUUAUCCACACUAAUAAAUCAUACAUAUUUAGAGACCAAUUUUUAUUGCCUGCAAGAUGACAACUUACUUGAAGGAUCUUACUCAAUCCAUAGGUAGAUAUGGUGGACUCUCAUGGCAAAACUGGGUUUAAAGAUAUUUGGAAGCACAAGUAGUAUCUCUACUUAGUGCAAAAAAAUUGGCUAGCAUGAGGGGGAAUGUCAAGCUCAACAUGUUGGAUGAUCCAUGACAAUAUAAUUUAUUUUAGAUGUAAGAAAACAUAAGCCAUUAUGUUGUCUUCCUUGUCCAACAUCAACUUUUUAGCAUGUCAUAUUUUAAUGAGUGCUCACAAUCAUAAAAGAUGUCCAAGAUAGUAUAUUUAUAUGUGAAAACCUCUCUUUCUUUAUUACUUCCUAUUAAUUGCAACGAUUACCAAAACUAUGUUUGUCAACUAUCAACAACUUUUAUUUAUCAUACUCUUUAUAUGUGAAGUCAUUACUCUUCAUAAGAUCCAUAUGAUCUCUUUAUUUCUUUUUAUUCUUUCUCUUUUCUUUUAUUUUUAUUCCCUCAAGAUCAUAGCAAGAUAAGCAAGCCCUUGACUCAAAACUAAUCUUUAUUAUAAAUAUAGCUCACGGACUCGAUUGCAUAGAAGGAUCAUAAAGCAAAACUCAAAACUAGAUCAUACUAAAACUUUAUUCUACUAGAUCAAGAUAUUACCAAAAGGAUUGAACUAAGAAAAAUGGUAAAGAUAGAAGUGUGAUGGUGAUGCGAUACCGGGGCACUCCCCAAUCCAUGUAUUUAUGUCUCUUUCUUCGGAGGUGGUGAUGUGAUAUUCUUGGCGAUGAUGCCCCUUAGGAUAUGAUUCUCUUCCUCGAGCGUAUUGACUUGCUGCUUGAGAUCCAUUAUUUCCCUGCGGAGCUUACCCGUGACGGCUAAAGCUCCUUGCACCCAUGGAUGUUGCAUAGCUGCCGGAGAACAAGUAACACUCCUUUUCAUAUUUUCAUAAGAAAGAAAUCUAACAUUGGGAUGGAUGACCGAGUUUGGAAUUGCUGAGCUCUGAAGUUCCUCCAUCAUAAAUCUGGCCUGGAGACGAGAGGUAACUUCUUGAUCUUCCUCCAUGGCGUCUAUCCUUUUCGAGUUGGCCUCCAUCUCUUCCUCAGUUGCUGGCCCAAAGUGAUCGGCAUCGCUGUUUGCUUUUGGCCACGGUGUCGGGUGAGAUACCUGGCUCUCCCCAACUGACUCUUGAGAAGACAUCUUGCUCUAAAUCUGCAGUAGAGAUAGCUCGAAACAUAAACAGAAGAUAUUUGCGUGGUACGGUGGUCAAAACCUUCGGGAGAUUAUAUAAUGAAUUUUUACUAACCAAAAGAAGUAUCGUGCAAGAAAACGGAGUCUGGAGGGCACACGAGGUGCCCACGAGGCAGGGGCGCGCCCAGGGGGUAGGGCGCGCCCUCCACCCUCGUGGAUGCCUUGUGUCCUUUCUGGACUUCUUCUUAUUUUCCUAUUUUCUUAAAUAUUCCAAAACGGAGAAAAAUUGCUAUUAGAACUGUUUUGGAGUCGGUUUACUUACCAUACCACAUACCUCUUCCUUUUCGGAGGCUGAAACGUUCUGGAAGGUGUCCCUUAUAUACUCCUCCGGGGUUACGGUUUCAACGACAUUAGUUUCAACAUUUAUAGGAUUACCUGGGAUAUAAUGUUUGAUUCUUUGACCGUUCCCCACCCUCGAAUUUGUGCCUUCGAAGUUGUUGAUUUUUAUGGCACUGGAACGAUAUACCUCCUCGAUAACAUAAGGACCUUCCCAUUUAGAGAAGAGUUUGCCUGCAAAAAAUCUUAAACAAGAGUUGUAUAACAAUACAUAAACACCUACAUUAAACUCACAUUUUUGUAUCUUUUUUUCAUGCCAUCUUUUAACUUUUUCUUUAAAUAGUUUGGCAUUCUCAUAGGCCUGGGUUCUCCAUUCAUCAAGUGAGCUAAUGUCAAAUAGUAUCUUCUCACCGGCAAGUUUUAAAUCAUAAUUGAGCUCUUUAAUGGCCCAAUAUGCCUUAUGUUCUAGUUCAAGAGGUAAGUGGCAUGCUUUUCCAUAGACCAUUUUAUAUGGAGACAUACCCAUAGGAUUUUUGUAUGCAGUUCUAUAUGCCCAGAAUGCAUCAUCAAGUUUCUUGGACCAAUUCUUUCUAGAUCUAUUAAUAGUCUUUUGCAAAAUUAAUUUAAGCUCUCUAUUACUCAGUUCUACUUGACCACUAGAAUGUGGAUGAUAUGGAGAUGCAAUUCUAUGAUUAACAUCAUACUUAGAAAGCAUUUUACGAAAAGCGCCAUGAAUAAAAUGUGAACCACCAUCAGUCAUUAAGUAUCUAGGGACUCCAAACCUCGGAAAAAUAACUUCUUUAAGCAUCUUAAUAGAGGUGUUAUAAUCAACACUACUAGUUGGAAUAACUUCUACCCACUUAGUAACGUAAUCAACAACAACUAAAAUAUGUGUAUACCCAUUAGAGGAUGGAAACUGUCCCAUAUAAUCAAAGCCCCAAACAUCAAAUGGUUCAAUAACAAGUGAAUAAUUCAUAGGCAUUUCUUGACGUCUACUAAUAUUACCAAUUCUUUGACAUUCAUCACAAGACAAGACAAACUUACGGGCAUCCUUGAAGAGAGUAGGCCAAUAAAAACUGGAUUGCAAUACCUUAUGUGUAGUUCUAUCUCCAGCAUGGUGUCCACCAUAAGCCUCAGAGUGACACUUGCGUAGGAUCUGUUCCUGUUCAUGCUCAGGUACACAACGUCUAAUAACACCAUCUACUCCUUCUUUAUAAAGGUGUGGGUCAUCCCAUAAGUAAUGUCUUAAAUCAAGAAAAACUUUUUAUUUUGUUGGUAUGUGAAACUAGGUGGUAUAAAUUUAGCAACAAUGUAAUUAGCAUAAUCAGCAUACCAUGGAGCAGUACGAGAAGCAUUUAUGAUAACUAAUUGUUCAUUAGGAAAGCUAUCAUCAAUAGGUAGUGGGUCAUCAAGAACAUUCUCUAACCUAGACAAUUUGUCUGCAACGGGGUUCUCAGCUCCCUUUCUAUCAAUAAUAUGCAAAUCAAAUUCUUGUAGUAGGAGAACCCACCUAAUAAGUCUAGGUUUAGCAUCUUUCUUUUCCAUAAGAUAUUUAAUAGCAGCAUGAUCAGUGUGAACAGUUACUUUAGAAUCAACAAUAUAAUGUCUGAACUUAUCAUAAGCAAAUACAACUGCUAAAAAUUCCUUUUCAGUAGUGGCAUAAUUUCUCUGGGCACUGUCUAGAGUUUUACUGGCAUAUUGGAUAACAUUUAAUUUCUUAUCAACUCUUUGUCCUAGAACAACCCCUAUAGCAUAAUCACUAGCAUCACACAUAAUUUCAAAGGGUAAAUUCCAAUCAGGAGGUUGAACAAUAGGUGCAGAAAUCAAGGCUUUCUUAAGUAUUUCAAAUGCUUCUACACAAUCAUCAUCAAAACAAAAGGAACAUUUUUUUGUAAGAGAUUAGUCAGAGGCCUAGAAAUUUUUCAGAAGUCUUUAAUGAACCUCCUAUAAAAACCGACAUGACCAAGGAAACUUCUUAAUACUUGAAUGUCCUUUGGACAUGACAUCUUUUCAAUAGCAUCAACUUUAGCUUUAUCAACUUCAAUACCUCUUUCAGAAAUUUUAUGCACCAAGACAAUACCUUCAUUAACCAUAAAGUGGCACUUCUCCCAAUUCAAGACAAGAUUAGUUUCUUCACAUCUCUGUAAAACUGGAUCAAGGUUGCUUAAGCAAUCAUCAAAAGAAGUUCCAUACAUGGAGAAAUCAUCCAUGAAAACCUCAACAAUCUUUUCACAGAAGUCGGAGAAUAUAGCAGUCAUACAUCUUUGAAAGGUAGAAGGUGCAUUACAUAAACCAAAAGGCAUAUGUCUAUAAGCAAAGGUAUCGAAAGGUCAAGUAAAGGUGGUCUUUUCCUGAUCUUCUUUCGACACGGGUAUUUGAGAGAAACCAGAAUAACCGUCUAGAAAGCAAAAAUGUGUAUGUUUGGAUAACCUUUCUAGAAUUUGAUCAAUAAAAGGUAAAGGGUAAUGAUCCUUUCUAGUAGCUUUAUUUAGUUUGUGGAAAUCAAUUACCAUUCUAUAACCGGUAACAAUUAUUUGUGGGAUCAAUUCAUCUUUAUCAUUAGGAACAACAGUAAUACCUCCCUUCUUAGGGACACAAUGGACAUGACUUACCCACUGACUAUCAACGAGAGGAUAAAUUAUACCUGCCUCUAGAAGCUUUAGUAUUUCAUUCCUUACCACUUCUUUCAUCUUAGGAUUUAACCGUCGUUGGUGAUCAACAACCGGUUUAGCAUGUUUCUCCAAUUUUAUUUUGUGUUGGCAUAGAGUGGGACUAAUGCCCUUAAGAUCAUCAAGAGUAUAUCCAAUAGCAACAGGUGCUUCUUCAGAGUUUUCAGUAAUUUCUCUUCUUCCUGCUCUGAAAGGUUAGCACUAAUAAUAACAGGAUAUAUCUUCUUUUCAUCGAGAUAAGCAUAUUUAAGAGUAUCAGGUAAUGGUUUAAGCUCAAACACGGGAUCACCCUUGGGUGGAGGAGGAUCCCCUAAGAUUUCGACAGGCAAGUUGUGUUUCAAAAUAGGUCCCUGUUUAAAGAAUACUUCAUCUAUUUCCCUUCUUUCGUUCAUAAACAUAUCAUUUUCGUGGUCUAGCAAAUAUUGUUCUAAAGGAUCAUUAGGAGGCACGGAAAUAGAAGCAAGACCAAUAAUUUCAUCUUUAAUAGGCAAUUCUUUAUCAUGGGGUUGUCUAUGAAAUUUAGCAAAAUUAAAAUCAUGAGACAUAUCCCCUAAACCAACAGAAACAAUAUCCUUUGUGUAGUCUAUCUUAGCAUUAACGGUAUUCAAGAAGGGUCUACCAAAUAUAAUGGGACAAAAGUCAGCUUGUGGGGAACCAAGAACAAGAAAAUCAACAGGAUAUUGAACUUCCCCACACAAGACUUCAACAUCUCUAACAAUCCCAACCGGUGAAAUAGUAUCUCUAUUGGCAAGCUUAAUUGUAAGAUCAAUACCUUCUAACUCAGCAGGUGCAAUAUCAUGCAUAAUUUCUUCAUAUAAAGAAUGAGGUAUUGCACUUGCACUAGCACCCAUAUCACAUAAGCCAUGAUAGCAAUGAUAUCCUAUUUUAACAGAAAUAACAGGCAUGCCUACAGCAGGUUCUAUGUUAAUUUUUAGUAUCGGGUCUAGCAAUUCUAGCAGCUUCAUCAAAGAAGUAAAUAACAUGCCCGUCAAUAUUAUUAGACAAGAGAUCUUUAACCAUAGCAAUACUAGGUUAAACUUCAAUUUGCUCAGGGGGUGUAGGUGUUCUAGUAUUACUCUUAUGAACCACCGUUUGAUGCUUUAGCAUGAUCCUUUAUUCUAGUAGGGAAAGGUGGUUUCUCAAUAUAAGCGGUAGGAACAAUAGUAUCAACAUUAUAAGUGAUAGUCUUUUCUUCAACUUUAAUAGGUUCGACUACUUUUACUUCAAUGGGAGGAUGAUAUUUAAUCCACUUCUCCUUAGGGAGAUCAACAUGAGUAACAAAGGAUUCACAAAAAGAAGCUACUAUCUAAGAGUCAAGUCCAUAUUUAGUGCUAAAUUCAUGGAAAGCAUCGGUAUCCAUAAAAGAUUUAACACAAUCAAACUUACGUGUUAUACCUGACUCCUUACCUUAGUUGAGUGCCCAAUCUUCAUAGUUGCGUUUAAUUCUUUCCAAUAAAUCCAAUUUGAAUUCAAUAGUCUUCAUCACAAAAGAACCAGUACAAGAAGUAUCGAGCAUGGAGCAAUUAUUGAGAGAAAGCCAAGCAUAAAAAUUUUGAAUAAUAAUUUCUCUUCAGAUCUCAUGAUUGGGGCAUGAAUAUAACAUUGACUUAAGCCUCCUCCAAGCUUGAGCGAUGCUUUCUCCUUCGCGAGGCCAAAAACUAUAUAUAUAAUUACGAUCACGAUGAACCAGAUGCAUAGGAUAAAACUUCUGAUGAAAUUCCAAUUUCAAUCGGUUGUAGUUCCAUGAUCCCAUAUCAUCACAUAGCCUAAACCAUGUCAAUGCCUUUCCCUUCAAAGAUAAAGGUAAGACCUUUUUCUUGAUAACAUCCUCGAGCAUACCUGCAAGCUUAAAUAAUCCACAAACUUCAUCCACAUAGAUUAAGUGCAAAUCGGGAUGCAAUGCUCCGUCUCCUUUAAAAGGAUUGGCUAGCAUGUUCUCGAUCAUACCCGAAGGAAUUUCAAAGUAAACAUUUUCAGUAGGUUCAGUAGGUUGAGGAGCAACUCUUUGCUCUACUGGUCGGGGUGAAGAUACCCUGAACAAGCCCAUCAAAGGAUUAGUUUCCAUAGUAACAAGUGACAGUAAAUUUUAGCACACUAUAUAAAUUUUUCCUUACCAAAUUCCACCCACCAAAGGCGCUUCACUCCCUGGCAACAGCGCCAGAAAAGAUUCUUGAUGACCCACAAGUAUAGGGGAUCUAUCGUAGUCCUUUCGAUAAGUAAGAGUGUCGAACCCAACGAGGAGCAGAAGGAAAUGAUAAGCAAUUUUCAGUAAGGUAUUCUCUGCAAGCACUGAAAUUAUCCGUAACAGAUAGUUUUGUGAUAAGGUAAUUUGUAACGGGUAACAAGUAAUAAAAGUAAAUAAGGUGCAGCAAGAUGGCUCAAUCCUUUUUGUAGCAAAGUACAAGCCUGGACAAACUCUUAUAUAAAGGAAAACGCUCCCGAGGACACAUGGGAAUUAUCGUCAAGCUAGUUUUCAUCACGCUCAUAUGAUUCGCGUUUGUUACUUUGGUAAUUUGAUAUGUGGGUGGACCGGUGCUUGGGUAUUGACUUGCCUUGGACAAGCAUCCCACUUAUGAUUAACCCCUCUUGCAAGCAUCCGCAACUAAAAAAGAAAUAUUAAGGUAAACCUAACCAUAGCAUGAAACAUAUGGAUCCAAAUCAGCCCCUUACGAAGCAACGCAUAAACUAGGGUUUAAGCUUCUGUCACUCUAGCAACCCAUCAUCUACUUAUUACUUCCCAAUGCCUUCCCCUAGGCCCAAAUAAUGGUGAAGUGUCAUGUAGUCGAUGUUCACAUGACACCUCUAGAGGAAAGACACCAUACAUCUCAUCAAAAUAUCGAACGAAUACCAAAUUCACAUGACUACUUAUAGCAAGACAUCUCCCAUGUCCUCAGGAACAAACGUAACUACUCACAGAGCAUAUUCAUGUUCAUAAUCAAAGGGGUAUUAAUAUGCAUAAAGGAUCUGAACAUAUGAUCUUCCACCAAAUAAACCAACUAGCAUCAACUACAAGGAGUAAUCAACACUACUAGCAAACCACAGGUACCAAUCUAAGGUUUUGGGACAAAGAUUGGAUGCAAGAGAUGAACUAUGGUUUGAGAUGAGAUGGUGCUGGUGAAGAUGUUGAUGGAGAUUGACCCCCUCCCGAUGAGAGGAUCGAUGGUGAUGACGAUGGUGAUGAUUUCCUCCUCCUAGAGGGAUGUUUCCUCGGCAUAACAGCUCUGCCGGAGCCCUAGAUUGGUUCUGCCAAGGUUCCGCCUCGUGGCGGUGGAGUUUCGUCUCGUGAGCUUGCUUAUGAUUUUUUCCAGGGCAAAAGACUUCGUAUAGCCAAAGAUGGGCACCGAAGGCCUGCCAGGGGGGCCACGAGGCAAGGGGCGCACGCAGGGGGUAGGGCGCGCCCCCCACCCUCGUGGAUGGUGGCUGGCCCCCUCUGGUGCUUCCUUCACCCAAUAUUUUCUAUAUAUUCUAAAACUAACUUCUAUGAAGUUUCUGGAAUUUUAGUGUUGUGCAGAAUAGGUCUCUAAUAUUUGCUCCUUUUCCAUCCCAGAAUUCCAACUGUCGGCAUUCUACCUCUUUGUGUAAACCUUGUAAAAUAAGAGAAAAUAGGCAUAAGUAUUGUGACAUAAUGUGUAAUAACGGCCCAUAAUGUAAUAAAUAUCGAUAUAAAAGCAUGAUGCAAAAUGGACGUAUCAGAGAGCAUAGCCCGUGGUCGCGCUGUUACCUAGUUGCUGAUUGGCCCACAAGAAGACGAAGGCACUGAGGAUCUGAUGAGGUGAAGUGUGCAGAGUGGGCCGCUAGGCAGAGCUCGAUCUCUCAGUUUUAUCAGCGUCGUAGGGACAGACCCGAGCACAAGCGUUGUGCCAGUAUGUGGAGUUUUCACCACAGGGUAAAUAGGAGAUUGGUCAGCAACGCGGGAUGCCGCGAGAUGUAAUCAGACAAGCGAUAGCCAUAAAAGAACCAUGCAAGGAGAUAAGCUAGUUCAAAUAGAUGUAAAAAUGAUACAUGCCACUGGGACGGACCCGAGCGGCCUGGGGAUGAUGCAGCCCGAGGGGCGCCCCCAGUUGGGUAAGGUAGAGGUGCAAAAGGAUACACGUCGCAGGGGCAGACCUGUACGACUUGGGAAUAAUGCAGCCCAAGGGGCGCCCCAACUGAAUGAACUGGAAAGAGUCACCUGAUAACGCUACCCGAGUGGUGUUGGAGUAGCUGAUGAUGCAUGCCAAAGAGUCGCUCCUCACGAGUCACCAGGGCCCUAAGCCUUAGGAGGCUCUUGGGGCUCGGGUGGUUUCUUGAGGACCGUCGCCAUUUCCGCCAGGACUGCGUGGUGCCUGGCCUCCUGAGCCGCCAGGAUGCUUUGUAGAUGACACUGGUAGGUGACAGCCGCAUUCGGCAGGCCAAACGACAUACGAACGUAGCUGUGAGGUGGACCCUCGCACCGUCCAGUGCGCGAAGGCCAGAAGCCCUCCUGAGACGCGGCCCUUUCGAGCCCUGGAAUGUCGACGCAAAUGCGCAGCCCACCGUCCUCGCUAGGAUGGGGAGCUGCGCCGGGUGGUGGGCGGUGGUCGCCGCGUAUGAUCCUUGCUUCCUGAAGCCCCUGGGCUGCCUGGGUGAUGAACUCGUGAGCACCUGGCGCUCUUCGCCUUGUGCCCUCUUGAGGGAAACAUGCAGCGAAGCACGCCUCCACGUGAUGCCCGAGCGCCUCCCUCGUGAUGUUGGCCAGGUCUGAGGCCCUCUAGAAGAGAUCCCCCGAGCCUUGCCCGAGGAGGGUGCCGUGCACGCCUUCCUAUGUGAGGGAGGGAGGCGCCCCAGGUGCGGGUGCUGAUCCUGAGGCGAUGCUGCCGGAGACGCCGCUCUCCUGAUGCCCUGUACAGAGUAGUUGCUUCUUCUUCUUCUUGGGGAUGGCCUCAGGAGGGUACAGGGUGCCCUCGCUGUUGGGGUCUUCGACUGCUACGGCUUGGAAGCCGCGCUCCAGGGAGCACACCGCAUAUCUUUCUUCGCAAGGUAACGUGAUGAUUCUGCUGCUUCCUGGCAUCUUGAGGACGUCGUAGCCGUGGUGGGUCACGGCCAUGAACUUGGCCAAUGCUGGAUACCCAAGGAUGGCGUUGUACGGCAGACGGAUGUGGGCGACAUCGAAGUCGAUGAGCUCAGUGCGGUAGUUGUCGUGCUGGCCGAAGAUGACAGGGAGGCGGACCUGCCCUAUUGGGGUGGUGGAGCCGUCGGUCACUCCUGAGAAAGGCUUGGUAGGCUGCAGCUGGUCAUAUGGCACUUGGAGUCUGUCGAACGUCUCGACGGACAAGACAUUGAGCUCCGCGCCACCGUCGAUGAGGGUCUUGGUGACUUAGACAUUGCUGAUGACGGGUGAGCAGAGCAUCGGGAGGACGCCGACGGUUGUCGCACACUUGAGCUGGUCUGCCAAGCUGAAGGUGAUGGCGUACUUGGACCACCUGAGCGGGCGCGUGGCCUCAAGCCUGGGGAGGGCCGCGUUCACCUCGCGAGCAAACAACUUGAAGAUGCGCUGGGAAGCUAGCGCCUGAGCACCGCCCAAGAUGCAGGUGAUAGCGCGCGGCUCCUGGAAGCCCCAGCCCCCUUGUCCUGAUGGUGGUCGCCGUUCCUUCUUGAUGGUGGUGGCAGCAGAAGGAGGCCAGGAUUGCCAUGAGGGCGGUCCUCGCGAGGCUAGUCCCUCCAAGCGCCCUCACGAGGCAAUUCCUGCCAGUGAUCCUCACGAGGCCGGUCACGCCACUCCUGGCGGGGGCCACGGUCAUCCCAACAUCCUCUGCUUCGUCCUCCUCCUCAGUCGUAGCCCCGGUCAUUGCGCUCGGGGUGUUGAUGGAAGCGUCCAUCUCGGAUGGCCCUGAGCUCUUGAUAGUCAUUGGUGUUGUGGUUGCAUACGUUGUGGAAGGCGUAGAACGGACGACUGCUCUUGGACGACUCGAGGUGGUCCCGACCGCGCUUCAUGUCUUGCUCCACUGCGAGCACGGCUACUCCCUUUCGCUUCGCGUCCUUGGCCUUGGCUUUCUUCUCUUCUAGGUUGGCAGCAGGGAGCUCGAGGAGGGAGAGGCGCCCUUCCUCAGCUCUUGCGCACUUGGUCGCCAUGUUGAACAUCUCCAGAGCCGUGCAUAGCUCCUCAUGGAUGGCGAGCUCCUCCUUCAUCUUGACAUCGCGGACGCCAUCACAAAACGCUGAGAUGAUGGCCUCGUCCGUCACCUUGGGGAUUUUGAGGCGAACGUUGUUGAAGUGCUAGAUGUACUUCUGCAGGGUCUCUCCCGGCUGCUGCUUGAUGCGACGCAGGUCACCCGCGGCCGGAGGACGGUCGCGAGUGCCCUGGAAGUUGGCGACGAAACGCUCGCGCAUCUUGCCCCAGGAGGAGAUCGAUCCCACUGGCAGGUUCAGGAGCCAUGAGCGAGCUCCAUCCUUGAGAGCCAUGGGAAACCAGUUCUCCAUGACCUUCUUGUCUCCGUUGGCUGCCUCGAUGCUCAGCUCGUAGAGCUGUAGGAACUCCGCAGGGUCGGGGGUGCCAUCGUAGCAUGGAGGCAGAUCCGAUUUGAACUUGCCUAGCCAAACGACGGUGCGCAGCUCAGGAGUGAAGGCUCGGCAGCCUGCUGUGGUCACCGGAGCCCGUCGAGGUGGUGGAGCCUGGUCUUGGUACCCAUGCACCACCACCGCAGGCGGCGCGUGGUCUUGACGUGGUGGCAUGGGGAGUGCAGGAGUGUUUUCCUGCGGUCGGGGAACUUCUUGGCAGCUUCUUUCUUCAUGCGCGGGCACACGGCGUGGCGGAUUAUGCCGCAGGACCAUGUGUCUUGGGGCGAGGACACCGUCUUGGUGCGGAGAAGGCGGGGGCGCUUCGUGAGCCACGCGUCUUGGUGCGAGGGCGCCGUCUUGAUGCAGGGGCGGCGGAGGCACUCCGUGAGCUACGUCUUCCGCGGCUGGAGGCGGGCGAGGCAGCAAGAGGGAUGGUGCAGGAGAGCCCCCAGCGGCGCUGACGAGCUCGGGGAUGCGGUCCAGCCAGUCCUCAUAGAGGUCGUCGACCGGGCGGUAACACAGGAGCUCACGUGCCAUGAGCAACGCGGCCUGCGCAUCCGUGGGUGCACGACAAGCGUGGGAUGAUGAGCCAGCCAGAGUCAGCGAUGGGGUGGCGGUGCGGCCGUCCUGCCGCAUAGAGGGGUGUAGCAACGACGCUUGCUACUCGUUUGUUGCCGGUCUGGUAGCGGCGUUGGCAACAGGUAAUGGAAAAUGGCGGGGAGGUCCGCCAACGGGCGCCAUCUGGGUGAUGCGAGCGGCCAGGGCGGCCCGGCACUCGACGCGAGCUCGGCGAGCGUCUGACAUGGAUGUGAUGGAGCUGCGGAAUGUGGAUGGGCGAAGGGAAAGCUUCAGUGCACCCCUACCUGGCGUGCCAAAUGUCGGAUUUCGGGUUCUAGCAAAACCCUUAAGGUUCGAACACUGGGGUGCGCACAAAGGUCUUUCCUUCCUCCUAGCUCGCACUCUCGCAACGAUCUAAAAAUCAAGCUCACCGAACUCGAAGAGCAAGGGUCACAAGAGUUUAUACUGGUUCGGGCCACCGAUGUGGUGUAAUACCCUACUCCAGUGUGGUGUGGUGGACUGCCUUGUAGGCUGAGGAUGAACAAGUACAAGGGAAGAACAGCCUCCUGAGGAGAGGUGUUCUUGAGCUUGGUGAGCUGGUGCGUAUGAGGGUGGAAUGGAUCCGAUCCCCCUCCUAUGGUGAUAGCUAGUCCUAUUUAUAGAGGCCAUGUUCCUCUUCCCAAAUAUUAGGUGGGGAGGGAUCCCACAACGGCCAAUUUGAAGGGGGACAGCUAGUACAAGCUAUCCUGACAAAAGGUGGUCUUCUCCUGCCAAAGGCUCUGGUGGUGACGCCACCGUGGGCUCCGCGAUGACCUCCAUCCUGCCGUCCUGCUGGUCUUGGUCUUGUUGCACUGAUAUGGAAACCUUUGCAUGAUGCCUCAGGUCUCCUCGCCUGCACAUGUUCCUUUAGCACCAAAGAGGCAACUGGUGCCCUACGCCCGCCUGGCACCCGUCUGGCCUUGGUCGUCAUGGCUCACGUCACGGGAACCUCACGAGGUGCCCCUCACCUUGAUCUCUCUGCUCCUCGCGAGCCAGCCUAGCAAGGCUGCCCCUGAGGAGGUCUUGUGUCGUCUGCCUCAUGAGGCUUGGCCCCUCGCGAGGGUCUUGAGUGUUUGCUGGUGAAGAUGGGUCGUACCAGGCCGCUAGAAGAGCCACGCCAUGGGCCGCAAGCAGGCAAGUCUAGGGACCCCCGUUCCCAGAACACCGACAACUUGCUCACCAUUUAGCAUCGGAUUGCACUCUAUUGGCCGGCCAAAUAGUCUGUUGGAACUAUGUUGACUAGUUAAAUUGAUCACGCUCCUUAUGGGUCCCACCUAUCAGUUCUCAUAGGAAAAAGGUCAGAUAAACACAAAUUUAUGCAGGCGCGACAAGACUCCAACCUGUGCGCGGGAAUCACCUGGUUGUGUAUGUGUCUAUCAGGGCCUGAUGUAUGCGCAUGCACGUGUAGGUUGAGCACUUGAGCGUGAGUGUGUGUUGGUUGUGUGGUGUGUGCAUGCAUGUGUGCAUGCGUGCGUGCGUGCGUGUGAGUGUUGCGUGCGUGCGUGGCUGUGUGUGUACGUGUGAGCGUUGCGUGCGUUCAUGGCUGCGUGUGUUCGUGUGAGUGUUGCAUGCAUGCAGAUCAUGUGCAUGCGUGUGUGUGUGUGUAUAAUCACCACACUAGCUCCUGUGUUUUAAAAUAGACACCUCGGCAUACCAAUACAGGGCCACCUUGUCCGCUGUGCCCGCGGUCAUGACUUCAAACACCGUGCAAUAUUUUUUAUCGUUUGUUUUCAUUCUUGUACACGCCGAGAGGUGGGCCCAAUGGUAGUGAGAUAAUGUGACGCAACACUAGAGGUGCCCCGUGGAGCGUUUAACUAGUCAAUUAGUUGUGUCUUGAGCAAAUAUAGAGUUGUAUGGUGAGCCCAUGACUGUAUAAUAACCACAACACAUAAAUGGUGACCGUAAUGAGUGGAUUAUGAAGUCCAAUGUAUGUAUCGUGCUUUCACUUCAAAUACAAUGAUCGUCACUGUAUAUAUCAUGAGAGAAAGAUGAAACAUGCGUGAAUGUGUUGGGGGCGUACUUUCAGAGGACCUGGAGAUAGUUUGUGUGCGUACGUGAAAAGGGCGUAGAGGAGGGGUAUGCGAUGGAGAGAGAGAUGCUCUUCGUUUCUCUUUGUUAUGACUAACUUUAUAUAUAGUAUAAAAAUAUAAAAAUUCAUAGUGCGUAAUAAAUAUCAUUGUGGGCACCAUGCAAUGCAAAUUAACAUUCAUACUCCGCCAUAUAACUUUGUAAUGUUGUAUAUAUGUAGAAAUUCUAAAAUAAUUUUUUGGCCACACUUUGUGUGGUUUAUUCAAAAGGAAUGUUGUAUGCGAAAUAAACAUGAAGAGAGGGCUUUUUAGAUCAAUGGGGUACGUGAUGUAACAUGUGUGAAUGUGUGGUUGAUGUAUUGGCAGGGCCUAGAGAGGUAUGUGUAUGUAUUACAUAUUCGAGAGAGGCAUGGAUAGAGGGGCCGGCGAGGGGGGGACGUGGGAGAGAUAGCACGAGAAAUGAGAGAGGUCUAGAGAGAUAGAGAGAGACGAAUAUGAUGUCAUGACGAGAGAUGCUCUUGAGUGUGUAUAUGCAAGGGGGAGGGAUAGAGGCACGGGGAGAAAAUAUUUUGUGUGGUGUCUGUAUUGGUAUGUGUGGGUGUGAGAAGAUAACGAGACUUGGGGGCAGAGGGUGUGUCACCGCGUGAGGUCCGGUGGGCUGAGGUGAGGCCCUUGGUUUGGUUCCGUCCUGCGUCACAUUGGUCGGCCCGUGACGCAUUUAGGGACCCAUGGAGGACUAGUCGUACAAGACAAAGAUAGCAGAGUCAUGAAGGACUCUAUGUCCACUGACAAAGCCGGCUAGGAUUUGUAACCCUAGGUCCUCGGACUAAGGUAACCCCUUAUCUCUGAUAUUACUAUUCAUCCAACCUAACUUUAAGGGGCGUCCUACAGAAUGCUCUGCUAGAAUCAUGCUCAUCAAUUAGGAGGAGAGGUGGAGACAAUGCGUGAGAGACAGGCCUAAAGAUAAAUGUGCAUGCAGGAGACACGUAGGCAGGUCUAUGUAUAUAGAAAGGGUCGAUGGGGAUUGCGCGAGUGUAUGCUUGUGAGAGGAAGAGUGCUUAUGAUAAAGGUUAGUGAAAAAAUUCAUAAAUGGUUACGAGAGGGAGGGAGGGUUAUAUCGAGAGCAUGUCUGCGAAAAAGACACCUCGAGAGAGAGUGUGAGCAUGUGUGAGAGACCACCGAUGGAGAGUGAAAGUACACGUAAAAGACUGAUGUACACACUGAUUAAAAAUAUAAAUUAUAUCCAAAUAUUAGGAUGGGAUCAUGAUAUUUGCAAUUCACGUAAGGAACGGGCAUUGAUCCAUCAGACAUCUAUAUUCUAUCAAAUUUGAGCAUGUCUAUGUUAUUAUUCGACAUAAUUGAUCCACAUAGUUAGUAUUUUGAACUGCAAACAAUGGAUCCCUUUACCAAUCGAAUAUAAACGUGAAUAUAGUUCAUGUUGUGUGUGUAAAGCACAUUAUACAUACAAAAGUUACACAAUUAACAUUAUAAAUAGCUAGCUAUGAACUAGCACACAUUUGAAUUCAGCUUAAGGUGGUUUAAAAAAUUUGAAUUCAACAUGAAGUCCAUUCAAUUAUUUGAAUUUGAUAUCAUGGCAUUUGUAAAUCAUACCUAAAUUAUGGGGGCACCAAUCUUUGCUUUGCUUUUGUACAUAAUAGCAUAUAUAGUCAUGUACAAAAUAGAUUCAAAUUUACCUCCUCCAUUCCAAAAUAAUUGUAGUUAUAGGAUUUUCAAGUGUCAAAAUUUAAAAAAUAAUCGCAUAAUUUAAUGGAGUUUUCAAACAUACAAGGUCAAAUUUAACGUUGUCUAUUUAGUUCAAUCCUCAAAGUUCAAGAGUACUCUGAACGUGAAUGCUUUUGUUUCAAAAUUUUGAACAAAGCGCCAAAAGAGCCUCUACUUGCCCGAAACUGUGUGAGACCAAUGUUUGGUAGAAGGAAAUUACUUACUCGCCCAAAACCUACCAGCCCGACGUCCAAAGGUCUAAACCGGUGUAGGUUUGUAGCUUCAUCUAGACGCCACACAACCGCCUCCGAAAAACAUUCAUACACAAUGGCCGCCUAAGCACACAUCUGCGCGGCCGAAAUCGCUCCCGCCCACUAUUUGGGACACCUGGGAUUACCAUCCUACCCCCGACCCGUAGUAGGUCCAAAAUUUAAUAGGGGGCCAAAGUUUGUACUCUCCCCAAAUUUCGAACAAGCGCAUCCCAUCUGUUCAAAAAAAACCAAAAAUAAGCGCGUCCCAGACCAAAACAUGGUUCUCCCUUAGCUCCCCUCGCCCCCAUGCAAUUCCCCAUUCGUACUCCGUGGGCGCCAAAACUACCUCUCCACCAGCCACGAAACACCGGCGUCCUCCGUCCGCCACCCCAUCCCACCCAUCAACCGCCGGCCUCCUCCAUCACACCGGAGCCGAUACCUCGACGUCGUCAUCCACCGCAACCACAACUGCAACGCCCUCCACGGCUAGUAAUUGAAGUCGAGGUUGAACUGCCUCCAGGACGCCGACAUGCGCCGUACCCGAGUGCUACCUCUUGAGCUUGCAUUAUUUUUUCCCUUGAAGAUGAAAGGGUGAUGCAGCAAAGUAGAGUAAGUAUUUCCCUCAGUUUUGAGAACCAAAGUAUCAAUCCAGUAGGAGAUAAUGUGCAAGCCACCGAAUACCUGCACAAACAAACACCAACUUGCACCCAACGCGAUAAAGGGGUUGUCAAUCCCUUCACGGUUAUUUGCAACAUGAGAUCUGAUAGAGAUGGAUAAAUGGUAAAGUAAUGUUUUUGGUAUUUUUAGUUUAUGGAAUGGAAGUAAAAGAUUGCAAAGAAAGUAAAUAGGAAACUAGAAUUGUAGAUCGAAAACUUAUAUGGUGGAAAAUAGACCCGGGGGCCAUAGGUUUCACUAGAGGUUUCUCUCAAGAAAGGAAUUAUUACGAUGGGUGAACAAAUUACUGCCGAGCAAUUGAUAGAAAAGCGCAAAGUUAUGAUGAUAUCUAAGGCAAUGAUCAUGAACAUAGGCAUCACGUCCGUGUCAAGUAGACCGAAACGAUUAUGCAUCUACUACUACUACUCCACACAUCGACCGCUAUCCAGCAUGCAUCUAGAGUAUUAAGUUCAUAAAGAACAGAGUAACGCUUUAAGCAAGAUGACAUGAUGUAGAGCAAUUAACUCAAGCAAUAUGAUGAAAACCCCAUCUUUUUAUCCUCGAUGGCAACAAUACAAUGCGUGUCGAUUCCCCUUCUAUCACUAGGAUCGAGCACCGCAAGAUUGAACCCAAAGCUAAGCACUUCUCCCAUUGCAAGAAAAACCAAUCUAGUUGGACAAACCAAAUCGAUAGUUCGAAGAGACUUGCAAAGAUAUCAAAUCAUGCAUAUAAGAAUUCAGAGAAGAUUCAAAUAAUAUUCAUAGAUAAGCUGGUCAUAAAUCCACAAUUCAUCGGAUCUUGGCAAACACACCGCAAAAGAGUAUUACAUUGAAUAGAUCUCCAAGAACAUCGAGGAUAACUUUGUAUUGAUAAUCAAAGAGAGAAAAUAAGCCAUCUAGCUACUAGCUAUGGACCCGUAGGUCUGUGGUAAACUACUCACGCUUCAUCGGAGAGGCAAUGGUGUUGAUGUAGAAAGCCUCCAUGAUCGAAUCCCCCUCCGGCAGGAUGCCGGGAAAGGCCCCUAGAUGGGAUCUCAUGGGUACAAAAGGUUGCGGUGGUGGAAAAGUGGUUUCAUGGCUCCCCUUGAAGUUUUUGGGGUAUUUGAGAAUAUAUAGGAGGAAGAUCUAGGUCAGGGGUCACCGAGGGGCCCACAAGGUCAGGGGGCGCGCCCUCCACCCUUGUGGCCGCCUCGUGGCUCUUCUGACUUGCACUCCAAGUCUCUUGGGUGUCUUCUGGUCCAAUAAAAAUCAUCACGGAAGUUUUAUUCUGUUUGGACUCUGUUUGGUAUUCCUUUUGCGCGAAACUCUAAAACAAGGAAAAAACAGAAACUGGCACUCAGCUCUAGGCUAAUAGGUUAGUCCCAAAAAUCAUAUAAAAUAGCAUAUUAAUGCAUAUAAAACAUCCAAAAUAGAUAAUAUAAUAGCAUCGAACAAUCAAAAAUUAUAGAUAUGUUGGAGACGUAUCACCAAGCCAGUUCAACCACGUCGUCCUGCGCCUCACUGCUACCGCUCCAACUUCUCCAUCGUCCACCGCACCGGAGCUAUUCCCGCUAUGCCGUCCUUCGUCGCCUCGGAUCUGCUUCCCCUCCGCCGACAGAUGGCCACCGCAACACAGCCAACAAUUUGGCCAUGGGUUCGUCCAAGGCUCCACCCUCCUCCAAAACAUCGGUUCCCCUGGUAAAAAUAAGAAAAUCGCUGCGACAUCUGGAGGACACAACACUGGCAACUGGAAAUGGUACUCCUCUUCGCUUAUUCGUGCAAAUCUUAUGUGUCCGCUUGCAUGGUAUUCAUCCCAAAGAAGACACUAGUUGACAGCUUCUUCCUGAUACUAGUUGUUCCUAGUAACUUGCGAUGCACAAGGUUUCUCCUUAUAUACUAUUUCACCUAGAUUUCAAUUCCUGGUCACUUGAUUCCCAAUUAAAGGAAACAUUCCCCAGCGUAACAGGCGCUAGUCCACCUAUUACGCCAGGGAAGGUGUUUAUCUUAAGGGUGUGUGGGGCCUAGGAGCUGUUGCCACCGGAUAUGGAGGUCGGCCGGGAUUAAAGGGAUGGACGGGGGCGCUGCCAAGCACGGCAGUGGUGUGAGGUCGAGGGGAGGGAGGGGCGGCAGAGGCAGGGGUCUGGGCUGGUGGUCGCUGGUGGUUCGAGAAAGAUCGUCAACAGUGACUGGCGGGAGGUAGACGAAGGCCAUCUACCCGUUCCUUAUAGAUCGGUCGGUUCAUAAAAAAAUCGACUGGCCUAUUUAUUUUCAGUCGACUGUUAUUUUGAUAGGACCACAUUUGGUGGUGUGCUGGAGGAGUACCUGCAUUUCCCAGCCAUCCCUGUGCUCAUAUAUUACAAAAUCAUACGGAGUAGAAUCUAAUUUUGUUUGCCAUGCAAUGUUGUAGAGCUAUCAUAUGUCUCCUGUCAUGUAUUUUUCAGUUGCCAGCUAUCUACUACUUUUACAGUGAACUAGUUUUGCACACACUUCACCCAUACUCUCACUAUUGUGUUUUUAUGCAUGGGUAUUUCAGACUCUGCCUUGACAGAAGCACGAAAUAAAAGAGAGAAGUCGCUCCUGCUUUCUUCACGGACAGGCAAGACACGUUGAAAGGAUCAAUAUGGUUGACUAGAGGGGGGUGAAUAGGCAACUAACAAUUUUUAACUUUUCUUUACCGAAUUAAACUUUGCAUCAAAGUAGGUUGUCUAGAUGUGCAAUUAGGUGAGCAACCUAUAUGAUGCCACAAUAAAAAACAAGCAAGCAAGCGAGAGAAGUAGCACUAAUGAGCUUGCACAAGUAAAGGUAAGAGAUAACCAAGAGUGGAUUCGGUGAAGACGAGGAUGUGUUACCGAAGUUCCUUCCUUUUGAAGGGAAGUACGUCUCCGUUAGAGCGGUGUGGAGGCACAAUGCUCCCCAAGAAGCCACUAGGGCCACCGUAUUCUCCUCACGCCCUCACACAAUGCGAGAUGUCGUGAUUCCACUAUUGAUGCCCUUGAAGGCAGCAACCGGACCUUUACAAACAAGGUUGGGGCAAUCUUCACAACUUAAUCAGAGGCUCCCAACAAUACCACGAAGCUUCACCAUAAUGGACUAUGGCUCCGUGGUGACCUCAACCGUCUAGGGUGCUCAAACACCCAAGAGUAACAAGAUCCGCUAGGGAUAGGUGGGGGAAUCAAAAAUCUCUUGGUGGAAGUGUAGAUCGGGGCCUUCUUAACCACUCCUGAGCAAAUCAACAAGUUUGAUUGGCUAGAGAGAUAGAUCGGGCGAAAAUGGAGCUUGGAGCAUUAAUGGAGCUUAAGGGGGAAGAGGUGAGUCAACGGGGAAGAAGGGGACCCCCUUUUAUAGUGGGGGCAACAAACCAACCGUUGCCCCACUAAACAGCCCCGCAGAGGGCGGUACUACUACGGGAGACAGCGGUACUGCCGCUGGGUUAAGCGGUACUACCGCUCCCUUCGACGGUACUGCCACGCAGAACAAAGGGUAAAGGGAAAGAGGGAACCGGGCGGUACUGCUGCUAAUGAGCGGUAUUGCCGCACUACUACCGUAGCGAGGUACCGCACAAUCCGACACGGAAAAAGACCCCUCGAAUCGAUGUGGUAGGGACCUGGCAAGCCAGCGGUAGUACUGCUGCGGAGUCACCGGCGGUACUACCGCCGCGGAGCGGUACUGCCGCUUGUGACCCCUCAGCGGUACUACCGCUGGGUACCACGGUACUACCGCUGGGACCCAGACAAAACCCACAAGAAGAGAGAAGAUCUCUCCAUAGAUGCGGAAGGGCUCGGAGGGUGAGAAGUGGAUGUGUACGUGUUGAUUCCACCCAAGCAAUACCAAAGCGGACCCCCUCUUGAUAGUAUUGUGCCCUCUACACAACUAGUCCACCGAGAAAGAAACGAAAGAGCUACACCGUCUUGAAUGACACUCCGAGGGGAAGAAAUCGUCUCGUGCCAAGGAUGAAUCUCUGAAAUGCUCAAAGCACACGAUUAGUCCGCAAACACGUUGUCAUCAAUCACCAAAACCUCAUCAAGAGAGAUAUGCCUCAACACACGUGUCGACGCUUUAAAGGUUGGAUGUUCAACAGAUGGACACGGUAAACGUAGCUCUAGAGUUGAUGAUCUCGCUCGACAAGAACCACCAUCCCAGGUGCUUGCUUUAACUUCGCGGUGUCAUAUGUGGUUGCAUGUUGCAUAUGGUGUCUAGCUUGUAUUUGAAAGGUUGAAGUCGGUCUUUAUUAAGAUAAGAAAAGAUGUUUUUUACAUGAACCACCAUCUCGGGAGCACCAGAAGACAAAUAGCUAGUCAGGGCAUUGGUCGAGCCAGUGACAAGCCAAGCAUAGACAGGCAUCACCUGGAAGCGAACUAAAAAGCUACGAUGGUGGCAAAGCAGCCCGCCUCCCACCAGGCUCUCAGGUCCUCGAUGAUCAUGCUCACCACUCAAGCCGGAUGUCUAGCUUGUAUUGCUUCCAAUUUGGUUAAAUUGCAUUUGCUUAGCUUACACAUUAUACCUUUGAAUAUGACAUGUCUUCCUGAUUUUGGUGCAUACUAGUACAUCUCUAGUAACCAUGUUCUUACAUCAAACUAAUGUUCUUGUGUAUACCUCAUCAAUCACUUAUGAUGAGACAGUCACACCAGGGGGUUACUAUGAGAAAAUAUGCUCUUUUAAAGAAUGUAGUGUCAACCUCCCCAUAUGAUUCUCAAGAAACAACAAGGCUAGAUGAACAUAGUGAACGUAGCUUCGUAGUUGAUGACCGCAUUUCCCCUACACCAGCAUCGCAGGUGCUUGCUCUAACUUGGCAGCGUGAUAUGUGGUUUCACGUUGCAUAUGGUGUCUAGAUUGUAAUUCUUCCAAUCUGGUUAAAUUUCAUGUGCUAUUCUGCUUAGUUUAUACAUUAUACCUGUUAAUGUGACAUGCCUUCCUGUUUUUAGUGCAUAGUACAUCUGUCUAUUAAGGAUGUCCUUACAUAAAACUAUUGUUUUUUUGUAUCCAGCAUCAAUCAAUAUGAUGAGACACCUUUAGUAUAUGCAGUGUGAUAUUAGUUGCAUCUUUCAUAUGAUUUAUAGCAUGCGCUGCUUCUAACUUGUUGAAACGCCAUUUAUGAUGGGACGCUUUUAACUUGGCAUACUCAUAUUGGCUGCAUCUUUCAUGUGGUGUCUAGCUUGCAUUACUUCUUAUUUGUUGAAAUGGCUUCUGCUUAGUUUACACAAACAGUUGUGAAUAUGCCAUGAUGUCCUGUUUUUCAUACAUAUUACAUCCUGGUAUCAUGUGUUUGCCUUACAUCAAAGUAGUGAUUGUCAGUGUCAUGCACGAAUGAGUUCUAAAGAGUGAAUUUUAUUGCUUUUUCUUGCCAGUUUUACUUGACAAUUCAAAAUCAAUAAAGCGGAAGGAAAUUAGCAAGGCAGUGGAUAAAGUGCUCCUUCCAAACGGAGGGCCUCUACAAAUUCUACUCCGCCACCCUCAAGAAGAUUUGCAAGACAACACAUGCAUAUACACUCAAGGUAGCUAUGUUGAUGAUGAGCACGUCUUCCCUAGUGCACCAUCACAGGUGCUCCCUCUAACUUGGCAUUGUUAUAUAUGGUUGCAUGUUAUGUAUGAUGUCUAGCUUGUAUUGCUUCUAAUUUUGUUGAAUUCCGUCUGCUUACUUUACACAUUAUACUUGUGAAUAAGAUACGUGUUCCUGUUUCUAGAACAUACAAUAUUUGUCUAUCGCACUAUGUUCUUACAUCAAAGUACUACUAUUGUGUAACCUGCAACAAUCACUUAUCAUAAGACACAUUUGACUUGGGAGUGUGAUAUAGGUUACAUCCCACAUUCUUUUCUAGCUUGUACUACUUCUAAUUUGUUGAAAUGGCACCUAUGACGAAACAUUUUUAACUUGGUAGAGUGAUAUUCGUUGCAUCCUUCAUAUGGUAUCUAGCUUUUAUUUUUUCUAAUUUUUUGAAAUGCCUUCUGCUUAAUUUACACAUCAUAGUUGUGAAUAUGCAAUGUUGUCCUUUUUUCUUACACAUUCAAUCGUCCUAUCAUGCGGCCGCCUUACAUUAAAGUAGUGCUCGUCAGCAUCCUGCAUCAAUGAGUUCUGAAAAGCGAAUUUUUAUUCAUUUUUCUUGUGGGUUUGACUUGACAAGGCAAUACAAUUAAGAAAAUAGGGAGGAAAAAAAUAAGGCAGGGACUGAAGGCGGUCUUCUGGCGAAACCGGCAUCCCAGGUGCUUUAUCUAGCUUGGCAGUGUGAUAUUGUCUUGCAUGUUGCAUACGGUGUCUCACUUGUAUUGCUUGUAAUUUGAUUAAAUUACUUCUGCUUAGUUUACACAAAUAGUUGUGAAUAUGCCAUGCCGUCCUAUUUUUCAUACAUAUUCCAUCCUCGUAUCAUGUGUUUGCCUUACAUCAAGGUAGUGAUUGUCAGUAUCAUGCAUGAAUGAGUUCUGAAGAGUGAAUUUUAUUGCUUUUUCUUGUCGGUUUUACUUGACAAUGCAAAAUCAAUGAAGCAGAAGGAAAUUAGCAAGUCAGUGGAUAAAGGUGCUUCUUCCAAACUAAUGGCCUCUCCACAUUCUACUCGGCCAUCCCCCCAACAAGAUUUGGAAGACAACACAUGCAUAGACACUCAAAGUAGCUGUGUUGAUGAUGAGCACGUCCACCCUUGUCCACCAUCAUAGGUGCUCCCUCUAACAUGGCACUGUUAUAUGUGGUUGCAUGUUAUGUAUGAUGUCUAGCUUGUAUUGCUUCUAAUUUUGUUGAAUUACAUCUGCUUACUUUACACAUUAUACUUGUGAAUAAGACACGUGUUCUUGUUUCUAGAACAUACAAUAUAUGUCUAUCACACCAUGUUCUUACAUCAAAGUACUAUUGUUGUGUAACCUACAACAAUCACUUUUCACAAGACACGUUUAACUCAGGAGUUUGGUAUAGUUUACAUCUCGCGUUAUUUUCUAGCUUGUACUACUAAUUUGUUGAAAUGGCACUAAUGACGAGACAAUUUUAACUUGGUAGAGUGAUAUUCGUUGCGUCUUACAUAAGGUGUCUAGUUUUCAUUGCUUCUAAUUUGUUGAAAUGCCUUCUGCUUAGUUUACACAUCAUAAGCUGUGAAUAUGCAAUGUUGUGAAUAUGCAAUGGCACUAAUGACGAGAGACCUUUAACGUGGUAGUGUGAUGUUUUUUUCAUCUUGCAUAUGAUUUAUUUCCAGUUCUACUUCACAUGUGUUUAAACGCCAGUUAUGACGAGACACUGUUAACUUGGCAGAGCGGUAUUUGUAGCAUCUUUCAUAUGGUGUCUACCUUACAUUGCAUUGCUUCUAAUUUAUUGAAAUGCCUUCUGCUUAGUUUACACAUCAUAGUUUUGGUUAUCUCAUGUCGUCCUAUUUUUCGUACAUAUUACAUCCUCCUAUCAUGUGGUUAUCUAACAUCAAAGUUCAUUCGUCUGUAUCACGCAUCAAUUUGUUUUGAAGAACUAAUUUUUUGUUCCUUUUUCUUGUCGGCUUGACUUAACAUGGCACAGAGAAAGAGGAAGGAACACAAAAUGACAGGGGAUGGUGUUAGUACUAAGGACACACGGAAAUGGAAGGGAAAGAAUUAUGCAGAUUCUGCUGGUACUGAUGGUGCAAUAGAAGGUCAAAGUCCAGCGGAAAAUUGUACAAACGUGGUAUCCCGUGCUACACGAGCUACAAAACAAGCCAAACAGAAACAAAUAGCUGCCACCAAACAAGCAGAGACAACCGUAGUUGUUGCAACACCUUCCAUAGUACCACUAGUUGCACAAGUUACUCGUUUGUCAACUCAGCUAGCAGCACGUUCCCAAGCUCCCUUGCCACCUGACACUACUUCCGAAGCACUCUUGACACAAGACGAGUUGGCAAGAUCAGAUGGACCUUGUGAGCUUCAAUAGUAAGAAGGUAGUUGCUGGAGUCAAGUUACAGUUGUCGUGGUUCUAAGACUGACAGUAGAAUAGGGUGGUAGGAAUGUAGAGGCAAGAUCCUAGCUAUGGAGGAGUUGUACACACGAGUUUUACGAGUUCAGGCCCUUCUCGUAGGAAGUAACAUCCCUACAUCUUGGAGCCCGGAGGCGGUCGACUGAAUAUAUGUGUGUGAAUUACAGAAAGUGCGAACCCUUGUCCUAGAGGAGGGGGUGGCUUAUAUAGAGUACGCCAGGACCCCAGCUCCCCUCCGUUACACAAGGUUCAAUGCUCAUAAAGGAGGGGCGUUACUGGUAACGUCUGCAAUAAAGUGUUGUAAAUGCCCAUAAAUCUAUGGUUUAAGUCUUACCGUUGCAGAGUGGAGGGUUUCUCGUCUUCUGGUGGUCGAGUGUCUUCAAGGUGGUCGAGUGAGCACAUCUUCAUGGUCGAGUGGAUGAUGGUUUCUCUUCGAUUUCUUCUGAUUCUUUGUAGAGAUGUCCUCGAGGAGGGUAUGUUGGACAGAUCCAUGACCCUACCCUAGGUACAUAGCUUCAUCAUUAGCCCCCGAAUGGAUCAGGGUUUGAGUGAGGAAGGAGUUGGGAACACUUCCGACCCAUUCUUUGUGUUAUGAGUAUAUCUUGUUCUGGAACAAUGAGUUGAGGUGACGACGCCGACUCCUUUCUCAGCCGCCUUGGUCCAUUCUUGGUUUUGUCGAGUGAAUUUUCACGGCAGAAUUCCAAAUGAUGAUGUAGAGGAUGUUUGUCUUCAGUCUGACAAGUUGCUCUACUCUCCGUGGAUUUUGCGGGAUUCGUAUUUUGGGAAGUGCGCUAGACGGACGGAACCGAGGUUAUCGGGACGGAUUAGGCAAGUAUCCUCGAUCCCCGCGCCACCUUUUUCGCCACAUACUGCGUGCGCGACUGUUGCGGGAUUUGUUUAGAUCGCCUGGGUCCACUAGUCAGUCACUUGGGGGACGACCUUAUAAAAGGUCCCGGACCAGGCCUCUGCCCCGUGCGCUCCCAUUCUCUCUUCUUCUUCUCCCGAUCUCUCUGCCACUCUCGCUUCCGCUCUUGUCGCCGGAAUCUCGCUCGAGCUCAACCCGUCGCCAUGGGGAAAGAGAGGACGGUGGCGUUGGAGCGUGCGAAGAAGGCGACCGCGAAGGCGAAGGGGAAGCGGACCAGCUGGGGCAGAUCCUCGUCGAGAUCCGGCCUGCCGCUGGGCUGGAUCCAGGGCGACUGGAUCCGCUCAACAAUCACCCAGGACGACCUCGACGACCUGGUGGAGGGGGGACUGAUCCCCACAAGUCGGCGUGGCUCCCGGGGAACGAAACAAAGCCGCGGCCAAGGAAGGGUGAGUGUGUUCUUCUCGCCACCCACAUAGAUCGCGGAUUCUCACUGCCUUCCCAUCCUUUCUUCCGGGGUUUUUUGAACUUCUUUGGUGCUCAACUUCACCAUUUCACUCCAAACACCAUAGUCUAUCUGGCCGCUUUCGUGUCAAUGUGUGAAAAAUUCUUGGGCUGUCGACCGCACUGGGGUCUUUUCAAACACAUCUUCACCUGCCGCUCCCAGUCGGUCAAAAAGGCCAAAUCGAGUGAUGAGAGGACACAAGUGAUCCAGAUGUGCGGGGGUCUGGGGAUCCAGAUGAGGAGCAAGAGUACCUUCCUAGCCAUGAUCCUUCCUGACUCGGUCCGGGGCUGGCAGUCGACUUGGUUUUACUGCAAGGAUCAACCGACCCCGGGUCAGUCGACUAGACUUCCUCCUUUUUCUUUGGCUCGAGUGGAGAAGCCCGCCCCUAUGAAGGUAGUUCCAGAAGAGAAGGCGCAGGUCAAGGUGCUGGUCGAGCGGGUCGUCCAACUCAUCCGCGACGGGGUGACCGGGAUGGACCUGCUGGAGGUCUUUCUCGGUCGACGCAUCCAACCGCUCCAGGUGCGUGAUCAUCCGAUGUGGAUGUACUCUGGGCUUGAGGAUUCCACUCGGAUCCACCCGGAGGAUGUCAGCGAGGAUACCUUGGAGAAGUGGUUAAUGGGGAUCACCAGCAAUAAAGACAACCCUCGGGGGUCUAGGAGGGUGAUUCCAUUCGACAACUCGCACCAGCCGGAGGAGGUAUAAUUUGUUUUAUCAAGUAUCUUUCCGGUUCACCGUGUGAUAUCUUGUUUAUGGUCGACUGAAUUUCCUUUGAUCAUUGUCCUUUCAGGCCCUCAUCGACAUGUACUCAAUGCCCAACGGAGUGCAGGACCAAGACGCCGAGGAAGAAGCGAGCGGGGGUGAGAGCGGCGAGGAGCAUUCGGAGGCCGAGGAGGACGAGGAGAGCGACGAAUCGACCGAGGACGAAGAAGUUGACUCGCCUCCUCGUAGGGAGAGGAGAUCCAAACACUCUCACGACCUGGCGAGCGCUCCGGACUUGGUGGCCGCGCCGACUAGUCAGUCUUCAAAGCGUCCUAGGACGUCUUCCCCAACGCCAACUGAAAAGGCUCCAAAGCAGUCCAAAGUUGCGCCGCCUCCAGCGCCGAAAGCUACCUCCUCCAAACUGCCAAAAGCUUUGCCCAGGAUCAAAGUGACCGUUCCUACUAUCUCCGAGUAACCAUCUGACUUGUCCUUUUCGUUGACUCAAUUAACCGGACGUAACCGAUUGAAUGCGGGUCUUUGCAGUGCUGCUACGUCAGGAACCUCUUCUCUCCAGUACCGGGACGAGGAAAUGGAAGAUGCGGUAACCUCCAACCCAGGUAUAAACUCUUGCGAUUUUGUUCUUGAUUCUUUGGUCGAUUGCGUUCGAGUGAUUCACUUGGGGUCGAAUGAUCUGCCUGCAGCUCCACCCAACGUCAUCGAUCUUCCAGAUGACGAUGAAGAUGUGGCUCUUAAGCCCAGGAAGAGCAAGAAGGUAGCAGCUGGUAGGAUGUCUCGGCAAGAACCCACUACGACACCUCCUGUCCGUCAACCUGAAGACGCGGGCAGGGCUUCUGUGACCUUCGUUGCACCCUUGUCGAGUGAGCACCCCACACCGCCGACUGCACCUGUGAUUCCUUCAGUCGUCCAACUCCACACCAUGGAGCUCCAAGCCGUCGCACCUGGGUCGACUGCUUACUUUUUCACCAGCUACCCCGCCCCGGACAACUAGUCGGAAGCGGCUGCGGAAGCCAUCCGACAAGAUGACAUGAUGAUGGAGCGGGUGAAGACGGUGCAUGAGAAUAGCCAGGCUGCCUACGACGCCGGUGCUGCCCUUCGGGCCAAUGUCCAGGUGAGUAGACUUUCCGACUGCUUUUGCUCUGUGAGGAAGUGUUACUCGAAAAAAUCUUCUUCUACAUAAUCUGUUGUUGUUUGCGUCAAAUUAGAGCACCCACUGGGUGUUUUGUUGUUUUUGGUAGUUUCGAUCUUCCACUCGGUCUGGGCGAGUGGGAUCUGAACCGGUGAGGGCACGCUAAGUGCACCCACUGGGUGUAGUCCCCGAGACCGCGGUCGACUGCUGGUAGUCGACUGGGGUCUGAGUUCUCCUUUCUUUUCUUUUUUACUCCUUACACUCGACUCAGGCGAGCCGGUCGAAUGAUCUGAACCGGUGGGGGCACGCCGAGUGCACCCACUGGGUGUAGUCCCUGAGACCGCAGUCGACUGCUGGCAAUCAACUGGGGUCUGGACAGCUUUUUUUUGCGUCUUAAUCAGCGGGGGCACGCCAAGUGCACCCGCUGGGUGUAGCCCCUCAGACCGCAGUCGACUGUGUGCAGUCGGCUGGGGUCUAAGCGAACUUCUUUAGGUUUUAUUCACUCGGAAGUAAACAACCUUUGAUCUUAUCGACUGAUCCGUCUUUUGCCUUCUGCAGAAGUCUUGUACUCUUAUUUAUAAGUUUUCUGAACUCGAGGAGAAGCAGAGGCAACUCAACCUCGACUUGGAAUUAGCUCAGCAGAAUCUGAAGAAAGCUCAAGACGAAGCCGCUGGUAUGGAAGGUAACUGACUGUUGACUGACUUUCAAUAUAUUUCUUUGAUCUCUUCUUUGAUUCGAUUGUUUCUUUUGUAGAGAAAAUGAAGUUGGAUCUGGAGAAGAAGGACUCGGACCUCGCCGCCGCGCAAAAAGCAGCCCAAGACAAAACUGCUCUCGCAGACCAAAAGCUUGCCUCAAUCGGGACGCUGGAAGGAGAGGUGAACAAACUGAAAUCUUGUCUUAAUGAAGCUAAUCGCGAGGUGACCAGUCUGAAGAAGGACAAGGUCGUCCUGAAUGAAAAGUUGGAGUCUGCGAUCCGCAAGAGGAAUGACACGGAAGCUUAUCUGAGGACUCUUGCCAAGAAGCUUUAUCUCACGCUGGAAUGGAAGGUAUUUCUUUUAAUCCGACUGUGUUGAUGCUUGCGAUCGGAUCUUGCUCGGUCGAUUGACUAAUUUUUGGCUGUAGAAUUCUGCCAAGACUUCGACGAGGAAACCGGAAGGGUCGAGACGGGUCUGGACCCUAUCGCUUCUCCAGUCUGCGACGAAACUGCGAUGAACGUGCUCUGACUGGAGUCCCGUAUCGCCAGCGCCACAAGCUACCUCGUGCGCCUCAAAGAAGUAGUCUCCCGAAUCGACUCAUCGCUUUGGCCGGGGGCGACGCUUCAGAAUGACCUGGAAUCCCUGAUGACUCGACUGAACGAGAUCCCUGACCGAGUGCAAGAAUGGAAGAAAUCCUCCGCCCGGUGUGGUGCUGACAUGGCGUUGUCUUUGGUGCGAGUCCAUUGCAAGGAGGCUCGUGAAGACAUGCUGGCUGCGAUCAAAGUUGCUAACACCAAAAAGCAUGACUUCCAGUCCUUCAUGGAGACUUUCAUUGCUGCCGUCACUCGGAUCGCUGAUGGGAUCGACCUGGACUCAUUCGUGGAGCCUGCCAGCCCUCCUCCGGCCGAGUGAACAAACUUAUGAAACUUGAAUCUGCUUUAAAUUUGCCUCGGAAUGCCGAGUGAUUGCUGUAACCGUUGAACUCCUUCGGGCUUGAUGCUGAGUACUUUUGAUUUGCUGCUUGGAAUUUUUAGGAUUUAUCUGAAUUUGGUUUAUUUCCGAAUGUGCUUGCGUUUGCCUUCGAAUGGACUUUGCUCACUGCUUGGAAUAGUCUUUGCGCUGGAGAUGCAGCUCUGAGGUGGCGGCUCCAGUCGACCUGCGCUUCGUCGUCCUUGCGGAUAGGGAUGGAGCGGACGUUGCACUUGUGUCGUAGCUCCGAAUGAGAAGGUUGCAGUCGACAUGCACCUCGGCGUCCUUGUGGAUAGGGAUGGAGCGGACGUUGUAAUUUUGUCGUAGCUCCGAAGGAGAAGGUUGUAGUCGACCUGCACCUCGUCGUCCUCACGGAUAGGGAUGGAGCGGACAUUGUACUUGUGCCGUAGCUCCGAAGGAGAAGGUUGCAUUCGACCUGCACAUCGUCGUCCUUGCGGAUAGGGAUGGAGCGGACGUUGUACUUGUGUCGUAGCUCCGAAGGAGAAGGUUGCAGUCGACCUGCACGUCGUCGUCCUUGCGGAUAGGGGUAUGUUUCGGACUUAGGCGAGCACUAGACUACAGCUAAGACUCCCGAGUGAGAGGGCUGCUCUCCACUCGGUAGGAUUUUUUUAAACUUAGGCGAGUACUGGACUGCAGCUAAGUCUCCUAGUGAGAGAACUUAGGCGAGUACUGGACUACAUCUAAGACCCCAAGUGGGAGAAUUGCUCUCCACUCGGUACGAUUUUUUCAAACUUAGGGGAGUACUGGACUAUAGCUAAGUCUCCUAGUGAGAGAACUUAGGCGAGUACUGGACUGCAGCUAAGCCCCCAAGUGGGAGGAUUGCUCUCCACUCGGUAGGAUUNNNNNNNNNNNNNNNNNNNNNNNNNNNNNNNNNNNNNNNNNNNNNNNNNNNNNNNNNNNNNNNNNNNNNNNNNNNNNNNNNNNNNNNNNNNNNNNNNNNNNNNNNNNNNNNNNNNNNNNNNNNNNNNNNNNNNNNNNNNNNNNNNNNNNNNNNNNNNNNNNNNNNNNNNNNNNNNNNNNNNNNNNNNNNNNNNNNNNNNNNNNNNNNNNNNNNNNNNNNNNNNNNNNNNNNNNNNNNNNNNNNNNNNNNNNNNNNNNNNNNNNNNNNNNNNNNNNNNNNNNNNNNNNNNNNNNNNNNNNNNNNNNNNNNNNNNNNNNNNNNNNNNNNNNNNNNNNNNNNNNNNNNNNNNNNNNNNNNNNNNNNNNNNNNNNNNNNNNNNNNNNNNNNNNNNNNNNNNNNNNNNNNNNNNNNNNNNNNNNNNNNNNNNNNNNNNNNNNNNNNNNNNNNNNNNNNNNNNNNNNNNNNNNNNNNNNNNNNNNNNNNNNNNNNNNNNNNNNNNNNNNNNNNNNNNNNNNNNNNNNNNNAGAGAACUUAGGCGAGUACUGGACUAUAGCUAAGCCCCGAGUGGGAGGGUUGCUCUCCACUCGGUAGAAUUUUUUCAAACUUAGGCGAGUACUGGACUGCAGCUAAGUCUCCUAGUGAGAGAACUUAGGCGAGUACUGGACUGCAGCUAAGCCCCCGAGUGGAGGAUUGCUCUCCACUCGGUAGGAUUUUUUCAAACUUAGGCGAGUACUGGACUGCAGCUAAGUCUCCUAGCGAGAGAACUUCGGCGAGUACUGGACUGUAGCUAAGCGCCCGAGUGGGAGGAUUGCUCUCCAUUCGGUAGGAUUUUCUUUCGAACUUAGGCGAAACAGAUUCGCGACUAAGCCCACCCACUGGGGGAUUUCAGAAGUAAAUAAGAACGCAACAAUCGAAUGAUAGGACCAUAAGCUCUUGUCUUUGAUAAACAAAUUACAAAGGUGUUUCUUAUUACAUUUUAUUUGAACGAGUACUUAAGUAUAAAAGGGGCGGAGCAGCUCCGUGUUCCAAGCUCGUGGCUCGUCUUUCUGAUGCUCAAUACUGUAAAGAUGGUAUGCUCCAUUGUGGAGAACUUUGGUGAUGAUGAAGGGGCCCUCCCAAGUCGGGGCAAGCUUGUCUGGUUUCUGUUGAUCCACUCGAAGAACCAGGUCUCCUUCUUGAAAGACUCGACCCCUCACAUUUCUGGCGUGGAAUCGACGCAAGUCUUGCUGAUAAAUGGUCGAGCGGAUCAAGGCCAUCUCUCUUUCCUCCUCUAAGAGAUCGACUGAAUCUUGCCGGGCCUGCUCGACUUCCUCUUCGGAGAAGAGCUCAACUCGGGGUGCAUUGUGGAGCAGAUCACUUGGCAGAACAGCUUCGGCUCCAUAGACUAAGAAGAAAGGAGUUUGUCCGGUCGACCGAUUAGGAGUUGUCCUCAAACCCCACAGAACUGACAGAAGUUCAUCAACCCAAGCGCCUGCUGCGUGUUUGAGAUCACGCAUCAGUCAGGGUUUUAGUCCUUUGAGAAUUAGGCCAUUGGCUCUUUCUGCUUGUCCGUUCGACUGCGGGUGAGCGACAGAAGCAUAGUCGACUCGAGUGCCCUGAGAGGCGCAGAAAGCUCUGAACUCAUCGGAAUCGAAGUUCAAUCCGUUAUCCGUGAUGAUGCUGUGUGGGACUCCAUAUCUGAAUGUCAAUUCUCUGAUAAAACUGAUAGCGGUGCUAGCAUCAAGGUUCUUGAUAGGUUUAGCUUCGAUCCAUUUGGUAAACUUGUCGACUGCAACGAGCACAUGAGUGAAGCCGCUCUUGCCAGUUCUCAGUGGUCCAACCAUAUCCAGUCCCCAAACAACAAAGGGCCAGAUGAGGGGGAUGGUCUUCAGGGCUGACGCUGGCUUGUGAGACAUGUCGGAGUAAAACUGGCAGCCUUCAUAUCUGUCGACUAUAUCUUUCGCCAUUUCAUUUGCGCGUGGCCAAUAGAAUCCAGCUCGGUAUGCUUUAGCCACGAUGGCCCGAGAGGACGCAUGAUGACCAUAGGUCCACGAGUGGAUGUCAUUGAGGAUCAUUCAACCUUCUUCUGGUGUUAUGCAUUUCUGACCGACUCCAGUCACGCUUUCCCUGAACAGCUGCCCUCUUAUCACAGUAAAGGCCUUACAUCGACGGACGAUCUGUCGAGCCUCUUCUUCAUCCUCUGGGAGUUCUUUUCUGAGGAUGUACGCAAUGUAGGGCACCGUCCAGUCGGGAGUAAUGGCCAGAACCUCCAUGAUCAGGUCGACCACGGCUGGGACCUCGACUUCAGUCGGAUCUGUGGCGCUCUUAGGUUGUGGGGGCUCUUCAGUAAAAGGAUCUUCCUGAACUGCCGGCGAGUGAAUAUGCUCCAAAAACACAUUGCUGGGAAUGGCUUCUCUAUUGGAACCUAUCUUUGCCAAAUCGUCGGUUGCUUGAUUUUUCAGUCGAGGUAUGUGGUGGAGUUCUAACCCCUCAAACUUCUUCUCAAGCUUUCUCACCGCAUUGCAGUAACCAGUCAUGCCUGGGCUUCUGACGCCCCACUCCUUCAUCACUUGAUUAACUACCAAAUCUGAGUCGCCAUAGACCAUGAGGCGACGGACGCCGAGUGAGAUGGCCAUGCGCAACCCAUACAGGAGUGCUUCAUAUUCUGCUUCAUUGUUGGAGGAAUCAAAGUGGAUUUGGAGGACAUAUCUGAGCCUGUCUCCUCGGGGGGAUACCAGAACUACUCCAGCACCAGAACCAUUCAGCAUCUUGGAUCCGUCAAAGAAUAUGGUCCAGUGCUCAGAGUGAACUUGAGUCGGCAGUUGCUAUUCGAUCCACUCGGCGAGGAAAUCUGCUAUUGCUUGGGACAUGAUAGCUUUCUUUGCCUCAAACUUGAUAUCCAAGGGAAGGAGUUCAAUCGCCCAUUUGGCCACUCGACCAAUUGCAUCUCUGUUGUGCAAAAUCUCUGACAAUGGAGCGUCGCUGACGGCUGUAACAGAGUGAUCCGAGAAAUAGUGUGCAACCUUCUUCGUGGUCAUGUAAAUCCCAUAGACAAGCUUCUAAUAAUGAGGAUAUCUCUGCUUUGACGGGGUCAGGACUUCAGAAAUAUAAUAAACUGGGUGUUGAACCUUAUAAGCUUUUCCUUCUUCUUCCCGCCCGACCGUAAGUACUAUACUGACGACUUGUCCAGUGGCUGCUAUAUAAAGCAGUAGAGGCUCUUUGCUGAUUGGAGCAGCAAGCACCGGCUGGGUGGAAAGCAGGUUUUUUAGCUCUGCAAACGCUGCAUCAGCUUCUGGGGUCCACUCGAACUUGUUUGACUUCUUCAUCAGUCGGUAAAGAGGCAACGCCUUUUCACCAAGGCGAGAAAUGAAUUGACUUAGGGCGGCCAAGCAACCAGUAAGCUUUUGUACAUCAUGCACACGCACAGGGCGUUUCAUUCGGAGUAUAGCGCCUACUUUCUCUGGAUUAGCAUCGAUUCCUCGUUCGGAAACAAGAAAACCGAGUAACUUUCCGCCUGGAACUCCAAACAUGCACUUUGAUGGAUUGAGCUUGAUAUCAUACCUUCUGAGGUUGGCAAAGGUUUCAGCAAGGUCAGUCAGUAGGUCGGAACCUUUACGUGACUUGACCACAAUGUCAUCCAUGUAUGCUUCCACAUUCCGACUGAUCUGAGUGAGCAGGCACCUCUGAAUCAUCCGCAUGAAUGUGGCUCCGGCGUUCUUCAAACCGAAUGGCAUUGUGACAUAACAGAAGCACCCAAACAGGGUGAUAAAAGAUGUCUUUAUUUUGUCGGGUCCGUACAGACGGAUCUGGUGGUACCCAGAGUUGGUGUCCAAAAAGGACAAACGCUCGCACCCUGCAGUCGAGUCGACUAUCUGAUCGAUGCGAGGGAGAGGGAAGUGAUCUUUCGGGCAGGCCCGAUUGAUAUGCUUGAAAUCAAUACACAUGCAAAGUGAGUCGUCUUUCUUUGGGACCAUGACAACAUUGGCUAACCACUCAGAGUGAUAAAUCUCUCGGAUAAACUUAGCCGCCAAAAGCCAAGCCACCUCUUCACCGAUUGCCUUUCUUUUCUAGAUGGCGGACCGUCGAAGAUGCUCUUUGACUGGUUUCACCUUCGGGUCGACUUGCAAACAAUGCUCAGCCAGUCCCCUGGGAACACCCGGCAUGUCAGAAGGCUUCCAUGCAAAUAUGUCCCGGUUCUCACGGAGGAACUGGAUGAGCGCUUCUUCCUAUUUGGAGUCGAGUGUGGUUGAAAUGUCAGUUGGAGCUGCAUUGGGAUCUGUCGGGUGGAUGUGAAUCGAUUUCGUUUCACCAGACGACUGGAAUGCUAAAUCUGUGGAUGGCUUCUUGGCUCGCAGCAAGUCACUCGGAUCUGCAUUUUUCUGGUAGUCUUGCAAUUCUACUAUGGCCAUCUGGGUAUCGGCGAUCUUUGAGCCCUUCUGGAAGCAUUCUUCUGCCUUCUUCCAGUUACCAGAGAUAGUGAUCACUCCUGUGGGACCAGGCAUAUUCAGUUUGAGGUAGACGUAACAUGGUUGAGCCAUAAAUCGUGCAUAAGCUGGCCUGCCUAGAAUUGCAUGAUAAGCACUCUGGAAAUCCACAACUUCAAACGUCAACUUUUCUUUGCGGUAAUUUUUGGAAUCACCGAAAACCACGUCGAGUGCAAUCUGACCGAGGGAUGCAGCCUUCUUGCCUGAAAUGACCCCAUGGAGACUCAUAUGGCUUUCCCUGAGUCUGGACAUCGGAAUGCCCAUUCCUUUCAACGUUUCUCCAUACAGUAUGUUCAGGCCACUGCCACCGUCCAUCAGGACCUUGUCAGUCGAGUGCCUUCGACCAUCGGGUCGACCACCAGUGCUUGCCUCCCAGGGGUGGCGAUGUGCGCUGGAUGAUCAUACUGGUCGAAUGUAAUGGCAGUCUGUGACCACUUCAAGUAACUGGGUCUCACCGGAGCGACCAUGUUCACUUCCCUGUUGAUGACUUCCAAUCGACUUUUGCUCUCAACAUCAGCAAAAAUCAUCAGAGUGGAGUUCACGUGGGGAUAACCAUCAUCAUCCUCUCCCUCAUCCUCAGCCUUGUAUGCCUCCUUCUCCUUUUCCUUGGGUUGUUUCUCUCGGAACUGCUGGAUUAGGAGCCGACACUGCCGAGUGGGGUGCUUCGGGUAAAUGAAAUUACCUUCUUCAUCUUUUUUGGUGUGGAUAUGGCACGACAGAUCCAACACAUCAUUUCCAUCUUGAUCUUUUACUUUCUUGGGGUUCCACGACCCUUUGGGCUUCCCCUUGAACUUUCCUUGAACCACAGCCAAGGCUUCACCCGAGCAGCUGGCUCGGCCUUGCGCUUCUGUUUCCGACCGGAGUUUCCUCCUCCGGCUUCGUGGGCGACUGCUUUGUGCUUGCCACUCCGGAGUCGCUCUUCUUCUUCACCAUUGGCAUACUUGGUGGCAAUUUCCAUCAUCCGAGCCAGAGUCAUAUUUCCUGUCCGGCCGAAUUUCAUAUUCAACUCCUGAUACCUGACACCUUCCUUAAAGGCACAAAUUGCCUGAUGAUCUGACACAUCUUCUACCAUGUGGUGUAGGGUGAUCCAUCUCUGGAUAUAAUCCCUCAAAGUUUCAUUCGGUUUCUGAACACAACACUGUAAUUCUGUCAAACCUAUUGGCCGUUUGCAAGUGCCCUCGAAUGUUUUGACAAACACUCGGGCGAGAUCUUCCCAAGUAUAGAUGCUGCCAGACGCUAACUGAUUCAGCCAUGCUCUAGACGAGCCCUCCAACAUCAGAGGAAGGUGUUUCAUGGCCACUUCAUCAUUGCCGCCACCAAUCUGGACAGCCACUCGGUAGUCUUCAAGCCAAGUGUCGGGCUUGGACUCUCCGGUGAACUUACUAACUCCAGACGCCAACCUGAAGUUGGGGGGAACGACCGCAGCUCUAAUAGCUUUGCUGAAGCACUCUAGACCAGAGACAUGCACCCUGUUGCUGGUUUGCGGAUCUCUGUCAUGGCCCUCUCGGUGAGCUCUGUUUCUGUUGACCAAGCCCUACACAAGAAUAGAUCUCGCAUCGAAGCCUGGCUCCGUGGGGUCGACCGGAAUACCUUUUCCGACACUGUGAGGGCAUCUGUCUUCAUGUGGCUGAGGCACGUAUGACCCACUCCUUGGAGGAGGCAUGGGCACUCGACGGCGAUCAUCGCGAUCGGCACGGUGAUCAUACUGCUCUCGGUUUCUGUAUGACCCACGUCCCUCACGCCUCGGGGGCGAUCUCGGGCUAUGGGCCGACUGAACUGUGUCUGCGACCACAGAUCUGCUAUGGAUCCUAUUCCACGACUGAGACACGACCGUAUUCUGCUCUCCCACUGCCCGGAGCAAGGCUCUGAUCUGCACCAGACCUCGGCCAGCUUCUGAUUGGGAAGGUUGGAUCGACUCUGCUAUCCGGGCAGCAGCUGCUAGAUUUUGGAUCGGUGUUCGGUAUACCUGAGUCGAAGGUGGAAAAAGAUGGCGUCGACUAGACUCAGGAGCACGCUGUCGAGCGUGAUCGUCGAGUGCGCGCUGGAGGUUCUCUAGUCGAGUGCGCUCAGCCAGGUUGGCCAAGCGCGCCUGCUCCAAGGCCUGGGCCUCAGGGGUUUCUCCAACUAUAGGAGUAUGCAAUGCAUCCAUGUUCCGGCGGCGAAGUUCCUCCCUCUGCUGCGAGGAUAGGGGUUCGGGGCGGUACUCCUCGUGAACGCACGAUGGAUCGCCGUUCCCGUCGCCUCCGUCUUCGCGGUUGAAGCCAGGAGGGCUGCGUGGUCUGUUGACCAUCAAAACUUCCGCCGCCGGGUCGCUGCUGUCGCACUCGGAUGCGGUCUCUACGGAGCCAGUCGACAGAUCAAACAGGCCAUAGAGAGUUUCGUCAGGCUCGAUCGCCGCGACUUGAGGGGUGGCCGACUAGCGGGCCACCGCAUGCUUCACCCACCGCUGAAGCCUCGACCGACCGGUGCGCUUGCUCUGGUGGGUCGCAGGGAGGGGGAAAGCUGCUGGAGUCGACUGGUACUGGGUCGACGGUUGCCGCAGGAGGACGCCGCGGACGCACGCGCGAAAGUGUGUCGUCCCGCGGGCGGGGAGCACGUCGGCGUCGAGUGGUGCCUCCUAAAGCCAAGCGGAGUCGUCGGCGAUAAACACGAGCGCGCCGAGACGGAUCUCGUGGCCCUCAGCCAAACCUCCGCCCGGAACCAUGAUGAAGGGGAUCGGAAAAAUUGCAACUUCUCCAACAAGUCGCUAAGACACCUGCCCCACGGUGGGCGCCAACUGUCGUGGUUCUAAGACUGAUAGUAGAAUAGGGGGGUAGGAAUGUAGAGGCAAGAUCCUAGCCAUGGAGGAGUUGUACACACAAAUUUUACGAGUUCAGGCCCUUCUCGGAGGAAGUAACAGCCCUACGUCUCGGAGCCCGGAGGCGGUCGACUGAAUAUUUGUGUGUGAAUUACAGAAAGUGCGAACCCUUGUCCCAGAGGAGGGGGGUGGCUUAUAUAGAGUACGCCAGGACCCCAGCUCCCCUCCGUUACACAAGGUUCAAUGCUCAUAAAGGAGGGGCAUUACUGGUAACAUCUGCAAUAAAGUGUUGUAAAUGCCCAUAAAGCUAUGGUUUAAGUCUUGACCGUUGCAGAGUGGAGGGUUUCUCGUCUUCUGGUGGUCGAGUGUCUUCAAGGUGGUCGAGUGAGCACAUCUUCAUUGUCGAGUGGAUGAUGGUUUCUCUUCGACUGCUUCUGAUUCUUUGUAGAGAUGUCCUCGGGGAGGGUAUGUUGGACAGAUCCAUGACCCUACCCUAGGUACAUAGCUUCAUCAACAGUUGCAAGCUUCUUUAUAUGUAGUCUCACAGUUUGAUGUACACUAACACUUCCUAUGUUCGUUGUUGGACUAGCACCUAGGCGCAAGAGGAAACAAACAUCAGGGAUAAUGCUCGAUAGGUUAACUAAAUCUAUAGGAGGAAGAAUGGAGAUCCGUUUUGAGGCAGGUUUAAAAAGGCCACGUGAUGCUACAGAGUCAGCCAAGUUAGUAUCAGAGGUAGCGAUUGCCGUUAGGUGUCAUGCAAGUAUCCUCCCAACAUGGAUUCAGUACAGGAAUGACAAAGACGAAACCGAGUUCAACAGCUUCCUCGACCAUUUAUCUAUAAGUAUGGUUAUGUAUGGAAACUAGUAAUAUCGUCUUGCUCUGUCCCAUACUUUCUAGGUUUCUGAUAAUGAGACUCCCAUAAUUUUCAACAGAUGAGGUUCAAGUUGGAUAGCCAAGAUGAUGCAACUAGACUAGUUUGCACCCAUGUUUUCAAGUCUGCUCUGCGAUAGUAUCGGUAUAACUUGAGAAAACUCACUUUGAAGGCAAGGCUAACAGUGAACUUGCCCAAAUAUCUCCAGUGGAAAAUAUAUCGGAUGAAGAUUGGAGAGGCCUCUUAAACACUGGUGUGAUCCAAAGUAUCAGGUACGUUAUAUGUAUGUGAUCAAAUCACAUGUUGAACUCCUAUUUACGCAUGUGCCUCACAAAUCUUUCUUCUUGUAGGUGAACUAUUCAAAGAACAAGGCCAACCAUAUGAAAGUGAAAUUCCAACAGACGACAGGAUCUCGUAGCUAUAUUGCACACUACGAGGCUCUUGUAAUUAGCUGUUGUUUCACUCUUUUCGUUGUGCCAUAUUAUCAUAUCUAUAUUGACUUGUUCCAAAUGCAGAGGAAAGCCCGCAAGGACCAAAAAGUACCUGAACCAAAUGUUGUGGAAAUCUUCAAGGACUGUCACACCAGCAAGACGAAGGGCAAUAGUACACCAGUCAAAGCCACUGUUGUAAGUCCUUAAUCCUGAUGCCUUUUAACUACUAAUUACUCUGACUCGUGCAUUGAACUGCAUGGUUUGCAAUCAAUGUCUAUUACUCUUUUCAAUUUUAUACACAAUUGUCUUAGCGUAUCAUUGCACCUUACAAGGUUUAAAAGAGAGGAGUGAUGUUCCUUUGAUCUUGAUCUGUAUCUAGUUCUGUGCUGGACUUGCCCACACAAUGUUAAAUUGCAUGUUUGUCUGUUCUCAGUUGUUUUGUGAUGUGAAUGAUGUCAUACUGUGCUUGUUGGAGAUAUGCCCUAGAGGCAAUCAUGUAUGAUGAUAUUUCCUAUGUGUUUAUGAAUAAGGAUAGUCCUUGGACAUUAUCAAUGAUGUGUAUCAGCAAGUACGUGACUUGUUUGUGGGACUAUGCAUUGUAUGAUGACUGUCCUAAAAGGUCCCUAGUCGAAAGGGCUGUGUGGACCCACAGCCAACUAGACUAGCAUAUGACACGGUCGAUGGCUUGGUCUAACUAGCCAUGGAGCAUUGGAUGCUAACCGAAUAAUAUGGACUUGGAAGGAUCUGGUCGGAUUCGACGUAGUCGGAUCCGAGUCGAGAUAAGGUCUGAGUCGGACAGACCCAACUAUGAGACGCAACGAUAUGUCAUCUGUGAGUCUCUAGUACAACAUAUGUUCUAUGUCCUAAGACCUGAGCUGACGCAUGUACUCGGGAUGGUGACAGACUUGCUUUGGGUCGACCAAACGCUACUCUGUAACUGGGUAGUUAUAAAGGUAGGUUUCGGGUUUGUCCAGACCCAUGCUACGAGAUGUGGUCGAGCAAGAUGGGAUUUGCCCCUCCGAUCAAGAGAGAUAUACUCUGGGCCCCUCGUGUGAUCUGACCAGGAUAAGCAUGGCAUGCGACAAGGAUUAUGAGAUAAUCCGGUUUGUGGUCGGCAUCACUGGAACAAGAAAGAGGUCGGGCUAGCACAAGGAUGACAGACUCGCCUUGAGCCCGACAACAUAUAUCAUGUGGCAAAAGGAAUGGAAGUUUGAUGUACAGGUUCGCCUAACCAGCUUCAUCGCCUGCUUGGUGGUCGGCACGCCUUGCUAGAGGCCUCUACCAGCCAUGUAGUCCGGAGGUGAUCCGAACUGCGACCAAGCCGGCUUGAACCUAAGAGGUCGCACACUUAAGGGAAGGAACCUACAAGGUCGGAUUCAAGGACACUGGUCGGAUGUGAUCCGAGCUGUAUUCGAAUUGUGGCCGAGUAGACUUAUGGGCUUUAGGGUCCAUGCGAGGCCCAAGUAUUGAGCCCGCGACGGAUGCCUAUAUAAAGUGGGGUGCGGCACACUCAUGCGGUUGAUCGCUUCGGCGCUGUCACUAGGGUUUGCAUGAGUUGCGAAUAGACACCUCCACUCACCGCUGUUUGUGUGAUCGGACCUAGCAGUCCGCCGCACGAUGUUCCUCUUGCACGCGCGGAUACCUUUAGAGGCGGUGCACUUGCGCCGCUCCGGCAAACCUGUACGUGGGAACCAACUACCGGCUGUACGAGGGAGAUCGGACGAGGAGGAGACGAUCCACGCGGACGCGCUGCCCCAACUCUUCUUUCGCUGCACAGCACUGCGCGUCUAGUGGUAACGAACUGUGAUCCAUCUCCCGUAGCACGUUCUUGGUUGUUCUGCGCGUAGGAAAAUUUUUAAUUUGCAGUCGACACACCAUACCAUAGAACCCAUCAGUGCUUACCAUAUUAUAAACUUUUUCUCUUUAUCCUUAGUUGUCAAUACAAUGUGAAGAAAUAGACAAUACAUUAGCCAUGGUACAUGGUCAUAUGUUUGGAACCUGGUUUUAUUAUGUACUUUGCAGUAAAUACAACUAAUAUUUUACACGGGUUCACCAGAAUAAGUUCUGUAUAUAGACCAAAGCUAUUUUUUUGGUUUUGCUGCCUCCUUAAUAUCUUCCAUUCUGGUACUACUAAUGUAAAAACUCAACUUUUCAGCAAGCCAUGGAAAAAAUGGUGGAACCGCCACCUUCAGAAGGUGACGAGGCAACUAUAACCGCAAUGUCACCUCUUGCUGCAGUGGGGUCAGUACCUGUCCACUAAUAGUGCCAAAAGCACGUUCCUGCACAAUACUGGGUUGGUUGUUAAGGAAUCUCAUCCAAACUGCCUCAUGAUCAAGAUAUGCAAGCUUGUUAUAUCUACGCUCCAGACACAAGUUCAUUCCCUAACAGAGACCCUUUGUGAAGCAAGGGCAGUCAUUGUUUGAUGUCGCCAAGAUAUGCAUGGUUUUGAAACCAGACUAUCAGACAUUUGCUAUGUUGUUCAGGAGCCUAGGAGAAAUGAAGGCGAAGGUUAUGGUGCUCCAUCGGACAAUACAAUAUGAAAACGUAACAGUCAGGUCAAAUGAAACUAAGCUUCCGAACUUCCGGUGGUGCAUUUAUCUGCCAGACUGUUAACUUUUAUGCCAACCUUCCUUUUGUUUUAUGGUUUUAAUUUGUUUUGUUGCGAUACAAUUUUUUUCUUAACGUGCAGCCACUGGCUGAAGUAAACAUCAAGCCAUUUUUGUAUAGUGUAGGGUGUUCCCUAUAUUUGCACUGGUGGCGAACUUUGAUGCCCAGUGGAUGUAAUUUGUGCAAUUGCCUUAAUAGCCUAGUGUUAGUUUCGGGCUUAUUUAUUUCCUAGUCUUCUUUUUCCCUGGUUUACUAGUGGCCGCAACAACCAUGUGGCAUAUACGGACAUGGUAACCUUGACCCUGCUACAGGCCGUAGGAUCCAUGGGCCUCCUACGGGCCGUCGGUUAAAUGGGCCUCCAAUGGGUCGUAGAAUCGGUGGGCCUCAGGCCGUAGGAUAAAUGGGCCCACAUGGGUCGUAAACGGGCGUAAUUGGUAUCGAGCCAGCAUGGUAACAGGCCGUUAACAGUCCGGAAGGCAGCAAAGGCUUAAUUCUGUCACAGGCAUAACGGGUCAUUAAUGGGCCAGAAUCUAGGACGGGCUGGAAACGGCGCAGUGGGUUAACAUGCCACAAACAUGCCGAUUCUAACCACGGGCCGAAUUUGUCCCAUUAGGGGAACAUGCCAAUAACGGGCCGAAAGUAAUCGAAGGCCGGGAAGGAUCCCAAGAAUGUAUGGGCCGUCAGUAGGCCGAAAGCUAAGACAGGCUGGAAACGACCCAUGUGAAUCAUGGGUCAUUAAUGGGUACAAAGAAAUUUACUGUUCAUUAUGGGGUAGAGUCACCAUGGGCCACUAAAGGGCGUAAAGAUAUGAAAGGCCUCAUAUGGACCGAAAGACGUAUGGGCCAUACAUGGGCCGAAAGUGAAACGGGCUGGUGUUAUAUUCGACGGCCCACAUGACGUUGUUGGGCCGAUUGCGGGAAGGCCCUAACGGGUCGCGAGUUACCGGGCCGUAAAAUGGGCUGUAUGCGAAGAUUGUUAACAGGCUUUUCAUGGGCCGGCCUGCUAACUUUUGACCAAGUCAAACGGGCCGGCCUUUGUAAGCUAAAUGGACCAGUGUUGGGUCGUCGCACGUGUCGACAUAUCAUAGGUGCCUAUCUGACCCAAUGACGAGCUGACACGUGUUUCCUUCGGCCAAUGAGAAUUUUACACGUGAAAAAUCCCCAUUGGUCUGGGCUGUUAAUGGGUUAUCGGAUCCAAAACCGGACCCGAUAGCUUAACGACGACCCGUUACGGUGGAUGCCGCGUGUCGGUUACCCUUGACAAAAGCACUUUCAUGAUGCAUCAUUUAUCGUCAUGGAAGUGAACACUUCCGUGAUGAUAAUUUUGGUAUUGUCAUGGAACACUUCUACGACAGCACAUGUGUGACUAUCUUAAUUCUGUCAUAAAAUUGUCAUGGAUGUACAUACAUGACAGAAAACGUGACCUACUAUGACAGACACGUAUCAUCAUGGAAGUGUAUUUUUUUUUGUAGUGUACGGCUCUAGCUGCUAUGGGCAACGACGACAAGGACCUGCAGAUCAUCGCCCCACCAGCACUGCUGGCUCAUCGACGUCCUCCUCCCAUUAUCGUCAUCGAUGAAGAUGAAGAGGAGGUGCCAGAGCUGCCACUCAGGGUGUGCAAAACCAAACCAAAAACCAAAAACCAAACCAAAAAAACCAAACCGAAACCAAAUUUCGGUUUUUUCAGUUUUCAAUUUCAGUUUUGAAAUAUAGAAACCAUCUGAUCCUCGGUUUUUUCGGUUAAAAACCGAACACCAAUCGGUUUAACCGAAUUAACCGAACUGGAAAAAAUGUGCACGCAAGGGCCAAAAGAGAGAGGCGCAGAGCUGCGUGCGUUUGUCUACUGCAAGGCCGCUCCAUUAUAUAACCAGCUAGCCAGCUAUGUGCUACCUCAACUGGCGAGGUGGGACUAUUCUCACGUGAACUCACCACCACGCAACAAUGACACACAGUGGAGAUUGUUCAUGUGUUGGGCUGGCGGUCAGACCCUGAGCUGGUGGGCUGAGUGGGCUUCAUAGUUAAUUUUGUGCACGUGGGCUUGCUUUUGUGAUGAGACAUGGGCUCUUGCAUGUCAAUUCAGAUUUGCCUAGGAAAAUAUCAAUUCAGGUCUCCUUUUUUGAGAAAUUUAAGUCUUAGUACAGGUAUGCAUGUAGACGAUCUUAUGCACUAUAAUCAUCACGUCAUGUCAGCUUGAAAAGUCAAUGGUCUUUACUCCUAAAUAUUAAUGGGUUAACAUAAGUACACAUGUGGGCUAGCUUUAGCCCUAAAUGCAUGUACGUCCCUGGUGGUAAUAGUAGCCUAGUACCAUUAUUUGGAGACAACACCAAUUUUCUUUUGAGAAAAAAAAUAUGUAAUUCAAAUUCGCGUCAACUUUGGUAUUUUGGUUAUUACCGAAACCAAACCGAAACUAAAUGGUUAUUACUUAAACCGAACCAUAUUUUAUAUAAAACCGUAUAAACCGAAGUAUAAAAACAGUAUAAAACCGAAAACCGUAUAAACCGAACCGAAUCAAACCGAAAAAACCGAAUGCACAGGCUGAGCUGCCACCUCCCACUCAAGUCAAGCAAAAGGUGCGACGGCCAGGAUGCUUAGUAGGGCAGGAGCCUAGCAAUCUAAAGAUGUAAGUUUCAGAUUUAGUUACAUCAGUUAUCGCCAGUGUUUGCAAGCUUAGUGAGAUUCAAUUCUGUCAGUGUUGUUCAGUGUUAGCAACUUUAGUGUUUAAGUGUCCUUGAAAAAUUUUCAGUGUCUAUGUGCUAUCUAUGUAAGACUAAAUGCUAUCUAUGAGAGACUAAGUGUCUUUCAAAACUUUUGUUGGAACUUCUCUGAAUUUGUCUGAACCUUUCUGAACUUGUUUAGAUACUGUUUAACUUUCUUGCAGGCUGUGAUGAAGCAAUUUCUGAAGUAAACAUAUCUCAGCAACAAUUUAUGAUACAACACACAAAAAUAAACUGCAUCAGACUUAGAUAAUUUAGUUCUUAACUUAACUUAGUACCAGAUCUCAACAUCAAGAUAAUAUUUGUGCGGUACAAAUCAGGGGCAAUCAGCACCCCCCACACCAACCCAAAUGAUCUGAACCCAUUAUAGUUCUUAGGAAGUUCAAAGGCAGUUCAUAGCUAAUAUUAAUAUUAAGAUGCAUAUUUGCAUCAGACUGACCAGUCCUAGGCCAAUUAUAUAUAUAGGCCUCAUAUUUACUUACCAUCCAUAGCUAGCACUUCACUCCUCCAUGACCACUUCUUUGAUCUUGUCAAGCUUUUCCUUGCACCCAUAACCAGUCUUCAAGAGCUCAGAAAUGACAUGCUCCAGCUUCUUCUUCUCUUCUUGAAGGAGGUUUCUCUCCACCUCUAUCUCCUUCAUGGCCUUCCUUGUGUUUUUUGAUUAUAUCAGCUUGACUCUGAAGGAUGCACCUCUGCUCUUUUUUGAGUUUAAGCUUCUCCAUUUGAAGCUCAAGCUUUGCCUGCUCCUUAAGUUGCUUUUUCGUCUCCUUCAGUUCAUUGAUUGCCUGACUUCUGGAAUCCAUGUCAUGAGAUUUCAUUCCAUCAUGAUAAUAAAAUAACUUGGACACAUCAUCCACUAUCUAGCUGUACUGAUUGCCUAGAGAAUCAAGCUCCUUUUUCAAUUUUGCAACCUCUAUCCCAUGAGCCUCAUUAUCCUGGACUCAAACAAGGUUCUGCUCAUGAUACAUAUCCCAGAGCUUGCUUAAGCACCUUUGCAGAAUUAUAGGCCAAGGGGCAUCUACCCACUCCAGAAUACCACAGUUCACACCAUCUUGAAAAUUAAGUUAAAUUUACAGCGAGCUGUACUGUUCAGUAACAAACAAAUUCAAAUUAACAAAUUAUAGAGUAAACACUAAUCAUAUACAUAGCUACACUAGCUAGCUCUAUACUAAAAAUACAAAACAUUGCCAUGUUACAUUACUAUCUUUCUAGUGCUCUUUGCUACAAGUACAAUAUUCAGACAUAGCAAUGUUUUUACACUUUAGCAAAAUUCAGAAUAACAACAACUAAAUGCUACUCUGUUUCCACUACAUAACACAAAAUGAAGCUAAUCAAAUCCAUGACAACUUGGUCCAUUACCUUAGUAGCACAUCCUAUGAAUCUCCUGCCAGUGAUAGUGCCUUAAAAUGCCACAAACUUGCCUGGCCUCUGCCUAUGCAAGAUGUAACUUCGCUCAAAUUCAGUCACAAGCCCACAAAAACUUGGGACUAUCACAAUUUUAGGAGUUUGCUGCAGCAGCAAAAACAUAUAUAUCAACUACAACUCACAUAUCUGAACUUGAAUGGAAGAAAUCCAAAUUAUCUUCAACCCCUAACCCUUGAAGAUAAGAGGAGAUGAGAGAGUGAGCUGACUUACAAAGUACUCCAUCUGCAUGCUGCUGAACUCACUCAUGUACUCGUCAUCGUCUGAGGUCUCGUUACUGUUGGGCCACGACGACAUGGUCACGGCGUCUCCGGAGUGCGAUAAGAAGAAACAGAAGCAGAUGAGAGCAGGGAGUGGAGUGAGCUCGGGGGAGAGUGAGAUCGGGUGGGGACGAGCGGGCCAGUCGGCCAGGUUAGUCCUGGUCCGACUAGGUGCCACCGACAGGCGGUUCUAAUGACAGUAAGCGAGCGCCGUUAGCCGUUAGGCCGGCCGACAGCCUGGCAGGUGUGCCACUCAUGUCAAAAGCGCGGUUAAAACGACCAUGAGCUCUACUUGGUAGUUCUAGUUACAAAAUUAGAAAAUUUCGUAGUUUUCGGUCAGUUUUUAAAAACGGGUAGUCUUGUGGGAUGGGAACCCCUAAAGUGGUAGUUUUUUUGUCAAUCUCUCAAAUCAAUUCAUAGAGUCCUCUCUACAAGGCCUAGUGCACGACCCACAUAUGUUACACAAAUACCAAACAAUAUUAAUAUGGGCUAAGGAAAAAUCCAUUGUGAUCACAAAAUCCUCUUUGUGAAUAAUUGUGCCAUGAAAGAAACUGCUGCAGUUUCUCAAAAAAAGAGAAAGAAACUGCUGCACCAAAAAAUAACUAAACCACUAGAGGCACCUAUGGAAGGUAUAAAUUCAUAUUUACCCAAACGACAUGGACAUCACUUUGGAAGAAAAGAGUGAUCAAAACCCAUUCUUUUGGUUUCUUGCACACACAAUAACCCGAUUCAUAGGUUUUGAUGCGUAAAGCCAAAUAAUCCAUUCUUUUCGUUUCUUGCACACACAAUAAUCCGAUUCAUCGGUUUUGAUGUGUAAAGCCAAAUAUUUAACAUCUGAAUUUAGACCAUGGAUAUUCCAUCCCAAAAAACUCUAGAUAACUGACGACAUAAGUUCAACUUAACAGAAAUAACUGAAUAAAAGCUAAAACAACAGUAGAAGCAACGCCGAAACUUAAACACCAGUGUUGCCCAGAGCCUUCAGACGCUCUUCUAAUAGUUCUUCAACAGGAAUCCCUCACAUCUUGAUCCCAAUAGCAUGUAUAGUGCUGAUAGGAGUUUUAUCUGGAACCAUAGAAGCCGACUGAGUAUCAACUUUAGUAGGCAGAGCUGAAGGGGUUCUUAAGAACUGAUAGGAGCAAGGGUGUCACGCUCGGAGUCUUUGCGUUUCUUAACACCAGAUUAACGCUGCUUGCCAUCUGCCAGUGAGGGAGCCUUGAAGCGCAUAAACCUGUUUGAUCGUGUGCUUCUACGAACUUCAGAAGUGUUAAUUGGGGCAGUAGUAGCUCAACGCAUUUUCAUGGUUUCAGUUGUGUCCACUAUCAGACAUCCAGUCCAUACUAACACUAUCAGACACAGACACUGCACUGAUAAUAUGGAAUCUGACAACACAACCCAGACCUCACUGUGGCCAGGUAUAAAAGGGGAAAACGGGAACCAAGAAAGUACGCAGAACCAAUCAGCUCGUUCUGAAGAAAGAAAAUCAUCUUGACCAUCUCGUGUGAACCCCAGACCAGGCUAGAUUGCAACUCACUGAAACCAAGUAUAGGAGUGUGGACAAACUUGUAAAGUAGCAAAAAAAAUGCACCCCCCAUGAUCCAGGUGCAAGUGUACAUGCAAGUCCAUACCUGAGCACGAACGAAAAAAAAUUCAGAGGUCUGAAAGCCUUCCGCCAUAUUAUCAACAACAGGGUCCACCAUUAAGUCAUUGACACAUGCUCAUGGCUCAUGCCAAAGUCCGGAAUAUUGUGCUCAGGCAGAACUCCGUCCAUCAUACCCUACCAAAGCCUUCAAGUUAAUACCCCGAUAGGCAGGAGGCACUGGUGGUAGGACUGGCCAUUCCCACAACAUUGUCGAGCCGGAGGAGCCAUUGGAAGAGGAAUGGAUGAUCUUCUUCUAUCUCUAACUGUUUUCUUCCCUAUGACCGUAUCCAGCAACACAUGAUCUCCUUCAUGUUAGCCCGCUCCGACGCUGUCUGAACCAUCUACUAGUCCCCCGCGGCUAGUGACGCUCCCUCGAGCGCCUUGCUGUCCUCCCAGAAUCACUGCACACAGGCAUGCUGCUGCCAAGCCAUCACUCUAAGCCCCCCGCCCCGUUCUUCUCCAACGCCGACAACCCUCUCCCCUUGCACCCGUACCGGGCAGCCUUCGACUCCACUCGGGACGCCGCUACCGUCACCGGCUCCUUCCUGUUCGAGCCUAGCUGUCGUUGCUAUGCUUCGGUACGCUUGCCUUCCUCGCCCCCAUUCCGUUUCACUUCGGGUUCGGGCCUGGAUGCAAGUUGUCGACACGGGCAGGAAGACAGCGCGCUCCACGAUCCGCAUGACACCCCUCGAACCAAUUAGAUAACGCGAACGAUCUCCCCCGGAUCACCCCACGAACCUCGAUCCCAACCGUCCAUUGCACCACACAUCCAACGCUCCACGCCCACCUUCCCUCCCGAAAAGGCAAAACUCACGCGCCCUCCCCUCCAAAAUCCCCCGCCCGCUCGCCGCUCGUCUCCUACUUAACGCCGCCCACUCCGCUUCGUUCUCCUCACUCCAAUCCAAUCUCCAACCUCCUUCCUCUCCUCAACCACCCGGCGCAUCUCCGACGACAUGGCCCGCACCAAGCAGACGGCGAGGAAGUCCACCGGCGGCAAGGCGCCGAGGAAGCAGCUGGCCACCAAGGCGGCCCGCAAGUCCGCCCCGGCCACCGGCGGCGUCAAGAAGCCCCACCGCUUCCGCCCCGGCACCGUCGCGCUCCGGGAGAUCCGCAAGUACCAGAAGAGCACCGAGCUGCUCAUCCGCAAGCUCCCCUUCCAGCGCCUGGUGAGGGAGAUCGCCCAGGACUUCAAGACCGACCUCCGCUUCCAGAGCUCCGCCGUCUCCGCGCUGCAGGAGGCCGCCGAGGCGUACCUGGUGGGGCUCUUCGAGGACACCAACCUCUGCGCCAUCCACGCCAAGCGCGUCACCAUCAUGCCCAAGGACAUCCAGCUCGCCCGCCGCAUCCGUGGAGAGAGGGCCUAAGCUCUGUGCGUCGUCGUCUUAGCCAGAUUUGUUCAGCGCUGAAAGUGUUUGUUCGUGCCAUGGUGGAUGUAGUAUGUCUGAUCUGAUGUCACCAUCUUGCUGUCAUCAGUAAUUUAAAUGAAAAUGUUGGCUAUCUGUUCUAAGAUCUGUGCCUUUUGAUGCCUGUUUUCGCUUGUAUGUGAGCCUGUCAGUGAAUGUGAUUCACCAUAUCGUGCAUUAUAUUACCCCAAGUCGUGAAAUUUUCUGCCAGUUUAAUCUACUGUGCCUUAAAUUGCUUCAAGUUUUUAUCUUAAACGAUGUUUUUGACUAUUAAAUUUCGUCAUCAGUAGUAAUUUUGCUG
rnacentral:lncRNA from 1 species